UCAUCCAUCAUUCUCAUAAGUAGAGUGCAUCAUUUAAGCCAAGCAAGCUGUGGUCAAUACAAAUCCACCAUGAAGACCUUUCUCAUCCUUUCCCUCCUUGCUAUCGUGGCAACCACCGCCACAACUGCAUUUAGAAUUCUAGUGCCACAAUUGCAGCCACAAAAUCCAUCUUAGCAACAACCACAAGAGCAAGUUCCAUUGGUACAACAACAGCAAUUUCUAGGGCAGCAACAACCAUUUCCACCACAACAACCAUAUCCACAGCCGCAACCAUUUCCAUCACAACAACCAUAUCUGCAGCUGCAACCAUUUCCGCAGCCGCAACCACCAUAUUCGCAGCCGCAACCAUUUCGACCACAAUAACCAUAUCUCCACAACCGCAACCACAGUAUUCGCAACCACAAUAACCAAUUUCGCAGCAGCAACAACAACAACAACAACAACAACAACAACAAAUCCUUCAACAAAUUUUGCAACAACAACUGAUUCCAUGCAUGGAUGUUGUAUUGCAGCAACACAACAUAGCGCAUGGAAGAUCACAAGUUUUGCAACAAAGUAGUUACCAGCUGUUGCAAGAAUUGUGUUUUCAGCACCUAUGACAGAUCCCUGAGCAGUCGCAGUGCCAAGCCAUCCACAAUGUUGUCCAUGCUAUUAUUCUGCAUCAACAACAAAAACAACAACAACAACAACAACAAAAACAACAACCAUCGAGCCAGGUCUCCUUCCAACAGCCCCAGCAACAAUAUCCAUCAGGCCAGGGCUCCUUCCGGCCAUCUCUGCAAAAUCCACAGGCCCAGGGCUCGGUCCAGCCUCAACAGCUGCCCAGUUCGAGGAAAUAAGGAACCUAGCGCUACAGACGCUACCUGCAAUGUGCAAUCUCUACAUCCCUCCAUAUUGCACCAUCGCGCCAUUUGGCAUCUUCGGUACUAACUGAGAAGAAAAUAACUCUAGUACUAGAUAUAUGAAACACCGUUUUCUUAGUCCAUGGUUUGGUCAUUGUAGCGGUGAAAAAAUAAAGUGACAUGCACUACCAUGUAAGAACUCGAACUAUACUAGUUCAAACUUGGGAAUAAAAGACAAACACAGGUCUUGUCUACAUAUUUAUGUUGCAUUUAUCUAAAGAUAACAAAAUGAGUCUAAAAUUUGAAUUAAAUUGAAGUAUUUUCUUGGACUUUCAAAUUGAGUAUUAUUAACGUAGUAAGGACUAUCCUCAUCCUUGGCCUGCCCCUAAUCAAUUAUUUCCAGAGAAGCAUUCAAUUCAUCAAUCAAUUACAUUGAUUUUUGUGGCUGGUACUUCUCCUCAACAUCAGUAUAUUCACCGUGGCUACUCCAAAUCGGCAAGAAUGAGGUACCGGUGCUCUGGAGCAGUGCCAACUAAUUGCUUCUCAUGUGAAGGGGUGCGGGCGCGGGAGAGGUAUUUCUGGUGGGCCAAGGGAGUAAGAAGCCACCGUGGGAGUGGUACAGACGCCCGUAAAGCCCCAUAGUUUCUUUUUGGUUUACAGGAAAAUGCACAUCCAUACCGGCCUGGGGAGUAUAGGACCGUAUUGGAUGGAAAACCAUGUCCGGAUGGUUGCGAGCGGUUUGAGGGUUAGCUUUUGUAACGCCCGGUUAGUUAUGCUAUAGCAAUUCCCUGCUAAUGAUGUCACGUCACCAAGAUUACUGUUGUUAUCCUCACAAUGAUUCAAUGCCAUUCUAAUUCAAAUUUAAAAUAAAGGCAAGCAUCAAAAGUUUUCAAACAUUAAAACUAAAAUCUUUGAGAGGUAACAAAUAAUGCAUAAGUAAUUAUGGUGGAGAAACCACACUUUAAUAAAAUGUUUAAAUACUCUAAAAUGAAAAAAACAGUGGCUUAAACUAUUAUUUAAAUGCUUUUAAAAUAGUAAAAAUGUUCUAACUAAAUUAAUUGGGUACCAACCUUUUGGUGGCAGUGGUAUAUUUAGUAGAACUAAUUUAGAUGCUAGUUAUAUGAUUUAGAAAAUUAGGGUCAAUUGAAAAAUAGGAUAAAACAGAGAAGGAAAGACAAAACAAAUAAAAGCAAAAGGGGGCAACCCCUCACUGGCCUUGGCCUAGCUGGCCACUGGGCUAGCUAGGUCGGCCCCGCCGCCUCCCUUAACCCCCUGUCGGUGUCGAAACCGGUGGAUGGUACCAUGAGUAGAUCUACCACGAGAUCGGAGAGGCUAAACCCUAGAGGCUAGCCUAUGAUAUGAUUGUAUGUGUCCUACGGACUAAAACCCUCCGGUUUAUAUAGACACCGGAGAGGGUUAGGGUUACACAAGGUCGGUUACAAAGGAGGAGAUAUCCAUAUCCGUAUUGCCUAGCUUGCCUGCCACGCCAAGUAGAGUCCCAUCCGGACACGGGACGAAGUCUUCAAUCUUGUAUCUUCAUAGUGCAACAGUCCGAAAAAGGAUAUAGUCCGGCUGUCCGGAGACCCCCUAAUCCAGGACUCCCUCAGUAGCCCCUGAACCAGGCUUCAAUGACGAUGAGUCUGGCGCGCAGUAUUGUCUUCGACAUUGCAAGGCGGGUUCCUCCUCCGAAUGCAUCACAGAAGAAUUUGAAUACGAGGAUAGUGUCCGACCCUGCAACAUAAGUUCCACAUAAUUCCAUACAGAGAAUAAUAUUUUCGCAAAUCUAAUUUGCUUACUUGUUUUGACAGUACGACAUUAUGUCAUGGCCCGGUGAUUAUUCGAACCGUUUCCUUUAACUAGCCCCGCACAUAACGCGAGGCAGUUUUUCGACAUGUCUUGUCAAAGCAGAGAUCGUGUCCCCUUAUUACUGGAUUCUCAUCAAUACGGGCGUGGGUAACCCAACCGCGCCAUCGAUUGCGGCACUUGGGGGAUGAGCUAUUUUUACCUGGCAAGUGGGGACGCUUAGUUUCGUCCGCCCAUAUAAAGGGAUAAGGAUUCACCUUUCUAUCCAUGCCUUCUUCCUCCUUUGCUCAUCCGUUUUUGCACACUCGAGCUCUAGCGCCCAAGUUCGCACUUCCCACCUCAACCUUCUCCAACCAUGUCCCGAGCGGGAGGCAGGUGGAUGGUAUCCUCCGUCACGGAUGGAGACAUCAAGAAGCUGAGGAGCGCCGGAUACCUGCCUGACGACAUCGCGCACCGGCUCCCAGAUGAGGGGCAGCUCACCCCCACCCCCAGGCCCCAUGAGAGGGUAGUGUUCCUCACCCAUUUCCUCCGCGGACUGGGAUUCCCUCUCCACCCAUUUGUCCCGGGGCUCAUGUUCUAUUACGACCUGGAUUUCCAUGAUCUGGCCCCGAACUUCAUCCUCAACAUCUCGGCGUUUAUCGUUGUGUGCGUGGCCUUCCUCCGCAUCAAGCCCCACUUCGGCUUAUGGUUGAAGACCUUUAAUGUCAAGCCGAAGGUUGUGGGCGACCGCCAGGCGGAGUGCGGAGGCGCCAUGGUGGGCAAGAUGCCCAACGUAACAUGGCUCGAGGGCUCUUUUGUGGAAACCAUAAAGGGGUGGCAAUCGGGUGGUUCUACAUCACCGAGCCGCGUGACCCUGCAUGGGCAGCGGCCCCCCGAGUUCUGAUCUGGCAUCCCCACGCGGCUCACCUCCUGGAAAGAGAAGGGCCUGUCCUGGGGUAGUUUGGAAGAGCUGACCAGACUCCAAACAUGUAUUCAAAACAUGGUGAACAAGAAGCUCAAACUCGUCAACGUGGUCCAGGUCAUGCUCCACCGCCGGAUCCUCCCGUGCCAAUAACGGGAGUUCAACUUGUGGGAGUACAACCCAGCGCAGCACCGAACUCUGAACAGGCUUUUCGACACAACUCACGAAGAUGCCUCGAGGGUGCUGUUCAAAAUCACCAAGGUCCCCCUCCCAUUACUGAGGAUCACGGAUUCAGCGUGAAGCGCCAAGCCAGUGCGGCAGGCUGCUUUACCUUUCACAGGCUACUUAUUUUUUAUAGAUUGACUCCAUGCGGGAUCUAAACUCCCGUACCUUUGACAGGACUGGCAGGAGAUGGCCGGACAGAUCGACUGUCCGGCUCCUAUGCCCGAAGGCCCAGCAGACGCUCUUCUAGCGAAGAUGCUGACUUCGGCUCCUUAUACGGUGCCGGAGAAGACCAAGAAGGACAAGGGAACCCGAAAGAGUUCCCGACGCCAGGCGUCGUCGGACUCACCGUCCGAUGACUCUGCGGCGCACUCCUCCCCCGAAGACGAGGAAGAGGAAGAAGACGCUCCCUCUCUGGCUGGGGGAGAUAAGAAAAGGAAGGCCGCCCCAACUGGGGGGGCGGAAGGGUCCAAGAAGGGAAGGAAUCUCCUUCCGGAUAGUUGCACCGCUGCCGACGAAGGCGAAGACGAGGGGUUGCCCAGGGCCAAGCCCCUGGGGAGAUCGUAAGUAUUCAGAUACCAGAGUAACUCAUAGCAUUCCUUUGUCGCACUGCUUUCCCUAACGUCAAACAUAAUUAUGCAGGUCGCCAUGAGCCAGUAUCGAUGUGUGACGCCCGGAUAAUCAUGCUACAGUAAUCCCACGCUAAUCAUGCCACGUCACCUCGGUUACUGUUGCUAAUCUAUCGUUAGGUCAAAGCUGGUCCAAAAUUCAAAUUCAAAGUUUGGUAAAUAAUAACAGUUUUCAAAAAUUAAAACAAAAAUGUUCGGUGAUUGCCGAAUAAUGCAUAGGUAAUUAUGGUGGAGAAACCACACUUUUAUAAAAUGUUUAAAUAAUCUAAAAUGAAUAAAACAGUAGAAAAACCAAAUCUAAAUGCUUUUAUAAAUAAAUAAAACACUAAACUAAAUUGUUUUGGGAUAAAGCCUUUUGUGGCAGUGGGUUUCGUGGUAUUACAAUUUUAGAGUUCAUUUUAAUACUAAGUAAGAAGUAUAAUUAAGAGAAACUAAAAUAAAGAACAGAAAAAAAAGAAUAAAUAAAAGGAAAAGAAAACACAAAACAGAAAAGAAAACUACCAAAAAAAUAUGGUAAAAGGAGACCCCCCCCACUGGACCCCUUGGCCCAACUGGGCCAUGGCCCAGCCGGCCACCCCCNNNNNNNNNNNNNNNNNNNNNNNNNNNNNNNNNNNNNNNNNNNNNNNNNNNNNNNNNNNNNNNNNNNNNNNNNNNNNNNNNNNNNNNNNNNNNNNNNNNNNNNNNNNNNNNNNNNNNNNNNNNNNNNNNNNNNNNNNNNNNNNNNNNNNNNNNNNNNNNNNNNNNNNNNNNNNNNNNNNNNNNNNNNNNNNNNNNNNNNNNNNNNNNNNNNNNNNNNNNNNNNNNNNNNNNNNNNNNNNNNNNNNNNNNNNNNNNNNNNNNNNNNNNNNNNNNNNNNNNNNNNNNNNNNNNNNNNNNNNNNNNNNNNNNNNNNNNNNNNNNNNNNNNNNNNNNNNNNNNNNNNNNNNNNNNNNNNNNNNNNNNNNNNNNNNNNNNNNNNNNNNNNNNNNNNNNNNNNNNNNNNNNNNNNNNNNNNNNNNNNNNNNNNNNNNNNNNNNNNNNNNNNNNNNNNNNNNNNNNNNNNNNNNNNNNNNNNNNNNNNNNNNNNNNNNNNNNNNNNNNNNNNNNNNNNNNNNNNNNNNNNNNNNNNNNNNNNNNNNNNNNNNNNNNNNNNNNNNNNNNNNNNNNNNNNNNNNNNNNNNNNNNNNNNNNNNNNNNNNNNNNNNNNNNNNNNNNNNNNNNNNNNNNNNNNNNNNNNNNNNNNNNNNNNNNNNNNNNNNNNNNNNNNNNNNNNNNNNNNNNNNNNNNNNNNNNNNNNNNNNNNNNNNNNNNNNNNNNNNNNNNNNNNNNNNNNNNNNNNNNNNNNNNNNNNNNNNNNNNNNNNNNNNNNNNNNNNNNNNNNNNNNNNNNNNNNNNNNNNNNNNNNNNNNNNNNNNNNNNNNNNNNNNNNNNNNNNNNNNNNNNNNNNNNNNNNNNNNNNNNNNNNNNNNNNNNNNNNNNNNNNNNNNNNNNNNNNNNNNNNNNNNNNNNNNNNNNNNNNNNNNNNNNNNNNNNNNNNNNNNNNNNNNNNNNNNNNNNNNNNNNNNNNNNNNNNGCCCCUCGGCGCCCGCUCGGCCCUCUCCUGGGUCGGGCGCCCGUAACGCCCAGCGCCCGUAACCCGCUAUGGCCCCCUGGGCAGUUGACAGAUGGGGCCCACGCCCCUGUCUUGUUAGAAAAAAAAACGAAAAGAAAAUGUAAUUAAAAAAAUGAAAAUAAGUAAUUAGUUAUUUAAUUAAUUAUGUAACUAAUUAAUUAAUUAAAUAAGUAAUUACUUAACUUAAUUAACUCCGUUUAGUACUUAAUUAACUUGAUUAGUUAAUUAAAAUUGUUAAUUAGUUGUUAGACUAUGACGAAUGGGACCCACACGUCAGUUUGACCCAGUCAACGCCCUGUUGACUGCUGACGUCAUGCUGACGUCAGCGUACACUAUUCUGGAUAAUGUUAAUUUAAUUAAUAAUUAAUAAAUUAGAAAAUGAUUUAAAAAUUUAAAAAUUAAUAUAAAUUAAACCGUAGCUCAGAUGAAAAAACUUUGUACAUGAAAGUUGCUCAGAACGACGAGACAAAUCUGGAUACACGGCCUGUUUGUUCGUCACGCAUCCCUAGCAUAGCAAACUCGCAACUUUCCCCUCCGGCUCCUCUGCCCGAAAACGCAAAACACCGGGGAUACUUUCCCGGAUGUCAUCCCCCUUCACCGGUAUCACCUAUUACCGCGUUAGGGCACCUCUAACGCCGUUACUUGUCAUGUCAUGCAUCACUAUGCAUAUGCUUGCUUAAAUAUUUAUUAUUUCUUCCCCCUCUUCUCUCGAUAGACACCGAGACCGACGCCGCUGCUACCCAGUACGACUACGCUGUUGACGACCCUCUUUCUUGCCAGAGCAACCAGGCAAGCGCCCCCCUUGAUCACCAGAUAUCGCCUACUCUCUUCUAUACUGCUUGCAUUAGAGUAGUGUAGCAUGUUACUGCUUUCCGUUAUUCCUAUCCUGAUGCAUAGCCUGUCCUUGCUACUACUGUUGUUACCAUUACCUGCUAUCCUACUGCUUAGUAUAGGAUGCUAGUGUUCCAUCAGUGGCCCUACACUCUUGUCCGUCUGCCAUGCUAUACUACUGGGCCGUGAUCACUUCGGGAGGUGAUCAUGGGCAUAUGCUAUAUACUUUACACAGUUACUUUACCUGUGGUACUGUUCGGAGAUGGGGGCUGAAGGGGCAGGUGGUUCCACCCAGGUAGUGGUGGGCCUGGGUUCCCGACGGCCCCCGACUGUUACUUUGUGGCGGAGCGACAGGGCAGGUUCAGACCACCUAGGAGAGAGGUGGGCCUGGCCCUGGUCGGCGUCCGCGGAUACUUAACACACUUAACGAGAUCUGGGUAUUUGAUCUGAGUCUGGCCAUUUGGUCUAUACGCACUAACCAUCUACGCGGGAGUAGUUAUGGGUAUCCCGACGUCGUGGUAUCAGCCGAAGCCUUCGUGACAUCAGCGACUAAGUGGCGCGUGCCGGAUUGGACCGUAAGCCUGCUCUUGUAUUAAGGGGGCUAGUUCUGCUUCCGGCCGCGUUCGCAACGUGCAGGUGUGCAAAGGGCGAUGGGCCCAGACCCCUGCGCCAUAGGAUUUAGACCAGCGUGCUGACCUCUCUGUUGGGCCUAGGUAGGGCUGCGACGUGUUGAUCUUCCGAGGCCGGGCAUGACCCAGAAAAGUGUGUCCGGCCAAAUGGGAUCGAGCGUGUUGGGGUAUGUGGUGCACCCCUGCAGGGAAGUUUAUCUAUUCGAAUAGCCGUGUCCCUCGGUAAAAGGACGACCCGGAGUUGUACUUUGACCUUAUGAUAACUAGAACCGGAUACUUAAUAAAACACACCCUUCCAAGUGCCAGAUACAACCGGUGAUCGCUCUCUCACAGGGCGACGAGGGGAGGAUCAUCGGUUAGGAUUAUGCUAUGCGAUGCUACUUGGAGGACUUCAGUCUACUCUCUUCUACAUGCUGCAAGACGGAGGUUACCAGAAGCGUAGUCUUCGAAAGGACUAGCUAUCCCCCUCUUAUUCCGGCAUUCUGCAGUUCAGUCCACAUAUGAUAGCCUUAUUCCAAUUGAUACCAAUGCAUACAUAUGUAGUGUAGCUCCUUGCUUGCGAGUACUUUGGAUGAGUACUCACGGUUGCUUUCUCCCUCUUUCCCCCCUAUCCCUUCUACCUGGUUGUCGCGACCAGAUGUUGGAGCUCAGGAGCCAGACGCCACCGUUGACGACGACUCCUACUACACCGGUGGUGCCUACUACUACGUGCUGUCCGCUGACGACGACCAGGAGUAGUUUAGGAGGAUCCCAGGCAAGAGGCCUGCGCCUCUUUCGAUCUAUAGCUCAGUUUGUGCUAGCCUUCUUAAGGCAAACUUGUUUAACUUAUGUCUGUACUCAGAUAUUGUUGCUUCCGCUGACUCGUCUAUGAUCGAGCUCUUGUAUUCGAGCCCUCGAGGUCCCUGGCUUGUAAUAUGAUGCUUGUAUGACUUAUUUUAUUUGUAGAGUUGUGUUGUGAUAUCUUUCUGUGAGUCCCUGAUCUUGAUCGUACACGUUUGCGUGUAUGAUUAGUGUACGGUCAAAUCGGGGGCGUCACACGAUGUAUCAUCGGACGGUUCCCUAGGCUCGUCGGACAUGGAUAGCGAUCCAGUCCCGACCCCCACCUCCCCUCAUCCUGCUGACGACGCCGAGGUGCUGUCUCAAGAGGCAUCGGGUCGAGGGGAGACAGUCCUGGAGGCACCUCAAGGCGACCUUCCGGACUCCGGGAGCCGAGGGGACGGGGCCCCUAAGAGCUUCGAGUUCGGCCCUCAGCCGAACACCGCGCUGGAACCUCCAGUGGUUCCGGGCUCGGUCAGGCGGCCUCCUUCUAAGAGGGGCAAGACACCUGUGCCGGUGACCUCUGUCUAUCCAGAGGCGCCGGACAAUCUGCUGGAAGCGCUUCGCAGCGCUUCCAUCGACGAGGAGCACCGCACUAUCAUGAGUGCGGCGAUCCAGAAAGUUUAGUCCGCCAAGAGCGGAUUGACUGAAGCCUGUGCCAGCCUUCUAACAGGCUUUGAGGUAAGUGUUUUAAAAUAUAGGAAAAAUACUACUGCAUAUAUAGUAGCCCCUGAUGCUUUGUUCGGUGUUCAGAAAGAAAAGCCGAACAGAGGAUCAAAUAAUAUCGCAGGACUCUAAUAUAAGUAUGUCAAUAUGCGUAUGCAAGCCUCACUGCUGGCAUCCGCCACACUGACUGCGGAGGUCGCCCUACUGAAGCAGGACCUCGAGAGGUCUAGGAGAGAGCUCGGCCUUGUCAAGAGGCAGCUCGAGGAGAACAAGGGUAAGUAAUACCUUGUCUUUAGAUAUGUAUAUAUAAAAGAAGAAGCGAUUGCAAAAUGACAGGAUCAUCGUACAUUCGCCAGGGGCCACGACCAAGGUGGCAACCCUCAAGCAAGCGCUAACCAAGGCCGAAGAUAACGCGGCCAAGGAGCGCACCGAGUGAGAGAAGCACGAGGCUCGGGUGGGCGAGGUGCAGCAAGAGCUCUAGGCUAUCAUGGUGAAGCACGAGGCAUUGGAGCUUGACUAAAAGACGCGAGAGUCUGAGCUUUCCGCGGCCCUCGAGAGCGCAAAAAGUGCCAAGGCCGAAGCCCAAAGGGGUCUCCAGGCGGGUAUGGCUUUCUAUAUGCAAAGCAAGCAUGUAAAAGUAAAUUACCGAUUACUUACUCGAAUCCGGAGCUCUCCAGGAGCAUUCGCAGAUUUUCCACGCAGCGUGUCCGAUGCCGCACAAUUUUACCAGGCCGAGGAUGGAAGCUCAAUGGAGAAGCUGUUCUGGUAUCAGUAUGCUGAGGCCGGACACCCGGUGCCAAUGAGCGACCAGCUGAAGCAGGUGGUCGAGCUACAUAAGGCGGCCGAUCAGGCCAUGAAGGGCUUUAUAGUCCGGCUGUGGCCUGGCGACGCCCUUCCGAACAGCUUCCUCGGCCUGGUGAGGCGGCUUGUGGAUGCCUGCCCGCGGCUGGAGGUCGUCAAGCGAUCUGUCUACAUUGAGGGUGCACGCCGGGCUUUCGCCCGUGUGAAAUUGCAGUGGGUCAAGCUAGACGCCGUGAAGCUGAUCAAGGAGGGGCCGCCGGAGGGCAAGGAGCACCGCCACCCCGAGAUGUACUACGAGGGUGUUCUGCUGGGUGCCCGUCUCAUAGCGGACGAGUGUUCAAAAGAUGUAAUAUUUGAGUGAGACUUGCUCGUUUUAUCCUGUAUUUAUGAAAACUUGUUUCAUAUGCACUAUGCAACGCUUGUUUGAAUUUAGAAUAUUACCUUCUGUUUGGCCGUUUAUCAAUCUGAGAGAUGGCUAGUCCUCAGCUUCUGCCCCCAUGCCACGAGUGCUGGGGUCUUCGGGAUAAACCUGAGCACUCUUGUUCCCAUAUUUGGGUCCUUGGAGGGAGGUGCUCAGCACAACGAACAAGGAAACCCGACUAAUAAUGCUUUAUCACUCUCACUUAGCGAUAGAAUUCUAUAAUUUUAAAUUUCGGCGAAGCCCCUGGUAUUCGGAAGGCCGAAUUCGGGGCGCGAUACACGCCUUUAAGCCGGACAGGGCCGGCCCCUCGCCCUAAGCGGCAUAAGUCUUUGGGGACUCGAUAACCUCGCCGAACAGCGAUCAGUCUCUCCCCUUAUCAUGACAGUCAGUUUUAGCUUUCUCUACUUAGGUGCCGAACCCAGCAAAACCGGGGCACAAUCGCAGUAGUUCUCCUAGCGCUACCUUAGCCGAUAGAGUGGAACGUAAGGUACCAAAACAUAGGAGCCGGGCAAACCCAACAUUUGACCAAAGACAUGAUUCGGAGCUGAUGCAUAUAAUGCUAUAAGUUUGGGGUGCCGCACUUGUGAAAGUGUUCGGACUUUUCACACCGUAUUGUGGGGUACGUAAGCCCCUGGUGUAUUGGCCGUACCAAAGUGUACGGUUGCAAGGCAUCAUUAAUGAACAUAUAUAUAUAUAUAUAUAUAUAUAUAUAACAAGAGUGCAAUAAUAGUCGUAAUGUCAUGCAUUGUUUAUUCAAAAAAUUACGUUAAAGUAGGGUGAUACAGAUAGUGUGAUAAGCAAAGAGUAGGACUAUGUCCCUUCCCAAGGCAAGCUAAGGAAUGAUAUUAAAUUGAAUAUUUCGCUCGUUACAGUAAUCCACCUAGGAAUUCCGUGGUGUGACGUAGCUAUCUGCCUCCUUGGUUGCUGCAUCGUGUGUUCGGCAAUAGUGCUGCCGGACAGUGUUUCCAGAGGUUAAUGUCCUGAAAAAAAGAGAAAAAUAACCAAACGGGAAGCCCCUAGUGCGGUUUAAGCCGCGUCUUGGGGCGUGCUGCAGUUGUGCCACCCUCCCCACCUGUGCCCAUGGUAUUUUUAAUGCGUAAUUAUGUACGCGUGGCAUGAGUUUCGUCGUUGGGCUGGGAUUGGGGUGGCCGCCUUAUUGCUACGCGAGCUCAGAUCGCGCAAGGCGGUCUAUUUGCCGAUUGCUCCGAGCGCGCUUGAAGGUGUCCGGGCUUUGAAGCGCCGGACUGGUUGAUUGCCUUGAGAGGCUGCUUUGCGCUUCUGCUGCGAGGGCCGCGGUGUGCUCCUCUGUUCGGAGAGAGCACUCUGUGUUUCCAUUGACUGUAAUAACUCCGCGAGGUCCUGACAUCUUGAGCUUGAGGUAUGCAUAGUGCGGUACCGCAUUGAAUCUAGCAAAUGCGGUUCGCUCGAGCAGCGCGUGGUAACCACUGCGGAAUGGGACUAUAUCGAAGAUUAGCUCUUCGCUUCGGAAGUUAUCCGGGGAUCCGAAGACCACUUCCAGUGUAAUUGAGCCUGUGCAAUGGGCCUCUACACCUGGAAUGAGGCCUUUAAAGGUCGUUUUUGUGGGUUUGAUCCUUGAGGGGUCUAUACCCAUUUUGCGCACUAUAUCCUGAUAAAGUAGGUUCAGGCUGCUGCCGCCAUCCAUAAGGACUCGAGUGAGGUGAAAUCCGUCAAUGAUUGGGUCUAGGACUAGUGCGGAAAAUCUACCAUGAUGGAUACUAGUGGGGUGGUCCCUUCGAUCGAAGGUGAUCGGAUAGGAGGACCAAGGGUUGAACUUUGGGGUGACUGGCUCGAACGCAUAUACGUCCAUGAGCGCACGCUUCCGCUCCCUCUUAGGGAUGUGGGUUGCGUAUAUCAUGUUCACCGUCUGCAGUUGCGGGGGAAACCUCUUCUGUCCUUCGAUGUGCGGCUGCCGGGGCUCCUCCUCGUCAUCGCUAUGCGGCCCCUUGUCCUUCUUUUCGGCAAUUAACUUGCGGGCCUGCUUGAACACCCAACAAUCCCUGUUGGUGUGAUUGGCUGGCUUGUCUAGGGUGCCGUGUAUUUGACACGAGCGAUCGAGUAUACGUUCCAAGCUGGAUGGACCUGGCGUACUUUGUUUGAAUGGCUUUUUCCGCUGACCGGGUUUAGAGCCUUUGAAUCCGGCAUUGACUGCCGUAUCCUCGGUAUUUUCGCUGUUAAUGCGGCGGUUAUGUUUGUUGUGACAUGACCUGCUAUUGCCAUCCUUGGUAUCGGAGGUACCAUGGUUCUUUGAUAUGUUAUUACUACGGGCCAGCCAGCUGUCUUCUCCCGCACAAAAGCGGGUCAUGAGCGUCGUGAGAGCUGCCAUAGAUUUCGGCUUUUCCUGACCAAGGUGCCAGGCUAGCCACUCGUCUCGGAUGUUGUGUCUGAAAGCCGCUAAGGCCUCUGCAUCCGGACAGUCGACGAUUUGAUUUUUCUUUGUGAGGAACCAAGUCCAGAAUUGCCUAGCCGACUCUUCUGGCUGCUGAAUUAUGUGGCUCAAGUCAUCGGCGUCUAGUGGUCGCACAUAAGUGCCCUGAAAGUUGUUGAGGAAUGCGGCUUCCAGAUCUUCCCAACAGCUAAUGGAGUCCGCUGGCAAGCUGUUAAGCCAAUGCCGCGCUGGUCCUUUGAGCUUUAGUGGAAGAUAUUUGAUGGCGUGUAAGUCAUCACCGUGGGCCAUGUGGAUGUGGAGGAGGAAAUCCUCGAUCGAUACUGCAGGAUCUGUUGUGCCGUCGUAUGAUUCAAUAUUUACAGGUUUGAAACCUUCUGGGAAUUGAUGAUCCAUUACUUCGUCUCUGAAGCAUAAGGGGUGUGCGGCGCCUCUGUAGUGGGCUAUAUCGCGACGCAGCUCGAAUGGGUCUUGCCCGCUGUGUUCGGCCCGGCCGGAUUUGCUUUUACUGUAUCCGGCGUGACAUUUAUCGUCUCGCAGAGUUGUGCGCCCUCGUGAUCCGUAGAUCGAUCUUGCAUGCUUUGCUUUGUCCUCCAAUAUAUCUCGCAGGUCUGGCGUAUCUCCCCAUGCCUUUUUAUUUGAAUGGCGUCGGGGUGGAGGCUGAGUUUUUGGCUGGACUGCCUCUCUAUCGCGGCCACGAGGUGGCCGAUCCGGGCAGUAACCUGCACUUUGGGUAAUUCUUGGAGGGGUGCUUGAGUUUAUAUUCCUCGGCCGCGAGGACUUCAGUCCAUCUGUUAGUUAAGAGAUCUUGAUCAGCUUGAAGCUGCUGCUGCUUUUUCUUUAGGCUAUUUUCCGUGGCCAUAAGCCGGUGCUUGAAGCGCUCUUGUUCGAUGGGAUCCUCUGGUACAUCGAAUUCAUCAUCGCCGAGGCUUGCCUCGUCUUCGGAGGCGGGCGUGUAAUUGUCAUCCUCCUCCUCUCCGUCUGCCGCUCUUUCAGGAGGGUUGGCUCCUCCAUCCUCCUGCUCUAAAUCUUGCUGGAGGGGAUUAUUGUUGUCUUCGGCACUAUCCGGAGUGUUAUUAUCUCCUGUGCCGGUAUCACCACUUUUGCUUUGGCGGGACUUAGAGCGGCGCCGCUGACAUCGGCGCUUGGGUUGCUUCUUGGAGAGGUCAUCCUCCGUUAUCUCGUCGCCAUUGCCUUCUUUGGGUGUAUCCACCAUGUAUAUGUCGUAUGAUGAUGUGGCUUUCGAGUGCCCUAUGGGCGCUGGUUCAUGUUCAUCUCCUACAUCGUCGUCCAUACCAUCGAUGUCUUCGGAGUCGAAGUCGAGCAUGUCGGUUAAAUUAUCGACAGUGGCUACGAAGUGGGUGGUGGGUGGGCAUCGAAUUUCUUCGUCGUCCGCCUCCCAAUCCUGUUGGCCAUAGUCCGGCCAGGGCUCUCCUGACAAAGAGAGAGACUUUAGUGAAUUCAGAAUGUCACCGAAGGACGAGUGCUGCAAGAUAUCAGCGGCGGCGAAUUCCAUGAUCGGCGCCCAGUCGGAUUCAAUUGGCAGGGGCGCGGACGGUUCGGAGUCCGGAAAAGAGUCCGGCACCUUGGAGUCACGGGCUUUGCAGAGGAUUAGGCUGGUGUUCAACUCGAUCACCGUUGAGACUGCAGCCCCUGAGGCGGUGUCUAGCCACCCGUCCUCGACUGGCGCAGUUGGCUCCGAGCUAAGGGUCAGAGCUGAUGCGGGCGCGGCCUCUGGGGUACUGUCCGGUGGUAGAGCUAGGUCAUACCCAUCGUGACAGUGCAGCGCGCCCGGCUGUGGCUUGAAUCCGUCGAAGAUCAAGUCUCCGAGGAUGUCGGCCGUGUAGUUCAAACUUCCAAAUCUGACCUGAUGGCCAGGGGUGUAGCUUUCAAUCUGCUCCAGAUGGCCAAGCGAAUUAGCCCGUAGUGCAAAGCCGCCGAACACUGGACCGCAUCGUUGUUCAUGAUCGGAGGAGCCAUCGGGCCUAAAGGUGACGACACCGAGGAAAUCUCAAUGGAAGCACCAAUGUCGGUGUCAAAUCCGGCGGAUCUCGGGUAGGGGGUCCCGAACUGUGCGUCUAGGCCGGAUGGUAACAGGAGGCAGGGGACACAAUGUUUUACCCAGGUUCGGGCCCUCUUGAUGGACGUAAAACCCUAUGUCCUUCUUGAUUAAUAUUGAUGAUAUGUGUAGUACAAGAGUAGAUCUACCACGAGAUCAGAGAGGCUAAACCCUAGAAGCUAGCCUAUGGUAUGAUUGUAUACGUCCUACGGACUAAAACCCUCCAGUUUAUAUAAACACCGGAGAGGGUUAGAGUUACACAAGGUCGGUUGCAAAGGAGGAGAUAUCCAUAUCCGUAUUGCCUAGCUUGCCUUCCACGCCAAGUAGAGUCCCAUCCGGACACGGGACGGAGUCUUCAAUCUUGUAUCUUUAUAGUCCAACAGUCCGGCUGUCCGGAGACCCCCUAAUCCAGGACUCCCUCACCCCCACUCCCUAUCGAACCCUAGCCCAAUCGCCCCACCUCCCCCACACCCCCUCGCCAGCCUCCCCACCUCUUGAUCCCAUCUGGAUCGGGGAGGGGAUCACCCCCAUCGACCCCGUCGCCGUCGCCGGAUCGCCCGUCAGCGUCGCCAGGCCUCCUCCCCGCCGCCCGUCUCCGGCUCGCCUCCCCUCUCGCUCCUCUUUCCCGACCCGAUCAGGAUCGUGAACGAGCAAUGAGCGCGACGCCCCCCCUUCAUCGGCGCCAUCACCGUGCGCCACCACCACCGCCUGAAGACCUCGCCGUCGCUGACCUUGUGUCGUCUCCUGGUAUCCCUUCCCGACUCGCGUCCUCAAGCCAGGCCGACCCCCUUCUCGGCAAUGCUGUGAGACGCCCCCCGUUUCCCUCCUCUUUCCACCGUGUUCACCGCGCCGCCUGACGAAGCUACGUACCUAGGGUAGGGGCAUGGACCUGUCCUAAGAGCCCUACCCAAGGACAUCCCUGGAAGAAGUCACCUUUCAAUCGACUUGAAGGUACCCACUCGACGGGUUUAAGACACUCGACCAAGAAGCUACCACUCGACAUGAAGCCAAUCACUCGACUGCCAGGAGAUCUAAAGUCAUUCCACGGGCAAACGGUCGGCUAUUAAGUAGUCUUUAUGGUCAUUAUAGCACUUUAUUACCAGCAUUACCAGUAACGCCCCGCCUUAAUGUACAUUGAACCCUUGGUAACGUAGGCUGGCCGGGGUCCUGGCGCGCUCUAUAUAAGUCACCCCCUCCUCCGAGACAAGGGUUCGCACCUCUAUUGUUCACAUGCCUAUAAUCCAAUCGACCGCCUCCGGGCACUGAGACGUAGGGCUGUUACUUCCUCCGCGAAGGGCCUGAACUCGUACACCUUGGUGUGUUUACAACUUCCCAAUAGCUGAGAUCUAGCCUCUCCAUACACACCCCCCUACAUCACUGUCAGAGUUAGAACCACAAUAGUUGGCGCCCACCGCGGGGCCAGAAUCUUAGCGCUUACUUGGAGAAGUUGCGAUUCUUCUGAUCCCUUUGAUCAUGGUUUCAUGCGGAGUUUUGGUGGAGGGGCGCGAGAUCCGUCUCGGCGCGCUCACAUUCAUCGCCGACGACUCCGCUUGGUUUCAGGAGGCUCCACUCGACAUCGACGUGCUCCCCGUCCGUGGUGCGACGCACUUCCGCGCAUGCGUUCGUGGCGUCCUCCUGCGGCAGCCGUCGACCCAGUAUCGGUCGGCCCUCGUGUCGUCUCCCCGCUCUGUCUCCCUCCGACGCAAGCGCUUUGGUAGGUCGAGACUUUAGAGGUGGGUGAGGCAUGCCGUGGCUCGCCAGUCGGCCGCCCCACAAGUCGCGGCAAUCGAGCCCGACAAAUCCCUCUGCAGCCUGUUCGACUGGCUCCGCGGAGACUUCAUCCGAGUGUGACAGCAGAGACCCAGCGGCUGAGGUUCUGGCGGUCGAUGGGACACACUGUCCUCCCGGUUUCCCUCGCGCUAAUGGAGGCGCGGGUGGGGGCGACCCGUCGCAUCCCCACGAUGAGUAUCUCCCCGAAUGUCUCACGGCAUCGCAGCGAGAGGAACUUCACCGCCGGAACAUAGACGCACUCCACACUCCUAUCGUCGGAGAAACCCCCGAGGCCCGGGCCUUGGAGGACGCGCGCUUGGCUAACUUGGCUGAGCGCACUCGACUGGAGAAUCUCCAGCUAAUACUCGAUGAGCAAGCGCGCCAGUGAGCUCCCGAGUCCAGUCGACGUCAGCUCUUUCCGCCGAUGCAGGUAUAUUGAACCCUAGUUCAGAAUUUGGCCGCCGCGGCCCGUAUAGCAGAGUCAAUUCAGCCCUCCCAGUCAGAGGCUGGCAGGGGCUUGUUGCAGAUCAGAGCAUUGCUCCGGGCGGCGGGGAACCAGAAUUCCGCUGUUUCUCAGUCGCAGAAUAGGAUCCACAGUCGAUCCGUUGCAACAGAUACAGUCCAGUCGGCUCACAGCCCGAGAUCGCCCCCGAGGCGUGAGGGACAUGGAGACCGGCACGAUCAGUACAGAAGAAAUGAGCAGUAUGAUCACCGAUUCGAUCGUGAGGAUCGACGUCGAGUGCCAACCCCUCCCCCGAGGAGUGGGUCAUAUGCGCCUCGAUAGCGAGAUGACAGGCGCCCUCAUAGUGUUGGGCAGAGGAUUCCAGUCGACCCCAGGGACCCAGGCUUUGAUGCGAGAUCCAUCCUUGAUCAAGGUCUGGUUGACAGGAACGGGGCUCACCGAGAAUGCCAGGACAGAGAUGCGCCUGCCAGCAGCAGAGUGCGUGUUUCAGGGACAGAGUGUUUCAGUCGAGCCAUCAGAGCCACAGUGAUUCCUCCCAACUUCAGGUUGGCGACUGGAGUCAGCUAGUUCACCGGUGAGUCUAAGCCUGACACUUGGCUCGAAGAUUACCGAGUGGCUGUACAGAUUGGCAGUGGCAAUGAUGAGGUGGACAUGAAGCAUUUGCCUCUCAUGUUAGAGGGCUCAGCCAGAGCAUGGCUAAAUCAGUUAGUGCCCAGCAGCAUUUACACUUGGGAGGACCUCUCCCGAGUGUUUGUCACAACCUUUGAGGGAACAUGCAAGCGACCUGCAGGCCUUACAGAGUUGCGGUCUUGCACGCAGAAACCGAAUGAAACGCUGAGGGAUUACAUCCAGAGGUGGAUCACAUUGCAUCACACAGUUGAGAAUGUUCCAGAUCAUCAAGCAGUUUGUGCCUUCAAAGAAGGCGUUAAGUACAGAGAAUUGAAUCUGAAGUUCGGUCGAACUGGAGAGAUGUCUCUGAAUCGGAUGAUGGAGAUUGCCACCAAAUACGCUAAUGGUGAAGACGAAGAUCGCCUCCGGAGUGGCAAGCGCAAGGCAGUCGCCCAAGAAACCGGAGGAAACUCCAGUCAGAAACAGAAGCGGAAGGCUGAGCCAGCCGCCCCUGGGGAGGCCCUGGCCGUAACCCAGGGAAAUUUCAAGGGAAAACCCAAGGGCCCCUGGAAGCCCAAGAAAGUCAAGGAUCAAGAUGGAAAUGAUGUUUUGGAUCUGCCAUGUCACUCCACACCAAGAAAGAUGAAGAGGGUAAUUUUAUUUACCCAAAGCAUACCACUCGACAGUGCCAGCUCCUGAUCCAGCAGUUUCAGGGCAAGCAACCCAAAGAUAAGGAAAAAGAGCCAGACAGAGUUGAGGACAAGGAUGAUAGUGACGAUGGAUACCCCCAAGUCAAUUCCACCCUGAUGAUUUUUGCUGAUGUCGAAAGCAAAAGUCGACUGAAAGUCAUUAAUCGUGAAGUGAAUAUGGUUGCUCCGGCAACACCUAGUUAUCUGAAGUGGUCUCAGGCUGCCAUAACAUUCGACCAGUCUGAUCACCCUACGCACAUUGCCACCCCUGGGAGGCAAGCUUUGGUGGUCGACCCAGUUGUCGAAGGCACUCGACUGACCAAAGUCCUGAUGGAUGGUGGCAGUGGCCUGAACAUACUGUAUGCUAAAACAUUGAAAGGGAUGGGCAUUCCGAUGUCCGGGCUCAGUACCAGCAACAUGAGCUUCCACGGAGUCAUUCCCGGGAAGUAAGCCGAAUCACUCGGCCAGAUUGCUCUUGAUGUGGUUUUCGGUGAUUCAAAGACUUACCGCAAGGAAAAGUUGACAUUCGAGGUUGUGGACUUCCAAAGUGCUUAUCAUGCCAUUUUGGGCAGACCAGCUUAUGCACGCUUCAUGGCCUGACCAUGUUAUGUGUAUCUCAAAUUGAAGAUGCCUGGUCCUAAAGGUGUGAUCACUGUUACAGGCAAUCGGAAGAAGGCAGAAGAGUGUUUUCAGAAAGGCUCAAAGAUUGCUGACGCUCAGAUGGCAGUGGUUGAGCUGCAAGAGUAUCAGAAGACUGCAGAUCCGAGUGAGUUGCUACGAGCUAAGAAGCCCACUUCGGAGUCAGCUUUUCAGUAGUCUGGUGAAAUGAAGGCAGUUCACAUUCACCCGACCAACCCCGAGGCUGCCCCGACUCACAUCUCAAAGACGCUCGACUCCAAAUAGGAAGAAGUGCUCAUCCAGUUCCUCCGUGAGAACUGGGACAUCUUCGCAUGGAAGCCUUCUGACAUGCCUGGAAUAACCAGGGGGCUGGCUGAGCACCGUCUACGAGUCGACCCAAAGUUCAAGCCUAUGAAAGAACAUCUUCGACGGUCCGCCGUCCAAAAGAGGAAAGCUAUUGGCGAGGAGGUGGCUCGGCUCUUAGCAGCAGAGUUCAUCCGAGAGAUGUACCACUCUGAGUGGCUCGCCAAUGUUGUCAUGGUCCCCAAGAAGGACAAGUCGCUUCGCAUAUGCAUCGACUUUAAACAUAUCAAUCGGGCCUGCCCGAAAGAUCAUUUUCCUCUCCCUCGCAUCGACCAAAUAGUCGACUUGACCGCGGGGUGUGAGCGAUUGUCUUUUCUAGACGGCUAUUCCGGGUACCAUCAGAUCCGUCUGUAUGGACCCGAUGAGAUCAAAACAGCUUUCAUCACUCCAUUCGGGUGCUUCCGUUAUGUCACCAUGCCCUUCGGCCUCAAGAACGCUGGAGCCACGUUCAUGAGGAUGAUUCAGAAGUGUUUGCUCACUCAAAUCAGUCGGAACGUGGAAGCAUACAUGGAUGAUAUUGUGGUCAAGUCGCGGAAAGGUUCCGACCUGCUGACUGACCUUGCUGCAACCUUUGCCAACCUUAGGAGGUAUGAUAUCAAGCUUAAUCCAUCAAACUGCACAUUCGGAGUUCCGGGUGGAAAGUUACUCGGUUUUCUCGUUUCCGAAUGAGGAAUCAACGCCAAUCCCGAGAAAGUUGGCACCAUACUCCGGAUGAAGCGCCCUGUGCGUGUGCACGAUGUCCAGAAGCUUAUGGGUUGCUUGGCCGCUCUAAGUCGAUUCAUUUCUCGUCUCAGUGAAAAGGCAUUGCCUCUUUACCGACUGAUGAAGAAGUCUGACAAGUUCGAGUGGACUCCAGAAGCUGAUGCAGCGUUUGCAGACCUCAAAGCUCUGCUCUCCACCCAGCCGGUGCUUGCUGCCCCAAUCAGUAAAGAGCCUUUGCUGCUUUACAUUGCAGCCACAGGACAAGUUGUCAGUACAGUACUUAUGGUCGAGCGGGAAGAUGAAGGAUAGGCCUUCAGAGUUCAACGCCCAGUAUAUUAUGUGUCUGAAGUUUUGACACCUUCAAAACAAAGAUAUCCUCAUUAUCAGAAGCUUGUAUACGGGAUUUAUAUGACCACGAAGAAGGUUGCACAUUACUUCUCUGACCACUCCAUUACAGUCGUCAGCGACGCCCCACUGUCAGAGAUUCUGCAUAACAGAGAUGCAACUGGUCGAGUGGCGAAGUGGGCGAUUGAACUCCUUCCCCUAGAUAUCAAGUUUGAAGCAAAUAAGGCUAUCAAGUCCCAAGCAAUUGCAGAUUUCAUCACCGAGUGGAUCGAACAGCAGCUUCCGACUCAAGUUCACCCGGAGCACUGGACCAUGUUCUUCGAUGGAUCUAAGAUGCUGAAUGGUUCCGGUGCUGGGGUAGUAUUGGUCUCCCCCCGAGGAGAUAAGCUCAGAUAUGUUCUCCAGAUUCACUUUGAUUCCUCCAAUAAUGAAGCAGAAUAUGAAGCACUUUUGUAUGGGUUGCGCAUGGCCAUUUCACUUGGCGUCCGUCGCCUCAUGGUCUAUGGCGACUCAGAUUUGGUGGUUAAUCAGGCGAUGAAGGAGUGAGACGUCAGAAGUCCGGCAAUGACUGGUUAUUGCAAUGUAGUGAGAAAGCUAGAAAAGAAAUUCGAGGGGUUAGAGCUUCAUCACAUCCCCCGACUGAAAAAUCAGGUAGCUGACGAUUUGGCAAAGAUAGGCCCCAAGAGAGAAGCCAUUCCCAGCAACGUGUUCCUGGAACACAUUCAUUCGCCAUCAGUCCAAGAAGAUCCUUUUACAGAAGAAGCCCCGCAGCCGAAAAGUGCCACAGAUCCGACUGAAGUCGAAGUCCCUGCUGUGGUCGACCUAAUCAUGGAAGUCUUCGCAAUCACUCCCGACUGGACGAUACCGUACAUCGCGUAUAUCCUAAGGAAAGAACUCCCGGAGGACGAGGAAGAGGCUCGACAGAUCGUCCGCCGAUCCAAAGCCUUCACAGUCACAAGGGGACAGUUGUAUAGAGAAAGCGCGACUGGGAUCGGUCAGAAGUGCAUAACACUAGAAGAGGUUCAGAUAAUCCUUGACGACAUCCACUCGCGGACCUGUGGUCACCAUGCGUCUUCUCGGACCAUUGUGGCUAAAGCAUACCGAGCGGGAUUUUACUGGCCAAGAGCAAAUGAGAUGGCAAAAGAGAUAGUCGACCAGUGUGGAGGGUGCUAGUUCUACUCCAACAUGUCACACAAGCCUGCGUCAGCCCUGAAGACCAUUCCACUCGUCUGGCCCUUUGCUGUCUGGGGACUGGACAUGGUUGGUCCACUAAGAACAGGCAGGAGCGGUUUCACUCAUGUGCUUGUGGUAGUCGACAAGUUUACCAAAUGGAUUGAGGCUAAGCGCAUCAAGAAUCUUGAUGCUUGCACUACUAUCAGUUUCGUCAGAGGGCUAACAUUCAGAUAUGGAGUCCCGCAUAGCAUCAUCACUGACAAUGGGUCAAACUUUGAUUCGGACAAGUUCAGAGCUUUUUGCGCCUCUCAAGGCACACGAGUCGACUACGCAUCGGUCGCCCAUCCCCAGUCGAAUGGACAAGCAGAGAGAGCAAAUGGUUUGAUUCUCAAAGGACUAAAGCCUCGACUGAUGCGCGAUCUCAAGCACGCGGCAGGUGCUUAGGUCGACGAGCUUCCGUCAGUUCUGUGGGGAUUGAGGACCACCCCGAACCGGUCGACUGGAGGAACUCCAUUCUUUCUGGUUUAUGGAGCCGAGGCAGUUCUGCCGAGUGAUCUUCUUCACAACGCACCCCGAGUCGAACUUUAUACCGAAGAUGAAGCAGAACAAGCCCGGCAAGACGCAGUCGACCUACUAGAAGAAGAGAGGGAGAUGGCCAUGAUCAGAUCGACCAUUUAUCAGCAAGACUUGCGUCGAUUCCACGCUAGGAAUGUGAAGAGUCGAGCCUUCCAAGAAGGAGAUUUGGUCCUCCUAGUGGAUCAACAGAAACCACACAAGCUUGCUCCUACUUGGGAAGGCCCCUUCAUCGUCACCAGAGUCCUCCACAAUGGAGCGUAUCACCUCUACAAUGUUGAUCGCCAGAUCGAUGAGCCGCGAGCUUGGAAUGCGGAACUGCUCCGCCCCUUUUACACUUGAGUUCUCCCUUGGACGAGAUGUAAUAAGAAAAAAUUUCUGCAGUUCAUUUUUAUCAAAGGCAAGAGUGUUCCAAUAAUUGCUGUCACUUUUGUUUGCAUACGAAAUCCCCCAGUGGGUGACUUAGCUGCGAAUCCGUUUCGCCUAAGUUUGAAAAAUCCUACCGAGUGGAGAGCCAGAUUCCCACUCGGGGGCUUAGCUCCAGCCCAGUGCUUGCCUAAGUGUUCAAAAAUCCUACCAAGUGAGAGCAAUCCUCCCACUUGGGGGCUUAGCUGCAGUCCAGUACUCGCCUAAGUUCUCCCACUUAGAGACUUAGCUGCAGUCAGGCACUCGCCUAAGUUUGAAAAAAUCCUACCGAGUGGAGAGCAAUCCUCCCACUCGAGGGCUUAGCUGCAGUCCAGUACUCGCCUAAGUUCUCCCACUUAGAGACUUAGCUACAGUCAGGCACUCGCCUAAGUUUGAAAAAAUCCUACCGAGUGGAGAGCAACCCUCCGACUCGGGGGCUUAGCUGCAGUCCAGUACUCACCAAAGUUCUCCCACUUAGAGACUUAGCUANNNNNNNNNNNNNNNNNNNNNNNNNNNNNNNNNNNNNNNNNNNNNNNNNNNNNNNNNNNNNNNNNNNNNNNNNNNNNNNNNNNNNNNNNNNNNNNNNNNNNNNNNNNNNNNNNNNNNNNNNNNNNNNNNNNNNNNNNNNNNNNNNNNNNNNNNNNNNNNNNNNNNNNNNNNNNNNNNNNNNNNNNNNNNNNNNNNNNNNNNNNNNNNNNNNNNCUCUCCUUCCGAGCUACGCCACAAGUACAACAUGCGCUCUGCAAGGAGGACGAGGUGCAGGUCGACUGCUACCCUCUCCUUCCGAGCUACGCCACCAAUUCAAAAUCCUACUGAGUGGAGAGCAAACCUCCCACUCGGGGGCUUAGCUGCAGCCCAGUGCUCGCCUAAGUAUUUGAAAUCCUACCGAGUGGAGAGCAAACCUCCCACUCAGGGGCUUAGCUGCAGCNNNNNNNNNNNNNNNNNNNNNNNNNNNNNNNNNNNNNNNNNNNNNNNNNNNNNNNNNNNNNNNNNNNNNNNNNNNNNNNNAAAUCCUACCGAGUGGAGAGCAAACCUCCCACUCGGGGGCUUAGCUACAGCCCAGUGCUCGCCUAAGUAUUUAAAAAUCCUACCGAGUGGAGAGGAAACCUCCCACUCGGGGGCUUAGCUGCAGCCCAGUGCUCGCCUAUGUGUUUAGAAAUCCUACCGAGUGGAGAGCAAACCUCCCACUCGGGGGCUUAGCUGCAGCCCAGUGCUCGCCUAAGUGUUUAGAAAUCCUACCGAGUGGAGAGCAAACCUCCCACUCGGGGGCUUAGCUGCAGCCCAGUGCUCGCCUAAGUGUUUAGAAAUCCUACCGAGUGGAGAGCAAACCUCCCACUCGGGGGCUUAGCUGCAGCCCAGUGGUCGCCUAAGUGUUUAAAAAUCCUACCGAGUGGAGAGCCAGACUCCCACUCGGGGGCUUAGCUGCAGCCUAGCGCUCGCCUAAGUGUUUAAAAAUCCUACCGAGUGAGAGCAAACCCCUCACUCGGAGGGCUUAGCUGCAGCCCGGUGCUCACCUAAGUACAGGACACAACCCAAUCCGCAAGAAGUUACGCCACAAAUACAAGGUUAUUCCGAGUGAAGAUCAAGUUGCACUCGACAGAUCAAACCAUGAAGAUAUCCAACGAGAAAUCAAGUUCGGAUAAAGCCUAAAGGUCCCAGACCUCAGAUCAAAGUACUCGAGCCCUCGGCUCGGCAGAGUUUAACGGUUACAAAUCCACUCAGCAUUCCGAGGCAAAUUUAAAGUGAAGCACGACGAACUCGUCCAAGUCGAUCCCGUCUGCAAUACGAGUGGCAGCAGCGAUGAAAGUCUCCAUGAAGUCUUGAAAGCUGUGCUUCCUGGUAUUGGCAACUUGGAUGGCGGCCGGCUUUUCUUCUCGCGCCUCCUUGCAAUGGACGCGGACCAGAGACAGAGCGACAUCAGCACCACAUCUAGCAGAAGAUUUCUUCCAUUCCGCCACUCAACCCGGGACUUCAUUCUGUCGAGCCAUCAGAGACUCGAGGUCGUUCUGAAGCAUCAUCCCAGGCCAGAGUGAUGUGUCAAUCCGCGACAUCGCAACCUUCAGUCGAGCAAGAUAGUCAACAACACUGGUAACACGAGACUCCAGUCGGAGCACGUUCAUAGCAGCUUCAUCCUUCACGAGAGAAUUGGCGGGGUCCAAGCCUGGCUCCACUCGACUGGUUUCCUCUUCGAAGUUCUGGCAGAAUUCUGCAAACACGAUUCAAGAGUCAGACAUUGGCUCUACACAGGCUUGGCAACUGCAAGACAGUCGGGGCAGAGUAAUUACCUUCGAGCAUGACGAACAGCUUCUUGGUGAGUCCACCGAGAUAAGCCUCCAGAUCAUUUACCUUCCCCGCCAGCUUACCCGCCUGGUCGUGUAGAACCAUCUUUUCAUUCUUCAGUCGGCUGACCUCUUGAUUAGCUGUCUCGAGAGCAGUUUUCAGCCUCGAGUUCUCCUGUUCAAGAGUUCCGACCGAAGCCAUUUUCUCUUCUCCAAGCUUCGUUCUGCUCAAGGCCUCCUUCUGUGAUUCUGCAAGAUCUUGAUCCUUCUUCUUCAGAGCUUCUUCCAGUUUAUCUGCGGCACGUCGAGUGAAAUCAACAUCAAGAAUGGACAAGCAAGAAAAAUCACUCGUCAAGAAUGGAGAACCUCACCAGCCAUACCUUUUGCUUCUUCUUGCGCCUUCCUCAAAUUCUCUUGAGCAAGCUUCAAGUUAAGGUUGAGCUGGAUCUGCUUAUUCUCCAACUCAGUAUAGCGAGCUACAAGUUCACAGGAUUUCUGCAAAAAGAAAAAUCAGUGGACAGACGUCCAAGAUAAGUUGCUUCCCAAUAACUAAAAGACAACGAUGGCGUUUCUAAGACUAUAGCCGAAUCUAAAACAUUCGACAGUAGUCUCGGGGACUACACCCAGUGGGUGCACUCUGCGUGCCCCCAUUGUAAAAAAAGUCGACUGCCCGCAGUCGACCGGAUACAGUUCCAUUCGACAUGGCCUGACCAGACCGAAUGAAGAAAUACAGCUACAACAACACAAUAUAAAGACUACAGUCGACUGCCAGCAGUCCACCAUAGUCUCGGGGACUACACCCAGUGGGUGCACUUAGCGUUCCCCCACUCGUCCAAGAAUUGGCAGACACACCCAGUGGGUGUACAGAUAUAAAGAUCUUCAAAAAAAAAGAUUCUUCAAACAGCAUAUCGUAACAGACCAAGUGUUGAGUCGACUGACCUGGACGUUACUCUGAAGAGCCGAACUCGCGUCAUAAGCCGCUUGGCUGGCCUCCCAAGCCGCUUUCACUUGUUCCAUCAUAAUCCCCGCCUGGCGUAUGGCCUCUUUUGCAGCAGCUGCUUGGUCCUCAGGGACGGGGUACGUGGCAAAAAGCGAAGGCGGAUCCGCAGUCGACGUCAAGGGCCGCACCCUCGUCAGAGGAAUGGCGAAAGUCACAGAAGCCCGAGUGGUUUCACCACCGUCUCGGGCUACGGCCUCAGGCGCCGGAGUGGAUUGUGGGGUCUCGCCAGCCGACGCUCCCCUGUUCCUUCUCACUCUCAGCGGCACGUCAUCGUCGUCAUCCGGAAGGUUGAUAACAUGAUAAGGAGCUACAAGAAAAAAUUCAAUCGACCAGAGUUGCAAUAAGUGUCCAGUCGACUGAAGGCAGAACAUCAGUAAUCAUACCAGGGUGGAGGUAACAGCAUCCUCCAUCUCUUGGUCGUCGUCCUUGGCAGAGACCUCCGAAGUAGGAGCACUGCAAAUCUCGAAAGUCAGUCAGUUGGCUCAAUGAAUCGACCAAGGAUCUGUCCACGGUCGACAAAGGAAAACAAGUUUUGUUAUUACCCAGAAAUGGUGGGGACAGCCAUCUUCAUCUUGGGCAGAGCCUUGGGCGGCUUGGACGGCGUCGCGCGUGGGUGCUUGGGAGCCUUUCCAGUCAGCGUAGGAGAAGAGGUUCGAGGGCGUUUCGACAACUGCCCAACAGGAGCAGUCGCCUACCACGUUCCCGCGCUGGAUCAUGUGUGAGCUUGGAUCGCCUCUCCCGGUGGGGGGGGGGGGGGGGUCAACCUCCUCCUCCUCCUCUUCGCUGGAGUUGACGUCGUCGUCUCCCUCUCCUUCGCCAUCGGACUCCCACUCGCCUUGAUCGUCUCCACUCUCACAUCCGCUCGCCUCCCCUUCCUCAGUUGGCUCCUGUGCCCCGUUGGGUGUCGAGUACAUCUCAGUAGUCGCCUGGAAAACAACAGACAAGACAAAAGUUAGUCGACCAAUUCAAAGAAGACCAAUGAAGAAAACAAGAUUUCAAUCGGGAGCGUAAAGUCAGACCUGGUCCACUUCGUAUUGUUGUCGAGUGGAGAAACCCUCCUGGCGCCUCGGGGGUUGUCUUUGUUUCCUGUGAUGCUCGUCAGCCACCCCUCCAACAUCUCAUCAGUGACCUCCUCCGGGUGGAUCCGAGUGGUGUCUUCGAGGCCCGAGUACAGCCACAUCGGGUGGCCGCGAGCCUGGAGCGGUUGGAUGCGCCUCCGAAGAAAGACCUCCAGCAAGUCCAUGCCAGUCACGCCAUCACGGACGAGCUGAACCACUCGACCAACCAGCACUUUGAAUUGGGUCUUUUCUUCUGGCGUCACUUUCAGAGAAGCAGGUUUUUGAGCUCGGUCGAGAGAGAAAUGGGGAAGCCCGGUCGACUGUCCUGGGGUCACCUGGUCUUUGCAGUAAAACCAGGUCGCCUGCCAACCACGGACCGACUCUGGGAAAAUGAUAGAUGGAAAACAACUCUUUCCCCUCGUCUGGAUCGCGAGGCCCCCGCACAGCUGGAUCACUUGCGUCCUUUCCUCACUCGACUUGGCCUUCUUGACCGAUUGGGAGCGGCAAGUAAAGAUGUGCUUAAAGAGCCCCCAAUGGGGGCGGCAACCCAGGAAACCCUCACACAAGGAAAUGAAGGUAGCAAGGUACACGAUAGAGUUGGGAGUGAAGUGGUGGAGCUGCGCUCCGAAGAAAUUUAGAAAACUCCGGAAAAAAGGAUGAGGAGGCAGAGAAAACCCUCGAUCGAUGUGGGUGGUGAGAAGGACACACUCACCAUCACGGGGUUGAGGCUCGACUUCUCCCCCCUGGAGACGCGCAGCCUCGUAAGGAAUGACUCCCCCCUCAACCAUAUCGUCGAGGUCUUCCUGCCGAAUCACCGACGGCAUCCAAUCGCCCUGGAUCCAGCCUCUGGGCAGAGCAGUCCUUGAGGAAGAUCCGCCCCAAGCGGACUUCUUCCCUUUCCCCUGCACCGACGCCUUCUUCGCGCGCUCCAGAGCAGACGUCUUGCCCUUCACCAUCGUCGCCGGCGAAUCUCAAACGGGUCUGCGGCGCUAGGGUGAGAGCGGAGGUGGCGGAGGACUUCGCGAAGGGAGAAAGAAGAGAAAGAAGAGAAAGGAGAGAGCACUGUUCGGGAACCCGAGCAGGCGGCUUAUAAGAGGCCGCUCCUGAGUGGCUGACUGGUAGGCCCAGGCUAUCCCGUCAAAUCCCGCAGUAGACGCGCGCGCAGCUCGUGGCGGAAAAGGUGGCACGGGAAUCGAGGAGCUUCUGCCUUAUCACAUCCGAUUACUGCGGCCGCGCCCGUCCCGCUCGCUCCCCGAUGUUCAAAUCCCGCGAAAUCCGCGGGCUGCGGAACAACUCAUCAAAUAGAAGAUCCCUCUCGUGCCGGCACUCGGUAUUUCACAAGUAAGGAAAUUCACUCGACGGGAGACCAAGAAUGGAUCAAGGCGACCGAAAGAAGUUGACAACGUCAUCCUUGGCGAUAGAUCUAGUACAAGACGUCCAUAUGACGCUAAAAACCAGUCGGAAGGACCCCCAACUCCUUCCCCACUCGAACCUCGAUCCAUUCGGGGGCUAAUGACGAAGCUACGUACCUAGGGUAGGGGGAUGGACCUGUCCUAAGAGCCCUACCCAAGGACAUCCCUGGAAGAAGUCACCUUUCAAUCGACUUGAAGGUACCCACUCGACGGGUUUAAGACACUCGACCAAGAAGCUACCACUCGACACGAAGCCAAUCACUCGACUGCCAGGAGAUCUAAAGUCAUUCCACGGGCAAACGGUCGGCUAUUAAGUAGUCUUUAUGGUCAUUAUAGCACUUUAUUACCAGCGUUACCAGUAACGCCCCGCCUUAAUGUACAUUGAACCCUUGGUAACGUAGGCUGGCCGGGGUCCUGGCGCGCUCUAUAUAAGCCACCCCCUCCUCCGAGACAAGGGUUCGCACCUCUGUUAUUCACACGCCUAUAAUCCAAUCGACCGCCUCCGGGCACCGAGACGUAGGGCUGUUACUUCCUCCGCGAAGGGCCUGAACUCGUACACCUUGUUGUGUUUACAACUUCCCAAUAGCUGAGAUCUAGCCUCUCCAUACACACCCCCAACAUCACUGUCAGAGUUAGAACCACGACACCGCCUGCCGUGCCCCUCGCCGCACGCCCACCACCGCGCCAGCCCCCACUCUGUGGACGACCCUAGCCGCGCCCGCGCCGUGAUCCCCUUUUCCGCCCUACCUUCCCGCACUCGCCGCGGUCCCGAUGCUCCCCCGCGCCCUCUUUCAGGGGCGCCGACUGCCCCUGUCCCAUUACUCGCCGCCGCGCCUCGCCACCGCUCUACUGCUACGUUACUACUGCGCUGCGGCCGCCGCCUCUUCCCGCUGCUCCGCUAGCGCCGAAGCUCCCGGCUGGCUCUGCCACUGGUCACGUUUAACUACCGGUCUAAAUGGCCUAACCUCCCGGCAAAUGAACCCCCAGUAACCCACUGACACCGGGAGCCACAUCCCCUAAUUAACCAUUAAUAAAUUAAAACUCUUAAAUUAACAUUAGUGUAUGACAUGUGCGUCCCCUGUUAAUUAAUAAUUUACAUUAGUGUAUGACAUGUGCGUACCCUGUUAAAUAAACUGAUUUAAUUAAAAUCUAUUAACUUCGAGUCUAUGACAUAUCACUACUUGGGAAAAUCCUAGCAGUAGCGUGGGUAUUUUUCCUAUCAGUUGCGCCGGAUACCGCUCUACUGAUAAGGCACUACAGCUAACAUGUAGCAGUAAUGCGUGUCAUCCAACGCUACUGCUGUACAUGGCUAGCAGUAGCGAGCUUUAGUGCAAAGCGCUGCUGCUAAUAUCUGCAGCGCUUUUCAGCAUGAAGUGAUACUGGUAAGGGACCUCUACUACUAACUUUAUUCCCCUCGCUACUGCUAGUUUUAUUAGUUUCUGUUUUUUUCUGCAUAUUUCUUUUGUAUUUGAACAGGCUUUAUACAAUAAUAUUUAGCGUAUCAUACACAUACAAAUGUAAUCAUAGCAUAUACAUACAAAUAGUCUCGUCAAAUCAUGUCAUCAUCAUAAUCAUCAUCCAUCACAAAGUGGUCUCUCGUCAUCAUCUCUAAAAUAGCGAUACAAGUCUCGAUUACUUGCAACUACAUUGUCAUCCGUCUAAACAAUGAUAUACGCGAGAAGAGCUAUCACUAUGAGUGAGAGCGGAACUAUGCAGUACAUGAGUUUGUAUCCCUCUCUCGCAUUAGCGUGAACCUAAACUAACUACUAGUUGUCGCUCGGAAACCAGAAACCGGUACACCUGGGCCUGACACUCCGUCCACUCAUCUUAUACUCCUGGCGUAGCACUUCUGUGCCAUCGAUGAUCUAUGCACCUGCAUCGUCACAUGAGUCGAUGAUAUGCAACAUAUAUAGUUGAGCAAUAGAAACAGACAGACUUGGCAAAAAUAGAAGCAACAUAUCAUAAGCAUAAAUAACAAAGUUCAUCAUACCCAAAAUGCCCUAACUAGAGUGAUCUUCGCUAGUCGAGGAGGACGGUUUAAUUACAUCACAAAUAAUGUUUCAUCUUGCAUAACUCAAAGUGCCAUCAUACAGAAAGUAUGAACUAAACGGACACAUUGUCAUAUGUCGACAAUCACUCCAACAUGUCGUGCCAUCGAUCCAAGUCAAGGAGAUAGUCCCCGAGCUUAGUGAAAGGCUUCAGGUUGAGACGCUGAGCGGCAACGCGUGUUCGGACGUCUUCCCUCGACAUUUUUCCUUCUUCAUAGAACAUCCCUGUUUUUUCGAUGACCUCCCUCAUGAUGAUUUGGGCAAGUUCGCACUGGAAGUGAUAGAACUCAUCUUGAAGUCGAUGAUCCUCGAUAUCUCCUAAGUUCUUUGCCCAUUGCAGAAUAUGGGCAUCGCCGAAUCUAGGUGUCAUGCAAAGGUUCUGGUGAUCCCGUAUGUACUCCAUCAUGUGGUGUAGGACAUAGAAUCCAUCAUUAAGAGAAUCACUCAGUUGCUGGAUACAGCAGAAGCCGGUCUUAUGGCCGAAGGCGGGCCUGCCGUCCCUUUUCUUCUUGUCCUUGACCUCUCCACCCCGUGCACCGUAGUAAAACAUAGCACCGUCGAGAACAUACUUGAUGUGGGUGUAAUCCUUUUUUUUAAUGUUCUUCGAUGAGUCCAAGUAAAGAGCGUGGGAGUAUCGGGGGUAGAGGAUGAUGAGGAUGGUGCACCCGCCGCUGCGCAAAAUAAGUACACCUCAAAUUAAUUAGCCUCCACCGUGCAAAUGAAUGAUUGAAAUCGUAGGAAGGAUAUCCGCGUGGAUGACUUACAGGGGAUGAUAAGGCACAAGAAUCACCUCCUUGUCCUUAUUGGCACGCAUGAAAUUGACGAUGUAUUCCUCGCGUAUUCACGGUGCUUUGCGUGGACUCACAAGAAGACCUCGUGCAUGAAGUACCGAUCAGUGACACAGAUAUGAGGUAUUUGCUCAACCCCGAUGAGGUAGUUCAUGUGCAAGGCAUAAAGGUGGACGAAUGUAAAAUCCAGCUUCUUUAAGUGAAACAUGUCGAAGAUGUAAUCCAAUCGAAGGAAGAACUUGUUCGAGGGGAAUGUGUCGAUGUACGACAAUUGCAGCGACACGUUAACCACGGAGAGUGGGUAUGCUGGAUUUUUUGAGGCAAUGAGGCCUUUCUCUAUCAGCAACACAUCAUCAUGAAGUCUCCUUAUAUCGCCAAAUCAGGCCCCUAGCGCUGCUUUAGGUAGGAUUGGUUAACCGGGGAUACGCCAUAUUGCCGCACCGAGGAUAUCUAUACGGUCUUGAACCCGAGCCUGCUGAGGUGGCUGGAUCAUAGAAGCACCUUUGUUUCCUUUCCUCGGUGUCUUCCUUGGCUUCUUUGCUACCGGAAAGUCGUCUAUAAUAUGUUCAGCCUCUGGAGGCGGCAAUUCAGGCACCAACUCAUGCGCUCAAACCCUGAGUAGGCGCCAGUAUUGAGGUAUUGUUGAAUGUCAUCGUCGUCCUCAUCUAUGGCGAUGUCACUAGCGACAAAUCGAGCCUCUUCCUCACCCCGUCCGCUAUCACCCAGCACGACAGCCGACGCUAAUUGGGUAGGUGGGGUGUUGAUGUUCGUACCUAACUGCGUGCUCGUGUGUGUGCUCCCGGCCGCCUCCAGACAAAGCAGACUCUUUGACCACAACAGGACCCACCCAUUGCAACCACCAAGCCGCUGCGGGGUCUCGUCGUCAUCCCCUAGUAUCGGAGGAGCCAAAUUCUCGUGGCCCGGUUUGACACUGGCCACGAAAACUUUGAAGACAUACGGGGGGAUUGGUCGGCCAUGGAACAAUGGUUCCUUCGGCUUCAUUACCGUCACCUUCCCCACGUCCACCUUUUGGUCGCCGAUGUUGUACAAUAUGGUGCACGGGGUUACAUCGGCCUGCAAAGACACCGUGAGAUUAUACAUUUAUGGAAGAGGGCCGGUGUGACAGAUACCGUGAGGGCGUCGAGCUCAGCCAAAGACGAAGGACAGCUGAGCACGGCCGGUGUGGGAGCCGGUGUGGGAGCCGGUGCAGGUGCAGGUGCUGGUGCAUCGCUAGUCGUGCUACUCCCGAAGAAGUCAACAAUGGGAAAGUCCGCUGCAUUUUUUCUGGAUUUUGCAUGCUCCAAUUGAAAACGGCUGGAACCAAGACAAUAGACAUAUCUGCAACCACCUGUUUUGCGGCAGCUACCGUUAUCGUGACAGUCUCAGAUGAUUUCUUCUCUACUGCAAUCUCAACCUUCUUGUCGAUGUUUUCUUCAGUUAACCUCCAUCUUUCCUUUCUCUCCUCCGUGGUCUCACGGUAGCACUUCUUCCACGUGGCCCCGUCUCCGACACCGUGAACGCGUCCAUACGACGACCGAGUCUCCACUGGGAGUCCUUUCAAUAUGUUCAAUGCCCGGUUGAAUGGAGUGUCCCACUUGGGCCUCGCCAACGCCUCAGACGGCGAGUCUCUUUCGGUCGCAAUCUUGUGCUGCUCUCUCUACAAAAGGAACAAGGAUCAUUUACAAAUAUGACUAAACGUGCAGUCGAAUUGAUCAGAAACUAAAAUUACCAGCAGUCUCAUGAACUCCGUCGUGAUCGGGUCCGUCUUGAAAACCUUCUUGACCGAGUGCCAAUGGUGCCGUGCCCUGAGGACGUCAUGCUCCUACAGGACGGUGAAGUCCGCCAAGGGGUCUAGGAUGCCAGACUUUCGCGUUUCGUGUCCUCCUUGGCCCAUAUGGACCUCUUCCUGCUGUAACCACGGCUUCCGAGGUGGCGGUGCCCCAUGUUCCUUUGUUGAAACCCCUUCAUGUACUUUGACUUUGUUUUGGCAGUUUCAGCCUCGCAAGCCGCCUUGAAUAUUUCAAAGUGCUCUCCCGUGAUUGUCGGAUUAUCCUUUACAAUCUCGGAGUAGGGUUGAUACGUCUCCAAUGUAUCUAUUAUUUUUGAUUGCUCCAUGCUAUAUUAUCUACUGUUUUGGACAUUAUUGGGCUUUAUUAUCUACUUUUAUAUUAUAAUUUGGACUAACCUAUUAACCGGAGGCCCGAGCCCAGAAUUGCUGUUUUUUUGCCUGUCUUAGGGUUUCAAAGAAAAGGAAUAUCAAACGGAGUCCAAACGGAAUGAAACCUUCGGGAACGUGAUUUUCUCAACGAACAAGACCCAGGAGACUUUGACCCUACAUCAAGACACAAGGCGAAUCAUGUACGUAGCCACUAGUGAAACAUAUUAUCUUUAUUAUAUCUAUCAGAUCUCACUCUCGUAAGUGGCCGUGUUGGGAUUGACAACCCCUAUUCAUGUUGGUUGAGAGGAUUGAUUUGUUUUGUGCAAGUACAAAGGACUCGCGCGUAGCCUCCUAUUGGAUUAAUAGCUUGGUUCUCAAAAAGUGAGGGAAAUACUUACGCUACUUUGUUGCAUCAUCCCUUCCUCUUCGGGGAAAACCAACGCAGUGCUCAAGAGGUAGCAAGAAGGAUUUGCUGNNNNNNNNNNNNNNNNNNNNNNNNNNNNNNNNNNNNNNNNNNNNNNNNNNNNNNNNNNNNNNNNNNNNNNNNNNNNNNNNNNNNNNNNNNNNNNNNNNNNNNNNNNNNNNNNNNNNNNNNNNNNNNNNNNNNNNNNNNNNNNNNNNNNNNNNNNNNNNNNNNNNNNNNNNNNNNNNNNNNNNNNNNNNNNNNNNNNNNNNNNNNNNNNNNNNNNNNNNNNNNNNNNNNNNNNNNNNNNNNNNNNNNNNNNNNNNNNNNCCUCCACCCUCGUGGGCCCCCUGUUGCUCCACCGACGUACUCCUUCCUCCUAUAUAUACCUACGUACCCCCAAACGAUCAUAUACGGAGCCAAAACCCUAAUUCCACCGCCACAACUUUCUGUAUCCACGAGAUCCCAUCUUGGGGCCUGUUCCGGAGCUCCGCCGGAGGGGGCAUCAAUCACGGAGGGCUUCUACAUCAACACCAUAACCUCUCCGAUGAAGUGUGAGUAGUUCACCUCAAACCUACGGUUCCAUAGUUAUUAGCUAGAUGGCUUCUUCUCUCUUUUUGGAUCUAAAUACAAUGUUCUCCCCCUCUCUUGUGGAGAAUUAUUCGAUGUAAUCUUAUUUUUGCGGUGUGUUUAUUGAGACCGAUGAAUUGUGGGUUUAUGAUCAAGUCUCUCUAUGAAUAAUAUUUCAAUCUUCUCUGAAUUAUUUUAUGUAUGAUUGGUUAUCUUUGCAAGUCUCCUCGAAUUAUCAGUUUGGUUUGGCCCACUAGAUUGAUCUUUCUUGCAAUGGGAGAAGUGCUUAGCUUUGGGUUCAAUCUUGCGGUGUCCUUUCCCAGUGACAGUAGGGGCAGCAAGGCACGUAUUGUAUUGUUGCCAUCAUGGACAACAAAAUGGGGUUUUCAUCAUAUUGCAUCAGUCUAGCCCUCUACAUCAUGUUAUCUUGCUUAAGGCGUUAAUUUGUUUUUAACUUAAUACUCUAGAUGCAUGCUGGAUAGCGGUCGAUGAGUGGAGUAAUAGUAGUAGAUGCAGGCAAGAGCGGUCUACUUGUCUCGGACAUGAUGCCUAUAUACAUGAUGAUACCUAGAUAUUCUCAUAACUAUGCUCAAUUCUGUCAAUUGCUGAACAGUAAUUUGUUCACCCACCGUAGAAUACUUAUGCUCUCGAGGGAAGCCACUAGUGAAACCUAUGGCCCCGGGUCUAUCUUUAUCAUAUUAAUCUUCUACUACUUAGUUAUUUCCUUUGCUUUUUACUUUUCCUUUAUUUUACUUUGCAUCUUUAUCACCAAAAUACCAAUAAAAUUAUCUUUAUCAUAUCUAUCAAAUCUCACUCUGGUAAGUGGCCGUGUAGGGAUUGACAACCCCUAUUCGUGUUGGUUGCGAGGAUUUAUUUGUUUUGUGCAGGUACGAGGGACUCGCGCGUAGCCUCCUACUGGAUUGAUACCUUGGUUCUCAAAACCUGAGGGAAAUACUUACGCUACUUUGCUGCAUCAUCCCUUCCUGUUCGGGGAAAACCAACGCAGUGCUCAAGAGGUAGCAAGGGUUCCUUUUUGUCGACGAUCCGAUGUUUCAACCUUGUUUUCCAGGCGGCCAACGCGUCGCUAAACUUGGGCAUGGCGUGUUUGUUUAUCUUCUUCAUUGCCACGUCCUUAUCUGGAUCAUUAUUAUCCUUUUCAUUGCAGUCAGGGAACAAGAAUAUCUGGUGCAGCUUCUUUAGGAGGGAGGGCCUCAUAUUAUCUAUCUUCUGUAGUUUCCCAUCGUUGAUCGUGGCAGUUGUCCGUACGAUGCAACCUAUUUGAUUGCCGUAGCACGAUCGCGCUUCCUCGGGCGCUAUUGUCUCAAAAAUACCGUUGUCCAUCUCCGUGACCACCAGUCUAGUACUCAUGAGCUGGUUUGGGUGCCGUGGCCUCUUUGCUUUCGGUUCUAGACCAGCUCCGCUAGUCUCGGCGCCGGUCUCAGUCUCAUCACCGGUCUGCAUGUCGGUAUCAGUCCCCGAUGCGACAGCACAGUCGCUGCAACAUGGGUAAGGGAGACCACAUCAGUGCUGGGGUGGUCUGAAAAUUGGGACACACUUUCGCGCAUUGCGGGCCGCCUCUCAGACAGCUACUGGGGAGGCGGCGGAGUACCUGGGUGCGCGACGAAUCCCCGGGAACUCGGUGACCAACUUCCUUCCCAUGUAGCGCAUGGAGACGAUGGCGACCCCGCCGAAGAGCAGCUUAGUUGCGAGCUGCACAGCCUCGUCCACCUCCUAAGUUGGGACCUCCGCGCGAGCGUUGCGGGGCCGCCGCUCGGAUGGCUUCUGGAAGGCGCUUGUACAUGGGCACAGGGUGAAUCCCGGCAAGAGCUGGCCAUUGGUGCGCGCAAGUAGACGACGACGUCGCCGACGAAGAGCAGCCCGGCCAGCUCGCCUCACUCUCCUUUGAUUAGAAUUGAAAGAUUGGGAAGAAGCAGACUUGAGCCUGCAGGGAAAGGAUAAGGUGACGAUGCAGUCUCCACUCGUUCGGGGCGACACGCGUACUGAAUGUAUGAGAAACGCGACGUGGCAGGGACCCCAAGAUACUCCCUCCAUUUAUUUUUAGUCUGCAUAUAAAGUUUGGUCAAAGUCAAGAUUUGUAAAUUUUAACUAACUUUAUAAUAAAAAAAAUCAACAUUCACAAUAUGAAAUAAUUAUUACCAGAUGCGUCAUGAAAUGUAUUUCCAUACUAUAUAGGUUUGGUAAUGUAGAUGUUCAUAUUCUUUUAUAUAAAUGGGAAGUAGAGGCACUCUUCCAUAUAAUGAAGUUUAUAAUAUAUGUGCUUAUAUUAUACUAUAAUUGUUUGAAUAACUUAGCAUAUGUUCAGAUGUAUGAUAUCUGUAAUUUAAGCGCUUGAAUUUUACAUAUAAAUAUUUAUUAAUAAAUAUGUACCCCUAUAAUAGCUAGGCCGUGCAGUUGCACGGGUAGAUGACUAGUGAUUACAAUCUUGUUUGUGUGCAAGUCAAGCUUAUCUAGUUUACACGUAACAACUUGUAGAACAUUACAAAAUUUAUGCUUGCUAAUAACUUCUAGAACACUACAACACUUGACAUGUAAAAGGAAUUUGACGAGUCAUGGCCUACUAAAGAAAGUUACAUUACUAGUCUUAUAUCUAUCUUAAUAGACCACACAAGACUACAAAUUAAGUACCGUGACAGCCAUGAUUAUCUAGUUUAUGCGUAACAAUUUGCAGAAAAUUACAAACUUAGUUUUAGAAAAAUAGGCAAUCCAGAUUAGUGUUUGAGCUGUAAAGUGAAUAAGAUGAGUCAUGCGUGUUAUCACACCUUUUUGGUGGUGGAAUGAUAGUGCAAAACAAGGAACUUUAAUGAACAGUCCAAUAAUACACUUGUAAGUAGUGCCACCAAACAGAACAUACCAAAUGAUGAUUUUGAGAAGCAUCCAAGCACUUUCCACACAAACAAAUGCCAAUUGUGAAAGAGAUCAUUCCAUGGCAGCUAUAAAUAGCCCCGUAGCAUGACGAUCAUCCUUCCUCAUCCAUCAUUCUCAUAAGUAGAGCGCAUCAUUUAAGCCAAGCAAGCUGUGGUCAAUACAAAUCCACCAUGAAGACAUUUCUCAUCCUUGCCCUCCUUGCUAUCGUGGCGACCACCGCCACAACUGCAGUUAGAGUUCCAGUGCCACAAUUGCAGCCACAAAAUCCAUCUCAGCAACAGUCACAAGAGCAAGUUCCAUUGGUACAACAACAACAAUUUCUAGGGCAGCAACAACCAUUUCCACCACAACAACCAUAUCCACAGCCGCAACCAUUUCCAUCACAACAACCAUAUCUGCAGCUGCAACCAUUUCCGCAGCCGCAACUACCAUAUUCGCAGCCACAACCAUUUCGACCACAACAACCAUAUCCACAACCGCAACCACAAUAUUCGCAACCACAACAUCCAAUUUCACAGCAGCAGCAGCAGCAACAACAACAACAACAACAAGAACAACAAAUACUUCAACAAAUUUUGCAACAACAACUGAUUCCAUGCAUGGAUGUUGUAUUGCAGCAACACAACAUAGCGCAUGGAAGAUCACAAGUUUUGCAACAAAGUACUUACCAGCUGUUGCAAGAAUUGUGUUGUCAGCACCUAUGGCAGAUCCCUGAGCAGUCGCAGUGCCAGGCCAUCCACAAUGUUGUUCAUGCUAUUAUUCUGCGUCAACAACAAAAACAACAACAACAACCAUCGAGCCAGGUCUCCUUCCAACAGCCUCAGCAACAAUAUCCAUUAGGCCAGGGCUCCUUCCGGCCAUCUCAGCAAAACCCACAGGCCCAGGGCUCUGUCCAGCCUCAACAACUGCCCCAGUUCGAGGAAAUAAGGAACCUAGCGCUACAGACGCUACCUGCAAUGUGCAAUGUCUACAUCCCUCCAUAUUGCACCAUCGCGCCAUUUGGCAUCUUUGGUACUAACUAAGAAGAAAAUAACUCUAGUACUAGAUAUAUGAAACACCGUUUUCUCAGUCCAUGGUUUGGUCGUUGUAGCGGUGAAAAAAUAAAGUGACAUGCACUAUCAUGUAAGAACCCAAACUAUACUAGUUCAAACUUGGGAAUAAAAGACAAACACAGGUCUUGUCUACAUAUUUAUGCUGCAUCUAUUUAUAUAUUAAAAGUAAUAUAAGGUGAACCAGGAGCAAGGUAAAUAUGGUAGAAAAUUGCACGUUAAUUAGAAAUUACUAGCCCUCGAUCUGGUAAAUCUUAACAAAUAUAAUUAUCUUGACCGUUAGAUUUAUGUAACAUAUAUAAUGCUCUAGGCCUCCAACGACUGUACGUGACACAUCUGAACGCAGAUAUGUUAAAGAAAAUAUAUUUGGUAAAUGGUGGGCCUCUUUAAAAAGAGAACUUACGUACAUACACCAACUAAGAAAAACACAUACAUGUAAACGGGAAAAGGAUGAGAUUUUCUCACAUACGUGUGUUGAUGCUUAAAAGUGGCAUGAUCAUAAAGCAGCAUGCCAGGGUGAAAACCUUGCCGGGGUAAAAUCUUGCCGGUGUGAAAGCUUGCCGGUGUGAAGGCUUGCCGGUGUGGAAAGCUUGCCGGCACAGAAAGAUCGCCGGUGCUUGCCGGUGUGAAAUCUUGCCGGGGGAGAAACCUUGUCAGGGAGGAACCCUUGCCGGAGUACAAACCUUGCCGUAGUGAAACCUUGCCGGUGUGAAAGCUUGCCGGGUAGAAACAUUGCCGGUGUGGAAAGCUUACUCGGAUGGAAAACUUGCCGGGUUGGAGGCUGUGAUAGUCAAUCGAACGAGAAGUUGAAGAUGGGCUCAAAAGGUUAUUCAGAUGAUCUCGGAUGGAAAAAUGAUCUACAGGGGUUGUCUUCGUCUCGUCGAAACGAUCGAUUUUGAUAUAAAAAUCAUUCAAAUCCGAGUUCGUAUGCAAAAUUUAGAGCAAUCGGAGUGCAGCCCUGUCACGAGGCGAGAUGUGGCGCGCCCCACCAAACACAUGUCUGACGGGUAGCGCGAGGAAAUAGCCUGUGUUGCGAGACCGAUCUGACCCUCAAGAUGAUCUCUGAUCCAAAAACCUUCAACAUGAAAGUUGUUCGUCUCAUCGAAACGGUCAAGAUUGCUUUUGGGCUUGUUUUCAUCCGGGAUCGUUUACCACCGCAAAAAAGACCCGCAAGGUGCAGCCAGUUUAAACCGAACAGUUUUGGAAAGUUUGGAUAAACCAGUCCGAAUUUGACUAGGGUUUUGGACGUGAAUUGAUGUAAUUUUCUUGUAAGGAAAGCCUAGAUAAAUUCUUUGCUUGUACGGGAAGUCCAGCUGCCUCUUAUAUAUGUUGGGGGUGACGGGCGAUUGAAACAACACACAAUCGAACAAACACAUCUACUACUUUUUCGUGUUCAUCUACUUUUUAUCUCUCCCUUGUAUCUUUCUUCUCGUUCUUCGCUAGUUCUUCUUGCUGGAGGCUGCGGAUCCACGAGGCUCUAGGGGCGAGCGAAUCGACCUAGGGCAGCCCUGACGGGGUCCCUCCCGGGUGCGCGGGGUUUCGGGUCUGCAAAAGCGCCCGCCGACUGUCUUGCGUAUCACGCUAUCGGUCGGGUCUCCUUCGACGUGAGCUGCGGUGCAUCACCCCCGGCAUCGAGGGUACACGUGACGUGUUCGUGUGCGAACACACUUUUUCGCGACUCCACUGGGGACGAAGCUUUGAAUAGUCUCCAGCCUGUUCUUGCUACGAGGAGAGCGUCAUCAAGCGACUGCAUUCUACAACGGUAACAUGUAUCAUCAAUCUCCUUGCGUAGAUGCAAAUAGCCAUUAUGUUGAUGUUGCUAGAUCUUUCAAUGGACAUGUGAUGUCGGCCAGCCCUAAUGAGGAAAGGCCGACUAGUUAUUCCAUUGGAGAAACUUGGAAUUUACAGAAUCGUGACAUGCAACUUAUGAAUCUGAACUUUCGUGCAUCGGCAACAACUUUCAAUAUGCCGGUGAACAACACGAUUUGUUCGAGUGAUCAAUAUAGGACACCUCAUGUAAAAGUUUUAUCCAUCGGCAGCCGACUCGCAAUAUGCUGGUUCAUCCCCAAACAUGCCGAUGAAUGGGGGAAUCAGCCAUGCUUCUGUUAGCUAUUUGGCCGGUUAUCCUCAAACAUCAUAUACUACACCUCAUCCGAUUAAUUGUUCAGUGGCAUAUGAAACUAAAAAUAUUAAUAACACGGCUCACGUUCACGGUCAUGGACGAGUGAAUGGGGAUACUAUAGGAGCAUAUGUGUGUGACGCCCCCAAUUUAAUCGUACACUAAUCAUACACGCAAACAUGUACGAUCAAGAUCAGGGACUCACGGGAAGAUAUCACAACACAACUCUACAAAUAAAAUAAGUCAUGCAAGCAUCAUAUUACAAGCCAGGGGCCUCGAAGGCUCGAAUACAAGAGCUCGAUCAUAGACGAGUCAGCGGAAGCAACAAUAUCUGAGUACAGACAUAAGUUAAACAAGUUUGCCUUAAGAAGGCUAGCACAAACUGGGAUACAGAUUGAAAGAGGCACAGGCCUCCUGCCUGGGAACCUCCUAACUACUCCUGGUCGUCGUUCUGAGGGCAGCACGUAGUAGUAGGCACCUCCAGCGUAGUAGGAGUCGUCGUCGACGAUGGCGUCUGGAUCCUGGGCUCCAGCAUCUGGUUGCGACAACCAGGUAGAAGGGAUAGAGGGAAAAGAAGGAGAAAGCAACCGUGAGUACUCAUCCAAAGUACUCGCAAGCAAGGAGCUACACUACAUAUGUAUGCGUUGGUAUCAACUGGAAUAAGGCUAUUAUAUGUGGACUGAACUGCAGAAAGCCGGAAUACGAGGGAGAUAGCUAGUCCUUUCGAAGACUACGCUUUUGGUAACCUCCAUCUUGCAGCAUGUAGAAGAGAGUAGACGGAAGUCCUCCAAGUAGCAUCGCAUAGCAUAAACCUAACCGAUGAUCCUCCCCUCGUCGCCCUGUGCGAGAGCGAUCACCGGUUGUAUCUGGCUCUUGGAAGGGUGUGUUUUAUUAAGUAUCCGGUUCUAGUUGUCAUAAGGUCAAGGUACAACUCCGGGUCGUCCUUUUAUCGAGGGACACGGCUAUUCGAAUAGAUAAACUUCCCUGCAGGGGUGCACCACAUAACCCAACACGCUCGAUCCCAUUUGGCCGGACACACUUUUCUGGGUCAUGCCCGGCCUCGGAAGAUCAACACGUCGUAGCCCUACCUAGGCACAACAGAGAGGUCAGCACGCCGGUCUAAAUCCUAUGGCGCAGGGGUCUGGGCCCAUCGCCCUUUGCACACCUGCACGUUGCGAACGCGGCCGGAAGCAGACCUAGCCUAGUGGCGUUCCAGUCCAAUCCGGCGCGCGCCACUCAGUCACUGAUGUCACGAAGGCUUCGGCUGAUACCACGACGUCGAGUGGCCAUAACUGUCCCCGCAUAGAUGGUUAGUGCGUAUAAGCCAGAUGGCCAGACUCAGAUCAAAUACCCAGAUCUCGUUAAGCGUGUUAUGUAUCCGCGAACACCGACCAGGGCCAGGACCACCUCUCUCCUACGUGGUCUGAACCUGCCCUGUCGCUCCGCCACAAAGUAACAGUCGGGGGCCGUCGGGAACCCAGGCCCACCUCUACCGGGAUGGAGCCACCUACCCCUUCAGCCCCAACUACGAACAGUACCACAGGUAAUGUAACAGUGUAAAGUAUAUAGUAAAUGCCCGUGAUCACCUCCCGAAGUGAUCACGGCCCAGUAGUAUAGCAUGGCAGACGGACAAGAGAGUAGGGCCACUGAUGGAACACUAGCAUCCUAUACUAAGCAGUAGGAUAGCAGGUAAUGGUAACAAUAGUAGUAGCAAGGACAGGCUAUGCAUCAGGAUAGGAAUAACGGAAAGCAGUAACAUGCUACACUACUUUAAUGCAAGCAGUAUAGAGAAGAGUAGGCGAUAUCUGGUGAUCAAAGGGGGGGCUUGCCUGGUUGCUAUGGCAAGAGAGAGCGGUCGUCAACACCGUAGUCGUACUGUGUAGCAGCGCCGUCAGUCUCGGUGUCUAGCGAGAGAAGAGGGGGAGGAAACAAUAAAUAUAAUGCAAACAAAUGCAUGAUGAUGCAUGACACGACAAAGCGUGAUGCUAGGUGUGCCCUAACGCGGUACGAGGUGGUACCGGUGAAGGGGGGAAACAUCCGGGAAAGUAUUCCCGGUGUUUCGCGUUUUCGGACAGAGGAGUCAGAGGGGGAAAGUUGCGUGUUCGGUAUGCUAGGGAGGCGUGGUGGACGAACGGGUUGUCUAUCCGAGUUCGUCUCGUCGUUCUGAGCAACUUUCAUGUUGAAAAUAAUUUAAUCCGAGUUACGUAUUAAAAGAUAUGGUUUUCUAAAGAUUUUACUAAUUUCUGGAAUUUAAUUAAUUAUUUAAUUUAAUUUGAAAUUUGGAUUUAUGACAUCAGCAUGAUGUCAUGCUGACAUCAGCAGUCAACAUGGGUUGACUAGGUCAACUGAUGCGUGGGUCCAGUGGGACCCACCUGUCAUACUAUAUUAGGUUAAUUAGGGUUUAGUUAAUUGAUUAGGCUAAUCUAAUCAGGAUUACUUUGUUUAAUUAAUUCUUUAAUUAAUUAAUUAUCAUUUUAACUAAUUUUAAUUAUUAUUUAUUAAUUCAUUCAUUUUUUUAAAUUAUUAUUUUUAUUUCGUUCUCGUUUCAGGGGGGCGUGGGGCCCCGCACACAGGGCCACCGCGAGGCUGUUGCCAGCGGGCGCUGGGGCGAUGGGUGCGGGCGCACCCGAGCGGGCACUCGCCCGCAGGGCGGGAUGAGCCGCCGGCGGGCAGCGACAGGCGCGUGCCAACCGGGCGGUGGCCGCGGCUGAUAGGGCGCAGGAAGGGGAGAGGCGAGAACGCGACGCACGGGGAAGCAGCAUCAGGGGCGAGGAGCACCACGGGACGAAGCGCAGCGGGCGCCGGUCNNNNNNNNNNNNNNNNNNNNNNNNNNNNNNNNNNNNNNNNNNNNNNNNNNNNNNNNNNNNNNNNNNNNNNNNNNNNNNNNNNNNNNNNNNNNNNNNNNNNNNNNNNNNNNNNNNNNNNNNNNNNNNNNNNNNNNNNNNNNNNNNNNNNNNNNNNNNNNNNNNNNNNNNNNNNNNNNNNNNNNNNNNNNNNNNNNNNNNNNNNNNNNNNNNNNNNNNNNNNNNNNNNNNNNNNNNNNNNNNNNNNNNNNNNNNNNNNNNNNNNNNNNNNNNNNNNNNNNNNNNNNNNNNNNNNNNNNNNNNNNNNNNNNNNNNNNNNNNNNNNNNNNNNNNNNNNNNNNNNNNNNNNNNNNNNNNNNNNNNNNNNNNNNNNNNNNNNNNNNNNNNNNNNNNNNNNNNNNNNNNNNNNNNNNNNNNNNNNNNNNNNNNNNNNNNNNNNNNNNNNNNNNNNNNNNNNNNNNNNNNNNNNNNNNNNNNNNNNNNNNNNNNNNNNNNNNNNNNNNNNNNNNNNNNNNNNNNNNNNNNNNNNNNNNNNNNNNNNNNNNNNNNNNNNNNNNNNNNNNNNNNNNNNNNNNNNNNNNNNNNNNNNNNNNNNNNNNNNNNNNNNNNNNNNNNNNNNNNNNNNNGGCCUGGGGUUUGUCCUAGCUAGCAGCUGGGCCGAGUGGCCCAGUGGGGGGGGGGUUGUUUUAUUCCUUUCCCUUUUAUACCUUUUCACACUUUUCUUCUUUUGUUUUAUUUUAGUUACACAUUAAUUUUAAUUUUUGACAAAUAUAUCUAUAGCCCCUAAAAUAAUGUUUCAGAACAAUCCACUACUAUAGAAAGUUUUACCCUGAUAAAAUAGUCUAGUAUUUUAUAAAAUACCAAACUCGUUUAAAUAGUUGUUUAGCUACUAUUUAAAUCAUUUUAGUGCUUUAAAUCUUUUUACUAAAAUGUGGUUCCUCCACCAUUUGGACUUAGGAUUUAUUUGUCCCAUUUUGAACAUUUUAGUCUUAACGUUUGAAGAAUUUACCGUUUGACUCGAUUUUGAAUUUGAAUUUGAAUCGGUGUCGAACUAACACGAGAUUAGCAACAGUAACCAUCGUGACGUGGCAUCAUUAACAGAGGUUUACUGUAUAUCAAAUACCCGGGCGUCACAAUUCUCCUCCACUACAAGAAAUCUCGUCCCGAGAUUUAAGAGGGGAGUAUGGGGGAAAGAUCUGGUUACGAAAUUCUAACGAGUCUUCUCGGUCUUGCUUGCUCUUGUCGAAAUGGUCGAUCCAUUAUGUUGAUGUUUUCAUUUCUCUGCUUCAGGUCAUCAUGGUGAAGUCGUCCUUUUCUUCGGGAACUCCAACGUGCUUACGAAUAGGUAAGGGGCAGCUUGGCUACGACAGAAUGCUUAUGAGGGAAACAAUCUGGUGAUAACCCAUGAAUGAACAUAAGAUUAUCUCUCGAGUUGAACAUAUAAAAUACAUCAAGAGUAAGGUACGAAGGUACCAUGAGAAGUUUCAAACGGAUAGGCAAUCGUUCGAUGUCUGAAACAACACGCGAAAGGGGUCCAGAGCAACGAGAUUGAGUAUUGCGUCUGUUACCAGAAUAGAUCACUAGGACGGUGGUCUGUGAAUUACAUACAAGGUCACGCACGAGGAAUAACUUUAGGAACAGGGGGUGUACAGGAGAGUCAGGUUCGAUCCUGUGGAACUGUGGGUUAUGGGCCCACCAUGUGGGUUAAAGUAGGAAGGGCAGUGACGUCUUGCAAGAUCAUGUAAGCAAGGCAUGUCAGAGGAUAGCCUGUCAGCUAUGUCGACGACAACAUCGAUACCAAGGGCGAGGGACGAAGAGAACCAUUUUCCUGCUCGUUGAACGAGGCGGACCAAUAAGAAAAGUUCUCGUCCAUCAGUGGUUACCAGAAUGUCAUCAACAAAGGUAAUAGGGUCUUUCUGACAGAGUGGUACAACGAGGUGACUGCUUAUAUAAUAUAGAUUACAAGAAGGUUUAAACAGAACAAUGGAAAGGAAAAUGUGUGUAAACACACAUUUCAAGGGUAUAUCCUUCCCAAGGACAAGCAAAGCAAGAUAUCCAUGAAAGGAUAUAAUGUAGAAAACUCUUUAGGUAAGGUGAGAGAAAUUUCAUGACAUUACCCAUACAAUGGUGUUUGGAUAAAUGAGCGAGAAACAUUUAGCAUUGGGCUUCAAAUGUUCUUUGUGGAAAAUUGGAGUACCACAGACAUGCUUCGAGAUAGCGUUGGCGUGGUAUUCAAGCAAAGGUCAGACUUAGGAUGCACAAAGGAUUCAUCAGGAACAACUUAUAGAAUAAGUCUUACCAUUUCUCAAGGAAGAAUAGAUAACCUUGCUAAAAAGAAAAACUAUAACAUUAGGUCCUCCGACCAGGUGGGCUAGGCAUGCUAUCACCUUACUGGGUUAUAUUGAUAACAAUGUUAUAACUCUUGGAAAUAUGUCUCAACCAUCAUAUCUGACCGAGAUUCAGAUCCGAUUGGUGUCAGGAUACAUCAGACAUCAGGAUGCCUGAGAAGAGAAGGUGCAACACAAUUUAACGAGAUGACACUGCGAGAAUCUCAGAAAUGAUCUAUGGAAGCGAGUUCCGAAGCAAGAGUUCAUCAUUAAACCAAGGAGAGGAUGAGGGGUGGCUGAUGAACUAACGGCAAUUCAUCGAGAUUUCCAAAAGAUGGAUUUCCACAAUCAUGUGAACAAAGAGUUAACAUUUGUCAGAUCAAACAAUAUAAUGAGGUGUGCUCGAGGAAAACAUACUCAAUUAAACAUUGGUGGAAAGCUGCACCCAAAAUAUGGGCUUAGGUAGCCUGAUCAAUGUUGGAACGGUGAUUCGAUAACCAAUAUUCUAAGAAUGAAAGGUCGACCAUUAACUUCAAAGCAAUAUGGUUGCUAGAAGUACAGAAUCCAAGCAACAACGUUCACCUGUUGGUAUCCCGGUUAGAAUCAACACGGGAACCAAGAAAGAAUGAUGAUGGUGAGGAGUAUCGCUAUACCAAGAAUUCUCAAGAGGUGGAGCAAUCCUCACAACAUACAUGUCAUCAAGGACAUUGAUACUUCAAGGUAGAAUAUCAUAAAAGCUAGAUAGCAAGUUGCAUCCAUAACAUGGACAAGUUUGUGUUGGGGGAAGGCAAGAAAGUGAUCGAUGAUAACACAAAUCAUCGAGGGCAAGGAUGGUACUUUUCAUUAUGAAUUCGAUUGAUAUCCUGCAAGAGCUCAAGAUGUGGGUGCUGAUGACGACACAUUUGUCGAGAGAUUUCAUGAAGAUGUAGUCUAUCGGCGAUGACAUCAAGUCAAAGGAAUUAUGAAGCAAAAGGUUAUCGGAACCAUGGGUACGACACAAACUCAAAAUCAAGCUUGUUGUUCAAGGUGAAAGAUAUGACGAGAAAGAUCAACGUAAGCUUAGCUCAUCGUUGAAAGUUGUGUUCCGGGAAGAAGGACCAGGUAGCACAGUUAAAAUUUAGCACGGUAAUGAUAUAGCCAACCGGGCUAGGAAUGACUUGAAGGAUUAUUAAACUCAUAAGCAGUAAAAAUUACUUAUAGUUAUUGAAUCGAAGUACAGACUCGAUUCACUGUCGGUGUCCUUGAGUGUCUAACAACUCAGAACCCGGGGAAAAUUUUGGAACCAGUGAGAAAUAAUACUUGAAGAAUAACUCAUAAGAAGUUAUGCAGUUCCAUGAUAAUCUCGAGAUACCAGGGGGUAAUACUCGACGACAGAUCAAAGUAGAGGUUGGACUAGGGAUUGCUCUGUAGAAGACAAGUGCUCAAACUUGCACGAGAAAUGGAAUCAAGGAGAAACAUGGUCGAAACCUCGUCCACAGGUACAAGAUGAACUUAUAACAAGUGGACAAUUAUUUUAAGAGAAGCUUCCAUGAUAAGGUAUACAUCGUGUCCAUGGGCAUGAACACAGGGUUCAAGGUCGACUCCCACUUAUUCAACACAUAACCUUUCAUGCACCUCUCGUAUUUCAAAAAUGACAUUAGUUCUUGAAAGUUUUUACCUGGUGCAAUACCAGAUACAUAUUACCCGUGAAAUCUUUCGGGUUCACACGGAUUAGGCAAGGCGUAGGUUCAACCCAUCAGGGCAUCUUAGGAACAUAUACCACAAACUUCGGAGUAAAUAAUACAAGCUUGAAAGUAGAGCAUGGUUGACAAAAGGGGAGGAUACAAUUUACCACAGGCAUUAUGUAUCGGAGAAAGAACUCACAAGGUGAUUAAUUUUGAAGGACACUGUCGGAUAAUAAUCCAACAGUGGAAUUGGCGAUCCACAAUGGAGCUGAUGUGAGUAUCGAUACCCAAUCAGAGGAAGAAAGAAUGCAAAUGCAUCGGUUUAUAGAACAUCUGAAUAAUUCAACGUUUAAAUAGCAAAGGAAUUAUGAUUUUCAAAUCAAGGGAUCGGGAGCAAAUGCUCUGAUUAGGGAUGGGUAAGUAGAAUAGCCUUAGGGGUACAUGCGACGACAUUUGGAUUUGUUGAGAACCAGCUCAUGUUUAAAAUGACGUCUGAGCCGGAAUGAUAAUUUAAAAGGAUCAACUGAUGAUUGCGUGCAUUCGCACUCAUGUUGAGUCAAUAGGAUCAAAAAGACGAUGCCUAAGGAUACUAACGAAUAUUUCCAGACAUAUGGAAAGCAUCCAUAAUGCAAGCAGGCAAGUAUUGCAGAGCAAUAAGCUACUAAGGAUUUUUGGAGGAUCGAAUAGUAUUUUGAAGACCAUUGUGAAACACAUGAACAACUGGGGAUGAGUGGAUACUCGACAAGUGCGAGGAUUUAAUUGAAGGGGUAUUCAUGUGGCAAGGAACUGCUAGGCAGUAGGCACAAAGUAUUCUCGGAACAAUAGAGAGAAUUUUGGGGCAUCUUGUAAUAACAAGAUCAAUGAGGAAUGAUUAUAUGAAUAGCACAUGUAGGUGGUUAUCCAUAGAGGUCUAUCGAUAGAAGGGAAUUGCAAAAGCAACAGGCACAAGGUCUCGACAGAAUAUCGGAGAGUAUCUUCGAAAUCUUCUAGUGUAGUCGGCGAUCAUCUGGAUUGAAAGGGCUCUCCGGGAGAAAGUAUUUUCGAGAACCUAAGUUAGAUUUUUAGUAAAUUCAUUAAACCCGAAUAGGAGGGAGUUCAGAGUCCCAGAGCAUAGACGAGGAAUAAAAGAUCCUAAUACCACCCAAUGGCGACGUGGGCCCAUAGGCCACACAGCCAUGUUAGUAAAGGUUUUGCAAUGACUAGACUCAACUUCGGCCAAGGAGGUGGAAAGGGGAUUCCUACAGGCAGUCGGCUCUGAUACCAACUUGUGACACCCCCGAUUUAAUCGUACACUAAUCAUACACGCAAACGUGUACGAUCAAGAUCAGGGACUCACGGGAAGAUAUCACAACACAACUCUACAAAUAAAAUAAGUCAUACAAGCAUCAUAUUACAAGCCAGGCGCCUCGAAGGCUCGAAUACAAGAGCUCGAUCAUAGACGAGUCAGCGGAAGCAACAAUAUCUGAGUACAGACAUAAGUUAAACAAGUUUGCCUUAAGAAGGCUAGCACAAACUGGGAUACAGAUCGAAAGAGGCGCAUGCCUCCUGCCUGGGAUCCUCCUAACUACUCCUGGUCGUCGUUCUGAGGGCAGCACAUAGUAGUAGGCACCUCCAGUGUAGUAGGAGUCGUCGUCGACGAUGGCGUCUGGAUCCUGGGCUCCAGCAUCUGGUUGCGACAACCAGGUAGAAGGGAUAGAGGGAAAAGAAGGAGAAAGCAACCGUCAGUACUCAUCCAAAGUACUCGCAAGCAAGGAGCUACACUACAUAUGUAUGCGUUGGUAUCAACUGGAAUAAGGCUAUUAUAUGUGGAUUGAACUGCAGAAAGCCGGAAUACGAGGGGGAUAGCUAGUCCUUUCGAAGACUACGCUUCCGGUAACCUCCAGCUUGCAGCAUGUAGAAGAGAGUAGACGGAAGUCCUCCAAGUAGCAUCGCAUAGCAUAAACCUAACCGAUGAUCCUCCCCUCGUCGCCCUAUGAGAGAGCGAUCACCGGUUUUAUCUGGCUCUUGGAAGGGUGUGUUUUAUUACGGUUCUAGUUGUCAUAAGGUCAAGGUACAACUCCGGGUCGUCCUUUUACCGAGGGACACGGCUAUUCGAAUAGAUAAACUUCCCUGCAGGGGUGCACCACAUAACCCAACACGCUCGAUCCCAUUUGGCCGAACACACUUUUCUAGGUCAUGCCCGUCCUCGGAAGAUCAACACGUCGCAGCCCUACCUAGGCACAACAGAGAGGUCAGCACGCCGGUCUAAAUCCUAUGGCGCAGGGGUCUGGCCCCAUCGCCCUUUGCACACCUGCAUGUUGCGGACGCGGCCGGAAGCAGACCUAGCCUAGUGGCGUUCUAGUCCAAUCCGGCGCGCGCCACUCAGUCGCUGACGUCACGAAGGCUUCGGCUGAUACCACGACGUUGAGUGCCCAUAACUGUCCCCACGUAGAUGGUUAGUGCGUAUAAGCCAGAUGGCCAGACUCAGAUCAAAUACCCAGAUCUCGUUAAGCGUGUUAAGUAUCUGCGAACGCCGACCAGGGCCAGGCCCACCUCUCUCCUAGGUGGUCUGAACCUGCCCGGUCGCUUCGCCACAAAGUAACAGUCGGGGGCCGUCGGGAACCCAGGCCCACCUCUACCGGGAUGGAGCCACCUGCCCCUUUAGCCCCCAACUCCGAACAGUACCAUAGGUAAUGUAACAGUGUAAAGUAUAUAGUAAAUGCCCGUGAUCACCUCCCGAAGUGAUCACGGCCCAGUAGUAUAGCAUGGCAGACGGACAAGAGUGUAGGGCCACUAAUGGAACACUAGCAUCCUAUACUAAGCAGUAGGAUAGCAGGUAAUGGUAAUAAUAUUAGUAGCAAGGACAGGCUAUGCAUCAGGAUAGGAAUAACGGAAAGCAGUAACAUGCUACACUACUCUAAUGCAAGCAGUAUAGAGAAGAGUAGGCGAUAUCUGGUGAUCAAAGGGGGGGCUUGCCUGGUUGCUCUGGCAAGAGAGAGGGGUCGUCAACACCGUAGUCGUACUGUGUAGCAGCAACGUCGGUCUCGGUGUCUAGCGAGAGAAGAGGGGGAGGAAACAAUAAAUAUAAUGCAAACAAAUGCAUGACGAUGCAUGACACGACAAAGCGUGAUGCUAGGUGUGCCCUAACGUGGUACGAGGUGGUACCGGUGAAGGGGGGAAACAUCCGAGAAAGUAUUCCCGGUGUUUCACAUUUACGGACAGAGGAGUCAGAGGGGGAAAGUUGCGUGUUCGGUAUGCUAGGGAGGCGUGGUGGACGAACGAGUUGCGUAUCCGGGUUCGUCUCGUCGUUCUGAGCAACUUUCAUGUUGAAAAUAAUUUAAUCCGAGUUACGUAUUAAAAGAUAUGGUUUUCUAAAGAUUUUACUAAUUUCUGGAAUUUAAUUAAUUAUUUAAUUUAAUUUGAAAUAUGGAUUUAUGACAUCAGCAUGAUGUCAUGCUGACAUCAGCAGUCAACAUGGGUUGACUGGGUCAACUGACGCGUGGGUCCAGUGGGACCCAUGAAGGAAAUAUGCCCUAGAGGCAAUAAUAAAGUUAUUAUUUAUUUCCUUAUAUCAUGAUAAGAGUUUAUUAUUCAUGCUAGAAUUGUAUUAACCGGAAACAUAAUACAUGUGUGAAUACAUAGACCAACAGAGUGUCACUAGUAUGCCUCUACUUGACUAGCUCGUUAAUCAAAGAUGGUUAUGUUUCCUAACCAUGAACAAAGAGUUGUUAUUUGUUUAACGAGGUCACAUCAUUAGUAGAAUGAUCUGAUUGACAUGACCCAAUCCAUUAGCUUAGCACCCGAUCGUUUAGUAAGUUGCUAUUGCUUUCUUCAUGACUUAUACAUGUUCCUAUAACUAUGAGAUUAUGCAACUCCCGUUUACCGGAGGAACACUUUGGGUACUACCAAACGUCACAACGUAACUGGGUGAUUAUAAAGGAGUAUUACAGGUGUCUCCAAUGGUAGAUGUUGGGUUGGCGUAUUUCGAGAUUAGGGUUUGUCACUCCGAUUGACGGAGAGGUAUCUCUGGGCCCUCUCGGUAAUACACAUCACAUAAGCCUUGCAAGCACUGCAACUAAUAAGUUAGUUGUGAGAUGAUGUAUUACGGAACGAGUAAAGAGACUUGCCGGUAACGAGAUUGAACUAGGUAUUGGAUACCGACGAUCGAAUCUCGGGCAAGUAACAUACCGAUGACAAAGGGAACAACGUAUGUUGUUAUGCGGUCUGACCGAUAAAGAUCUUUGUAGAAUAUGUAGGAGCCAAUAUGGGCAUCCAGGUCCCGCUAUUGGUUAUUGACCGGAAGCGUGUCUCGGUCAUGUCUACAUUGUUCUCGAACCGUAGGGUCCGCACGCUUAACGUUACGAUGACAGUUAUUAUGAGUUUAUGCAUUUUGAUGUACCGAAGGUUGUUCGGAGUCCCGGAUGAGAUCACGGACAUGACGAGGAGUCUCGAAAUGGUCGAGACGUAAAGAUUGAUAUAUUGGAAGCCUAUGUUUGGGCACCGGAAGCGUUCCGGGUGAAAUCGGGAUUUUACCGGAAUACCGGGAGGGUUACCGGAACCCCCCGGGAGACUAAUGGGCCUAUUGGGCCUUAGUGGAAAAGAGAAAAGGGAAGCCCACUAGCUGGCCAGCGCCCCCCUAGAGUCCUAUUAGGAAUAGGACAAGGGGCCGGCCCCCCUUCUCUCUCUUUUUCCCCGGGAGUCCUAAUAGGAUUAGGAUUAGGGGGAGGAGUCCUACUCCCGGUGGGAGUAGGACUCCCCUGCGCCUCCUCUCUCCUAGCCGGCCGAACCCCCUGCCCCUGGCCUUUUAUAUACGGGGGCAGGGGGCACCCCAAGACACACAACUUGAUCCUUGAGAUCGUUCCUUAGCCGUGUGCGGUGCCCCCUGCCACCAAAUUCCACCUCGAUCGUACCGUUGUAGUGCUUAGGCGAAGCCCUGCGUCAGUAGUACAUCAAGAUCGUCAACACGCCAUCGUGCUGACGGAACUCUUCCUCGACGCUUUGCUGGAUCGGAGCCCGAGGAACGUCAUCGAGCUGAACGUGUGCUAAGAACUCGGAGGUACCGGAGUAACGGUGCUUGGAUCGGUCGGAUCGGGAAGAAGACGUACGACUACUUCCUCUACGUUGUGUGAUCGCUUCCGCAGUCGGUCUGCGUUGGUACGUAGACAACACUCUCCUCUCUCGUUGCUGUGCAUCACCAUGAUCUUGCGUGUGCGUAGGAAAAUUUUUGAAAUUACUGCGUUACCGAACAGUGGCAUCUGAGCCUGGUUUUAUGGUUUGAUGUUAUAUGCACGAGUAGAACACAAGUGAGUUGUGGGCGAUACAAGUCAGACUGCCUACCAGCAUGUCAUACUUUGGUUCGGCGGUAUUGUUGGUUGAGACGAUCCGGACCAACCUUACGCGUACUCUUACGCGAGACCGGUUCCCUCGACGUGCUUUGCACAUAGAUGGCUUGCGGAAGACUGUCUCUCCAACUUUAGUUGAACCAAGUGUGACUACGCCCGGUCCUUGAGAAGGUUAAAACAGAGUCUAUUUGACGAACUAUCGUUGUGGUUUUGAUGCGUAGGUGAGAUGAGUUCUUACUUAAGCCCGUAGCAGCCACGUAAAACUUGCAACAACAAAGUAGAGGACGUCUAACUUGUUUUUGCAGUGUAUGUUGUGAUGUGAUAUGGUCAAGGCAUGAUGCUGAUUUUAUUGUAUGAGAUGAUCAUGUUUUGUAACUAAGUUAUCGGCAACUGGCAGGAGCCAUAUGGUUGUCGCUUUAUUGUAUGCAAUGCAAUCGCGAUGUAAUGCUUUACUAGAUUACUAAACGGUAGUAAUAGUCGUGGAAGCAUAAGAUUGGCAAGACGACAACGAUGCUACGAUGGAGAUCAAAGUGUCGCGCCGGUGACGAUGGUGAUCAUGACGGUGCUUCGGAGAUGGAGAUCACAAGCACAAGAUGAUGAUGGCCAUAUCAUAUCACUUAUAUUGAUUGCAUGUGAUGUUUAUCCUUUUAUGCAUCUUAUCUUGCUUUGAUUGACGGUAGCAUUAUAAGAUGAUCUCUCACUAAAUUAUCAAGAAGUGUUCUCCCUGAGUAUGCACCGUUGCCAAAGUUCGUCGUGCCCAGACACCACGUGAUGAUCGGGUGUGAUAAGCUCUACGUCCAUCUACAACGGGUGCAAGCCAGUUUUGCACACGCAGAAUACUCAGGUUAUACUUGACGAGCCUAGCAUAUGCAGAUAUGGCCUCGGAACACAGAGACCGAAAGGUCGAGCGUGAAUCAUAUAGUAGAUAUGAUCAACAUAACGAUGUUCACCAUUGAAAACUACUCCAUCUCACGUGAUGAUCGGUUAUGGUUUAGUUGCUUUGGAUCACGUGAUCACUUAGAAGAUUAGAGGGAUGUCUAGCUAAGUGGGAGUUCCUAAGUAAUUUGAUUAACUGAACUUAAACUUAUCAUGAACUUAGUACCUGAUAGUAUCUUGCUUGUUUAUGUUGCUUGUAGAUAGAUGGCUCGUGCUAUUGUUCCGUUGAAUUUUAAUGCGUUCCUUGAGAAAGCAAAGUUGAAAGAUGAUGGUAGCAAUUACACGGACUGGGUCUGUAACCUGAGGAUUAUCCUCAUUGCUGCACAGAAGAAUUACGUCCUGGAAGCACCGCUGGGUGACAGGCCUGCUGCUGGAGCAACGCCAGAUGUUAUGAACGUCUGGCAGAGCAAAGCUGAUGACUACUCGAUAGUUCAGUGUGCCAUGCUUUACGGCUUAGAAUCGGGACUUCAACGACGUUUUGAACGUCAUGGAGCAUAUGAGAUGUUCCAGGAGUUGAAGUUAAUAUUUCAAGCAAAUGCCCGAAUUGAGAGAUAUGAAGUCUCCAAUAAGUUCUAUAGCUGUAAGAUGGAGGAGAACAGUUCUGUCAGUGAGCAUAUACUCAAAAUGUCUGGGUAUAAUAAUCACUUGAUUCAGAUGGGAGUUAAUCUUCCAGAUGAUUGCAUCAUUGACAGAAUUCUCCAAUCACUACCACCAAGCUACAAGAGCUUCGUGAUGAACUAUAAUAUGCAAGGGAUGAACAAGACUAUUCCCGAGCUCUUCGCAAUGCUGAAAGCUGCGGAGGUAGAAAUCAAAAAGGAGCAUCAAGUGUUGAUGGUUAGCAAGACCACUAGUUUCAAGAAAAAGGGUAAAGGGAAGAAGAAGGGAAACUUCAAGAAGAACAGCAAGCAAGUUGCUGCUCAAGAGAAGAAACCCAAGUCUGGACCUAAGCCUGAAGCUGAGUGCUUCUACUGCAAGCAGACUGGUCACUGGAAGCGGAACUGCCCCAAGUAUUUGGCGGAUAAGAAGGAUGGCAAAGUGAGCAAAGGUAUAUGUGAUAUACAUGUUAUUGAUGUGUACCUUACUAGAGCUCGCAGUAGCACCUGGGUAUUUGAUACUGGUUCUGUUGCUAAUAUUUGCAACUCGAAACAGGGACUACGGAAUAAGCGGACACUAGCAAAGGACGAGGUGACGAUGCGCGUGGGAAACGGUUCCAAAGUCGAUGUGAUCGCGGUCGGCACGCUGCCUCUACAUCUACCUUCGGGAUUAAUAUUAGACCUAAAUAAUUGUUAUUUGGUGCCAGCGUUGAGCAUGAACAUUAUAUCUGGAUCUUGUUUAAUGCGAGACGGUUAUUCAUUUAAAUCAGAGAAUAAUGGUUGUUCUAUUUAUAUGAAUAAUAUCUUUUAUGGUCAUGCACCUUUGAAGAGUGGUCUAUUCUUGUUGAAUCUCGAAGAUAGUGAUACACAUAUUCAUAAUGUAGAAGCCAAAAGAUGCAAAGUUAAUAAUGAUAGUGCAACUUAUUUGUGGCACUGCCGUUUAGGUCAUAUCGGUGUAAAGCGCAUGAAGAAACUCCAUACUGAUGGGCUUUUGGAAUCACUUGAUUAUGAAUCACUUGGUACUUGCGAACCGUGCCUCAUAGGCAAGAUGACUAAAACACCGUUCUCCGGUACUAUGGAGAGAGCAACAGAUUUGUUGGAAAUCAUACAUACCGAUGUAUGUGGUCCGAUGAAUAUUGAGGCUCGCGGCGGAUAUCGUUAUUUUUCACCUUCACAGAUGAUUUAAGCAGAUAUGGGUAUAUCUACUUAAUGAAACACAAGUCUGAAACAUUUGAAAAGUUCAAGGAAUUUCAGAGUGAAGUUGAAAAUCAUCGUAACAAGAAAAUAAAAUUUCUACGAUCUGAUCGUGGAGGAGAAUAUUUGAGUUACGAGUUUGGUGUACAUUUGAAAAAUUGUGGAAUAGUUUCGCAACUCACGCCACCCGGAACACCACAGCGUAAUGGUGUGUCCGAACGUCGUAAUCGUACUUUACUAGAUAUGGUGCGAUCAAUGAUGUCUCUUACUGAUUUACCGCUAUCGUUUUGGGGUUAUGCUUUAGAGACGGCCGCAUUCACGUUAAAUAGGGCACCAUCAAAAUCCGUUGAGACGACGCCUUAUGAACUAUGGUUUGGCAAGAAACCAAAGUUGUCGUUUCUCAAAGUUUGGGGCUGCGAUGCUUAUGUGAAAAAGCUUCAACCUGAUAAGCUCGAACCCAAAGCGGAGAAAUGUGUCUUCAUAGGAUACCCAAAGGAAACUGUUGGGUAUACCUUCUAUCACAGAUCCGAAGGCAAGACAUUCGUUGCUAAGAAUGGAUCAUUUCUAGAGAAGGAGUUUCUCUCGAAAGAAGUGAGUGGGAGGAAAGUAGAACUUGACGAGGUAACUAUACCUGCUCCCUUAUUGGAAAGUAGUACAUCACAGAAAACUGUUUCUGCGACACCUAUACCAAUCAGUGAGAAAGCUAAUGAUGAUGAUCAUGAAGCUUCAGAACAAGAUACUACUGAACCACGUAGAUCAACCAGAGUGAGAUCCGCACCAGAGUGGUACGGUAAUCCACUUCUGGAAGUCAUGAUGCUAGAUCAUGAUGAACCUACGAACUAUGAAGAAGCGAUGGUGAGCCCAGAUUCCGCAAAGUGGCUUGAGGCCAUGAAAUCUGAGAUGGGAUCCAUGUAUGAGAACAAAGUAUGGACUUUGGUUGACUUGCCCGAUGAUCGGCAAGCAAUUGAGAAUAAAUGGAUCUUCAAGAAAAAGACUGACGCUGACGGUAAUGUUACUGUCUAUAAAGCUCGACUUGUCGCAAAAGGUUUUCGACAAGUUCAAGGGGUUGACUACGAUGAGACUUUCUCACCCGUAGCGAUGCUUAAAUCCGUCAGAAUUAUGUUAGCAAUUGCCGCAUUUUAUAAUUAUGAAAUAUGGCAGAUGGAUGUCAAAGCUGCAUUCCUGAAUGGAUUUCUGGAAGAAGAGUUGUAUAUGGUACAACCAGAAGGUUUUGUCGAUCCAAAAGGAGCUAACAAAGUAUGCAAACUCCAGCGAUCCAUUUAUGGACUGGUGCAAGCAUCUCGGAGUUGGAAUAAACGCUUUGAUAGUGUGAUCAAAGCAUUUGGCUUUAUACAGACUUUUGGAGAAGCCUGUAUUUACAAGAAAGUGAGUGGGAGCUCUGUAGCAUUUCUGAUAUUAUAUGUGGAUGACAUAUUGCUGAUUGGAAAUGAUAUAGAAUUUUUGGAUAGCAUAAAGGGAUACUUGAAUAAAAGUUUUUCGAUGAAAGACCUUGGGGAAGCUGCUUACAUAUUAGGCAUAAAGAUCUAUAGAGAUAGAUCAAAACGCUUAAUUGGACUUUCACAGAGCACAUACCUUGACAAGAUUUUGAAGAAAUUCAAAAUGGAUCAAGCAAAGAAAGGGUUCUUGCCUGUGUUACAAGGUGUGAAGUUGAGUAAGACUCAAUGCCCGACCACUGCAGAAGAUAGAGAGAAAAUGAAAGAUGUUACCUAUGCUUCAGCCAUAGGCUCUAUCAUGUAUGCAAUGCUGUGUACCAGACCUGAUGUGUGCCUUGCUAUAAGUUUAGCAGGGAGGUACCAAAGUAAUCCUGGAAUGGAUCACUGGACAGCGGUCAAGAACAUCCUAAAAUACCUGAAAAGGACUAAGGAUAUGUUUCUCGUAUAUGGAGGUGACAAAGAGCUCACCGUAAGAGGUUACGUUGAUGCAAGCUUUGACACUGAUCCGGACGAUUCUAAAUCGCAAACCGGAUACGUGUUUACUUUAAACGGUGGAGCUGUCAGUUGGUGCAGUUCUAAACAAAGCGUCGUAGCGGGAUCUACAUGUGAAGCGGAGUACAUAGCCGCUUCGGAAGCAGCGAACGAAGGAGUCUGGAUGAAGGAGUUCAUAUCCGAUCUAGGUGUCAUACCUAGUGCAUCGGGUCCAAUGAAAAUCUUCUGUGACAAUACUGGUGCAAUUGCCUUGGCAAAGGAAUCCAGAUUUCACAAGAGGACCAAACACAUCAAGAGACGCUUCAACUCCAUCCGGGAUUUAGUCCAGGUGGGAGACAUAGAGAUUUGCAAGAUACAUACGGAUCUGAAUGUUCCAGACCCGUUGACUAAGCCUCUUCCACGAGCAAAACAUGAUCAGCACCAAGGCUCCAUGGGUGUUAGAAUCAUUACUGUAUAAUCUAGAUUAUUGACUCUAGUGCAAGUGGGAGACUGAAGGAAAUAUGCCCUAGAGGCAAUAAUAAAGUUAUUAUUUAUUUCCUUAUAUCAUGAUAAGAGUUUAUUAUUCAUGCUAGAAUUGUAUUAACCGGAAACAUAAUACAUGUGUGAAUACAUAGACCAACAGAGUGUCACUAGUAUGCCUCUACUUGACUAGCUCGUUAAUCAAAGAUGGUUAUGUUUCCUAACCAUGAACAAAGAUUUGUUAUUUGUUUAACGAGGUCACAUCAUUAGUAGAAUGAUCUGAUUGACAUGACCCAAUCCAUUAGCUUAGCACCCGAUCGUUUAGUAAGUUGCUAUUGCUUUCUUCAUGACUUAUACAUGUUCCUAUAACUAUGAGAUUAUGCAACUCCCGUUUACCGGAGGAACACUUUGGGUACUACCAAACGUCACAACGUAACUGGGUGAUUAUAAAGGAGUAUUACAGGUGUCUCCAAUGGUAGAUGUUGGGUUGGCGUAUUUCGAGAUUAGGGUUUGUCACUCCGAUUGACGGAGAGGUAUCUCUGGGCCCUCUCGGUAAUACACAUCACAUAAGCCUUGCAAGCACUGCAACUAAUAAGUUAGUUGUGAGAUGAUGUAUUACGGAACGAGUAAAGAGACUUGCCGGUAACGAGAUUGAACUAGGUAUUGGAUACCGACGAUCGAAUCUCGGGCAAGUAACAUACCGAUGACAAAGGGAACAACGUAUGUUGUUAUGCGGUCUGACCGAUAAAGAUCUUCGUAGAAUAUGUAGGAGCCAAUAUGGGCAUCCAGGUCCCGCUAUUGGUUAUUGACCGGAAGCGUGUCUCGGUCAUGUCUACAUUGUUCUCGAACCGUAGGGUCCGCACGCUUAACGUUACGAUGACAGUUAUUAUGAGUUUAUGCAUUUUGAUGUACCGAAGGUUGUUCGGUGUCCCGGAUGAGAUCACGGACAUGACGAGGAGUCUCGAAAUGGUCGAGACGUAAAGAUUGAUAUAUUGGAAGCCUAUGUUUGGGCACCGGAAGCGUUCCGGGUGAAAUCGGGAUUUUACCGGAAUACCGGGAGGGUUACCGGAACCCCCCGGGAGACUAAUGGGCCUAUUGGGCCUUAGUGGAAAAGAGAAAAGGGAAGCCCACUAGCUGGCCGGCGCCCCCUAGAGUCCUAUUAGGAAUAGGACAAGGGGCCGGCCCCCCUUCUCUCUCUUUUUCCCCGGGAGUCCUAAUAGGAUUAGGAUUAGGGGGAGGAGUCCUACUCCCGGUGGGAGUAGGACUCCCCUGCGCCUCCUCUCUCCUCGCCGGCCGAACCCCCUGCCCCUGGCCUUUAUAUACGGGGGCAGGGGGCACCCCAAGACACACAACUUGAUCCUUGAGAUCGUUCCUUAGCCGUGUGCGGUGCCCCCUGCCACCAAAUUCCACCUCGAUCGUACCGUUGUAGUGCUUAGGCGAAGCCCUGCGUCGGUAGUACAUCAAGAUCGUCAUCACGCCGUCGUGCUGACGGAACUCUUCCUCGACGCUUUGCUGGAUCGGAGCCCGAGGAACGUCAUCGAGCUGAACGUGUGCUAAGAACUCGGAGGUACCGGAGUAACGGUGCUUGGAUCGGUCUGAUCGGGAAGAAGACGUACGACUACUUCCUCUACGUUGUGUGAUCGCUUCCGCAGUCGGUCUGCGUUGGUACGUAGACAACACUCUCCUCUCUCGUUGCUGUGCAUCACCAUGAUCUUGCGUGUGCGUAGGAAAUUUUUUGAAAUUACUGCGUUACCCAACAACCCACCUGUCAUACUCUGUUAGGUUAAUUAGGGUUUAGUUAAUUGAUUAGGCUAAUCUAAUCAGGAUUACUUUGUUUAAGUAAUUCUUCAAUUAAUUAAUUAUCAUUUUAACUAAUUUAAUUAUUAUUUAUUAAUUCAUUCAUUUUUUUAAAUUAUUAUUUUUAUUUCGUUCUCGUUUCAGGGGGGCGUGGGGCCCCGCACACGGGGCCACCGCGGGGCUGUUGCCAGCGGGCGCUGGGGCGCUGGGUGCGGGCGCACCCGAGCGGGCACUCGCCCGCAGGGCGGGACGAGGCUGCCGAGGCAUCGACAGCGGGGCAAGCCNNNNNNNNNNNNNNNNNNNNNNNNNNNNNNNNNNNNNNNNNNNNNNNNNNNNNNNNNNNNNNNNNNNNNNNNNNNNNNNNNNNNNNNNNNNNNNNNNNNNNNNNNNNNNNNNNNNNNNNNNNNNNNNNNNNNNNNNNNNNNNNNNNNNNNNNNNNNNNNNNNNNNNNNNNNNNNNNNNNNNNNNNNNNNNNNNNNNNNNNNNNNNNNNNNNNNNNNNNNNNNNNNNNNNNNNNNNNNNNNNNNNNNNNNNNNNNNNNNNNNNNNNNNNNNNNNNNNNNNNNNNNNNNNNNNNNNNNNNNNNNNNNNNNNNNNNNNNNNNNNNNNNNNNNNNNNNNNNNNNNNNNNNNNNNNNNNNNNNNNNNNNNNNNNNNNNNNNNNNNNNNNNNNNNNNNNNNNNNNNNNNNNNNNNNNNNNNNNNNNNNNNNNNNNNNNNNNNNNNNNNNNNNNNNNNNNNNNNNNNNNNNNNNNNNNNNNNNNNNNNNNNNNNNNNNNNNNNNNNNNNNNNNNNNNNNNNNNNNNNNNNNNNNNNNNNNNNNNNNNNNNNNNNNNNNNNNNNNNNNNNNNNNNNNNNNNNNNNNNNNNNNNNNNNNNNNNNNNNNNNNNNNNNNNNNNNNNNNNNNNNNNNNNNNNNNNNNNNNNNNNNNNNNNNNNNNNNNNNNNNNNNNNNNNNNNNNNNNNNNNNNNNNNNNNNNNNNNNNNNNNNNNNNNNNNNNNNNNNNNNNNNNNNNNNNNNNNNNNNNNNNNNNNNNNNNNNNNNNNNNNNNNNNNNNNNNNNNNNNNNNNNNNNNNNNNNNNNNNNNNNNNNNNNNNNNNNNNNNNNNNNNNNNNNNNNNNNNNNNNNNNNNNNNNNNNNNNNNNNNNNNNNNNNNNNNNNNNNNNNNNNNNNNNNNNNNNNNNNNNNNNNNNNNNNNNNNNNNNNNNNNNNNNNNNNNNNNNNNNNNNNNNNNNNNNNNNNNAGUGGCCCAGUGGGGGGGGGGGUUGUUUUAUUCCUUUCCCUUUUAUACCUUUUCACACUUUUCUUCUUUUGUUUUAUUUUAGUUACACGUUAAUUUUAAUUUUAGACAAAUAUAUCUAUAGCCCCUAAAAUAAUGUUUCAGAACAAUCCACUACUAUAAAAAGUUUUACCCUGAUAAAAUAGUCUAGUAUUUUAUAAAAUACCAAAGUCGUUUAAAUAGUUGUUUAGCUACUAUUUAAAUCAUUUUAGUGCUUUAAAUCAUUUUACUAAAAUGUGGUUCCUCCACCAUUUGGACUUAGGAUUUAUUUGUCCCAUUUUGAACAUUUUAGUCUUGACGUUUGAAGAAUUUACCGUUUGACUCGAUUUUGAAUUUGAAUUUGAAUCGGUGUCGAACUAACACGAGAUUAGCAACAGUAACCAUCAUGACGUGGCAUCAUUAACAGAGGUUUACUGUAUCUCAAAUACCCGGGCGUCACAAUGUGCCUAAUAUUGCAGGAGAUGAGGUGGCUCUGGCUGCAUUAAAAUUUUUAGCCCAAAAUAAGAAGAUUAGUGAUAUUUUCCUUGAGCAACACGACAAGGGAUUGGUUCCUCAUUAUGAGGCAAUAAUAGCUAGGGUUUUGAAAGAAGACCAAGUGUUGCCGAUUGAUCAAAUUGUCGAGAGAAAAUAUUCAACAAUGAUGCAGAUGCCUUCACCUAUCAUUGCAACAUGUUAUACACCCCCUGUACAAGCGCAAAAUUUCGGCAACAUCAAUUCAUUGCCGAAAGAUCCUAAAAGUAUUGGGGGGCAAGCCGAUCCAAGCAGGGUUGAGUUUAAAGAAAAAUAUCUAGCCCAGGUGGACAAGAUCAAGCCAAAGCUCACAGGGAAUAGAGUCAACGAAUUUACUACACCUACCCUUGAGGAAUUACCAGCAGAAUAUCAACAGGCCUACGAAGCACUCAAGAAGAAACGUGGAGAGAGAUAUUUGCAAGAAUACGUCAAGUGCCUUCCUCCAUGUAGCAACCAUGUUGGCCCUUCUACACUAUUGAGGCAAGAUAAAAAAGAAGCUUUGCAAGCAAACCAGCAAAAAAGGAUUCACUCGGCUAAUACGGUGGAUUCGGUUGAAACCGGAUUGAGCAACAGGAUGUUUAAGGCCGAGUGCGUUGCAUCGUGCCAGCCGAGUGCAUCGUUCCAGACGAGUGCAUCACCAGCUAAAGCCGAGUGCAUCAAGCCAACUAUUGCCUCGUGUACGAAAAUAGAAGAUGCAAGCUUGGCUGAGCAAAGGAACGACAAACGCAACAAAUUGGUUGUGCUCGAUUUUUCUGGAUGUAAGGGAGCUUACAUGCUACCUUAUGAGUUUCAUGCUAAAGAUAUUGAUGAGCAUCAAGAACACAGUAAUGGCUGAACACAGUUCAGUUAACGAUGAACAUCAAGACCAAGAAAAUGCGGCCGAGCAAAGUUCAACUGACAAAGAGCGUCCGAGUGAAAUCCACUCGGGCAAUCCGACUGAAAUAUACUCGGGCAAUUCAAGUGAAAUAUACUCGGGCAACCUGAGUGAUGAGGCACCAGAUCCAGAAAAAGAGGAAGAGGCAUUGGAGAAUUAUUCAGAAGUGGAGCAAUGUAUUGUUCCAGUGGUACAACCAUCUUCUCCUUCCAACGUCUUCACAAAGGUACACCUAGCAGAUAGUUUACUCAAUUUUCGAUUUGGUCAAAAUCAUAUUGUUGAUGCACCUAUUAGUAAGAUUCUAAUUAAUUUUGAAAGACCAAUUGAAAUGAGUAAUCUUUUUGUUAGGAAGGAUCUUGUCACUAAUCAUGAUAGUCAACACAUGGUAUCGUUCAUAGAGGUUAAUAGUGACAACUUAUCAAAACCAAAGUUGUUCUUGUCAUGCCAACUGAACUUUGUAUUCAUAUGGACAACUUUGUUUGUUUCAUGCCUAGCUAACAUUUGGACUCCUAUGAGCCGUAUAUUCUGUAAUUAUUUUAGUUGCAGAAACAUAAAGUCAGGUCCAAAGUCCUUCGAAGCCGAUUCAAAUGCAUCAGGAAAAGAAGAUGAAUCUUUCCCAAUUGAUAAAAUUGGCGAGCAAAAAUAUGGUUUUACAACAAUGCAUAUGCCUUCACCUAAUACUACAUCAUAUUAUACAGCCCCUACACAAUUGCAAAGUUUCGGCAACACCCAUGUGCCAUUGCCGAAAGAAUCUAAAAGCAAUGGGGGACAAUCGUAUCCGAAGUGGGCUGAAAAUGAGAAAAAGAUUAAAGCCAAUUUCGCCGCUCGCCGGCAGAAACAAAAAGAAACAGAAUUGGCUCAAGUGAAAGAAGCAUUGCCAAUUGGUAGAAGCAAUGUAAAGAAAGAUGAUUCAGAACAUGAAAGUACUAAGGUUAAAAGAGCCGAAUCAAGGAGUAUAUAUUCUGAAUCCAUCAAAUGCAAAGAGGCAAGCAUUAUUGAGAAAGGGCAUGGCAAGCAUAGCAAAGCGACCAUACUUGAUUUUUCUAAAGUUAAUGGAACCUACUUCCUGCCCUAUGAGUUUUGUGCCAGAGAAAUUGAUGAACUUCAAGGACAAGAAUAAGUAGCCGAACAAAGUUCGGCCGACAAAAAUCUUCAAUGUAAUGAUGCACGAAAUCAACAAAAAGAUGAUGAAGAAGCGUUGGGGAGCCAUCCAAAGGCGGAGCAAGAUAUUGUUCAAGUCACACCACCAUCGUGCUCUCCCAACAUAUUUGAAGAGGUAUGUUUAGCAAGUAAUUUACCUAUUUUCAGAUUUGGUCAGGACUUUAUUGUUGAUGCAUCUAUUAGAAAAAUCCUCAUAAGUAAUUUUGAAAGACCAAUGAAGCAGGGUAAUUUACUUGCUAGCAAUAAAGUUGUUAUUGAGCAUAUCGGUCAACCCAUUACGCCAUUUAUAAAGACCGAUAGUGACUUAUUAUUACAGCCAAAGUUUUCCCCGUUGCUUUAUCUAAAGUUCAUAUCUAUUUGGGUAGCUUUGCUUAUUUCAUACUUGGCUUGCACUUGGUCCCAAUUGAGACAUGUGUGUUCUAACUAUUUUCGUUUUAGAAAUUUAAAGCCAAGAUUAAAUUCUGUUGAGAAAACCGAUGCUAGUAUAAUAUCUUACCCAAAGACAUCGGAGAUAGAUUGCAAAACACAAUGCAUAGCCGAAUGGUGUGAUGCAAAAUCUGAACCAUUCGUUUGCUUCAUUCCGAAGCCGUUCUCACAGCAAGAUCGGCUAGAAAACAAGAAGUAUACCUUCAAUUCAAGCAUGUGUGUUCAAAUAUUUGAUUUGUUGCUGAAAAAUAAUUACAUUACAAUUCUUGAUCACCAUGUUAAGCCAUCAAUCCAAGGACGAAUGUAUUGUAAGUUGCAUGAUUCGUCCAAGCAUAAUUUUGAGGAUUGCAACAUGUUUCGUCAAAUAGUUAAAUCGGCCAUUGAAAAAGGACGAUUGAAGUUUGUUGAAACACCAAGAGAUGACCAGUCUAUUCCGAUUGGUCCCGAUGGCAAAAAGUUUUUGCAUCGACUGCUUCAAGCCGAUCCAUUUAAAGAGAAGGUAAAAACUGCAGGUGAUGGGAUCAAGCUUUCAAGUAAAGAAGUUGUUGAAGAGCAUAAUGAACAUAAUCUUGAGGGUGAGAAUUCCAUCCAAGCUACAAUGGAGACGCCAAGGACUGGGGGGCAGCAAGCAAAUCCAACGAUCGAUGAAAGAAAACCAAAAGAAAACAAAGGCCGAAAUAAGCGCAAGUGUAAAAGAUCAAAAAUCACCUUCGAUGAACUAUUUGAGAAAUAUCAAAAGAAGAGUGAAGAGAAGAAUGCUUAUCGGCCCAAUCAUGCAAAGAAACCAAGAUCACCCCCAAGGCGCAAAUAUGAGGAUCGGUAUUGGCAAUGUGAGAGUUUCAAUGCAACAUAUUCAUAUCCUUAUUUUGGGCCGCCAAUGCCAAUGCCGUGGAUGCCUCCCUAUGCUCAUGUAGAUCCAUAUUCAUCAUGGGACAGGUAUGAUACAAGGGCACAUUCUCCAUCUUAUUUUAGACCAUCUCACCAAUAUUAUGCAGCUCCGAGAAGAUCAACAUUUGAACAGUCACAUGUUAAAGACCGUUUCAAUUAUAAGGAAUCGGUCCGGACACCAUGGAUGAAAAAAGAGGUGGUCAAGCAAGUCUACCGCGUGAAACUAUGAAGGACCGAGCCGAAGGAUUCAACAUCUUUGGUCUACACAUUAUCCAAAUUCUUCAACUAUGUCGUUAACGCCUAUGCCAUGGAAUUCGUCAUCAGGUAUGAUCGGUAACCCUCAAUGGGCUUAUUUUAAUCCAUGGAUGCAAUAUAAUUUCUUACGUCAUGAAAGGGUAUUACCAAGUCACUAUACAUUUGAUUAGCUACAAGUUUGUUGCUGAUCCAAAGGGCCGAAAUACUUGAUUUGUCAUUUCAUUUGUUUAUUUCGGCUAUAUGUGCUUUGAAUGAAGUUUAGAUGGUAAUGGCCGAUGAUAUUUAUCUAUCGUCCUAAGAGUAUGUCAAUGCAUGGCAGGUGUAGUAUUCUAAUAUCGUCCUUAGUUUGAUUGGUGAGCGAGACAAUGUACAUGCUCAUGAAAAUUUAUAUGUAUGCCUAUAUUAUGAUUGAAUGGAGUUGAGACAUCAUGACCGAUGUCAUUGAAUAUAUGCUGCAUAGACCAAUUCAUAGCUGCGGAAUUGGUUGAUGGGCUUAUACUUUGUUUGGAUAUGAUUUGGCUUAUGCAUCUUUGAGAUCUAUAAGAGGCCAAAUCAUAGUUGAUUUUGUUACUGAACAUCGGAUUAGUGUCAUGCAUAAUAUUAAUAUUAGCCUUGUCUCUCUAGUACUAUGGAGAUUAUGUUUUGAUGGUUCAAUUCAUAGCAAUGGCCAAAGUGUUGGUGUUGUUUAUAUAUUUCUUUAUGGUACUAUUUUUUGAAGCCUCGUGCCGCUUAGAAUAUUUUUAUGCACGAUUAAUCAAGGCCGAAUAUGCAUUGUUAUUCGGAUUGACUCUUUUACUUGCUAUAGGUGUUAUACAUAUUGAGGCUUUUGGUGAUUCGUUCUGAGUAGUGCAACAAAUAUCCAAGGAUUAUCAAUGUGUUUUACCGAAUCACUUAUAGUUUAUCUUGGGCUAUGUCUAGAUGAAGAAUUUACCUUGGGUUGCAUUCAAAUUGUUCAUAUAUUUAGACAUGGCAAUUGGAGAGAGUUGGCAUAGCAAGCAUCCGGCUACCAUGUCCAUCAUGUUGUAUUGCAUUUCUCUCAAUAGCCGAUGCUUAGUCUUGUCAACAUAGGUAAGGUCGAACCGAAGUCCAGAACUUCGGCCACUAAUGAAAUUUUUAUGCAGGCCAAAGUAAGGAUUGGAGAAAGUUUAUUGUUGAUUGUCUACAAAAUCCUAGCAAAAGGGUGAACAAUAUGGUUCGGAGGAUGACAUUGAGAUACAUAUCUAUGGAACUUUAUCACCGGAUUGUUAAUGAAGCUGAGAAGGUUUCACCCGAGUUUGCAUCAGAAAGUUCACACAAGACAUGGCCGAUAUAUACUUAUCGUCCUAAGAACAUAUAAAUGGCCGAUGGAGUGUUGACAUCGUCCUUAGAACAAACUUGGUACAAGUAUUUUUCGACACGCUAGGUUUACCGAAAAACAGUGGGGCAUGUGUUGACGCUCAAAAGUGGCACGAUCAUAAAGCAGCAUGCUGGGGCGAAAACCUUGCCGGGGUAAAAUCUUGCCGGUGUGAAAGCUUGCCGGUGUGAAAGCUUGCCGGUGUGAAGGCUUGCCGGCGUGGAAAGCUUGCCGGCACAGAAAGAUCGCCGGUGCUUGCCGGUGUGAAAUCUUGCCGAGGGAGAAACCUUGUCAGGAAGGAACCCUUGCCGGAGUACAAACCUUGCCGGAGUGAAACCUUGCCUGUGUGAAAGCUUGCCGGGUAGAAACAUUGCCGGUGUGGAAAGCUUACUCGGACGGAAAACUUGCCGGGUUGGAGGCUGUGAUAGUCAAUCGAACGAGAAGUUGAAGAUGGGCUCAAAAGGUUAUUCAGAUGAUCUCGGAUGGAAAAAUGAUCUACACGGGUUGUCUUCGUCUCGUCGAAACGAUCGAUUUUGGUAUAAAAAUCAUUCAAAUUCGAGUUUGUAUGCAAAAGUUAGAGCAAUCGGAGUGCAGCCCUGUCACGAGGCGAGAUGUGGCGUGCCCCACCAGACACAUGUCUGACGGGUAGUGCGAGGAAAUAGCCUGUGUUGCGAGACCGAUCUGACCCUCAAGAUGAUCUCUGAUCAAAACACCUUCAACAUGAAAGCUGUUCGUCUCGUCGAAACGGUCAAGAUUGCUUUUGGGCUUGUUUUCAUCCGGGAUCGUUUACCACUGCCAAAAAGACCCGCAAUGUGCAGCCAGUUUAAACCGAACAGUUUUGGAAAGUUCAGAUAAACCAGUCCGAAUUUGACUAGGGUUUUGUACGUGAAUUGAUGUAAUUUUCUUGUAAGGAAAGCCGAGAUAAAUUCUUUGCUUGUACGGGAAGUCCAGCCGCCUCUUAUAUAUGUUGGGGGUGACGGCCGAUUGAAACAACACACAAUCGAACAAACACAUCUACUACCUUUUCAUGUUCAUCUACUUUUUAUCUCUCCCUUGUAUCUUUCUUCUCGUUCUUCGCUAGUUCUUCAUGCUGGAGGGCUGCGGAUCCACGAGGCUUUAGGGCCUAGCUAGCGAAUCGACCUAGGGCAGCCCAUAGCCGCCGCAAUCCCUGACGGGGUCCCUCUCGGGUGCGCGGGGUUUCGGGUCUGCAAAAGCGCCCGCCGACUGUCUUGCGUAUCGCGCUGUCGGUCGGGUCUCCUUCGACGUGAGCUGCGGUGCAUCACCCCUGGCGUCGAGGAUACAUGUGACGUGUUCGUGUGCGAACAACGUGCUCCCUGGCUCCACCCCAUUGAAAAAAUAUACAUCUGGAGGCUGCUUUGUUUCCUCAUCAAAAAAAACUUACGUUAAAAAGAUUGCAUGCAUCCCAGGAAAAAUAAUCAAGAAGUCGGACUCAUCCUUACAAAAACAAGGAACGUGUUAAGUUGACUUCAAAGAAAAAAGGAACAUGUUAAGUUAAAAAAAACAAGAAACCUGUUAAGUUAGAAAAAAACAAGGAACGUGUUGUCCUAGGAAAGAUAUGUGUCAAAUCUUACAAAAAAAAGAAUACACACACGUACGUUCAUGCACUUGGAAAAUAGAAAAAAAAGAACAUCACGUAUGUAUACACUUUGGAAACUCAUUACAUGACCAUGUCUGAUAUACUCCUCUAAUGCUUAACAUUAGUGCCUAAUAAUUUAUAUUUAAAAUUUAAUUUACUGAUCAAAUAUCCCCACUGUUUAAAUUUUAAUUUGGCACAUUGUUUGACUACAGUAUGAACCUAAAUUUCCUCUUAUUAAUAUAUAUCAUGGUAAUAAUCCAAAGGCGACUAAUCUGCGCCGGUGCACCGGCGCAAUCAAUUUGGCCGGACACAGCGCGGCCUUUUGAUUAGAUUGCAUUUAACCAUCAGAUCUGGAAUCGUUUUCUUUCCAAUUAAACGGAUUCAACCAAACAGCAGAGGGGAAAACAAAGCAGCGCCGCCGCCAACACUAGCCAUGGACGAUCGAUGUACCAAAACCUUGAAUAACUGCCGCCGGUCGCCACCCUCGCCGCUGGUGGCCGCCCUCGCCGUCGGUCACCGCCGAUCACCGCCCUCGCUGCCUGCGUUUCUCAUCGGCUUCAUGCAUGCAACAGCAUGCAGUCGUGGUUGCAGGCUUGCAGCUCCGGCUCCGGGGGACAUGGCCGCAUCUCCGGUAACGCCAGCCGCCGACCGCAGCACCUGUCGUUAUGGUCGCGUUGUACCUCGCCGUGUGCCCUCCCGAGGCUCUUGCUGGUUCCAACAAAAAACAAUACGUGUUGUAGCAAAAAAGUUUAUCGCUUCCAGCAAAAAAGCUUACCGCUACAGCCCGCCAUCGUCAUUGUAGCAAAAAUGUUAACCCGAUGUAGCUUUUGUGGUUGCCGACUGCAACAAAAAAUGACGUGGUUGUAGCAAAACACAAAAGAAAAAUGCCGGCCGGCCGCUGUGUAUGGUGGUAACAAACCCUAUAGCCGGUGGUAGCGAAAAACUUCAUAGUUUGCAGCAAAAAAAUGUUGUCGCCCGUCGUCGAGGUUGCAUCGUCUUCAUGAAUUAUGUCGCAAAAAAACAUUGUCGCCGGUAGUAGCAAAUGAAGCCGCCGGUAGUAGCAAAACAAGACACUGGUUCCAGCCAAAAAAUAAAUCAGCGACAGAACCUUUGGUUGGUUACAACAAAAAAACUUGUCGGUUGUAACAUCCCUCGCCGCCGGAUGUAGCAUCUCCCGGGGCUGGUUGCAACACUCCAUAAAAAAAAUGUUGUCUAUGAGCGCAUCCAUGGCGACUGCUGCACCAUCAGCAACGAGGGGAAGAGGAGGCAAUGAAAAUCGUUCGAGUCGUAGCUCCACAGGACGCGGCUGCAGCAUGGGGAGUCCAAAAAUCUGUCACAAGCAACAUGCGCCUCACCAUCCUCCUGCGCAGGAGAGAGAAGAAAAAGGAAUAAGAGGAAGAAGAAAGGAAACGGGAGGAAGAAAAAAGAAACGAUUGGUGGUGGGCUGAGGCAAUUAGUCAAACGAGGGGCACGCGGGGCCGCAGGAUACAGCGCAAUCGAACGAAGCGCGCGCGUCCGGCCGAAGACUCGGCCGGACUGCCGUCUGGAAACGUUUCCCUAAUCCAAAGGCUUUGUCUGAAUGACAAGUCGUCUGGGUUACCGGCUAACUAGAAAAAAGAUAAAUAUGCUAGAGAAUUUCAUAAUAAUUAGAAAUAUCUAGCCUUUAAUUAUGUAAAUCAGAAAAUCACAACCGUUGGAUUUACUUUAAAGGUAAAUUUCUCUAAAUUCCCACCAUUGCCAGUAUGUAGAAACAUGUGCUGCUUCAAUUCUCCCAUAAUCACCAAUCAAUCAACAACACAAAACAUACCUCAGUUAAAAAAACUGAACAAAAAAAAAGAAAAAAGAAGAAAGGACAAGAUACACGCAUGUACACGACAGCCUUGGCUUGAAACACAUCAGUAGAUCAAGUGUCCGCCUCCCUUACACAGAAUAAACUCAUAGGGAAGAAAAUAAUUGUGCAACCUAACCUUAUACGUACUAUUCUAUCCUCACGUCCCAUGAGGUUUACUAGCCUACCGCCGCCGCAUCAUGCCAUCCCCUCCUUUCAGCUCCCAUGCUUUCCAGCACCCUCAUUGCCGCGCCACUACUUGCCUAGGGAUAUUGCUGCUCAGACCGUGGAGCUUAACCUGCUUCUUCUUCAGCAAAUAUGGUACUGCUUUAGGAUCCUUCUCACAUCAGCACGUAUGGGCCUCAUUAUACUGCAGCUCCUGGACCUCCUACAAUUGGUUGGCUAUGGCCAGUUGAUCGAUGUGCCGAAGUCCAGGUCUGUUUGCUGGCACAUAUGCUUUGGAAAUAGGCCACUAUGUUUGUACUUCAAAAUUGUUUCUGUAUUCUUGAGUGGUACAUCCUUUUAAGCGCCAGUUUUUUAUGUCAAUUCAUGCUGACAACACUUAACCUAGCCUUUCAUCUUCACGUACUAAAUACAGGAGCAAGUAAAAACAACAGACCACCUAAUUGCUCUGCAUGUACUACAUAGGAAAAUUUGUCAUGUUCUACGAUCGCACCAUCCCACACUUCUCUCUUGGUAUGGGCGCCAAUUGAGGGAUUGAUAAAACUGAAACGAAGACGUCACGGGGCUGGAAGUACCGCUAGCCUGGUUUGCACUGCAACCUACUCAACGCCAUCAGAAACUAGCAACUGAGGCAGUUGUUGAUCGAUUCUCUCAAAUUGCUCUCAUGUAAGUACUACCCCUUGCAUGUGCGUACAUACCUUUGUUCCAUUCUCAAACAGAUAGAACAUUUAUGAUCGGUGCAUGGCUAUUUUUCAUCACAUGACAUCCAGAUAACAAGCAUGAAAGGACUACAUUGGAGAUCAAAAAAUAUUGGUUCCUGGCUAGAGGACCACUACCUAUGGACUUGUCUCCAUAGAAUUUGUUCCCAAGACGUUAUUUUAAUUAACCUCUUUAGCUUUCUUCCAUUGCAAACGGUGAUGUGCAUCAUGGUAUAUACGUGACCAUCUUGCACAUGUAUACACAAGAGGCUCAGACGGAGGUGCUGGAUUCUGGACGAGGGAAUAUGAAGCAGGAGUGAGCGAAGAGUAAAUAAUGGUGGGAGUACCGAUUGGUGUUAUGAAGAAAAAUGCCAUUCAAAGAUUGAUUAGUGUCAUGGAAGAUUAAUUUCUGAAUGCGAAUAUAUAUGUUACAUUGGUUUGGAUCUUUUUGAGAUAAUUGCACCUAAAUUAGGUUCUUUCUUAUUUCAUAUGUAUACCUUAUUUCAGUAAAAGUUCACAACGAACUUAGUAGGACAAAUAUAAUUUUGUUUGUGCUUUCUGUUGUCCGCCACCAAAGCUCAGUUUGAACUCUCUAGAAAUGGACAAUGAUUUAUGCAUUCUAUAUCUUCUUGAUUGAUUAGUCAUGACAAGGAAAUAAAAUGAUUGACUGAUAUAGCAUAACUUUGGAACGAUCUGUUCGUAGAGGUUACUACAAAUUAGAGUAGUGUCUGUUGGAAUUUUGCUAGUAGGCCUUUGGCCCAAAGCCCAACUAAAAUUCUGAAAUUCUCUUGGCUCAUUCAUGCACACAUGUGAGUGGAGUGAGUGAGACUAAAGUUUAGUCCCUCCCCGAAAGUUGAGAGAGUGUUGCACCUCUUUAUAAGGUGAGCUCUUCUACCACUUGUAUGAGCAUGGGAAGAGGAGACCUACACGCGCGCUCCUCCUCCUCGCUCACCAUGCCUCGUCACGACGCGCCGCGCCGCACCGCGUGGUGGGUUGUGGGAUUGAGCCGAGCCGAGGACGUUGUCUAUAUUUUUGCUGCUCGGGAAAAAUUAAUGAGUCAUUAAUUAAUAAUUAAUGGACGCGUUAAUUACUGAACCGUUUCCGAUUCUUUUGGAUCCUGACGACUCGGACGUGGGGUUUACUCCCACGACCUACCCGACCUGCACUACAUAGCCAGGCAGACGUCUACCUUAGCCGCCGCCCCUUCGUAUGGUUUCUCACCACCGUUACAGAUCAUUGCGCCGCCAAGCAAGUUUUCUCCAUCCCUCGUUUCGGCGUGCACCGGGAGAAGGGACAGCAGGCCUCCGGAACCCCGCCUCUCGUGAUCCUGUACGGAAGAGGGGCGAUCAGGUUUUUGGGGAGCGCAUCGCACGACUGCUGGCAGCGACGACUUCGCGAACGACGACUUCUUCCCCGACCUCGGCAACCUCAUCCUCGAGGACAUGGGCGACAACGUCAACGCCGGCGGUGCUACACCCACUGCACCGUAUGUUAUUCUAUCCUUCUUGUUCGAGAUCGUGGUAGAAUUCAUGUUUCUAGUAUGUGCCCUAGAGGUGAUCUGUUCAUCUACUAUGCUAGUUCGCAUGAUUAGUUUAAUCUCUGCUAUUGCUGUCAUGAUCUAUUUCCUAUUUAUUCGGAUUAAAUCUCGUAGUAAUUUUCUCAUUUUUCCAACAAUCCAAAAACCUAAUUAUAGGCAACUUACUCCGAGUGGUUUUGAUGCGCAUCUGAAAGCCGCCUGCCUUUAAGGGGGCGCAAUAUAAGAGGUGGCGCACGAGAGCAGUCUACUGGUUUCAGAUCAUGGGCUGCUAUGACGCCAUCGAUACCCUCUUUAAAGGCACUCUUCUGAGUGUUCUUGAUGACUCCAUUGUGGAUUCGUAUAUGUCGUUGACAACGGCAAGAAUAUGUGGGCUGCGCUCGAGGCCAAGUUUGGUGCCUCGGAUGCUAGUAGCGAGUUGUACGUCAUGGAGCAAUUCUAUGACUCCAAGAUGACUGAUGAGCGCCCUGUUGUACAGCAGGCUCAUGAGAUACAGUCGCUCGGAAAAGAACUUGAGUACUUCAAGUGUGUGUUGCCGAACAAAUUUUUUGCCGGAGGCAUCAUUGCCAAGCUUCCACCUUCGUGGAACAAUUUUGCUACUUCCCUGAAACACAAGAGACAGGAGUUUUUCGUUGCGGAUCUCAUUGGUACUCUUGAUGUUGAAGAGAAGGCGAGAGCAAAGGAUACACGUGCUCGAGUUGCUGAGGGAGGUUCUAGUGCCCACAUGGUACAGAAGAAGAACUUCCAGCCCGUUCAAAAACAACAAGAACAAAACUCAGGGCAAAGGCAAGUUUGAUACAAAGAACAAGCCAUCACAUUCUACCAACUUCAAGAAGAAUUCUCAUAAGAAGGGGAAGGGACUUUGCCAUGUCUGCGGUGAUCCUAAUCACUGGGCUCUGAAGUGUCCUAACUGCUUUGAGGAGCGCGAACAUGAGAAGAGCGGCAAGUCCGCUAAUGUUGUCAUCGGUGAUACUGAUAUGAAGGAAUCAGGGUACGGUAUUUUUCCUACCAUCCUUUCAGUUUUCCAAACCCCUGAUUGGUUAAUUGACACCGGUGCCAAUGUACAUGUUUGUGCUGAUGCCUCCAUGUUUUCUUCUUACCAGGCCAUUGGGACUUCACCCGUGCUGAUGGGGAACGGGUCACAUGCCAUCGUUCGAGGUGUUGGUACGGUCGAUCUGAAGUUUACUUCGGGGAAGACCGUGCGUCGGAAGAACGUUCAUCAUGUUCCAUCCAUCAAUAAAAAUCUCGUUAGCGGUUCCCGUUUAUGUCGAGAUGGUUUUAAGUUGGUUUUCGAAUACACUAAAGUUGUAAUUUCUAAGUACGGACAAUUUGGUGGAAAAGGCUAUGAGAGCGAAGGCUUGUUUUGCCUGUCUUUGUCAGAUAUUUUCACUAAAGUUAUUAAUAAUGUUUGCCACAACAAUGAGUCUGAUAUUUGGCAUUCACGACUUUGUCACAUUAACUUUGGUUGCAUGACGCGGCUAGCCAAUAUGAAUUUAAUUCCGAAAAUCUCUACUGUCAAAGGCUCUAAGUGCCAAGUAUGUGUGCAAGCUAGCUAAGCAACCUCGCAAGUCCCAUAAGACUGUAGAGGCAAGAGACUUGGCGCCACUAGAGCUUAUACAUUCUGAUAUUUGUGAGAUGAAUGGCGUGUUGACAAAAGGUGGAAAGAGAUACUUCAUGACGUUGAUUGAUGACUCCACUAGAUAUUGUUAUGUGUAUCUUAUGAAAUCAAAAGAUGAGGCUUUGACUUUCUUCAAAAACUAUAAAGCUGAGGCAGAGAACCAACUUGAUCAAAAAAUUAAACGGCUUAGGUCCGAUCAUGGUGGAGUGUAUUUUUCCAAUGAAUUUGAUCUGUUUUGUGCGGAACAUGGUAUAAUCCAUGAGAGGAUGCGUCCCUACUCAGCCUAGUCAAAUGGGGUAGCCAAAAUAAAGAACCGAACUCUAACUGAUAUGGUUAACACCAUGUUAGACACUUCAGGUCUAUCCAAGGAAUGGUGGGGGCAGGCGCUAACGACUGCGUGUCAUGUCCUAAACAGAGUACCCACAAAGCAUAAGACCAUGACUCCAUUUGAGGAAUGUGAAAGGAAAAUGUUGAAACUCUCUUACCUACGUACUUGGGGUUGUUUGGCGAAAGUCAAUAUACCAAUUCCCAAGAAGCGCAAGGUUGGACCAAAAACCGUGGAUUGUGUUCUUCUGGGCUAUGCUUUUCAUAGCAUCGGCUAUAGAUUUUUGAUAAUAAAAUCUGAGGUAUCCGACAUGCAUGUUGGUACGAUUAUGGAGUCGAAUGAUGCAACUUUCUUUGAGGACAUAUUUCCUAUGAAGGAUAUGUCGAGUUCAUCAAAUCAGGAGACACCUACUCCAUCUAGUGAGGAAUUCACUGUAAUUCCUGAACCCACCAUUGCGAUGGAACACGUUGAGAAUCCUGUUGAGGGUGACAAUGGAACUCCUAUGAGGAGUAAGAGACACAGGACUACAAAGUCCUUUGGUGAUGAUUUCAUUGUGUUCCUCGUGGAUGACACACCCAGGACUAUUUCAGAAGCCUGUGCAUCUCUUGAUGCUAACUACUGGAAGGAAGCUGUACGUAGCGAGAUGGAUUCCAUCUUAGGUAACGGAACCUGGGAGAUCACUGACCGUCCUUAUGGGUGCAAACUUGUAGGAUGUAAGUGGGUGUUCAAGAAGAAGCUUAGACCUGAUGGUACGAUUGAAAAGUACAAGGCACGGCUUGUGGCCAAGGGUUAUACCCAGAAAGAAGGUGAAGACUUCUUUGAUACUUACUCACCCGUGGCUAGAAUGACCACAAUUCGGGUGCUACUAUCACUUGCUGCCUCACAUGGUCUUCUCGUUCAUCAAAUGGAUGUUAAGACAGCUUUCCUCAAUGGAGAGAGUUGGAGGAAGAAAUUUACAUGGAUCAGCCAGAUGGUUUUGUAGUACCUAGUUAGGAAGGAAAGGUGUGCAAGUUAUUAAAGUCUUUAUAUGGCCUUAAACAAGCUCCUAAAGAGUGGCAUGAGUAGUUUGAAAGAACAUUAACUGCUGCCGGCUUUGUAGUAAACGAUGAUGACAAGUGCGUGUACUAUCGCUAUGGUGGGGCGAAGGAGUUAUUCUUUCUCUGUAUGUCGACGACAUAUUGAUCUUUGGAGCCAAACUUGAUUUAAUCAAGGAGGUUAAGGAUUUCUUAUCUUGUUGUUUUGAGAUGAAGGAUCUAGGAGUAGCUGAUGUUAUCUUAAACAUCAAGCUGUUGAGAGAUGAGAAUGGUGGGAUCACACUACUUCAGUCUCACUAUGUGGAAAAGGUCUUGAGUCAUUUUGGGUAUAGCGACUGCACACCUUCUCCAACUCCAUAUGAUGCUAGUGUGUUGCAUCGAAAGAAUCGAUGGAUUGCUAGAGAUCAACUGAGGUAUUCUCAUAUUAUUGGCCCGCUUAUGUAUUUGACGAGUGCCACGAGGCCUAACAUCUCAUUUGCUGUUAGCAAGCUGAGUCGGUUUGUGUCAAAACCGGGAGAUGAUCGUUGGCAUGCUCUUGAGAGAGUUAUGCGCUAUUUGAAAGGCACCGCGAGCUAUGGGAUUCACUACACCGGGUAUCCAAGGGUACUGGAGGGUUAUAGUGACUCAAACUGGAAGUCCUGCAAACAGACCAUCUUAACAAGGUCAAGUAUGGAAGCAGAACUCACAGCAUUAGAAACUGCCACUGUGAUAAUCAAACUAUGAUCGUCAAGAUAAACAGUUACGGACAAUAUGAAGUCCUCAAGGCAUGUGAAGAGGAGACUGAAAUCUGUCAGAAAAUUGAGGAACUCUGGAGUUAUUACGUUGGAUUAUAUCGAAACAUCGAAAAAUUUGGCAGAUCCCUUCACAGAGGGUCUAUCACGUAAUGUGAUAGAUAAUGCAUCGAUGGAGAUGGGUCUGAGACCCACCGCAUGAGUUGUCCAUAGUGGUCUAUGUGAUCGGAGAUCCCGUGAAGUAGAAGUGGGAGACAAGUUGUUGAUCAGCUGGGAGGAUAGUAUCCCUAUAUUACCUAUCCCACUCCAUGAAGAUGCAAUACUCUCCUAAUCUGCAUGGCAGGUUGACACUUAUGUUAAUGUGUUCCAAGUGGCUUAUUCGGGUAAGCAGAGAUGUUGUCCUGCAGAACAUCUUCUAAGGAACACACCUAUAUGAAUUUGACUGUUAACGUCGCAGUAUGUGAGAAUUGGGUGUUCUCUAAUAAAUUGAUGAAAAGGCCCUGGAGUAUGACGUAUACGCUCCACCCGCGGGGAAGCCUUGCGGCAGCCCAGUAUCGGUCAAGAAUUUGUGUGAAACUAGUCUCGCAGAAAAUUUGUAGUUCAAGGCGUAGUCCAAACGGAAUAUCAAACGGAGUCCAAACGGAAUGAAACCUUUGGGAACGUGAUUUUCUCAACGAACAAGACCCAGGAGACUUGGACCCUACGUCCAGACACAAAAGAGGAGGCCACGAGGUAGGGGGGCGCGCCCUCCACCCUCGUGGGGCCCCUGUUGCUGAAGGACAUAUGCCCUAGAGGCAAUAAUAAAGUUAUGAUUUAUUUCCUUAUAUCAUGAUAAAUGUUUAUUAUUCAUGCUGGAAUUGUAUUAACCGGAAACAUAAUACAUGUGUGAAUACAUAGACAAACAAAGUGUCACCAGUAUGCCUCUACUUGACUAGAUUGUUAAUCAAAGAUGGUUAUGUUUCCUAACCAUAGACAAAGAGUUGUUAUUUGAUUAACGGGAUCACAUCAUUAGUUGAAUGAUCUGAUUGACAUGACCCAUUCCAUUAGCUUAGCACCCGAUCGUUUAGUAUGUUGCUAUUGCUUUCUUCAUGACUUAUACAUGUUCGUAUGACUAUGAGAUUAUGCAACUCCCGUUUACCGAAGGAACACUUUGUGUGCUACCAAACGUCACAACGUAACUGGGUGAAUAUAAAGGAGUUCUACAGGUGUCUCCAAAGGUACAUGUUGGGUUGGCGUAUUUCGAGAUUAGGAUUUGUCACUCCGUUUGUCGGAGAGGUAUCUCUGGGCCCUCUCGGUAAUGCACAUCACAUAAUCCUUGCAAGCAUUGCAACUAAUGUGUUAGUUGUGAGAUGAUGUAUUACGGAACGAGGAAAGAGACUUGCCGGUAAUGAGAUUGAACUAGGUAUUGGAUACCGACGAUCGAAUCUCGGGCAAGUAACAUACCGAUGACAAUGGGAACAACGUAUGUAGUUAUGCGGUCUGACCGAUAAAGAUCUUCGUAGAAUAUGUAGGAGCCAAUAUGGGCAUCCAGGUCCCGCUAUUGGUUAUUGACCAUAGACGUGUCUCGGUCAAGUCUACAUUGUUCUCGAACCGUAGGGUCUGCACGCUUAAAGUUACGAUGACAAUUUCAUUAUGAGUUUAUGUAUUUUGAUGUACCGAAGGUUGUUCGGAGUCCCGGAUGUGAUCACGGACAUGACGAGGAGUCACGAAAUGGUCGAGACAUAAAGAUCGAUAUAUUGGAAGCCUAUAUUUGGACAUCGGAAUCGUUCCGGGUGAAAUCGGCAUUUUACCAGAGUACCGCGGGGUUACCGGAACCCCCGGGGGGGUUAUUGGGCCUACAUGGGCCUUGAAGAAGAGAGGAGGCAGGAGGUGGCCGCGCGCCCCUCCCCUUCCUAGUCCGAAUAGGACAAGGGAAGGGGGGUGGCGCCCCCCCUUUCCUUCCCCUCUUCCUCCUCUUUCCCCCCUUCUCCUUCUCCAACUAGGAAAGAAGGGAGUCCUACUCCCGGUGGGAGUAGGACUCCCCCUGGCGCGCCCCUCCUUGGCCGGCCGCCCCCUCCCCUUGGUUCCUUCAUAUACGGGGGCAGGGGGCACCCUAGGACACAGAAGUUGAUCUUCGUGAUCGUUCCUUAGUCGUGUGCGGUGCCCCCCUCCACGAUAUUACACCUCGAUCAUAUUGUAGCAGUGCUUAGGCGAAGCCCUGUGACGGUUAAACAUCAAGAUCGUCACCACGCCGUCGUGCUGACCAAACUCCUCCCCGAAGCUUUGCUGGAUCCGAGCCGGGGGUGCGUCAUCGAGCCGUACGUGUCUCAAGAACUCGGAGGUGCCGGAGUAAAGGUGCUUGGAUUGGUUGGACCGGGAAGACGUACGACUACUUCCUCUACGUUGCGUCAACGCUUCCGCUUCGGUCUACAAGGAUACGUAGACAACACUCUCCCCUCUUGUUGCUAUGCAUCACCAUGAACUUGCGUGUGCGUAGGAAAUUUUUUGAAAUUACUACAUUCCCCAACAGUGGCAUCCGAGCCUAGGUUUUAUGGUUUGAUGUUAUACGCACGAGUAGAACACAAGUGAGUUGUGGGCGAUAUAAGUCAUACUGCCUACCAGCAUGUCAUACUUUGGUUCGGCGGUAUUGUUGGAUGAAGUGGCCCGGACCGACAUUACGCGUACGCUUACGCGAGACUGGUUCUACCGCCGUGCUUUGCACAUAGAUGGCUGGCGGGUGUCAGUUUCUCCAACUUUAGUUGAACCGAGUGUGGCUACGCCCGGUCCUUGCGAAGGUUAAAACGGCAUCAACUUGACAAACUAUCUGUCACAGCCCUAGAAUUUGCUUGUAGCUAUUUACCCGAGUGAGCAUGAUGCAUCAUGUCUAAAUUCUGAAAGUUGAAUUGAGGUUAGUAGAAACCCUCAUAAAUCACUUCAAAAAUAAUCAACAUUAAAAUCUUUUCAAAGAAGUCCAAGAAAGUGUUCCUCUUAGUCUCUGAAAAUAUUGGCAAGAGGUAAAACUUAAAACAAUAUUUUUGGAAUCUCAGAGAUAUUUAUUUUGGGCCUUUGAAUUAAUUCAAUAACAAUUUGCAUUGGAUAUAUAUUUUAUAUAUAACUAAUAUAUGUCCAAUAAUUCUAGAACAUUUUAUGUGGUUUGUUAUAUUUUAGUUCUAGCCACAUAAUUAUUUUCAGGAUUUUAUUAAAUGGUUUAGUAUUUUUACUAAACCAAAACAAAACAGAACAAAAUAGAAAAAAACUGAAACAGAAAGCAAACAGAAAAUAGAGAGAGAGAGAGGAGCUACCUGGGCUUACCUGGCGCCCCAACUGGCCCACCUCUGUAGCAGCCCAACUGGCCAAAGCCAGCCCGGCCCAUCAGGGGCAGCACUGUCUUCUUCCUCCUGCCAGGAGGAGAAGCAGCUGCGUGCCCGAUGGCCGGCGAGCCGCGCUGGCUCCUCCCUGCCUGCGUGCCCCCCCUCGACUUCCUGGAUGCCAUGCACUCCCCCUCGCCCCCUGCACCUCUCCUCUCUCCCCCUGGACCCCAUCCCCUCCUCUGCUCCCCUCUCGCGCGCACCACCGAGCGGAGCUCGUCGUCAUCGUCGCCGUACUCGUGGCCACCGGCCACCCCUCGCCCUGCCGCUGCGCCCAAAAGCUCUGCCAUUUCGUCCUCGACCCCCUCACCGAGCCACGCCACCGCGGGAGCCCCACAUCGCGGCUACGAGUCGUCCUCCCCGAGCACGGCCGCCGGACUUCAUCGAUGAAUUCGUCGCCUUCCGGUCGUCCCCGAGCCAGCUGAGCUCCGCUUCGACCUCACCGUGAGAUCCUCUACCAAACCCCUCUCUCCCCGCCGUCUAUUUCCUCCUCUAGCCUCACUAACCACCGUGGCCGAAGCUCGCCGCCGCCGUACCUCAUCGCCGCCACGGCCAUAGCUGCCGCCACCCACGCCCGAGCUUUGCCCCAUGCUCAGCACUCUCCCAGGAGCCGGGCGCGCCCACCCAUUCGACCCGUUGUGCCCCCUAGCGCCAACCCCGACCUCGCCCGAAUUCCGGCCGCCGCAAAAGUUGCCGCCACCGUCGAUUUAGUCAACCCCGGUGCGAGGUGUUGCCACCGAUGGAUGCGCGAGUCUCCCAGCUCGCCGUAGCCACAAACCACGAGCGAAACGAUGCUCUGUAGCUCCGUCCCGAGCAUCUCCGGCGAGCCACGGCCGUGCUUUUGGUCGCCGGCGUCGACCGCUGACGUGGUCGCUUAAUUAAGUCUAAUCACCACUAAUCCCUGCCUAACAGACGCUGACUCACGGGCCCCACCUGUUAAUUAACCACAAGGUUAUACCCUGUUUAAUUUAAGCUAAUGACCGUGGCCCCACGGGUCAGUUUGACCUGGCCACGUCACCGUUGACCUGGUCCCACACGUCAGCCACAGAAACCAGCCCUGGGUCACUGACCAGUGGGCCCCACUAGUCAGGUUUGACCCGGACCAGCCCUGUUGACUUGCUUACGUCACCCUGAUGUCAUGCUGACGCAGUAAUUAAUUUCUGUUUUAUAAUAAUUCAGAAAAUUUCAGAAAAUGUCCAAAACUUCUAAAAAUCAUAGAAAUUAAACUGUAACUCCAAAUAAAAUAAAUUAUAUAUGUAAAAUUAUCAGAAAAAUUCAAGGAAUCUGUUUAUGGCAUUUUCAUGCAUGUUUGAAAAAUGUUUGACCUCUGUUUUGGACAAAACAAUAAAGGGCAUUUAAAUAAUCAUAUAUGGAGUUUGAAUUUGAAUCUUGUAUUCAAACCAACUUCAUUUAAUUGUGUUGUUAGUUGCUUUAGGUCAAUCAAUAGCAUAUUGCCAUGUCAUUAUCAUGCAUCAUAUUGUUGCAUCGCAUUGAUUGUGUCCUUCCUUGUUUGCCGGUAAUUGCCCCCUCUCAGUAGACGUUGUUUCCGACGACGUGAUCGAUGACACCGAUGAAGAGCUAUUCUAUCUUCAGAAGUGCCAGGCAAGCACAACCCCCUUGUUCAUUCCGAUACAAGCCCACUCUCUCGCUCCUGCUCUCUUUUACUGCAUUAGGACAACAAUGAUUCAUUUGUUACUUGUUGCGGUAGUUGAACCCCUUAUCCUCUGCAUGACCUAUCAUUGCCACAGUAAUUAGAUGAAACCCGCUAGCAUGAGUAGGAGUUGUUUGAGCCCUGAUGUGCCUACUCAUUCAUGCUUGUUUGUCAUGCCUGCUACUGCUUAGAGUUGAGUCAGGUCUGAUUCAUCGGGGAUGGAUCGGAGGUGUGUAAACAUGUCCUAUUGUGUGUGAGCUAAGUGUGUGAACACGUUUUGGUAAAGGUAGCGGUGACAGGCCAUGUAGGAGUACAUGGUGGGUUGUCUCAUUGAAACCGUCCACAGGAACUAAGUUCUGUGUUUGUGAUCCAUGAAACAGCUGCUACCACACGUUGGGCCCCGAAAUAUGACCCCGCUCGACUUACUGACCCCUCUCUUCCUCUGUCCAGGAGUUGCAAUUAGUUUCUGGUGUUUAUAGGAUAUGUGUUGGCGGCCGUGUGUAGCGCUGACCCUAGGGGUGGGCUAUGAUGCGGUAGAUACACUGUGGCCCGGUGUACCGGGCGCCCGUUUGGUGUCUCUGGAACCCUGCACACAUCGUUUGGGGCUGUGAGCGAAACUCCGUCCGGAUCUCCUCGCGGAUGGAACCCGAAUAGGCGAUAAACCUGGACUAGAGACUUGUGUGGUUAGUCAGGUCGUGGUCUACACCCACGUCGGCUUUCGCUUGAAGUCUGCCGAGCACAUGUCGUGUGCAGACGCUAAGUGGUGGAAACAUGUGUGACGAAGUACACCCCCGCAGGGUUAUAAAUGAUCUAUUCGAAUAGCCGUGUCCGCGGUAAAGGACUUCUGGGUUGCCUAUAACAGUUCAUAGACAAGUGAAAGUGGAUACUCUAAAAACUCGCAAGAUAAGUGUGAGUGCUACGGAUGGCCUUCUCGUAGGGAGACGAGAGCGGAUCCAUAGUGGUCUAUUGAAUGGUGAAUAUGUGGACUCGUGUGCGCCACCUUAAAAGAGUUGCUUGCCAUCGUAGUUCAGGUUAGCCCCGGAAUCAAAGCUGGCUUGCUGCCGUUAAACUCCACCCCCCUUUGAUGAUACCGAUGCAUAUGUAGUUUAGAUCUGAUGUAAGUAUUGCUGAGUACCUUUGUACUCACGUUUGCUUAAUUUAUGUUUUGCAGAGAGACUUCAGUCUCGCUAGUAGUUCCGCGUGGACUUCGACGUUUAGCUUGAUACCUCAGCUACGAUCUUGUGCCCUCGACAGGAUCUGGUAGAUAGUCAGGCUUCUUAGCCUUUUUCAUUUAUAGAUGUCUGUACUCAGACAUGUUAAGCUUCCGCAUGUGCUUUGCAUUGUAUGCUAUGAUUGUCGGGUCAUGAGACCCAUGCUUGUAAUAUCUAGCUCUUCGGAGCCUAAUGAAUUAAUACUUGAGUCGUAGAGUCUUGUUUUGAUGCCAUGUUGUAUUUACACAUAUCGAGCAUAUUGUGUGUAUGAUUGAAAUGCUUGGUAUGUGUAGGAUCCAACAACCUAGUUGUUUAUCCUUCGCAGCCUUUCUUAUGGGGAAAUGUAGUCUAGUGUUCCUCGAGCCAUAGUAGUCCGCUACAGCCCGGUUCACCGGAGUCCUGCUAGCCCAGCACUACUGUUCAGGACACUUGACUGGCCGGCAUGUGUUUCACUUCAUCCCUAUGUCUGUCCCUUCGGGGAAAUGUCACGCGGUGAUUUCCGGAGUCCUGCCUAGCCUGCUACAGCCCGGGAUCCCCGGAGUCCUGUUAGCCCAGUGCCACAGCCCGGAAUAACUCAUUGAUGACCGACAUGUUCGAUGUGAUUCAUGUAUGCCUGUCUCCAUAGGUCUGUGCCACUUUGGGUUCACGACUAGCCAUGUCGGCCCGGGUUCUUUGUCAUAUGGAUGCUAGCGACACUAUCAUAUACGUGAGCCAAAAGGCGCAAACGGUCCCGGGCCAGGUAAGGUGGCACCCGUGGGAAUACCGUGCGUGAGGCCACAAAGUGAUAUGAUGUGUUACAUGCUAGAUCGGUGUGACCUAGGAUCGGGGUCCUGAUAGCGUUGGUAUCAGAGCCUGACUGCCUGUAGGAUUACCAAGCCAAACUGGUCGAAGUUGAGUCUAGAAAUGCUUUAGUUAUGUAAGGGAAUUGAUUGCGGAAGGGAACGUAAGGCUCUUUUUAUUCCUUAUACCUCAUGCCCUUGUGAUCUGAGUCAUCCUCUUCCUUUCUAUGGGGAUUAAGAACUAGGCUUUCUUAUCUAUCUAUCAGGAUGACGUGUUACUAACCCGUUGACUUAUAGGAUUGAUGGAUUCAUGCUGCAGUUCAGUUCCUACUACUUCCAUAUAUUCAUAACUGGCCGCAGAACCUUGAUAUUAUGAUUCGAGUGGUUAUGCCACCAUUUUUGCAGGAUGUCUCAAAUCUUUUCGAGCAUUUACAGCCGUUAUGCUGUCCGAGUCAUCCCAGGUUUCUAAAUAGUCUGAUGCAUUUGCAAACCUUUUCCCCUGUUCCUGAUGUCCAUUUAGGCCAGGUUAAUCACACUAAUUGUGAGUUGGCGUAUUCUUUUGCCUGGACAUAUAUUUUGGAAUUAUUAUUAUGACCCUAGAUGUCUUAGAGUGCCACCUAGUAAUCGAACCAUGUUUUGCGUUUCUAGUGUGAUGAUUCUGGCCGUUAUUCUUGAAAGCAUCCCGUGAUGCCAUUUAGUUAGUAGGCAUUCUAUUCCUGGGUUUUGAACCCGAGACCCACCCUACCUGCUUCAUGUUGAUAGUGUUUGCUAGUUCCUUAGGACAUUAGUAAACCUUGUGAUAGACCUCGAGGUCCGUGGUAUUUCCUUCUUCCAAUUAUCAUGAACCAUUCAUGGCAGGAGUUCUUUUGAACCAAAAGGUCACGACAGAGUGCUCUUGAUGAGUUCUCCAUUCUAUAUUGUGGCUCUGCCAGUUCUACCUUUCUGCAUGGGUUAUCCGGAAGAAAUAUGUUGAACUCGUUCGACAUACUAACCUAUGCAUCCACAACUCAGAAAGUUAUAUGUUCCUUGAGUUGUUCCUCUUCAGUUGUAUUCCGACCAUCCUCUAUCAGUAGAUAGCCAAGAGUAUGUGUGCAUUUGUGUUCAUCGGUGCCUCUUAUUCUUGUGGUUCGUCGAGCCGUUCUAUUUUAGAAUGACUAGGAGAAACAAACUCCAGUACCUCAUCCAUAUCUAGGGUUGGGUCAAAAUAGUUGUAUUCCGCAGAUCAAAAUGCAACCCAGCUUUUGGUUCUGUUCUACCCUGAAGUAUUACCCACCUUAUGUCAAGAGCGACGUGAGAAUUGCACCUUCUCCUAUGAAUUCUUGACGCAGUGAUACUUCUUGCCAUCAUUGUUCAUUCCUCGGUUCCUGUGUUAUUGUAACCAGAAUGCCGGCACGUGAGUCGUUAUGUGUGAAAUCAAUACUCCUAGCAACUAUGCUGCUUGGUAGUUAAUGGACAAUAUUCUCAUUCUUAGCGUGUUGGUUAUUGAAUUAUCAUUCUAAGACUGAUCGUGCUACCUAGUCCAUAUUUCUGGUGCACACUUCGAUCAAUGGGUUAGGACUGUGCCAAUCCCUCACUCUUUGAUCAUAUCAUCUUGCCCUGAAAAGCAAGGUUGUUCUCGAGCUUAGUAACAUACCGGUGGUUCGUGAUUUUCCGAAUAUCUUCUCAGAAGUGUUACUAGGUUGUCACCUGACCGUUAUGUUGAGUUCAUGAUCAAGAUGGUUUUUCAAUAAACCACUUUUCCCUAAGAAUCUGUGUUGGAUACCCCUGAGCUAGUUGGUUAAGCUUAACAACAACUUGGAGAGUUGGAAGAUGAAAACUUGUCCGACUUAGCUCAUCCCUAAGGGAUAUCCUUGUGUGUGUGGGUGUUGAAGAAAGAUGAUAUAUUCACCAAUUGGUCCUCAUGAUCAGUUGUUGUAUCUAUUAUCUUGUCCAAACCUUGAUUUGAGUGUGGGCUAUCGUCAAAUCAAAUCAGAACCAACGAUGUUCAUAAUGUUGUCUUACUUACGGUUGUCCCUCGAGCAUACACCAUUAUAUAUUUGGUUUGACCAAUACUAUCACAUUGUUCACAUAGUGGUGGAAGUCCAGUGAUAUGGAAAUACCGAUGCGUUGUUGUUGAUCCCAUCAGCAGCCUUUUGUCUCCCCCAUGAGUCAUGUUGAAUGCUACACUAGUAUUGGAAACUUAUAAGCAUUAUCUUUGUGUUUCGUUCAUGAAGCAUAUGUUUGGAUGAAAGAAGUGACUUCCUCUAAUUCAUGUGCACUCGAUGUAAGUUGCCACCAUGAAUUGAGCAAGGUUUGUUUUGUUUCCCUUGGAAUCAUCCCAAAUCAGUCAUGCAUAUGUGCGAAGUAUUCUAUGGUUUGGUAGAUUAAUUACCUCCACUCCAUAUGUGUUCCUAGCACACCAAGCCACUGGUUGAUUUGUUCAAGGAGAAGAAGUUCCUUCUUAAGAAUCAUGACUUAUGUUAGGACUUUGUUAUCCUCGAUAAUGGUUCCCCACCUGAACUCGGUAGUGUUUUAUUAUAAGACUACCAUGUGGUCAUGCUUUUCUGGGACAGCGUGUUCACAUGUGUUUAGCAGAACCAGCUCAUGCUUUGGAGCUUACUACCGUAGUUCAUUCCCCGAGAAUCUCGCAAUGUCGUCUCGUCGAUUUGUGUUGCAAACCUUCAUUUUCCUUUCUAGACUCGAUGAGUCUGGAAUAUCCCGUCACCAACCAGAUCUGAAUCUCAGGCAGAUAUGAUGGUUGGAGCAUUUUCCAAGAACUAUAAUAUUGGUCUCCCGAUAACCGGUAAAGUGGAUGUCGUGGCCAACACAUCCAGCCGGGCGACCUAUUAUUGUAGUAUCUUGAUUGAAGAAAGUUGGCCACCUUCCCAUGAGGAUUUCAUAGGAUUUACUCCAGAAGUUGUUCCUUAUGGAUCUAUUGUAUUCCGAAGUCCGACCACUACUUGGUGGCUAUGCCGAUGCUUAAAGCAUGACCGUGGUUGCCCCCUCUCAGUAGACGUUGUUUCCGACGACGUGAUCGAUGACACCGAUGAAGAGCUAUUCUAUCUUCAGAAGUGCCAGGCAAGCACAACCCCCUUGUUCAUUCCGAUACAAGCCCACUCUCUCGCUCCAGCUCUCUUUUACUGCAUUAGGACAACAACGAUUCAUCUGUUACUUGUUGCGGUAGUUGAACCCCUUAUCCUCUGCAUGACCUGUCAUUGCCACAGUAAUUAGAUGAAACCCACUAGCAUGAGUAGGAGUUGUUUGAGCCCUGAUGUGCCUACUCAUUCAUGCUUGUUUGUCAUGCCUGCUACUGCUUAGAGUUGAGUCAGGUCUGAUUCAUCGGGGAUGGAUCGGAGGUGUGUAAACAUGUCCUAUUGUGUGUGAGCUAAGUGUGUGAACACGUUUUGGUAAAGGUAGCGGUGAGAGGCCAUGUAGGAGUACAUGGUGGGUUGUCUCAUUGAAACCGUCCUCAGGAACUGAGUUCUGUGUUUGUGAUCCAUGAAAUAGCUACUACGACACGUUGGCCCUGAAAUAUGACCCCGCUCGACUUACUGACCCCUCUCGUCCUCUGUCCAGGAGUUGCAAUUAGUUUCUGGUGUUUAUAGGAUAUGUGUUGGCGGCCGUGCGUAGCGCUGACCCUAGGGGUGGGCUAUGAUGCGGUAGAUACACCGUGGCCCGGUGUACCGGGCGCCCGUUUGGUGUCUCGGGAACCCUGCACACAUCGUUUGGGGCUGUGAGCGAAACUCCGGCCGGAUCUCCUCGCGGAUGGAACCCGAAUAGGCAAUAAACCUGGACUAGAGACUUGUGUGGUUAGUCAGGUCGUGGUCUACACCCAUGUCGGCUUUCGCUUGAAGUCUGCCGAGCACAUGUCGUGUGCAGACGCUAAGUGGUGGAAACAUGUGUGACGAAGUACACCCCUACAGGGUUAUAAAUGAUCUAUUCGAAUAGCCGUGUCCGCGGUAAAGGACUUCUGGGUUGCCUAUAACAGUUCAUAGACAAGUGAAAGUGGAUACUCUAAAAACUCGCAAGAUAAGUGUGAGUGCUAUGGAUGGCCUUCUCGUAGGGAGACGAGAGCGGAUCCAUAGUGGUGUAUUGAAUGGUGAAUAUGUGGACUCGUGUGCGCCACCUCAAAAGAGUUGCUUUCAAUCGUAUUUCAGGUUAGCCCCGGAGUCAAAGCUGGCUUGCUGUAGUUAAACUCCACCCCCCCCCUUUGAUGAUACCGAUGCAUAUGUAGUUUAGAUCUGAUGUAAGUCUUGCUGAGUACCUUUGUACUCACGUUUGCUUAAUUUAUGUUUUGUAGAGAGACUUCAGUCUCGCUAGUAGUUCCGCGUGGACCUCGAGGUUUAGCUUGAUACCUCAGCUACGAUCUUGUGCCCUCGACAGGAUCUGGUAGAUAGUCAGGCUUCUUAGCCUUUUUCAUUUAUAGAUGUCUGUACUCAGACAUGUUAAGCUUCCGCAUGUGCUUUGGAUUGUAUGCUAUGAUUGUUGGGUCAUGAGACCCAUGCUUGUAAUAUCUGGCUCUUCAGAGCCUAAUGAAUUAAUACUUGAGUCGUAGAGUCUUGUUGUGAUGCCAUGUUGUAUUUACACAUAUCGACCAUAUUGUGUGUAUGAUUGAAAUGCUUGGUAUGUGUAGGAUCCGACAACCUAGUUGUUUAUCCCUCGCAACCUUUCUUAUGGGGAAAUGUAGUCUAGUGUUCCUUGAGCCAUAGUAGUCCGCUAUAGCCCGGUUCACCGGAGUCCUACUAGCCCAGCACUACUGUUCAGGACACUUGACUGGCCGGCAUGUGUUUCACUUCGUCCCUAUGUCUGUCCCUUCGGGGAAAUGUCACGCGGUGAUUUCCGGUGUCCUGCCUAGCCUCCUACAGCCCGGGAUCCCCGGAGUCCUGUUAGCCCAGUGCCACAGCCCGGAAUCACUCGUUGAUGACCGACAUGUUCGAUGUGAUUCAUGUAUGCCUGUCUCCAUAGGUCUGUGCCGCUUUGGGUUCACGACAAGCCAUGUCGGCCCAGGUUCUUUGUCAUAUGGAUGCUAGCGACACUAUCAUAUACGUGAGCCAAAAGGCGCAAACGGUCCCGGGCCAGUUAAGGUGGCACCCGUGGGAAUACCGCGCGUGAGGCCACAAAGUGAUAUGAUGUGUUACAUGCUAGAUUGGUGUAACCUAGGAUCGGGGUCCUGACACUAUCGUUGUGGUUUUGAUGCGUAGGUAAGAUUGGUUCUUGCUUAAGCCCGUAGCAGCCACGUAAAACUUGCAACAAACAAAGUAGAGGACGUCUAACUUGUUUUUGUAGGGCAUGUUGUGAUGUGAUAUGGUCAAGACAUGAUGCUAAAUUUUAUUGUAUGAGAUGAUCAUGUUUUGUAACUGAGUUAUCGGCAAUUGGCAGGAGCCAUAUGGUUGUCGCUUUAUUGUAUGCAAUGCAAUCGCCCUGUAAUGCUUUACUUUAUCACUAAGCGGCCGGUAGCGAUAGUCGUAGAAGCAUAAGAUUGGCGAGACGACAACGAUGCUACGAUGGAGAUCAAGGUGUCGCGCCGGUGACGAUGGUGAUCAUGACGGUGCUUCAGAGAUGGAGAUCACAAGCACAAGAUGAUGAUGGCCAUAUCAUAUCACUUAUAUUGAUUGCAUGUGAUGUUUAUCUUUUAUGCAUCUUAUCUUGCUUUGAUUGACGAUAGCAUUAUAAGAUGAUCUCUCACUAAAUUAUCAAGAAGUGUUCUCCCUAUGUAUGCACCGUUGCUAAAGUUCGUCGUGCCCAGACACCACGUGAUGAUCGAGUGUGAUAAGCUCUACGUCCAUCUACAACGGGUGCAAGCCAAUUUUGCACACGCAGAAUACUUGGGUUAAACUUGACGAGCCUAGCAUAUGCAGAUAUGGCCUCGGAACACGGAGACUGAAAGGUCGAGCGUGAAUCAUAUAGUAGAUAUGAUCAACAUAAUGAUGUUCACCAUUGAAAACUAAUCCAUUUCACGUGAUGAUCGGUUAUGGUUUAGUUGAUUUGGAUCACGUGAUCACUUAGAGGAUUAGAGGGAUGUCUAUCUAAGUGGGAGUUCUUAAGUAAUAUGAUUAAUUGAACUUCAAUUUAUCAUGAACUUAGUCCCUGAUAGUAUCUUGCUUGUUUAUGUUGAUUGUAGAUAGAUGGCCCGUGCUGUUGUUCCAUUAAAUUUUAAUGCGUUCCUUGAGAAAGCAAAGUUGAAAGAUGAUGGUAGCAAUUACACGGACUUGGUCCAUAACUUGAGGAUUAUCCUCAUUGCUGCACAGAAGAGUUACGUCCUGGAAGCACCGCUGGGUGCCAGGCCUGCUGCUGAUGCAACUGACGACGUUAAGAACGUCUGGCAGAGCAAAGCUGAUGACUACUCGAUAGUUCAAUGUGCCAUGCUUUACGGCUUAGAACCGGGACUUCAACGGCGUUUUGAACAUCAUGGGGCAUAUAAGAUGUUCCAGGUGUUGAAGUUAAUAUUCCAGCAGAAUGCCCGGAUUGAGAGAUAUGAAGUCUCCAAUAAAUUCUAUAGCUGCAAGAUGGAGGAGAAUAGUUCUGUCAGUGAGCAUAUACUCAAGAUGUCUGGGUAUUGUAAUCACUUGAUUCAACUGGGAGUUAAUCUUCCGGAUGAUAGCGUCAUUGACAGAAUUCUCCAAUCACUUCCACCAAGCUACAAGAGCUUCGGGAUGAACUAUAAUAUGCAAGGGAUGGAUAAGACAAUUCCCGAGCUCUUCGCAAUGCUAAAGGUUGCGGAGGUAGAAAUCAAGAAGGAGCAUCAAGUGUUGAUGGUCAACAAGACCACUUGUUUCAAGAAAAAGGGCAAAGGGAAGAAGAAGGGGAACUUCAAGAAGAACAGCAAGCAAGUUGCUGCUCAGGAGAAGAAACCCAAGUCUGGACCUAAGCCUGAAACCGAGUGCUUCUACUACAAGCAGACUGGUCACUUGAAGCGGAACUGCCCCAAGUAUUUGGCGGAUAAGAAGGAUGGCAAAGUGAACAAAGGUAUAUGUGAUAUAGAUGUUAUUGAUGUGUACCUUACUAGAGCUCGCAGUAGCACCUGGGUAUUUGAUACUGGUUCUGUUGCUAAUAUUUGCAACUCGAAACAGGGACUACGGAUUAAGCGAACACUGGCAAAGGACGAGGUGACGAUGCGCAUGGGAAAUGGUUCCAAAGUCGAUGUGAUCGCGGUCGGCAUGCUACCUCUACAUCUACCUUCGGGAUUAGUAUUAGACCUAAAUAAUUGUUAUUUGGUGCCAGUGUUGAGCAUGAACAUUAUAUCUAGAUCUUGUUUAAUGCGAGACGGUUAUUCAUUUAAAUCAGAGAAUAAUGGUUGUUCUAGUUAUAUGAGUAAUAUCUUUUAUGGUCAUGCACCCUUGAAGAGUGGUCUAUUUUUGAUGAAUCUCGAUAGUAGUGAUACACAUAUUCAUAAUGUUGAAGCCAAAAGAUGCAGAGUUGAUAAUGAUUGUGCAACUUAUUUGUGGCACUGCCAUUUAGGUCAUAUCGGUGUAAAGCGCAUGAAGAAACUCCAUACUGAUGGACUUUUGGAACCACUUGAUUAUGAAUCACUUGGUACUUGCGAACCGUGCCUCAUGGGCAAGAUGACUAAAGCACCAUUCUCCGGUACUAUGGAGAGAGCAACAGAUUUGUUGGAAAUCAUACAUACAGAUGUAUGUGGUCCGAUGAAUGUUGAGGCUCGUGGCGGAUAUCAUUAUUUUCUCACCUUCACAGAUGAUUUAAGCAGAUAUGGGUAUAUCUACUUAAUGAAACAUAAGUCUGAAACAUUUGAAAAGUUCAAAGAAUUUCAGAGUGAAGUGGAAAAUCAUCGUAACAAGAAAAUAAAGUUUCUACGAUCUGAUCGUGGAGGAGAAUAUUUGAGUUACGAGUUUGGUGUACAUUUGAAACAAUGCGGAAUAGUUUCGCAACUCACGCCACCCAGAACACCACAACGUAAUGGUGUGUCCGAACGUCGUAAUCUUACUUUACUAGAUAUGGUGCAAUCUAUGAUGUCUCUUACAGAUUUACCGCUAUCGUUUUGGGGUUAUGCUUUAGAGACGGCCACAUUCACGUUAAGUAGGGCACCAUCAAAAUCCGUUGAGACGACAACUUAUGAACUGUGGUUUGGCAAGAAACCAAAGUUGUCAUUUCUUAAAGUUUGGGGCUGCGAUGCUUAUGUGAAAAAGCUUCAACCUGAUAAGCUCGAACGAUAAUCGGAGAAAUGUGUCUUCAUAGGAUACCCAAAGGAAACUGUUGGUUACACCUUCUAUCAUAGAUCCGAAGGCAAGACAUUCGUUGCUAAAAAUGGAUCCUUUCUAGAGAAGGAGUUUCUCUCGAAAGAAGUGAGUGGGAGGAAAGUAGAACUUGAUGAGGUAACUAUACCUGCUCCCUUAUUGGAAAGUAGUUCAUCACAGAAACCGGUUUCUGCGACACCUACACCAAUUAGUGAUGAAUUUAAUGAUGAUGAUCAUGAAAUUUCAGAUCAAGUUACUACUGAGCCUCGUAGAUCAACCAGAGUAAGAUCCGCACCAGAGUGGUACGGUAAUCCUGUUCUAGAAGUCAUGCUACUAGAUCAUGAUGAACCUACGAACUAUGAAGAAGCGAUGGUGAGCCCAGAUUCCGCAAAAUGGCUUGAAGCCAUGAAAUCUGAGAUGGGAUCCAUGUAUGAUAACAAAGUAUGGACUUUGGUUGACUUGCCCGAUGAUCGGCAAGCAAUUGAGAACAAAUGGAUCUUUAAGAAGAAGACUGACGUGACGGUAAUGUUACUGUCUACAAAGCUCGACUUGUCGCAAAAGGUUUUCAACAAGUUGAAGGGAUUGACUACGAUGAGACCUUCUCACCCGUAGCGAUGCUUAAGUCUAUCCGAAUCAUGUUAGCAAUUGCCGCAUUUUAUGAUUAUGAAAUUUGGCAGAUGGAUCUAAAAACUGCAUUCCUGAAUGGAUUUCUGGAAGAAGAGUUGUAUAUGAUGCAACCAGAAGGUUUUAUCGAUCCAAAGGGAACUAACAAAGUGUGCAAGCUCCAGCGAUCCAUUUAUGGACUGGUGCAAGCCUCUCGGAGUUGGAAUAAACUCUUUGAUAGUGUGAUCAAAGCAUUUGGGUUUGUAUAGACUUUUGGAGAAGCCUGUAUUUACAAGAAAGUGAGUGGGAGCUCUAUAGCAUUUCUGAUAUUAUAUGUGGAUGACAUAUUACUAAUCGGAAAUGAUAUAGAAUUUCUGGAUAGCAUAAAGGGAUACUUGAAUAAGAGUUUUUCAAUGAAAGACCUCGGUGAAGCUGCUUACAUAUUGGGCAUUAAGAUCUAUAGAGAUAGAUCAAGACGCUUAAUUGGACUUUCACAAAACACAUACCUUGACAAAGUUUUGAAGAGGUUCAAAAUGGAUCAAGCAAAGAAAGGGUUCUUGCCUGUGUUACAAGGUGUGAAGUUGAGUAAGAAUCAAUGCUCGACCACUUCAGAAGAUAGAGAGAAAAUGAAAGAUGUUCCCUAUGCUUCAGCAGUAGGCUCUAUCAUGUAUGCAAUGCUGUGUACCAGACCUGAUGUGUGCCUUGCUAUAAGUUUAGCAGGGAGGUACCAAAGUAAUCCAGCAGUGGAUCACUGGACGGCGGUCAAGAACAUCCUGAAGUACCUAAAAAGGACUAAGGAUAUGUUUCUCGUAUAUGGAGGUGACAAAGAGCUCAUUGUAAACAGUUACGUUGAUGCAAGCUUUGACACUGAUCCGGACAAUUCUAAAUCGCAAACCAGAUACGUGUUUACAUUAAACGGUGGAGCUGUCAGUUGGUGCAGUUCUAAACAAAGCGUCGUGGCAGGAUCUACAUGUGAAGCGGAGUACAUAGCUGCUUCGGAAGCAGCAAACGAAGGAGUCUGGAUGAAGGAGUUCAUAUCCGAUCUAGGUGUCAUACCUAGUGCAUCGGGUCCAAUGAAAACCUUUUGUGACAAUACUAGUGCAAUUGCCUUGGCAAAGGAAUCCAUAUUUCACAAAAGAACCAAGCACAUCAAGAGACGCUUCAAUUCCAUCCGAGAUCUAGUCCAGGUGGGAGAGAUAGAGAUUUGCAAGAUACAUACGGAUCUGAAUGUAGAAGACCCAUUGACUAAGCCUCUUCCACGAGCAAAACAUGAUCAUCACCAAGGCUCCAUGGGUGUCAGAAUCAUUACUGUGUAAUCUAGAUUAUUGACUCUAGUGCAAGUGGGAGACUGAAGGAAAUAUGCCCUAGAGGCAAUAAUAAAGUUAUUAUUUAUUUCCUUAUAUCAUGAUGAAUGUUUAUUAUUCAUGCUGGAAUUGUAUUAACCGGAAACAUAAUACAUGUGUGAAUACAUAGACAAACAAAGUGUCACUAGUAUGCCUCUACUUGACUAGCUCGUUAAUCAAAGAUGGUUAUGUUUCCUAACCAUAGACAAAGAGUUUUUAUUUGAUUAAUAGGAUCACAUCAUUAGUUGAAUGAUAUGAUUGACAUGACCCAUUCCAUUAGCUUAGCACCCGAUCAUUCUUCAUGACUUAUACAUGUUCCUAUGACUAUGAGAUGAUGCAACUUCCGUUUACUGGAGGAACACUUUGUGUGCUACCAAACGUCACAACGUAACUGGGUGAUUAUAAAGGAGCCCUAUAGGUGUCUCCAAAGGUACAUAUUGGGUUGGCGUAUUUCGAGAUUAGGAUUUGUCACUCCGUUUGUCGGAGAGGUAUCUCUGGGCCCUCUCGGUAAUGCACAUCACAUAAGCCUUGCAAGCAUUGCAACUACUGUGUUACUUGUGAGACGAUGUAUUACGGAACGAGUAAAGAGACUUGCCGGUAAAGAGAUUGAACUAGGUAUUGGAUACCGACGAUCGAAUCUCGGGCAGGUAACAUAUCGAUGACAAAGGGAACAACGUAUGUAGUUAUGCGGUCUCAACGAUAAAGAUCUUCGUAGAAUAUGUAGGAUCCAAUAUGGGCAUCCAGGUCCUGCUAUUGGUUAUUGACCGGAAACGUGUCUCGGUCAUGUCUACAUUGUUCUCGAACCGUAGGGUCCGCACGCUUAAAGUUACGAUGACAGUUUCAUUAUGAGUUUAUGUAUUUUGAUGUACCGAAGGUUGUUCGGAGUCCCGGAUGUGAUCACGGACAUGACGAGGAGUCUCGGAAUGGUCGAGACAUAAAGAUCGAUAUAUUGGAAGCCUAUAUUUGGACAUCGGAAUCGUUUUGGGUGAAAUCGGCAUUAUACCGGAGUACCGGGGGGUUACCGGAACCCCCCGGGGGGUUAUUGGGCCUACAUGGGCCUUGAGGAAGAAGAGAGAAGGAGGUAGGAGGUGGCCGCGCGCCCCUCCCCUUCCUAGUAUGAAUAGGACAAGGGAAGGGGGCGGUGCCCCCCCCUUUCCUUCCCCUCUUCCUCCUCUUUCCUCCCUUCUCCUUCUCCAACUAGGAAAGAAGGGAGUCCUACUCCCGGUGGGAGUAGGACUCCCCCCUGGUGCGCCCCUCCUUGGCCGGCCGCCCCCUCCCCUUGGCUCCUUUAUAUACGGGGGCAGGGGGGCACCCUAGGACACAGAAGUUGACCUUCGUGAUCGUUCCUUAGCCGUGUGCGGUGCCCCCCUCCACGAUAUUACACCUCGAUCAUAUUGUAGUAGUGCUUAGGCGAAGCCCUGCGACGGUUAAACAUCAAGAUCGUCACCACGCCGUCGUGCUGACGAAACUCCUCCCCGAAGCUUUGCUGGAUCGGAGCUCGGGGUGCAUCAUCGAGCUGUACGUGUGUCAAGAACUCGGAGGUGCUGGAGUAACGGUGCUUGGAUUGGUUGGACCGGGAAGACGUACGACUACUUCCUCUACGUUGCGUCAACGCUUCCGCUUCGGUCUACGAGGGUACGUAGACAACACUCUCCCCUCUCGUUGCUAUGCAUCACCAUGAUCUUGCGUGUGCGUAGGAAAUUUUUUGAAAUUACUACAUUCCCCAACAGUUGCUCCACCGACGUACUCCUUCCUCCUAUAUAUACCUGCGUACCCCCAAACGACCAGAUACGGAGCCAAAACCCUAAUUCCACCACCGCAACUUUCUGUAUCCACGAGAUCCCAUCUUGGCGCCUGUUCCGGAGCUCCACCGGAGAGGGCAUCGAUCACGGAGGGCUUCCACAUGAACAGCAUAGCCUCUCCGAUGAAGUGUGAGUAGUUGACCUCAGACCUACAGUCCAUAGUUAUUACCUAGAUGGCUUCUCCUCUCUUUUUGGAUCUCAAUACAAUGUUCUCCCCUCUCUUGUGGAGAACUAUUCGAUGUAAUCUUCUUUUUGCGGUGUGUUUAUUGAGACCGAUGAAUUGUGGGUUGAUGAUCAAGUCUAUCUAUGAAUAAUAUUUGAAUCUUCUCUGAAUUCUUUUAUGUAUGAUUGUUUAUCUUUGCGAGUCUCUUCGAACUAUUAGUUUGGUUUGGCCUACUAGAUUGAUCUUUCUUACAAUGGGAGAAGUGCUUAGCUUUAGGUUCAAUCUUGCGGUGUCCUUUCCCAGUGACAGUAGGGGCAGCAAGGCAUGUAUUGUAUUUUUGCCAUCGAGGACAACAAGAUGGGGUUUUCAUCAUAUUGCAUUAGUUUAUCCCUCUACAUCAUGUCAUCUAGCUUAAGGCGUUACUCUGUUUUUAACUUAAUACUCUAGAAGCAUGCUGGAUAGCGGUCGAUGAGUGGAGUAAUAGUAGUAGAUGCAGGCAGAAGUCGGUCUACUUGUCUCGGACGUGAUGCCUAUAUACAUGAUCAUACCUAGAUAUUCUCAUAAAUAUGCUCAAUUCUGUCAAUUGCUCAACAGUAAUUUGUUCACCCACCAUAGAAUAAUUAUGCUCUCGAGAGAAGCUACUAGUGAAACCUAUGGCCUCGGGAUCUAUGUUUAUCAUAUUAAUCUUCUACUACUUAGUUAUUUCCUUUGCCUUUAUUUUACUUUUCAUUUUUAUCAAAAAAAAUACCAAACAUAUUAUCUUUAUCAUAUCUAUUAGAUCUCACUCUCGUAAGUGGCCGUGUAGGGAUUGACAACCCCUAUUCGUGUUGGUUCCGAGGAUUUAUUUGUUUUGUGCAAGUACGAGGGACUCGCACGUAGCCUCCUACUGGAUUGAUACCUUGGUUCUCAAAAACUGAGGGAAAUACUUAUGCUACUUUGCUGCAUCAUCCCUUCCUCUUCGGGGAAAACCAACGCAGUGCUCAAGAGGUAGCAAGAAGGAUUUCUGGUGCCGUUGCCGGGGAGGUCUACGCAAAAGUCAACAUACCAAGUACCCAUCACAUACCCUUAUCUCCCGCAUUACAUUAUUUGCCAUUUGCCUCUCGUUUUCACCUCCCCCACUUCACCCUUGCCGUUUUAUUCGCCGUCUCUCUCUAUCCUCCCUCUCUUUCUCUAUUUGCCUCUUUUUUCCCGCUUGCUUUCUGUUUGCUUGUGUGUUAGUUGCUUGCUUGUCAUGAUGGCUCAAGAUAAUACUAAAUUAUGUGACUUCACGAUGGCUAAAGCUUGGUUUUCAUCUUUGCCUAAAAAUAGUAAUGAUUCAUGGAAUAAGUGCAAAGAUGCUUUUUUCUCUAAGUAUUUUCCUCCUGCUAAGAUCAUCUCUCUUAGAAACGAUAUUAUGAAUUUUAAGCAACUUGAUCAUGAACAUGUUGCACAAGCUUGGGAGAGAAUGAAACUAAUGGUACAUAAUUGCGCUGCCCAUGGUUUAAAUUUGUGGAUGAUUAUACAAAUAUUUUAUGCCGGAUUGAAUUUUGCUUCAAGAAAUCUUUUAGAUUUGGCCGCGGGAGGCACUUUUAUGGAAAUCACUUUAGGAGAAGCUACUAAACUCAUAGAUAAUAUUAUGGUGAAUUAUGCUCAACGGCAUACUGAAAGAUCUACUAAUAAAAAGGUGCAUGCGAUAGAAGAAAUUAAUGUUUUGAGUGGAAAGAUGGAUGAACUUAUGAAAUUAUUUGCUAAUAAGAGUGUUUCUUCUAAUCCUAAUGAUAUGCCCUUGUCUAGUUUGAUUCAGAAUAAUAACGAAUCUAUGGAUGUGGAUUUUGUUGGUAGGAACAAUUUUGGUAACAACGCGUAUAGAGGAAAUUUCAACCCUAGGCCUUAUCCUAGUAAUCUCUCUAAUAAUUAUGGUAAUUCCGACAACAAUUCUUAUGGAAAUUAUAAUAAGAUGCCCUCUGAUUUUGAAUCUAAUAUUAAAGAAUUUAUUACUUCGCAAAAGAAUUUCAAUGCUUUGAUUGAAGAAAAAUUGCUUAAGAUUGAUGAUUUGGCUAGGAACGUUGAUAGAAUUACUCUUGAUGUUGAUUCUUUGAAACUUAGAUCUAUUCCACCUAAGAAUGAUGUCAAUGAGUCUCUCAAAGCCAUGAGAAUUUCCAUUGAUGAGUGCAAAGAAAGAACCGCUAGGAUGCGUGCUAAGAAAGAUGCCUUUAUAAUAGCGUGUUCUUCUAGUUCCUAUGAAAAUAAUGAUGAAGAUCUAAAAGUUAUUGAUGUGUUCCCUAUUAAAUCUUUGUUUUGCAAUAUGAAUCUUGAUAGUGAUGGGACUGAAUAUGAUCCACCUUUACCUAGAAGGCGUUCCAAGAAUUCAGAAUUUGUUGAUCUUGAUGCUAAAAUUGAUAAAGGAGGGAUUGAAGAAAUUAAAACCCUAGAUGUUGCUAAACCCACUAUUAUGGAUUUCAAGGACUUUAACUAUGAAAAUUGCUCUUUGAUUGAUUGUAUAUCCUUUUUACAAUCCGUGCUAAAUUCUCCUCAUGCUUAUAGUCAAAAUAAAUCGUUUACUAAACAUAUCGUUGAUACCUUGAUGCAAUCUUAUGAAGAAAAACUUGAAUUGGAAGUUUCUUUCCCUAGAAAGCUUUAUGAUGAGUGGGAACCAACUAUUAAAAUUAAAAUUAAAUAUCAUGAAUGCUAUGCUUUAUGUGAUUUGGGUGCUAGUGUUUCCACGAUUCCAAAGACUUUGUGUGAUUUGUUAGGUUUCCAUGAUUUUGAUGAUUGCUCUUUAAACUUGCGCCUUGCGGAUUCCACUAUUAAGAAACCUAUGGGAAGAAUUAAUGAUGUUCUUAUUGAUGCAAAUAGGAAUUAUGUGCUUGUAGAUUUUAUUGUUCUUGACAUAGAUUGCAAUCUUUCAUGUCCUAUUAUUCUUGGUAGACCUUUCCUUAGAACGAUUGGUGCAAUUAUUGAUAUGAAGGAAGGAAAUAUUAGAUUCCAAUUUCCAUUAAGGAAAGGCAUGGAACACUUUACUAGAAAGUCAAUUAAAUUACCUUAUGAAUCUAUUAUGAUAGCCACUUAUGGAUUGUUGGGGAACGUAGUAAUUUCAAAAAAUUUCCUACGCACACGCAAGAUCAUGGUGAUGCAUAGCAACGAGAGGGGAGAGUGUUGUCUAUGUACCCUCGUAGACUGAAGCGGAAGCGUUGACGCAACGUAGAGGAAGUAGUCGUACGUCUUCCUGAUCCGACCGAUCCAAGCACCGUUACUCAGGCACCUCCGAGGUCUUGGCACACGUUCAGCUCGAUGACGAUCCCCAGGCUCCGAUCCAGCAAAGCGUCGGGGAGGAGUUCCGUCAGCACGACUGCGUGGUGACGAUCUUGAUGUUCUACCGUCGCAGGGCUUCGCCUAAGCACCGCUAAAAUAUGACCGAGGUGUAAUAUCAUGGAGAGGGGCACCGCACAAGGCUAAGGAACAAUCACGAAGAUCAACUUGUGUGUCCAUGGGGUGCCCCCUGCCCCCGUAUAUAAAGGAGUGGAGGACGGGAGGGCGACCCUCUCUAUGGCGCGCCCUAGGGGAGUCCUACUCCCAUAGGGAGUAGGAUUCCCCCUUUUCCUAGUCCAACUAGGAGUCCUUCCAUGUAGUAGCACUAGUGCAGAACCGGGCAAUAGCACCGGUUCGUAAGGCCCUUUAGUGCCGGUUAGGUAACCGGCACUAAAAUUUCAGCACUAAAGGCCCCCCCUUUAGUACCGGUUCAGCACGAACCGGUGCUAAAGGGCAACCACAUGGCACGAGCGAGCUCCGGGGGCCGGGAGCCCUUUAGUACCGGUUGGUAACACCAACCGGUACUAAAAUGUUUGGGGGGUUUUUGGUUUUAUGAUUUCUUUUUCAUUAAAUUUUGUGUUUUCCAUUUUAAUUCUUUUUCGUUUGCUGGUAUUUUACGGUACUACACGUUGUACACGUUAUAUAUAUAUAUAUAUAUAAAUAGAAUUUCUAGUAGAACCAAUCAUAUAUAUAUCAUCAAUCAUGUCUCACAAAACACCAUAUUAAUUCACACAUACACACAUGUAUAGCUAUAUACAAUUUCUCCUACAUAUGCAUGUUGCCUUCGGAGCCAGUGGCAUUAGCCUGAUUGGUGCCUUCGGAGCACGAUGACAAUUGGAAGUGGUUCAUGACCUGGUCGAUGGGGGCGGUAGCGGGUAAUAGUAUUCUCCCUUCGGAUUUAUGACCUGGUCGAGCAAAAAUCCUGCUAUUUCCUAUUGAAGUGCUUCUACGCGCUCCGUUUCUAGGAGCUUGUCCCGCACCUCUUUGAACUAUUAAGAAGGAGAUCAAUAUGCAUGUGUAUUAGUUGUGUGACUAGAUAUUGAUAAUGGUGUAAAAAUUGUGAAUAGUGUUCUGACAAGCGUACCCAUUCCUGUCUUUGAGAUCUGCUCCUUCCGGACGCCAUCAUGCGAAUGUUCUCGCAAACGCAGAAUGCACACAGUUCAGUCCCCUGCGCCUGCUUCAGGGCCUUUAUUACGAGAAUGGAAUUUAAUUUGAUCAGAUAAUAAUUAAUCAAGCAUGAUAAUUAAAGAGAUGGCAGCUAGCUAGCUAGCUAGUACUACUUAAUUACUUACCUUGGCUCGAGACCAUUUCAGCUGUGGUUUCCAUUCGCCUUCCGUGUCGCUGAUGAACCUUGCCCAAGCCCUGCCCGCCGACAAAGAAAAUGAAUAAAGGGGUUAUUAAAUAGUUCAUAUCAUGAAAUGAAGAACUAAAUAGGCCGAGAUAUAUAGUUAAUAAUGAUUGAAAUUACCUGUUGACUAUCCCAAACAAGAUGUUAUAGUCACUAUUUCCUUUGAGUAGCGAGUCCAGUAUUUCAACUAUUCCGGCAUCAACUUUAAUGAUACACAAGAUCCAGUGAAAUCUGCAUGCACACACGUUUGCAAGUCUUAAUUAAGCGGGCAUAUGUAAGCAAAAACAUGUAGCUAGCUAGUAGGCAAAAAUAGAGAAUUUGUAGUACAAGAAAGUGUGACUCACUGGCAGUUGUAAGGAAGUAGUAUAUCUUCAUUGUAUUUGAGGAGCUUCAAGAACUCUAGCAUGCUGUCCUCUACCUCUUUUUCAUGAUGCUUGUUUAUUUUCCAUGUGUAUUCAUUAACGGUGUUUGGGUCAAUGAACCCAAUGCCAUAGCGUCCACCUUUUCUCAUUCCAUACAUCUUCAUCCUGCAUAAUACCACAGAAAAGAAUAUAGUAAGGAUAAUUACACGUAAUGAUUGAUCAAAAGGAUCACUACAGCUAGCUUGAGACUUAAAUUACAGAAAGAAAUCACUUACAGACAAUAGCAACUGACGAUAGAUUUGUCGAGUGUGUCUUGAUUGUAUAACUGAAACAGUUCAGAAUACUCAACGGCCACAACUUUCUCAUGGUAGUAAUCAUCCUUCUUGACAUACACCAUGAGGGACUCUCGAUCGGAUCUCUUGGUAAUGUCCAUGUACCAUUGAUGCAAUUCAUACAUUCUCGUUGGGAGCUUCUUGACAUCUUCUGGCUCGACCAAAGGUUGGCCCCGAACAUAUUUCCGUUUUAUUUCCUCCUCUGUAAUCAGAGGCAUGUCCUCGAUCUCGAGGAGUUGUCCAACAGUGAUCUUGAGUUCUUCAGCCUGCAUUAUAUGCUCCUCGGUUAUUACCACAUCGCCCACCUCGGGAAUGUAAACUGUUUGGCCACAAUAAUAUUGGGCGCGCGUACUGUCACGUGUUGUUGGCGGCACAACAAGCGGNNNNNNNNNNNNNNNNNNNNNNNNNNNNNNNNNNNNNNNNNNNNNNNNNNNNNNNNNNNNNNNNNNNNNNNNNNNNNNNNNNNNNNNNNNNNNNNNNNNNNNNNNNNNNNNNNNNNNNNNNNNNNNNNNNNNNNNNNNNNNNNNNNNNNNNNNNNNNNNNNNNNNNNNNNNNNNNNNNNNNNNNNNNNNNNNNNNNNNNNNNNNNNNNNNNNNNNNNNNNNNNNNNNNNNNNNNNNNNNNNNNNNNNNNNNNNNNNNNNNNNNNUUCCCAGCUGGGCAACGGUUUUCCUGCAUUUUUUGACAGCUGCUUGUUGUUUGCUCGAGCUCGAGCUCGCCUCCUUCUGUAGACGUUGUCGAUGUAACUUCCUGAUGUGGCGCUCAUAGUCUGUUUCAACAGGCUUAGGAGCUAGUGGUUGAGCCAUACGAAUGAAGUGGUCAACUACUUCCACAGGCACUUUCUCCCUUGGCGGCGGUGGCGGUUUCGGUCCAAAAUGGGCGUCGACUUCUGCCCGCACUAUGGCAUUGGUUUGCUCCUCAGUCCUGUCGUAAGCCCUCACAGGAAGAGGAGUACUGAGGUUUGGACCAUAUUUAUAUCGCUUGCCUCCACCUGUACUUCCUGUACUAUCACCUCGACUCGUACCGCUACGCACCAUAGCUGCGGGGUGUCUCUUCUGCGAUUGCUGAGGCGGCGGAGACGGCAGACGGGGCUGAGUUAGACGAGGAGGAGUGGCCUGAAGCUGUGCCGGACUUGGAGGAGGAGUGGCCUGAGGUUGUGCCGGACUUGGAGGAGGAGUGGACGUCUGACGCUGUGUCGGACUUGGAGGAGGAGUGGCCUCACACAUUGCCGGACUUGGAGGAGGAGGAGUGGCCUCACGCGUUGAUGGACUUGGAGCGGGAGUCUGCUGACUCGGUGGUGGACUUCGACGAGGAGUCGGGUGACGCGGUGUCGGUGGCCUUCGAAAGAUGAUGCAAUCCUUUCUCCAUAGGAUGACAUGAUGUAUGGCCUCUCCCAAUGUGUGCUCGUCGUCACCUCUAGGAAUGUCAAGUUGUAGCUCCGAAUAUGGGUCCACCACCUCAUCAACCAAGACACGAGCAUAGCCUGCUGGAAUCGGGUUGCAAUGGAAGGUUGCCUCGGGGGAAUUUGAAAAAGCAACGGCGUCCGCCACCUUCAUGGAUAUGUUCUUCAUUUUGAAGUGUACCUCGCAGUUAGUGUUCUCCGUGAUGUCAUCCAUGGGGUAUCUAUCCAGCACUGCGUCGCCCGGGGCGGAACCCACGCUGCUUCUCGGCAUGGAUGGGGUGGUGGUAUCCAAUGCUGGAUCAUCCGCUAGGUGCUGCAGCUGCUGAGACCCCAUUUGCUGGCUAAGUGAGUCGAUCUGCUCCUGCUGCCGCUGGAAUUUAGCUGCCAAUUCCGCUUGACUUGCUUCUAGGCCUUGAAGGCGUUCAUAGUCCCGCUUCCUUUGCUCCUCCUCCAUCUUCCUCUUCUUCUCCUCCGCAAUCUUCUUUCUCGCACGGGUUCUGUAGUCGGCGUUCCAGUCCGAAAACCCCUCAUACCACGGAAUAGCGCCCUUGCCUCGUGGUCUUCCCGGGUGUUCAGGAUUUCCCUGGGCACGCGUAAGCUCGUCCUUCUCUCUGUUGGGCUGAAACACCCCCGAUCGAGCCUCUUCUAUUGCAACAAGUAGCGCAUCGUCGGCUCCAUUCAGACAUGCCUUCGUCAAAACAUUGCCUGUCUUCGGGUCCAACUCCCCCCCAUGCGCAUAGAACCAAGUCCUGCACCUAGGGGGCCAACUCUUAGUAAACGGAGUGGCACCUGCAUCCUCCAUCUCUUUCUCAGACUUAUCCCACUUAGGCAUUGCCACCGUGUAGCCAGCUGGCCCCAGCUUAUGGAACUUAUCCUUUUUUCGGCAUUCUUCUUGUUUAUUCUCGACCGUUCCUUAGCUAAUUCGGAAUCCUUGAAUUUCAUGAAAUCGUCCCAAUGAGAACUUUGAUUCUCUAGUAUCCCCUCGAAUACUGGAGUCUUCCUUCCUCCCUUGACGUACUUCUCCCACGUCGUUCUCUUGUGGUUCUUGAAUGCAACCGCCAUCUUCCUAAAAGCAGCGUCCUUGACUUUCUGCACAUCUGCUUCCGUGAAAUGAUCUGGUAGGGUGAAAUGUUCCAUGAGAGUAUCCCAAAGCAGUUUUUUAUAUUCUCGUCUACAAAAGUAUCAUUUGGACGUGGCUUUGCUGGCUUUCUCCAUUCUUGAAGGGAGAUCGGGAGUUGGUCCUUCACAAGAACUCCACACUAACGAACGAACUUGUCCGCAAUCUUCUUAGGCGCUAAUGGUUCGCCAUUAGGUUUGAAUGCCUCGAUAUUGUACUUUACGCCCUCCUUCAACUUUUUGUUCGGGCCUCGUUUUGUCCUUUUGCCUGAAGAUUUGCUCGAUCCGGAUGGCUGAAAGAAGAAAGAUCGAUUCGUUAAUAUAUCUUCAACUCAUUUAAAACAUGCGAUGAUCACCAGAUUCCUGCUUAUAUAAAUAUAUAUACCUCGCCGGUACAUGUUGUUUCAGGGUCAACAUGUUCUUCGUCGUAGUUCAGGACUUCAUCUUCUCGGUCAUCGCGAUCAAAUAUCAUAUCACCCUCUCCGGUGUUGUUUAGAAAUUCAGAGCCGUCAAAAUCUUCUUCAUUCUGAUCAUCAUCUGGCCCGCGUAUGAUACCGAACAUGGUAUGUUCUCUCUCUCUGUCGGUAUUGUCCGCCAUAGCUUUUAUUUAACUAUGCCAAAAGAAAUAUAAAAUAAUUUAGUAUAAUCUCGAAUAAUAGAUAUAAUCUCGAAUACAUCGUCUCGAAUAAUAGAUAUAAUCUCGAAUACAUCGUCUCGAAUAAUAGAUUUAAUCUCGAAUACAUCGUCUCGAAUAAUAGAUAUAAUCUCGAAUACAUCGUCUCGAAUAAUAGAUUUAAUCUCGAAUACAUCGUCUAGAAUAAUAGAUUUAAUCUCGAAUACAUCGUCUCGAAUAAUAUAUAAUAUUGAAUAGUACAUCAUUGGCUAGGCGGUGGACACCCAAAGAGAAGGAACCCUCACAGGAUCAUAGCUGAAGUGAGAGCCCCGAAGAAACUGCCAGGUUUUGGAGAACCUUCCGCCCUCUAACGCAACCAUGUAGCGAUGGAUGUAAUCGUCCUCCUCCCUGACACGACGACGUACCACCUCCGGCGGGGCCGGCUCCCUCCGCACCGAAACUGGCCCACGCGAACGCCACCAAACGAGAUCAGGGUCGAUCACAGGACCCGGGGCCGGGUUCCUCAUCAAGCGGCGCGCCCCUCCAGGCAGCACCUCCCAGUGCCAGCCCGGCGGAGCCCAGUCCCGGACAUGGGUCAGCUGGACGUCGUCGCGGACGUGUCGACGGUGAGGAUGUGGGCCGGGCAUCGUCGACAACAAAUACUAGCUAUAUGCCCGCAAAAAGUAACAUUUUUUUAAUGAUUGGAAUUUGAUAACUAAAAUUUCUAACAUUUCUAUAUAACACUAAUUAUGCUAUCAUUGCAUAUGUCAAAAUUCUAUAUGCUAUUUCAUACUAAUUAAGCAUCUAACACUAAAAACAGAAAACACAACUUCUAUACAUCCAUUAAAAAAACUGAAAAACAACAUUAUAUAAACAAAUUUCAAUACUAAUUAAACACUAAUUAUAUCCAUCUAACAUGCAUUCAUACAUAUAUGCUAGUGAAAAAAUAAUAAUCUAAAAAAUCUAAACUAAUUAAACAUACAAAAUACGUAUAUACUAAUAUAUACAUGCAUUAAUUCAUACAUAUGUACGUGUGUGUGUGUGUGUGCUCGGGGAGGGGUGGUGCCCAUGGUGGCCGCCGGGGGCGAGGGAGAGGGGUUAGAGGGGGAGAGCUCACAGCAGGGUGACGGCGACGGCCAGGGGCGGCGACGGGCCGGGGUGUGACGCGGGGGCGGCGACGCGGGGACGGUGCGACGGGGACGGGCCUGGGGCGGCGACGGGGACGGGCCCGAUGACGGGGACGGGGGCGGCGACGGCGACAUCGUCGAUUGAUCGGGGUGCGCGGGCGGUGCUUCAAUGGGGAAACAGAGGAAGAAACAAAGGGAGAAUGAAAUUUUCGUAAGUGUUCUAUAUAUAGAAGGCACCUUCAGUACCGGUUGGAGCCACCAACCGGUACUAAAGGCCUGUUUUGGCCAGGCCAAGCCGCGGGAAGCACCCCCCUUUAGUACCGGUUCCUGGCUCCAACCGGUACUAAAGGCCCCCCCUUUAGUACCGGUUGGUGCCACCAACCGGUACUAAAGGGGGGUACGCUGCCAGGCGAGGGGCACAAAACUUUAGUCCCACCUCGCUAGCCGAGGGGCACUCACACCUUCUUAUAAGCCCCGCCGUCGCUGCUGUCUCGAGCUCCACUCUUAAGCACGCCUUCUGGGCCUACCUCUUCUGCGAUGCCCUGUUGGGCCUACUGGGCUAGUGGGCCUGCAUCCUGGCCCAACUUGAAUAUGGGUUUCUAGUCGUAUGCAGGCCGCUGUGGCCCAGUAGGUGGGCUUUUUUUUCUUAUUUUUUUGCUUUAUUUAUUUUUGUGAAUAACUUAACUUUGAAAAUAGAUUUUUCAGUGAUUCUUUUUUCUUAUGUUUAAUAUUAGUGUGUUUUAUCAUUAUAUUCAAUUUGGUAAUGCUUAGGUUAUUUAAAAAAUGAAAUGCCUUUGUAACGGAUGAGUUUUCGUCCGAAACCCUGAUACUUCGAAACAGAUUGUCCAUUUUGUACACGAAGUGCAUCCAGUUUUUGCGGUAACCCUCUCUACUUUUUUGCACAUGCUAUGUGGGUGAAAUUAUGAUACCAUGCCAACUUUCAUCCUUUUCUGAGUUCAUUUGAAAUUCUUUUCAAUUUUAGGGUCAUUUAGGUGAAAAAAAUCAGUAAAUGCAUGAAAGAAUUUGCUUGCACAUAAAAUUUCUUCGCGUUUCAAAUGCCAAAACACAUAACUAGCUACCCUAACUAUUACAGAGAUUCCCUCCUGGGUGUGAAACACAGAAGAAAGUGAUGAUAGUUACGCCGAUCAUAUCCCAGAUCUUUGGGUGUGAAACUUUUUCUUCGCGUGUGUCCCUUUGCGUCGUAGCCAUGGAAAAUCUUCAUCAUUUAACGGGAUGCUCGGGUCAAUAUUCACUGUGAAUGGAGCAAUUUCAUCAAACUUUUCAUAAUCAUCUGACUUGUCUGUUUUGUCAUCCACUCCCAUGAUGUUUCUCUUCCCAGAAAGAACUAUGUGCCGCUUUGGCUCAUCGUACGAUGCAUUCACUUCCUUAUCUUUUCUUUUUCUUGGCUUGUUAGACAUGUCCUUCACACAGAAAACCUAUGCCACAUCAUUGGCUAGGACGAACGGUUCGUCUGCAUACGCAAGAUUGUUGAGAUCCACUGUUGUCAUUCCGUACUGCGGGUCUUCCAUUACCCAGCCUCGUGUCAUAUUAACCCAUUUGCACCGAAACAAAGGGACCUUCAAACCACGUCGAUAGUCAAGUUCCCAUAUGUCCUGUAUAUAACCAUAAUAUGUUUCCUUUCCCGUCUUGGUUUCUGCAUCAAAGCGGACACCACUGUUUUGGUUGGUGCUCUUAUUAUCUUGGGCGAUCGUGUAAAAUGUAUUACCAUUUAUCUCGUACCCUUUGAAAGUCAUUAUAUUCGAAGAUGGUAAUUGGGAUAGCAAGUACAUGUCAUCUUCAAUAGAGGUGUCAUGCAUGGUACGUGGUUGCAACCAGCUGGCGAAACUCCUGGUUUGUUCACGUGUAAUCCAGUCAUCAGACCGCUCCGGGUGUUUGGAGCGUAGCAAAUUCUUGUGUUCAUCCAUAUACGGAGCCACCGAGGCAGAAUUCUGUAGAACUAUGUAGUGUGCUUCAGUGAGAGAAUGUCCAGCCAUAUAUACAUAUUAUUUGUUCCCCUCCUAGCGUGCCUUUUCCAUCCAGUCUGCCCUUAUGCCGCGAUUCAGGAACACCAAUCGGCUUAAGGUCAGGAAUAAAGUCAAUACAAAACUCACUGACCUCCUCAUUUUGACGGCCCUUGGAGAUGCUUCCUUCUGGCCUAGCACGGUUAUGAACAUAUUUCUUUAAGUCUCCCACGAACCUCUCAAAGGGGAACAUAUUGUGUAGAAAUACAGGACCCAAAACGUUAAUCUCUUCGCAUAGGUGAACUAGGACGUGCGUCAUGAUGUUGAAGAAGGAUGGUGGGAACACCAACUCGAAACUGACAAGACAUUGCACCAAAUCAUUCUGUAACCUUGGUAUGAUUUCUGGAUCGAUUACCUUCUGAGAGAUUGCAUUGAGAAAUGCACAUAGCUUCACAAUGGCUAAUCGAACGUUUUCCGGUAGAAGCCCCCUCAAUGCAACCGGAAGUACUUGCGUCAUAAUCACGUGGCAGUCAUGAGACUUUAGGUUCUGGAACUUUUUCUCUGCCAUGUUUAUUAUUCCCUUUAUAUUCGACGAGAAGCCAGAUGGUACCUUAAUAAUGAGUAGGCAUUCAAAGAACAUUUCCUUCUCUUCUUUGGUAAGAGCGUAGCUUGCAUGACCCUGAUGUAUGCCGUCUUUUCCGUGCAUACGUUGCUGGUCCUCCUGUGCCUUAGGUGUAUCUUUUGUCAUCCCAUACACGCCCAAGAAGCCAAGCAGGGUCACACAAAGAUUCUUCGUCACGUGCAUCACGUCGAUUGCGGAGCGGACCUCGAGGUCUUUCCAAUAGUGCAGGUCCCAAAAUAUAGAUUUCUUCUUCCACAUGGGUGCGCGUCCGUCAGCGUCAUUCGGAACAGGUUGUCCACCAGGACCCUUUCUAAAGACCACCUUCAAAUCCUUGACCAUAUCAUGUACAUCAGCACCAGUACGGUGGCGAGGCUUCGUCCGGUGAUCCGCCUCACCUUUGAAAUGCUUGCAUUUCUUUCUUACGGGAUGCCUGCUCGUAAGAAAUCGACGAUGUCCUAGGUACACAUUCUUAUUAGCCAAAUAUAUACUGUCGGUAUCGUCCAAACAGUGCGUGCAUGCGCGGUAUCCCUUGUUUGUCUGUCCUGAAAGGUUACUGAGAGCAGGCCAAUCAUUGAUGGUCACGAACAGCAACGCCUUUAGGUCAAAUUCUUCCCCCAUGUGCUCAUCCCACACACGUACACCUGUUCCAUUCCAUAGUUGUAAGAGUUCUUCAACUAAUGGCCUUAGGUACACAUCAAUGUCGUUGCCGGGUUGCUUAGGGCCUUGGAUGAGCACUGGCAUCAUAAUGAACUUCCGCUUCAUGCACAACCAAGGAGGAAGGUUAUACAAACAUAGAGUCACAGGCCAAGUGCUAUGGUUGCUGCUCUGCUCCCCAAAAGGAUUAAUGCCAUCUGCGCUUAGACCAAACCAUACGCUCCUUGCGUCAUUUGCAAACUCCUUCCCGUACUUUCUUUCGAUUUUUCUCCACUGUGAACCGUCAGCGGUUAGUGUCAACUUUCCAUCUUUCUUACGGUCUUCGCUGUGCCAUCGCAUCGCCUUGGCAUGCUCUUUGUUUUGGAACAAACGUUUCAACCGUGGUAUUAUAGGAGCAUACCACAUCACCUUGGCAGGAAUCUUCUUCCUGGGGCGCCGGCCCUCGACAUCACCAGGGUCAUCGCGGCUGAUCUUAUAGCGCAAUACACCACAUACCGGGCAAGCGUUCAAAUCCUCGUACUCACCACGGUAGAGGAUGCAAUCAUUAGGGCAUGCAUGUAUCUUCUCCACCUCUAACCCUAGAGGGCAGAGAACCUUCUUUGCUUCGUACAUACUCUCGGGCAAUUCGUUGUCCUUUGGAAGGAUAUCCUUUAUCAUUACCAGCAACUUUCCAAAUCCCUUGUCAGAUACACCAUUCUCUGCCUUCCAUUGCAGCAAUUCCAGUGUGGUGCCCAGUUUUUUCUUGUCAGCUACGCAAUUCGGGUACAACAAUUUUUUGUGAUCCCCUAACAUGCACUGCAACUUCUUCUCCAAAUCACUUGCGCAGUUUCUCUUUGCAUCGGCAAUGGCCCGACCUAGAUCAUCAACGGGCUCAUCUGAUGCCUCUUCUUCAGCUUCUUCCCGCAUUGCCGGCUCAGCUUCUUCCCGCAUUACCGGCUCAGCUUCUUCCACCAUUGUUGUAUCAUCGUAUUCAGGGAACCCAUGGCCAGGAUAGCUGUCGUCGUCCUCUUCUUCUUCAUUGUCUUCCAUCAUAACCCCUCUUUAUCCGUGCUUGGUCCAAACAUUAUAAUGGGGCAUGAAACCAGACUUAAACAGGUGGACGUGAAUGGUUCUUGACGUACAGUAAUUGUGACCAUUCUUACAGCGAGCACAUGGACAAGGCAUAAAACCAUCCGCCCCCUUGUUUGCCUCAGCCGCAAGCAGAAAAGUAUGCACGCCCUCAACGAACUGGGGAGAGCAUCGGUCAUCGUACAUCCAUUGCCGGCUCAUCUUCAUUACACAACAACGAAUAGAACAAAUUAAUACAAGUUCAUACAUAAAGUUCAUACAACACUUAAAUGCAACAAACAAAUAACUCUCUAGCUAAAGCAUUUAAAUGCAACAACAAAUACGAUCAAGAUCGCAACUAAGGUAACAAUGGAUCCAACAGCAUAAUGAAACCAAGCCUCACUAUCGAUGGCAUAUUUUCUAAUCUUUCUAAUCUUCAAGCGCAUUUUCUCCAUCUUGAUCUUGUGAUCAUCGACGAUACCGGCAACAUGCAACUCCAAUUCCAUCUUCUCCCCCUCAAUUCUUUUCAAUUUUUCUUUCAAGUACUCGUUUUCUCUUUCAACUAAAUUUAACCUCUCGGCAAUAGGGUAGGUUGGAAUUUCCGGUUGAUGGGCAUAAUUUGUAAUAAACACGAAAUGCAACUAGUUUUAAAAGAGAAUAUACAUACCACAUCCGAAUCAUAACAAGGACUAGGGCCGACGGGGACGGAUAUCAAAACCAUGGCACUAUAUGUAUAACAAACAACGUACAGGUAAGAUAAUUAUACGAGUAACUAUAUAUCCAAAUCACACAAACAUCAAUUUUUAUAUAAAAUUUCAUGAACAAGAGGCUCACCACAAGGUGGUGCCGGCGACGGGACGGUGCGGGCGAUCCACGGUGGCUACGAUGGAGAUUUAGAAGGCACUAAGUAAACCACACCUACAUAUGCAAACUAAAUGUUAUUUUUGACCUCAAAUUGCAUAUAAAUCAAAUACUAGCACAUAUAUAUAUAUCAUCCCAAAUUACUAAACUCACAAAUUAAUCACUAUAUAAAGCAUUGCAAGAGCUAAUCUAGCAACGAGAGAUGAAAGGACAAAGUUGCUAACCUUUGUGAUCAUUUGAAUGGAUGGGGGCCUUCAAAUCUUGACAAAUUUUGGGCAAAAUGUGUGAUGAGCUCGAGAGGAAGAGGGGAAGAACAGAGAGGAGAGGGGAAAGGGGAAGAAUAGAGCGAGCUCGGGUGGACGAAGGGUUUAUGUAGGACGACCUUUAGUACCGGUUUGUGCCAAGAACCGGUACUAAAGGGGCUGGAGGGGCCCCAUACUGACAACAUCCUGCCACCACUCUCAUUAGUACCGGUUCGUGGCACGAACCGGUGCUAAAGGUUCGCCAUGAACCGGUACUAAUGAAAGCAGCCUGGUUAGCCGUUGGAACCGGCACUAAUGUAUACAUUAGUGCCGGCUCAAAUACAAACCGGCACUAAUGUGCUUCAUGUUUGACCCUUUUUCCACUAGUGUAGGAGUAGGAGACAAGGAAGGGGAAGGGAGAAGGGAAAGAAGGAGGGGGCGCGGCCCCUCCCCCUAGUCCAAUUCGGACUAGGCCUUGGGGGGGCGCGCGGCCUGCCCUAGGCAGCCCCUCUCUCUUUCCCGUAUGGCCCAAUAAGGCCCAAUACUUCUCCCGGCGAAUUCCCGUAACUCUCCGGUACUCCGAAAAAUACCCGAACCACUCGAAACCUUUCCGAUGUCCGAAUAUAGUCGUCCAAUAUAUCGAUCUUUACAUCUCGACCAUUUCGAGACUCCUCCUCAUGUCCCCGAUCCCAUCCGGGACUCCGAACUCCUUCGGUACAUCAAAACUCAUAAACUCAAAAUAUAACUGUCAUCGAAACCUUAAGCGUGCGGACCCUACAGUUCGAGAACAAUGUAGACAUGAUCGAGACACAUGUCCGGUCAAUGACUAAUAGCGGGACCUGGAUGCCCAUAAUGGCUCCUACAUAUUCUACGAAGAUCUUUAUCGGUCAGACCGCAUAACAACAUACGUUGUUCCCUUUGUCAUCGGUAUGUUACUUGCCUGAGAUUUGAUCGUCGGUAUCUCAAUACCUAGUUCAAUCUUGUUACCGGCAAGUCUCUUUACUCGUUCCGUAAUACAUCAUCUCGCAACUAACUCAUUAGUUGCAAUGCUUGCAAGGCUUAUGUGAUGUGCAUUACCGAGAGGGCCUAGAGAUACCUCUCCGACAAUCGGAGUGACAAAUCCUAAUCUCGAAAUACGCCAGCCCAACAUGUACCUUUGGAGACACCUGUAGAGCUCCUUUAUAAUCACCCAGUUAUGUUGUGACGUUUGGUAGAACACAAAGUGUUCCUCCGGCAAAUGGGAGUUGCAUAAUCUCAUAGUCAUAUGAACAUGUAUAAGUCAUGAAGAAAGCAAUAGCAACAUACUAAACGAUUGGGUGCUAAGCUAAUGGAAUGGGUCAUGUCAAUCAGAUCAUUCAACUAAUGAUCUGAUCCCGUUAAUCAAAUAACAACUCUUUGUCCAUGGUUAGGAAACAUAACCAUCUUUGAUUAACGAGCUAGUCAAGUAGAGGCAUACUAGUGACACUCUGUUUUCUAUGUAUUCACACAUGUAUUAUGUUUCCGGUUAAUACAAUUCUAGCAUGAAUAAUAAACAUUUAUCAUGAUAUAAGUAAAUAAAUAAUAACUUUAUUAUUGCCUCUAGGGUAUAUUUCCAUCAGUCUCCCACUUGCACUAGAGUCAAUAAUCUAGAUCACAUCGCCAUGUGAUUUAACAUCAAUAGUUCACAUCUUUAUGUUAUUGGUUCACAUCUCCAUGUGACUAACACCCAAAGGGUUUACUAGAUUCAAUAAUCUAGUUCACAUCGCUAUGUGAUUAAGACCCAAAAAGUGAUCAUGUUUUGCUUGUGAGAGAAGUUUAGUCAAUAGGUCUUCCACAUUCAGAUCCGCAUGUAUUUUGCAAAUUUCUAUGUCAACAAUGCUCUGCAUGGAGCUACUCUAGCUAAUUGCUCCCACUUUCAAUAUGUAUCCAGAUUGAGACUUAGAGUCAUCUGGAUCAGUGUCAAAACUUGCAUCGACGUAACCCUUUACGACGAACCUUUUGUCACCUCCGUAAUCGAGAAACAUAUCCUUAUUCUACUAAGGAUAAUUUUGACCGCUGUCAAUAGAUCUACUCCUAGAUCACUAUUGUACUCCCUCUCUUAACACAGUGUAUGGUAUACAAUAGAUCUGGUACACAACAUGGCAUACUUUAUAGAACCUAUGACUGAGGCAUAGGGAAUGACUUUCAUUCUCUUUCUAUCUUCUGCCGUGGUCGGGCUUUGAGUCUUACUCAACUUCACGCCUUGUAACACAAGCAAGAAACUUUUUCUUUGACUGUUCCAUUUUGAACUACUUCAAAAUCUUGUCAAGGUAUGUACUCAUCGAAAAAACUUAUCAAGCGUCUUGAUCUAUCUCUAUAGAUCUUGAUACUCAAUAUGUAAGCAGCUUCACCGAGGUCUUUCUUUGAAAAAACUCCUUUCAAACAUUCCUUUAUGCUUUGCAGAAUAAUUCUACAUUAUCUCCGAUCAACAAUAUGUCUUUCACAUAUACUUAUCAGAAAUGAUGUAGUGCUCCCACUCACUUUCUUGUAAAUACAGGCUUCACUGCAAGUCUGUAUAAAACUAUAUGCUUUGAUCAACUCAUGAAAGCGUAUAUUCCAACUCUGAGAUGCUUGCACCAGUCCAUAGAUGGAUCGCUGGAGCUUGCAUAUUUUGUUAGUACCUUUAGGAUUGACAAAACCUUCUGGUUGCAUCAUAAACAACUCUUCUUUAAUAAAUCCAUUAAGGAAUGCAGUUUUGUUUAUCCAUUUGCCAGAUUUCAUAAAAUGCGGCAAUUGCUAACAUGAUUCGGACAGACUUAAGCGUAGAUACGAGUGAGAAACUCUCAUCGUAGUCAACACCUUGAACUUGUCGAAAACCUUUUUGCGACAAUUCUAGUUUUGUAGAUAGUAACACUACUAUCAGCGUCCGUCUUCCUCUUGAAGAUCCAUUUAAUCUCAAUGGCUUGCCGAACAUCGGGCAAGUCAACCAAAGUCCACACUUUGUUCUCAUACAUGGAUCCUAUCUCAGAUUUCAUGGCCUCAAGCCAUUUAUCGGAAUCUGGGCUCAUCAUCGCUUCCUCAUAGGUCGCAAGUUUGUCAUGGUCAAGUAACAUGACCUCCAGAACAGGAUUACCAUACCACUUUGGUGCGGAUCUCAAUCUGGUUUACCUACGAGGUUUGGUAGUAACUUGAUCUGAAGUUACAUGAUCAUCAUCAUUAGCUUCCUCACUAAUUGGUGUAGGAGUCACAGGAACAAAUUUCUGUGAUGAACUACUUUCCAAUAAAGGAGAAGGUACAAUUACCUUAUCAAGUUUUCUACUUUCCUCCCACUCACUUCUUUCAAGAGAAACUCCUUCUCUGGAAAGGAUCCAUUCUCAGUCAACGAAUAUCUUGCCUUCGGAUCUGUGAUAGAAGGUGUACCCAACAUUUUCUUUAGGGUAUCCUAUGAAGAUGCACUUUUCCGAUUUGGGUUUGAGCUUAUCAGGAUGAAACUUUUUCACAUAAGCAUCACAACCCCAAACUUUAAGAAACGACAACUUUGGUUUCUUGCCAAACCACAGUUCAUAAGGCGUCGUCUCAACGGAUUUUGAUGGUGCCCUAUUCAACGUGAAUGCAGCUGUCUCUAAUGCAUAACCCCAAAACGAUAGUGGUAGAUCGGUAAGAGAUAUCAUAGAUCGCACCAUAUCUAAUAAAGUACGGUUAUGAUGUUCGGACACACCAUUACAUUGUGGUGUUCCAGGUGGCAUGAGUAGUGAAACUAUUUCACAUUGUUUUUAACUGAAGGCCAAACUCAUAACUCAAAUACUCUUCUCUACGAUCAGGUCGUAGAAACUUUAUUUUCUUGUUACGAUGAUUUUUCACUUCACUCUGAAAUUCUUUGAACUUUUCAAAUGUUUCAGACUUAUGUUUCAUCAAGUAGAUAUACUCAUAUCUGCUCAAAUCAUCUGUGAAGAUCAGAAAAUAAUGAUACCUGUCGCGAGCCUCAAUAUUCAUCGGACCACAUACAUUAGUAUGUAUGAUUUCCAACAAAUCUGUUGCUCGCUCCAUUGUUCUGAAGAACAGAGUCUUAGUCAUCUUGCCCAUUAGGCAUGGUUCGCAAGCAUCAACUGAUUCAUAACCAACUGAUUCCAAAAGCCCAUCAGCAUGGAGUUUCUUCAUGCGCUUUACACCAAUAUGACCUAAACGGCAGUGCUACAAAUAAGUUGCACUAUCAUUAUUAACUUUGCAUCUUUUGGUUUCAAUAUUAUGAUUAUGUGUAUCACUACAAUCGAGAUCCAACGAACUAUUUUCAUUGGGUGUGUAACCAUAUAAGGUUUUAUUCAUGUAAACAGAACAACAAUUUAUUCUCUUACUUAAAUGAAUAACCGUAUUACAAUAAACAUGAUCAAAUCAUAUUCAUGCUCAACGCAAACACCAAAUAACACUUAUUUAGGUUCAACACUAAUCCUGAAAUUAUAGGGAGUGUGCGAUGAUGAUCAUAUCAAUCUUGGAACCACUUCCAACAUACAUCAUCACUUCACCCUUAACUAGUCUCUGUUUAUUUUGCAACUCCCGUUUCGAGUUACUAAUCUUUGCAACUGAACUAGUAUCAAAUACUGAGGGGUUGCUAUAAACACUUGUAAAGUACACAUCAAUAACAUGUAUAUCAAAUAUACUUAUGUUCACUUUGCCAUCCUUCUUAUCCGCCAAUCACUUGGGGUAGUUCCGCUUCUAGUGACCAGUGCCUUUGCAGUAGAAGCACUUAGUCUCAGGCUUAGGACCAGACUUGGGCUUCUUCACUUGAGCAGCAACUUGCUUGCUGUUCUUCUUGAAGUUCCCCUUCUUCCCUCUGCCCUUUUCUUGAAACUAGUGGUCUUGUCAACCAUCAACACCUGAUGUUUUUCUUGAUUUCUACCUUCAUUGAUUUCAGCAUCACGAAGAGCUUGGGAGUUGUUUCCGUUAUCCCUUGCAUAUUAUGGUUCAUCACGAAGUUCUACUAACUUGGUGAUGGUGACUAGAGAAUUCUGUCAAUCACUAUCUUAUCUGGAAGAUUAACUCCCACUUGGUUCAAGCAAUUGUAGUACCCAGACAAUCUGAGCACGUGCUCACUAGUUGAGCGAUUCUCCUCCAUCUUUUAGCUAUAGAACUUGUUGGAGACUUCAUAUCUCUCAAGUCGGGUAUUUGCUUGAAAUAUUAACUUCAACUCCUAGAACAUCUCAUAUGGUCCAUGAUGUUCAAAACGUCUUUGAAGUCCUGAUUCUAAGCCAUUAAGCAUGGUGCACUAAACUAUCAAGUAGUCAUCAUAUUGGGCUAGCCAAACGUUCAUAACGUCGGCAUCUGCUCCUGCAAUAGGUCUGUCACCUAGCGGUGCAUCAAGGACAUAAUUCCUCUAUGCAGCAAUGAGGAUAAAACUCAGAUCACGGAUCCAAUCCGCAUCAUUGCUACUAACAUCUUUCAACACAAUUUUCUCUAGGAACAUAUCAAAAUAAACAUAGGGAAGCAACAACGCGAGCUAUUGAUCUACAACAUAAUUUGCAAAAUACUACCAGGACUAAGUUCAUGAUAAAUUUAAGUUCAAUUUAAUCAUAUUACUGGAGAACUCCCACUUAGAUAGACAUCCCUCUAAUCCUCUAAGUGAUCACGUGAUCCAAAUCAACUAAACCAUGUCCGAUCACCACGUGAGAUGGAGUAGUUUCAUUGGUGAACAUCACUAUGUUGAUCAUAUCUACUAUCUGAUUCACGCUCGACCUUUCGGUCUCCGUGUUCCGAGGCCAUAUCUGUAUAUGCUUGCCUCGUCAAGUAUAACCUGAGUAUUCCGCGUGUGCAACUGUUUUACACCCGUUGUAUUUGAACGUAGAGCCUAUCACACCCGAUCAUCACGUGGUGUCUCAGCACGAAGAAGUUUCGCAACGGUGCAUACUCAGGGAGAACACUUCUUGAUAAUUAGUGAGAGAUCAUCUUAAAAUGCUACCGUCAAACUAAGCAAAAAUAAGAUGUAUAAAAGAUAAACAUCAUAUGCAAUCAAAAUAUGUGACAUGAUAUGGCCAUCAUCAUCUUGCUUCUUUGAUCUCCAUCUCCAAAGUACUGUCAUGAUCUAUAUCGUCAUCGGCAUGACACCAUGAUCUCCAUCAUCUUGAUCUAUAUCAAUGUGUCGUCACGUGGUCGUCUCGCCAACAAUUGCUCUUGCAACUAUUGCUAUCGCAUAGCGAUAAAGUAAAGCAAUUAUUGGACGCUUGCAUCUUAUGUAAUAGAGAGACAACCAUAAGGAUUUUGCCAGUUGUUGAUAACUUCAACAAAACAUGAUCAUCUCAUACAACAACUUAUAUCUCAUCACGUCUUGACCAUAUCACAUCACAACAUGCCCUGCAAAAACAAGUUAGACGUCCUCUACUUUGUUGUUGCAAGUUUUACGUGGCUGCUACGGGCUUAAGCAAGAACCAAUCUUACCUACGCAUCAAAACCACAACGAUAGUUUGUCAAGUUGGUGCUGUUUUAACCUUCGCAAGGACCGGGCGUAGCCACACUCGGUUCAACUAAAGUUGGAGAAACUGUCACCCCCAAGCCACCUAUGUGCAAAGCACGUCGGGAGAACCGGUCUCGCGUAAGCAUACGCGUAAUGUCGGUCUGGGCCGCUUCAUCCAACAAUACCGCCGAACCAAAGUAUGACAUGCUGGUAAGCAGUAUGACUUAUAUCGCCCACAACUCACUUGUGUUCUACUCGUGCAUAUAACAUCAACACAUAAAACCUAGGCUCAAAUGCCACUGUUGGGGAACGUAGUAAUUUCAAAAAAUUUCCUACGCACACGCAAGAUCAUGGUGAUGCAUAGCAACGAGAGGGGAGAGUGUUGUCAACGUAGCCUUGUAGACCGAAGCAGAAGCGUUGACGCAACGUAGAGGAAGUAGUCGUACGUCUUCCCGAUCCGACCGAUCCAAGCACCAUUACUCCGGCACCUCCGAGUUCUUGGCACACGUUCAGCUCGGUAACGAUCCCCAGGCUCCGAUCCAGCAAAGCGUCGGCGAGGAGUUCCAUCAGCACGACGGCGUGGUGACGAUCUUGAUGUUCUACCGUCGCAGGGCUUCGCCUAAGCACCGCUACAAUAUGACCGAGGUGUAAUAUCGUGGAGAGGGGCACCGCACACGGCUAAGGAACGAUCACGAAGAUCAACUUGUGUGUCCAUGGGGUGCCCCCUGCCCCCGUAUAUAAAGGAGUGGAGGAGGGGAGGGCUGGCCCUCUCUAUGGCGCGCCCUAGGGGAGUCCUACUCCCAACGGGAGUAGGAUUCCCCCUUUUCCUAGUCCAACUAGGAGUCCUUCCAUGUAGUAGGAGUAGGAGACAAGGAAGGGGAAGGGAGAAGGGAAAGAAGGAGGGGGCGCGGCCCCUCCCCCUAGUCCAAUUCGGACUAGGCCUUGGGGGGCGCACGGCCUGCCCUAGGCAGCCCCUCUCUCUUUCCCGUAUGGCCCAAUAAGGCCCAAUACUUCUCCCGGCGAAUUCCUGUAACUCUCCGGUACUCCGAAAAAUACCCGAACCACUCGGAACCUUUCCGAUGUCCGAAUAUAGUCGUCCAAUAUAUCGAUCUUUACGUCUCGACCACUUCGAGACUCCUCGUCAUGUCCCCGAUCCCAUCCGGGACUCCGAAAUCCUUCGGUACAUCAAAACUCAUAAACUCAUAAUAUAACUGUCAUCGAAACCUUAAGCGUGCGGACACUACGGUUCGAGAACAAUGUAGACAUGACUGAGACACGUCUCCAGUCAAUAACCAAUAGCGGGACCUGGAUGCCCAUAUUGGCUCCUACAUAUUCUACGAAGAUCUUUAUCGGUCAGACCGCAUAACAACAUACGUUGUUCCCUUUGUCAUCGGUAUGUUACUUGCCCGAGAUUUGAUCGUCGGUAUCUCAAUACCUACUUCAAUCUCGUUACCGGCAAGUCUCUUUACUCGUUCCGUAAUACAUCAUCUCGCAACUAACUCAUUAGUUGCAAUGCUUGCAAGGCUUAUGUGAUGUGCAUUUCCGAGAGGGCCCAGAGAUACCUCUCCGACAAUCGGAGUGACAAAUCCUAAUCUCGAAAUACGCAAACCCAACAUGUACCUUUGGAGACACCUGUAGAGCUCCUUUAUAAUCACCCAGUUACGGUGUGACGUUUGGUAGCACACAAGGUGUUCCUCCGGCAAACGGGAGUUGCAUAAUCUCAUAGUCAUAGGAACAUGUAUAAGUCAUGAAGAAAGCAAUAUCAACAUACUAAACGAUCGGGUGCUAAGCUAAUGGAAUGGGUCAUGUGAAUCAGAUCAUUCAACUAAUGAUGUGAUCUCGUUAAUCAAAUAACAACUCUUUGUCCAUGGUUAGGAAACAUAACCAUCUUUGAUUAACGAGCUAGUCAAGUAGAGGCAUACUAGUCACACUCUGUUUGUCUAUGUAUUCACACAUGUAUUAUGUUUCCGGUUAAUACAAUUCUAGCAUGUAUAAUAAACAUUUAUCAUGAUAUAAGGAAAUAAAUAAUAAUUUUAUUAUAGCCUCUAGGGCAUAUUUACUUCAUGGAUUGCCUACCAAAGAUGGCAAUAGCUAGAUCUAUCCUUGCUUGUUAUGCCUAACUAGGGGCGUUAAACGAUAGCGCUUUUUGGGAGGCAACCCAAUUUUGUUUUUAUUCCUUGAUUUUUGCUCCUGUUUAGUAAUAAAUAAUUUAUCUAGCCUCUGUUUUGGUUGUGUUCUUUGUGUUUAAUUAGUGUUUGUGCCAGGUAGAACCGUUAGGAAGACUUGGGGAAAGUCUUGUUACACUUGCUGUAAAAAACAGAAACUUCAGCGCUCACGAGAACUGCUGCCAUUUUUAUUUGGAAAGUGCUAUUUAGUUAAUUAUUUCCGCAGAUGAUUAAUAGAUAAAUUCCUCACGUCCAGCACUUUAUUUUAGAAUUUUUGGGGUUCCAGCUCUUGAGCUAGCUACAGAUUACUACAGACUGUUCUGUAUUUGAAACAUUCUGUUUUUUCGUGUGUUGUUUGCUUAUUUUGAUGAACCUAUGGCUAGUAAAAUAGUUUAUAAACCACAGAGAAGUUGGAAUACAGUAGUUAUAACACCAAUAUAAAUAAAUAAUGAGUUCAUUAAAGUACCUUGAAGUGGUCUUUUUUAUUUUCUUUCGCUAACGGAGCUCACAAGAUUUUCUACUUCAAGUUUGUGUUGUGAAGUUUUCAAGUUUUGGGUAAAAAUUUGAUGGAUUAUGGAACAAGUAGUGACAAGAGCCGAAGCUUGGGGAUGCCCAUGGCACCCCCAAGAUAAUCUAAUUACACCUAAAAGCCAAAGCUUGGGGAUGCCCGGGAAGUCAUCCCCUCUUUCGUCUACUUCUAUGGGUAACUUUACUUGGAGCUAUAUUUUUAUUCGCCACAAGAUAUGUGUUUUGCUUGGAGCGUCUUGUAUUGUUUGACUCUUUAUUUUUUAGUUUACCACAAUCAUCCUUGCUGUACACACCUUUUGAGAGAGCCAUACAUGAUUUGGAAUUUGUUAGAAUACUCUAUGGGCUUCGCUUAUAUCUUUUGAGUUAUAUAGUUUUGCUCUAGUACUUCACUUAUAUCUUUUAGAGCACGGUGGUGGAUUUGUUUUAUAAAAACUAUUGAUCUCUCAUGCUUCACUUAGAUUAUUUUGAGAUGCUUAAUAGCAUGGUAAUUUGCUUAAAAUCCUAAUAUGCUAGGUAUUCAAAGUUAGUAAAAUUUUCUUACGAGUGUUUUUAAUACUAAGAGAAGUUUGAUGCUUGAUGAUUGUUUUGAGAUAUGGAGGUAAUAAUAUCAAAGUCGUGCUAGUUGAGUAGUUGUGAAAUUGAGAAAUACUUGUGUUGAAAUUUGCAUGUCCCGUAGCAUGCACGUAUUGUAAACGUUGUGUAACAAAUUUGAAACAUGAGGUGUUAUUUGAUUGUCUUCCUUAUGAGUGGCGGUCGGGGACGAGCGAUGGUCUUUUCCUACCAAUCUAUUGUUUGGGAACGUACUAAUUUCAAAAAAAAUCCUACGCACACGCAAGACCAUGGUGAUGCAUAGCAACGAGAGGGGAGAGUGUGAUCUACGUACCCUUGUAGAUCAACAGCGGAAGCGUUGAUGCAACAUAGAGGAAGUAGUCGUACGUCUUCCUGAUCCGACCGAUCGAAGCACCAUUACUCCGGCACCUCCGAGUUCUUAGCACACGUACAGCUCGAUGACGAUCCCGGGCUCCGAUCCAGCAAAGGGUCGGGGAGGAGUUCCGUCAGCACGACGGCGUGGUGACGAUCUUGAUGUUCUACCGUCGCAGGGCUUCGCCUAAGCACUGCUACAAUAUGAUGGAGGUGGAAUAUGGUGGCACGGGGCACCGCACACGGCUAAGGAACGAUCUCAAUGAUCAACUUGUGUGUCUAGAGGUGCCCCCUGCCUCCGUAUAUAAAGGAGCCAAGGGGGAGGGGGCCGCCGGCCAGGAGGAGGGCGCAGGAGGAGUCCUACUCCUACCGGGAGUAGGACUCCCCCCCCCCAAUCCUAGUUGGACUAGGAUUCCCCGAGGGGGAAAGAGAGAGAGGGGGGCCGGCCACCUCUCCUAGUCCUAAUAGGACUACGGGAGGGGGGAGGCGCGCGGCCACCUUGGGCUGCCCCUUUCUCCUUUCCACUAAAGCCCAUCAAGGCCCAUAUGGCUCCCGGGGGGUUCCGGUAACCUCCCGGUACUCCGGUAAAAUCCCGAUUUCACCCGGAACACUUCCGAUGUCCAAAUAUAGGCUUCCAAUAUAUCAAUCUUUAUGUCUCGACCAUUUCGAUACUCCUCGUCAUGUCUGUGAUCACAUCCGGGACUCCGAACUAACUUCGGUACAUCAAAAUGCAUAAACUCAUAAUAACUGUCAUCGUAACGUUAAGCGUGUGGACCCUACGGUUCGAGAAUAAUGCAGACAUGACUGAGACACAUCUCCGGUCAAUAACCAAUAGCAGGACCUGGAUGCCUAUAUUGGCUCCUACAUUUUCUACGAAGAUCUUUAUCAGUCACACCGCAUAACAACAUAUGUUGUUCCCUUUGUCAUCGGUAUGUCAUUUGCCCGAGAUUCGAUCGUCAGUAUCCAAUACCUAGUUCAAUCUCGUUACCGGCAAGUCUCUUUACUCGUUCCGUAAUACAUCAUCUCGCAACUAACUCAUUAGUUGCAAUGCUUGCAAGGCUUAAGUGAUGUGCAUUACCGAGAGGGCCCAGAGAUACCUCUCCGACAAUCGGAGUGACAAAUCCUAAUCUCGAAAUACGCCAACCCAACAUCUACCUUUGGAGACACCUGUAGUACUCCUUUAUGAUCACCCAGUUACGUUGUGAUGUUUGGUAGCACCCAAAGUGUUCCUCCGGUAAACGGGAGUUGCAUAAUCUCAUAGUCAUAGGAACAUGUAUAAGUCAUGAAGAAUAGCAACAGCAACAUACUAAACGAUCGGGUGCUAAGCUAAUGAAAUGGGUCAUGUCAAUCAGAUCAUUCAACUAAUGAUGUGACCUCGUUAAUCAAAUAACAACUCUUUGUUCAUGGUUAGGAAACAUAACCAUCUUUGAUUAACGAGCUAGUCAAGUAGAGGCAUACUAGUGACACUCUGUUUGUCUAUGUAUUCACACAUGUAUUAUGUUUCCGGUUAAUACAAUUCUAGCAUGAAUAAUAAACAUUUAUCAUGAUAUAAGGAAAUAAAUAAUAACUUUAUUAUUGCCUCUAGGGCAUAUUUCCUUCAGUCUCCCACUUGCACUAGAGUCAAUAAUCUAGAUUACACAGUAAUGAUUCUAACACCCAUGGAGCCUUGGUGCUGAUCAUGUUUUGCUCGUGGAAGAGGCUUAGUCAACGGGUCUGCAAUAUUCAGAUCCAUAUGUAUCUUGCAAAUCUCUAUGUCUCCCACCUAGACUAGAUCCCGGAUGGAAUUGAAGCGUCUCUUGAUGUGCUUGGUUCUCUUGUGAAAUCUGGAUUCCUUUGCCAAGACAAUUGCACCAGUAUUGUCACAAAAGAUUUUCAUUGGACCCGAUGCACUAGGUAUGACACCUAGAUCGGAUAUGAACUCCUUCAUCCAGACUCCUUCGUUUGCUGCUUCCGAAGCAGCUAUGUAUUCUGCUUCACAUGUAGAUCCCGCUACGACGCUUUGUUUAGAACUGCACCAACUGACAGCUCCACCGUUUAAUGUAAACACGUAUCCGGUUUGCGAUUUAGAAUCGUCCGGAUCAGUGUCAAAGCUUGCAUCAACGUAACCUCUUACGGUGAGCUCUUUGUCACCUCCAUAUACGAGAAACAUAUCCUUAGUCCUUUUCAGGUAUUUCAGGAUGUUCUUGACCGCUGUCCAGUGAUCCACUCCUGGAUUACUUUGGUACCUCCCUGCUAAACUUAUAGCAAGGCACACAUCAGGUCUGGUACACAGCAUUGCAUACAUGAUAGAGCCUAUGGCUGAAGCAUAGGGAACAUCUUUCAUUUUCUCUCGAUCUUCUGCAGUGGUCGGGCAUUGAGUCUGGCUCAACUUCACACCUUGUAACACAGGCAAGAACCCUUUCUUUGCUUGAUCCAUUUUGAACUUCUUCAAAAUCUUGUCAAGGUAUGUGCUUUGUGAAAGUCCAAUUAAGCGUCUUGAUCUAUCUCUAUAGAUCUUUAUGCCUAAUAUGUAAGCAGCUUAACCGAGGUCUUUCAUUGAAAAACUCUUAUUCAAGUAUACCUUUAUGCUAUCCAGAAAUUCUAUAUCAUUUCCAAUCAGCAAUAUGUCAUCCACAUAUAAUAUCAGAAAUGCUACAGAGUUCCCACUCACUUUCUUGUAAAUACAGGCUUCACCGAAAGUCUGUAUAAAACCAAAUGCUUUGAUCACACUAUCAAAGCGUUUAUUCCAACUCCGAGAGGCUUCCACCAGUCCAUAAAUGGAUCGCUGGAGCUUGCACACUUUGUUAGCUCCCUUUGGAUCGACAAAACCUUCCGGUUGCAUCAUAUACAACUCUUCUUCCAGAAAUCCAUUCAAGAAUGCAGUUUUGACAUCCAUCUGCCAAAUUUCAUAAUCAUAAAAUGCGGCAAUUGCUAACAUGAUUCGGACAGACUUAAGCAUCGCUACGGGUGAGAAGGUCUCAUCGUAGUCAACCCCUUCAACUUGUCGAAGACCUUUUGCGAGAAGUCGAGCUUCGUAGACAGUAACAUUACCAUCACCGUCAGUCUUCUUCUUGAAGAUCCAUUUAUUCUCAAUUGCUUGCCGAUCAUCGGGCAAGUCAACCAAAUCCAUACUUUGUUCUCAUACAUGGAUCCCAUCUCAGAUUUCAUGGCUUCAAGCCACUUUGCGGAAUAUGGGCUCACCAUCGCUUCUUCAUAGUUCGUAGGUUCAUCAUGAUCUAGCAGCAUGAUUUCCAGAACAGGAUUACCGUACCACUCUGGUGCAGAUCUCGCUCUGGUUGAUCUACGAGGUUCAGUAGUAUCUUGUCCUGAAGUUUCAUGAUCUUUAUCAUUAGCUUCCUCACUAAUUGGUAUAGGUGUCGCAGAAACAGUUUUUCUGUGAUGUACUACUUUCCAAUAAGGGAGCAGGUAUAGUUACCUCGUCAAGUUCUACUUUCCUCCCACUCACUUCUUUCGAGAGAAACUCCUUCUCUAGAAAUGAUCCAUUCUUAGCAAUGAAUGUCUUACCUUCGGAUUUGUGAUAGAAGGUGUACCCAACAGUCUCCUUUGCGUAUCCUAUGAAGACACAUUUCUCCGAUUUGGGCUCGAGCUUAUGAGGUUGAAGCUUUUUCACAUAAGUAUCGCAGCCCCAAACUUUAAGAAACGACAACUUUGGUUUCUUGCCAAACCACAGUUCAUAAGGCGUCGUCUCAGCAGAUUUUGAUGGUGCCGUAUUUAGCGUGAAUGUGAGCGUCUCUAAAGCAUAACCCCAAAACGAUAGCGGUAAAUCAGUAAGAGACAUCAUAGAUCGCACCAUAUCUAGUAAAGUACGAUUCCGAUGUUCGGACACACCAUUACACUGUGGUGUUCCAGGUGGCGUGAGUUGCGAAACUAUUCCACAAUUUUUCAAAUGUACACCAGACUCGUAACUCAAAUAUUCUCCUCCACGAUCAGAUCGUAGAAACUUUAUUUUCUUGUUAUGAUGAUUUUCAACUUCACUCUGAAAUUCUUUGAACUUUUCAAAUGUUUCAGACUUAUGUUUCAUUAAGUAGAUAUACCCAUAUCUGCUUAAGUCAUCUGUGAAGGUGAGAAAAUAACGAUAUCCACCACGAGCCUCAAUAUUCAUCGGACCACAUACAUCAGUAUGCAUGAUUUCCAACAAAUCUGUUGCUCUCUCCAUAGUACCGGAGAACGGUGUUUUAGACAUCUUGCCCAUGGGGCACGGUUCGCAAGUACCAAGUGAUUCAUAAUCAAGUGGUUCCAAAAGUCCAUCGGUAUGGAGUUUCUUCAUGCGCUUUAUACCGAUAUGACCUAAACGGCAGUGCCACAAAUUAGUUGCACUAUCAUUAUCAACUCUGCAUCUUUUCGCCUCAACAUUAUGAAUAUAUGUGUUACUACUAUCGAGAUUCAUCGAAAAUAGACCACUCCUCAAAGGUGCAUGACCAUAAAAGAUAUUACUCAUAUAAAUAGAACAACCAUUAUUCUCUGAUUUAAAUGAAUAACCGUCUCGCAUCAAACAAGUUCCAGAUAUAAUGUUCAUGCUCAACGCUGGAACCAAAUAACAAUUAUUUAGGUCUAAUAUUAAUCCCGAAGGUAGAUGUAGAGGUAGCGUGCUGACCGCGAUCACAUCGACUUUGGAACCGUUUCCCACGCGCAUCGUCACCUCGUCCUUCGCCAGUGUUCGCUUAAUCCGUAGUCCCUGUUUCGAGUUGCAAAUAUUAGCAACAGAACCAGUAUCACAUACCCAGGUGCUACUGCGAGCUCUAGUAAGGUACACAUCAAUAACAUGUAUAUCACAUAUACCUUUGUUCACCUUGCCAUCCUUCUUAUCCGCCAAUACUUGGGGCAGUUCCGCUUCCAGUGACCAGUCUGCUUGCAGUAGAAGCACUCAGUUUCAGGCUUAGGUCCAGACUUGGGUUUCUUCUCUUGAGCAGCAACUUGCUUGCCGUUCUUCUUGAAGUUCCCCUUCUUCUUCCCUUUGCCCUUUUUCUUGAAACUAGUUGUCUUACUGACCAUCAACACUUGAUGCUCCUUUUUGAUUUCUACCUCCGCAGCUUUCAGCAUUGCGAAGAGCUCGGGAAUAGUCUUGUUCAUCCCUUGCAUAUUAUAGUUCAUCACAAAGCUCUUGUAGCUUGGUGGCAGUGAUUGGAGAAUUCUGUCAAUGACGCAAUCAUCUAGAAGAUUAACUCCCAUCUGAAUCAAGUGAUUAUUAUACCCAGACAUUCUGAGUAUAUGCUCACUGACAGAACUGUUCUCCUCCAUCUUGCAGCUAUAGAACUUAUUGGAGACUUCAUAUCUCUCAAUCCGGGCAUUUUCUUGAAAUAUUAACUUCAACUCCUGGAACAUCUCAUAUGCUCCAUGACGUUCAAAACGUCGUUGAAGUCCCGAUUCUAAGCCGUAAAGCAUGGCACACUGAACUAUCAAGUAGUCAUCAGCUUUGCUCUGCCAGACGUUCAUAACAUCUAGUGUUGCUCCAGCAGCAGGCCUGGCACCUAGCGGUGCUUCCAAGACGUAAUUCUUCUGAGCAACAAUGAGGAUAAUCCUCAAGUUACGGACCCAGUCCGUGUAAUUGCUACCAUCAUCUUUCAACUUUGCUUUCUCAAGGAACGUAUUAAAAUUCAACGAAACAACAACACGAGCCAUCUAUCUACAAUCAACAUAAACAAGCAAGAUACUAUCAGGUACUAAGUUCAUGAUAAGUUUAAGUUCAAUUUAAUCAAAUUACUUAAGAACUCCCACUUAGAUAGACAUCCCUCUAAUCGUCUAAGUGAUCACGUGAUCCAAAUCAACUAAACCAUAACCGAUCAUCACGUGAGAUGGAGUAGUUUUCAAUGGUGAACAUCGUUAUGUUGAUCAUAUCUACUAUAUGAUUCAUGCUCGACCUUUCGUUCUCCGUGUUCCGAGGCCAUAUCUGCAUACGCUAGGCUCGUCAAGUUUAACCUGAGUAUUCUGCGUGUGCAAAAACUGGCUUGCACCCGUUGUAGAUGGACGUAGAGCUUAUCACACCCGAUCAUCACGUGGUGUCUGGGCACGACGAACUUUGGCAGCAGUGCAUACUCAGGGAGAACACUUCUUGAUAAUUUAGUGAGAUAUCAUCUUAUAAUGCUACCGUCAAUCAAAGCAAGAUAAGAUGCAUAAAAAGAUAAACAUCACAUGCAAUCAAUAUAAGUGAUAUGAUAUGGCCAUCAUCAUCUUGUGCUUGUGAUCUUCAUCUCCGAAGCACCGUCAUGAUCACCAUCGUCACCGGUGCGACACCUUGAUCUCCAUCGUAGCAUCGUUGUCGUCUCGCCAAUCUUAUGCUUCCACGACUAUCGCUACCGCUUAGUGAUAAAGUAAAGCAUUACAUCGCGAUUGCAUUGCAUACAAUAAAGCGACAACCAUAUGGCUCCUGCCAGUUGCCGAUAACUCGGUUACAAAACAUGAUCAUCUCAUACAAUAAAAUUUAGCAUCAUGUCUUGACCAUAUCACAUCACAACAUGCCCUGCAAAAACAAGUUAGACGUCCUCUACUUUGUUGUUGCAAGUUUUACGUGGCUGCUACGGGCUUAAGCAAGAACCAAUCUCACCCACGCAUCAAAACCACAACGAUAGUUUGUCAAAUAGACUCCGUUUUAUCCUUCGGAAGGACCGGGCGUAGCCACACUCGGUUCAACUAAAGUUGGAGAAACAGUCGCCCGCAAGGCACCUGUGUGCAAAGCACGUCGGGGGAACCGGUCUCACGUAAGCGUACGCGUAAUGUUGGUCCGGGUCGUCUCGUCCAACAAUACCGCCGAACCAAAGUAUGACAUGCUAGUAGGCAGUAUGACUUGUAUCACCCACAACUCACUUGUGUUCUACUCGUGCAUAUAACAUCAAACCAUAAAACCUAGGCUCGGAUGCCACUGUUUGGGAACGUAGUAAUUUCAAAAAAAUUCCUACGCACACGCAAGAUCAUGGUGAUGCAUAUCAACGAGAGGGGAGAGUGUGAUCUACGUACCCUUGUAGAUCAAUAGCGGAAGCAUUGACGCAAUGUAGAGGAAGUAGUCGUACGUCUUCCUUAUCCGAUCGAUCCAAGCACCAUUACUCCGGCACCUCUGAGUUCUUAGCACACGUACAGCUCGAUGACGAUCCCCGGGCUCCGAUCCAGCAAAGCGUCGGGGGGGAGUUCCGUCAACACGACGGCGUGGUGAUGAUCUUGAUGUUCUACCAUCGCAGGGCUUCGCCUAAGCACUGCUCCAAUAUGAUCGAGGUGGAAUAUGGUGGCAGGGGGCACCGCACACGGCUAAGGAACGAUCUCAAUGAUCAACUUGUGUGUCUAGAGGUGCCCCCUGCCUCCGUAUAUAAAGGAGCCAAGGGGGAGGGGGCCGCCGGCCAGGAGGAGGGCGCAGGAGGAGUCCUACUCCUACCAGGAGUAGGACUCCCCCCCCCCAAUCCUAGUUGGACUAGGAUUCCCCGAGGGGGAAAGAGAGAGGGGGGGCCGGCCACCUCUCCUAGUCCUAAUAGGACUAGGGGAGGGGGGAGGCGCGCGGCCACCUUGGGCUGCCCCUUUCUCCUUUCCACUAAAGCCCAUCAAGGCCCAUAUGGCUCCCGGGGGGUUCCGGUAACCUCCCGGUACUCCGGUAAAAUCCCGAUUUCACCCGGAACACUUCCGAUGUCCAAAUGUAGGCUUCCAAUAUAUCAAUCUUUAUGUCUCGACCAUUUCGAGACUCCUCGUCAUGUCCGUGAUCACAUCCGGGACUCCGAACUAACUUUGGUACAUCAAAAUGCAUAAACUCAUAAUAACUGUCAUCGUAACGUUAAGCGUGUGGACCCUACGGUUCGAGAAUAAUGCAGACAUGACUGAGACACAUCUCCGGUCAAUAACCAAUAGCGGGACCUGGAUGCCCAUAUUGGCUCCUACAUUUUCUCCGAAGAUCUUUAUCGGUCAGACCGCAUAACAAAAUACGUUGUUCCCUUUUCAUCGGUAUGUUACUUGCCCGAGAUUUGAUCGUUGGUAUCUCAAUACCUAGUUCAAUCUCGUUACCGGCAAGUCUCUUUACUCGUUCCGUAAUACAUCAUCUCGCAACUAACUCAUUAGUUGCAAUGCUUGCAAGGCUUAUGUGAUGUGCAUUACCGAGAGGGCCCAGAGAUACCUCUCCGACAAUCGGAGUGACAAAUCCUAAUCUCGAAAUACGCCAACCCAACAUCUACCUUUGGAGACACCUGUAGAGCUCCUUUAUAAUCACCCAGUUACAUUGUGACGUUUGUUAGCACACAAAGUGUUCCUCCGGGAAACGGGAGUUGCAUAAUCACAUAGUCAUAGGAACAUGUAUAAGUCAUGAAGAAAGCAGUAGCAACAUACUAAACGAUCGGGUGCUAAGCUAAUGAAAUGGGUCAUGUCAAUCAGAUCAUUCAACCAAUGAUGUGACCUCGUUAAUCAAAUAACAACACCUUGUUCAUGGUUAGGAAACAUAACCAUCUUUGAUUAACGAGCUAGUCAUGUAGAGGCAUACUAGUGACACUAAGUUUGUCUAUGUAUUCACACAUGUAUUAUGUUUCCGGUUAAUACAAUUCUAGUAUGAAUAAUAAACAUUUAUCAUGAUAUAAGGAAAUAAAUAAUAACUUUAUUAUUGCCUCUAAGGCAUAUUUCCUUCAUCUAUCCCCCUAGGAGCAUGCGCGUAGUACCGAGGUUUUUGAUGACUUGUAGAUUUUUGCAAUGAGUAUGUGAGUUCUUUAUGACUAAUGUUGAGUCCAUGAAUUAUACGCACUCUCACCCUUCCAUCCUUGCUAGCCUCUUCGGUACCGUGCAUUGCCCUUUCCCACAUUGAGUGUUGGAGCAAACUUCGCCAAUGCAUCCAAACCCUGUGAUAUGAUACGCUCUUUCACACAUAAACCUCCUUAUAUCUUCCUCAAAACAGCCACCAUACCUACCUAUUAUGGCAUUUCCAUAGCCAUUCCGACUUAUAUUGCCAUGCAACUUUCCACCAUUCCGUUCAUCAUGACACAUUUAGCAUUGUCAUAUUGCUUAGCAUAAUCAUGUAGUUGACAUAGUAUUUGUGGCAAAGCCACCGUUCAUAAUUCUUUCCUACAUGUCACUAUUGGUCCACUGCAUAUCCGGUACACCGCCGGAGGCAUUUAUAUAGAGUCAUACUUUGUUCUAGUAUCGAGUAGUAAUUAUUGAGUUGUAAAUAAAUAGAAGUGUGAUGAUCAUCAUUAAUAGAGCAUGGUCCCAAAAAGAGAAAAAAGGAAGGGCCAAAAAAAGGCCAAAUAAAAAAAUAUAAAAAAGGGGGGCAAUGCUACUAUCCUUUUUUUCCACACUUGUGAUUCAAAGUAGCACCGUAAUCUUCAUGAUAGAGAGUAUCUUGAUUUGUCACUUUCAUAUACUAGUGGGAAUUUUGCAUUGUAGAACAAUGGGCCUCCUCAAGUGCCCUAGCUCUUCGUGAGCAAGCAAGUUGGAUGCACACCCACUUAGUUUCUUUUGUUGAGCUUUCAUACAUUUAUAGCUCUAGUGCAUCCGUUGCAUGGCAAUCCUUACUCCUUGCAUUAACAUCAAUCGAUGGGCAUCUCCAUAGCCCAUUGAUUAGCCUCAUUGAUGUGAGACUUUCUCCUUUUUGUCUUCUCCACAUAACCCCAGUGAUUAUAUUCUAUUCCACCCAUAGUUUUAUGUCCAUGGCUUGCAAUCAUAUAUUGCGUGAAAGUUUAUAGGUUUGAGAUCACUAAAGUAUGAAACAAUUGCUUGGCUUGUCAUCGGGGUUGUGCAUGAUGAGAGCAUUCUUGUGUGAAGAAAAUGAAGCAUGAUUAAACUAUAUGAUUUUGUAGGGAUGAACUUUCUUUGGCCAUGUUAUUUUGAGAAGACAUAAUUGCUCAGUUAGUAUGCUUGACUCUUUUGGAUCUGAAUAUUCAUACCACAAGUAAGAAGAAUUACAUUAAAAUCAUGCCAAGUAGCACUCCGCAUCAAAAAUUCUGUUUUUAUCAUUUACCUACUCUAGGACGAGCAGGAAUUAAGCUUGGGGAUGCUUGAUACGUCUCCAACGUAACUAUAAUUUUUGAUUGCUCCAUGCUAUAUUAUCUACUGUUUUGGACAAUAUUGGGCUUUAUUAUCCACUUUUAUAUUAUUUUGUAACUAACCUAUUAUCUACUGUUUUGGACAAUAUUGCCUAGAUUUGCUGUUUUUUUGCCUGUUUUAGGGUUUCGAAGAAAAGGAAUAUCAAACGGAGUCCAAACGGAAUGAAACCUUCGGGAACGUGAUUUUCUCAACGAACAAGACCCAGGAGACUUGGACCCUCCGUCAAGACACAAAAGAGGAGGCCACGAGGUAGAGGGCGUGCCUACCCCCCCCCCCCUGCGCGCCCACCACCCUCGUGGGCCCCCUGUUGCUCCACCGACGUACUCCUUCCUCCUAUAUAUACCUACGUACCCCCAAACGAUCAUAUACGGAGCCAAAACCCUAAUUCCACCGCCGCAACUUUCUGUAUCCACGAGAUCCCAUCUUGGGGCCUGUUCCGGAGCUCCGCCAGAGGGGGCAUCGAUCACGGAGUGCUUCUACAUCAACACCAUAACCUCUCCGAUGAAGUGUGAGUAGUUCACCUCAGACCUACUGUUCCAUAGUUAUUAGCUAGAUGGCUUCUUCUCUCUUUUUGGAUCUAAAUACAAUGUUCUCCCCCUCUCUUGUGGAGAAUUAUUCGAUGUAAUCUUCUUUUUGCGGUGUGUUUGUUGAGACCGAUGAAUUGUGGGUUUAUGAUCAAGUCUAUCUAUGAAUAAUAUUUCAAUCUUCUCUGAAUUAUUUUAUGUAUGAUUGGUUAUCUUUGCAAGUCUCUUCGAAUUAUCAGUUUGGUUUGGCCUACUAGAUUGAUCUUUCCUGCAAUGGGAGAAGUGCUUAGCUUUGGGUUCAAUCUUGCGGUGUCCUUUCCCAGUGACAGUAGGGGCAGCAAGGCACGUAUUGUAUUGUUGCCAUCGAGGACAACAAGAUGGGGUUUUCAUCAUAUUGCAUGUGUCUAUCCCUCUACAUCAUGUUAUCUUGCUUAAGGCGUUAAUCUGUUUUUAACAUAAUACUCUAGAUGCAUGCUGGAUAGCUGUCGAUGAGUGGAGUAAUAGUAGUAGAUGUAGGCAGGAGCGGUCUACUUGUCUCGGACGUGAUGCCUAUAUACAUGAUGAUACCUAGAUAUUAUCAUAACUAUGCUCAAUUCUGUCAAUUGCUCAACAGUAAUUUGUUCACCCACCGUAGAAUACUUAUGCUCUCGAGGGAAGCCACUAGUGAAACCUAUGGCCCCGGGUCUAUCUUUAUCAUAUUAAUCUCCUACUACUUAGUUAUUUCCUUUGCUUUUUUACUUUGCCUUUAUUUUACUUUGCAUCUUUAUCACAAAAAUACCAAUAAAAUUAUCUUUAUCAUAUCUAUCAAAUCUCACUCUUGUAAGUGGCCGUGUAGGGAUUGACAACCCCUAUUCGCGUUGGUUGCGAGGAUUUAUUUGUUUUGUGCAGGUACGAGGGACUCGUGCGUAGCCUCCUACUGGAUUGAUACCUUGGUUCUCAAAACCUAAGGGAAAUACUUACGCUACUUUGCUGCAUCAUCCCUUCCUCUUCGGGGAAAACCAACGCAGUGCUCAAGAGGUAGCAAGGGUUCCUUUUUGUCGACGAUCCUAUGUUUCAACCUUGUUUUCCAGGCGGCCAAUGCGUCGCUAAACUUGGGCAUGGCGUGUUUGUUUAUCUUCUUCAUUGCCAGGUCCUUAUCUGGAUCUUUAUUAUCCUUUUCAUUGCGGUUAAUGAACAAGAAUAUCUGGUGCCGCUUCUUUAAAAGGGAGGGCCUCAUAUUAUCUAUCUUCUGUAGUUUCCCAUCGUUGAUCGUGGCAGUUGUCCGUACGAUGCAACCUAUUUGAUUGCCAUAGCACGAUUGCGCUUCCUCGGGCGCUAUUGUCUCAAAAAUACCGUUGUCCAUCUCCGUGACCACCAGUCUAGUACUCGUGAGCUGGUUUCGGCGCCGUGGCCUCUUUGCUUUCGGUUCUAGACCAGCUCCGCUAGUCUCGGCGCCGGUCUCAGUCUCAUCGCCGGUCUGCAUGUCGGUAUCAGUCCCCGAUGCGACAGCACAGUCGCUGCAACAUGGGUAAGGGAGACCACAUCAGUGCUGGGGGGGUCUGAAAAUUGGGACACACUUUCGCGCAUCGCGGGCCGCCUCUCAGACAGCUACUGGGGAGGCGGCGGAGUACCUGGGUGCGCGGUAAAUCCCCGGGAACUCGGUGACCAACUUCCUUCCCGUGUGGUGCAUGGAGACGACGACGACCCCGGCAAAGAGCAGCUUAGCCGUGAGCUGCACAGCCUCGUCCACCUCCUAAGUUGGGUCCUCCGCGCGAGCGUUGCGGGGCCGCCGCUCGGAUGGCUUCUGGAAGGCGCUUGUACAUGGGCAUAGGGUGAAUCCCGGCGAGAGCUAGCCAUUGGCGCGCGCAAGUAGACGACGACGUCCCCGACGAAGAGCAGCCCGGCCAGCUCGCCUCACUCUCCUUUGAUUAGAAUUGAAAGAUUGGGAAGAAGCAGACUUGAGCCUGCAGGGAAAGGAUAAGGUGACGAUGCAGUCUCCACUCGUUCGGGGCGACACGCGAAUUGAAUGUAUGAGAAACGUGACGUGGCAGGGACCCCAAGAUACUCCCUCCAUUUAUUUUUAGUCUGCAUAUAAAGUUUGGUCAAAGUCAAGAUUUGUAAAUUUUAACUAACUUUAUAAUAAAAAAAUAUCAACAUUCACAAUAUGAAAUAAUUAUUACCAGAUGCGUGAAGAAAUGUAUUUCCAUACUAUAUAGUUUUGGUAUUGGAGAUGUUCAUAUUUUUUUAUAUAAAUGGGAAGUAGAGGCACUCUUCCAUAUAAUGAAGUUUAUAAUAUAUGUGCUUAUAUUGUACUAUAAUUGUUUGAAUAACUUAGCAUAUGUUCAGAUGUAUGAUAUCUGUAAUUUAAGCGCUUGAAUUUUACAUAUAAAUAUUUAUUAAUAAAUAUGUACCCCUAUAAUAGCUAGGCCGUGCAGUUGCACGGGUAGAUGACUAGUGAUUACAGUCUUGUUUGUGUGCAAGUCAAGCUUAUCUAGUUUACACGUAACAACUCGUAGAACAUGUUUAUGCUUGCUAAUAACUUCUAGAACACUACAACACUUUACAUGUAAAAGGAAUUUCACGAGUCAUGGCCUACUAAAGCAAGUUACAUUACUAGUCUUAUAUCUAUCUUAACAGACCACACAAGACUACAAACUAAGUACCAUGACAGCCAUGCUUAUCUAGUUUAUGCGUAACAAUUUGCAGAAAAUUACAAACUUAGUUUUAGAAAAAUGGGCAAUCCAGAUUAGUGUUUGAGCUGUAAAGUGAAUAAGAUGAGUCAUGUGUGUUAUCACACCUUUUUGGUGGUGGAAUGAUAGUGCAACAACAAGGAACUUUAAUGAACAGUGCAAGAAUACACUUGUAAGUAGUGCCACCAAACAGAACAUACCAAAUGAUGAUUUUGAGAAGCAUCCAAGCACUUUCCACACAAACAAAUGCCAAUUGUGAAAGAGAUCAUUCCAUGGCAGCUAUAAAUAGCCCCGUAGCAUGACGAUCAUCCUUCCUCAUCCAUCAUUCUCAUAAGUAGAACGCAUCAUUUAAGCCAAGCAAGGUGUGGUCAAUACAAAUCCACCAUGAAGACAUUUCUCAUCCUUGCCCUCCUUGCUAUCGUGGCGACCACCGCCACAACUGCAGUUAGAGUUCCAGUGCCACAAUUGCAGCCACAAAAUCCAUCUCAGCAACAGCCACAAGAGCAAGUUCCAUUGGUACAACAACAACAAUUUCUAGGGCAGCAACAACCAUUUCCACCACAACAACCAUAUCCACAGCCGCAACCAUUUCCAUCACAACAACCAUAUCUGCAGCUGCAACCAUUUCCGCAGCCGCAACUACCAUAUUCGCAGCCACAACCAUUUCGACCACAACAACCAUAUCCACAACCGCAACCACAGUAUUCGCAACUACAACAACCAAUUUCACAGCAGCAGCAGCAGCAGCAACAACAACAACAACAACAACAACAACAACAACAACAACAACAACAACAACAACAACAACAACAACAACAACAACAACAACAAGAACAACAAAUCCUUCAACAAAUUUUGCAACAACAACUAAUUCCAUGCAUGGAUGUUGUAUUACAGCAACACAACAUAGCGCAUGGAAGAUCACAAGUUUUGCAACAAAGUACUUACCAGCUGUUGCAAGAAUUGUGUUGUCAGCACCUAUGGCAGAUCCCUGAGCAGUCGCAGUGCCAGGCCAUCCACAAUGUUGUUCAUGCUAUUAUUCUGCAUCAACAACAAAAACAACAACAACAACAACCAUCGAGCCAGGUCUCCUUCCAACAGCCUCAACAACAAUAUCCAUUAGGCCAGGGCUCCUUCCGGCCAUCUCAGCAAAACCCACAGGCCCAGGGCUCUGUCCAGCCUCAACAACUGCCCCAGUUCGAGGAAAUAAGGAACCUAGCGCUACAGACGCUACCUGCAAUGUGCAAUGUCUACAUCCCUCCAUAUUGCACCAUCGUGCCAUUUGGCAUCUUCGGUACUAACUGAGAAGAAAAUAACUCUAGUACUAGAUAUAUGAAACACCGUUUUCUCAGUCCAUGGUUUGGUCAUUGUAGCGGUGAAAAAAUAAUGUGACAUGCACUAUCAUGUAAGAACCCGAACUAUACUAGUUCAAACUUGGGAAUAAAAGACAAACACAGGUCUUGUCUACAUAUUUAUGUUGCAUUUAUCUAAAGAUAACAAAAUGAGUCUAAAAUUUGAAUUAAAUUGAAGUAUUUUCUUGGACUUUAAUUUGCACAUUAAUUAGAAAUUACUAUCCCUCGAUCUGGUAAAUCUUAACAAAUAGAAUUAUCUUGACCGUUAGAUUUAUGUAACAUAUAUAAUGCUCUGGGCCUCCAACGACUGUACGUGACACAUCUGAACGCACAUAUGUUAAAGAAAAUAUAUUUUGUAAAUGGUGGGCCUCUUUAAAAAGAGAACUUACGUACAUACACCAACUAAGAAAAACACAUACAUGUAAAUGGGAAAAGGAUGAGAUUUUCUCACGUACAUGUGUUGAUGCUUAAAAGUGGCACGAUCAUAAAGCAGCAUGCCGGGGCGAAAACCUUGCCGGGGUAAAAUCUUGCUGGUGUGAAAGCUUGCCGGUGUGAAGGCUUGCCGGCGUGGAAACCUUGCCGGCACAGAAAGAUCGCCGGUGCUUGCCGGUGUGAAAUCUUGCCGGGGGAGAAACCUUGUCAGGGAGGAACCCUUGCCGGAGUACAAACCUUGCCGGAGUGAAACCUUGCCGGUGUGAAAGCUUGCCGGGUAGAAACUUUGCCGGUGUGGAAAGCUUACUCGGAUGGAAAACUUGCCGGGUUGGAGGCUGAGAUAGUCAAUCGAACGAGAAGUUGAAGAUGGGCUCAAAAGGUUAUUCAGAUGAUCUCGGAUGGAAAAAUGAUCUACAGGGUUGUCUUCGUCUCGUCGAAACGAUCGAUUUUGAUAUAAAAAUCAUUCAAAUCCGAGUUCGUAUGCAAAAGUUAGAGCAAUCAGAGUGCAGCCCUGUCACGAGGCGAGAUGUGGCACGCCCACCAGACACAUGUCUGACGGGUAGUGUGAGGAAAUAGCCUGUGUUGCGAGACCGAUCUGACCCUCAAGAUGACCUCUGAUCAAAAAACCUUCAACAUGAAAGUUGUUCGUCUCGUCGAAACGGUCAAGAUUGCUUUUGGGCUUGUUUUCAUCCGGAAUCGUUUACCACCGCAAAAAAGACCCGCAAGGUGCAGCCAGUUUUAACCGAACAGUUUUGGAAAGUUUGGAUAAACCAGUCCGAAUUUGACUAAUGUUUUGGACGUGAAUUGAUGUAAUUUUCUUGUAAGGAAAGCCUAGAUAAAUUCUUGGCUUGUACGGGAAGUCCAGCUGCCUCUUAUAUAUGUUGGGGGUGGCGGCCGAUUGAAACAACACAUAAUCGAACAAACACAUAUACUACUUUUUCGUGUUCAUCUACUUUUUAUCUCUCCCUUGUAUCUUUCUUCUCGUUCUUCGCUAGUUCUUCAUGCUGGAGGGCUGCGGAUCCACGAGGCUCUAGGGGCGAGUGAAUCGACCUAGGGCAGCCCAUAGCCGCCGCAAUCCCUGACGGGGUCCCUCCCGGGUGCGCGGGGUUUCGGGUCUGCAAAAGCGCCCGCCGACUGCCUUGCGUAUCACGCUGUCGGUCGGGUCUCCUUCGACGUGAGCUACGGUGCAUCACCCCCGGCGUCGAGGGUAAACGUGACAUGUUCGUGUGCGAACACACUUUUUGGCGACUCCGCUGGGGACGAAGCUCUGAACAGUCUCCAGCCUGUUCUUGCUACGAGGAGAGCGUCACCAAGCGGCUGCAAUCUACAACGGUAACAUGUAUCGUCAAUCUCCUUGCGUAGAUGCAAAUAGCCAUUAUGUUGAUGUUGCUAGAUCUUUCAACGGACAUGUGAUGUCGGCCAGCCCUAAUGAGGAAAGGCCGACUAGUUAUUCCAUUGGAGAAACUUGGAAUUUACAGAAUCGUGACAUGCAACUUAUGAAUCUGAACUUUCGUGCAUCGGCAACAACUUUCAAUAUGCCGGUGAACAACACGAUUUGUUCGAGUGAUCAAUAUAGGACACCUCAUGUACAGGAGGGUAUCUCAAAGUUUUAUCCAUCGGCAGCCGGCUCGCAAUAUGCGGGUUCAUCCCCAAACAUGCCGAUGAAUGGGGGAAUCGGUCAUGCUUUUGUUAGCUAUUUGGCCGGUUAUCCUCAAACAUCAUAUACUACACCUCAUCAGAUUAAUUGUUCAAUGGCGUAUGAAACUAAAAAUAUUCAUAACUCGGCUCACGUUCACGGUCAUGGCCGAGUGAAUGGAGAUACUAUAGGAGCAUAUGUGCCUAAUAUUGCAGGAGAUGAGGUGGCUCUGGCUGCAUUAAAAAUUUUAGCCCAAAAUAAGAAGAUUAGUGCUAUUUUCCUUGAGCAACACGACAAGGGAUUGGUUCCUGAUUAUGAGGCAAUAAGAGCUAGGGUUUUGAAAGAAGACCAAGUGUUGCCGAUUGAUCAAAUUGUCGAGAGAAAAUAUUCAACAACGAUGCACAUGCCUUCACCUAUCAUUGCAGCAUGUUAUACACCCCCUGUACAAGCGCAAAAUUUCGGCAACAUUAAUUCAUUGCCGAAAGAUCCUAAAAGUAUUGGGGGGCAAGCCGAUCCAAGCAGGGUUGAGUUUAAAGAAAAAUAUCUAGCCCAAGUGGACAAGAUCAAGCCAAAGCUCACAGGGAAUAGAGUCAACGAAUUUACUACACCUACCCUUGAGGAAUUACCAGCAGAAUAUCGACAGGCCUACGAAGCACUCAAGAAGAAACGUGGAGAGGGAUAUUUGCAAGAAUACUUCAAGUGCCUUCCUCCAUGUAGCAACCAUGUUGGCCCUUCUACACUGUUGAGGCAAGAUAAAAAAAGAAGCUUUGCAAGCAAACCAGCAAAAAAGGAUUCACUCGGCUAAUACGGUGGAUUCGGUUGAAACCGGAUUGAGCAACGGGAUGUUUAAGGCCGAGUGCGUUGCAUCGUGCCAGCCGAGUGCAUCGUUCCAGACGAGUGCAUCACCAGCUAAAGCCGAGUGCAUCAAGCCAACUAUUGCCUCGUGUACGAAAAUAGAAGAUGCAAGCUUGGCUGAGCAAAGGAACAACAAACGCAACAAAUUGGUUGUGCUCGAUUUUUCUGGAUCUAAGGGAGCUUACAUGCUACCUUAUGAGUUUCGUGCUAAAGAUAUUGAUGAGCAUCAAGAACACAGUAAUGGCUGAACACAGUUCAGUUAACGAUGAACAUCAAGACCAAGAAAAUGCGGCCGAGCAAAGUUCAACUGACAAAGAGCGUCCGAGUGAAAUCCACUCGGGCAAUCCGACUGAAAUAUACUCGGGCAAUUCGAGUGAAAUAUACUCAGGCAAUCCGAGUGAUGAGGCACCAGAUCCAGAAAAAGAGGAAGAGGCAUUGGAGAAUUAUUCAUAAGUGGAGCAAUGUAUUGUUCCAGUGGUGCAACCAUCUUCUCCUUCCAAUGUCUUCACAAAGGUACACCUAGAAGAUAGUUUACUCAAUUUUCAAUUCGGUCAAAAUGAUAUUGUUGAUGUACCUAUUAGUAAGAUUCUAAUUAAUUUUGAAAGACCAAUUGAAAUGAGUAAUCUUUUUGUUAGGAAGGAUCUUGUCACUAAUCAUGAUAGUCAACACAUGGUAUCGUUCAUAGAGGCUAAUAGUGACAACUUAUCAAAACCAAAGUUGUUCUUGUCAUGCCAACUGAACUUUGUAUUCAUAUGGACAACUUUGUUUGUUUCAUGCCCGGCUAACAUUUGGACUCGUAUGAGCCGUAUAUUCUGUAAUUAUUUUAGUUGCAGAAACAUAAAGCCAGGUCCAAAGUCCUUCGAAGCCAAUUCAAAUGCAUCAGGAAAAGAAGAUGAAUCUUUCCCAAUUGAUAAAAUUGGCGAGCAAAAAUAUGGUUUUACAACAAUGCAUAUGCCUUCACCUAAUACUACAUCAUAUUAUACAGCCCCUACACAAUUGCAAAGUUUCGGCAACACCCAUGUGCCAUUGCCGAAAGAGUCUAAAAGCAAUGGGGGACAAUCGUAUCCGAAGUGGGCUGAAAAUGAGAAAAAGAUUAAAGCCAAUUUCGCCACUCGCCGCCAGAAACAAAAAGAAACAGAAUUGGCUCAAGUGAAAGAAGCAUUGCCAAUUGGUAGAAGCAAUGUAAAGAAAGAUGAUUCAGAACAUGAAAGUACUCCGGUUAAAAGAGCCGAAUCAAGAAGUAUAUAUUCUGAAUCCAUCAAAUGCAAAGAGGCAAGCAUUAUUGAGAAAGGGCAUGGCAAGCAUAGCAAAGCGACCAUACUUGAUUUUUCUAAAGUUAAUGGAACCUACUUCCUGCCCUAUGAGUUUCGUGCCAGAGAAUUUUGAUGAACUUCAAGGACAAGAACAAGUAGCCGAACAAAGUUCGGCCGACAAAAAUCUUCAAUGUAAUGAUGCACGGAAUCAAGAAAAAGAUGAUGAAGAAGCGUUGGGGGGCCAUCCAAAGGCGGAGCAAGAUAUUGUUCAAGUCACACCACCAUCGUGCUCUCCCAACAUAUUUGAAGAGGUAUGUUUAGCAAGUAAUUUACUUAUUUUCAGAUUUGGUCAGGACUUUAUUGUUGAUGCAUCUAUUGGAAAAAUCCUCAUAAGUAAUUUUGAAAGACCAAUGAAGAAGGGUAAUUUACUUGCUAGCAAUAAAGUUGUUAUUGAGCAUAUCGGUCAACCCAUUACGCCAUUUAUAAAGACCGAUAGUGACUUAUUAUUACAGCCAAAGCUUUCCCCGUUGCUUUAUCUAAAGUUCAUAUCUAUUUGGGUAGCUUUGCUUAUUUCAUACUUGGCUUGCACUUGGUCUCAAUUGAGACAUGUGUGUUCUAACUAUUUUCGUUUUAGAAAUUUAAAGCCAAGAUUAAAUUCUGUUGAGAAAACCGAUGCUAGUAUAAUAUCUUACCCAAAGACAUCGGAGAUAGAGUGCAAAACACAAUGCAUAGCCGAAUGGUGUGAUGCAAAAUCUGAACCAUUCGUUUGCUUAAUUCCAAAGCCGUUCUCACAGCAAGAUCGGCUAGAAAACAAGAAGUAUACCUUCAAUUCAAGCAUGUGUGUUCAAAUAUUUGAUUUGUUGCUGAAAAAUAAUUACAUUACAAUUCUUGAUCACCAUGUUAAGCCAUCAAUCCAAGGACGAAUGUAUUGUAAGUUGCAUGAUUCGUCCAAGCAUGAUUUUGAGGAUUGCAACAUGUUUCGUCAAAUAGUUAAAUCGGCCAUUGAAAAAGGACGAUUGAAGUUUGUUGAAACACCAAGAGAUGACCAGUCUAUUCCGAUUGGUCCCGAUGGCAAAAAGUUUUUGCAUCGGCUGCUUCGAGCCGAUCCAUUUAAAGAGAAGGUAAAAACUGCAGGUGAUGGGAUCAAGCUUUCAACUAAAGAAGUUGUUGAAGAGCAUAAUGAACAUAAUCUUGAGGGUGAGAAUUCCAUCGAAGCUACAAUGGAGACGCCAAGGACUGGGGGGCAGCAAGCAAAUCCAACGAUCGAUGAAAGCAAACCAAAAGAAAACAAAGGCCGAAAUAAGCGCAAGUGUAAAAUAUCAAAAAUCACCUUCGCUGAACUAUUGGAGAAAUAUCAAAAGAAGAGUGAAGAGAAGAAUGCUUAUCGGCCCAAUCAUGCAAAGAAACCAAAAUCACCCCCAAGGCGCAAAUAUGAGGAUCCGUAUUGGCAAAGUGAGAGUUUCAAUGCAACAUAUUCAUAUCCUUAUUUUGGGCCGCCAAUGACAAUGCCGUGGAUGCCUCCCUAUACUCAUGUAGAUCCAUGUUCAUCAUGGGACAGGUAUGAUACAAGGGCACAUUCUCCAUCUUAUUUUAGACCAUCUCACCAAUAUUAUGCAGCUCCGAGAAGAUCAACAUUUGAACAGUCACAUGUUAAAGAUCGUUUCAAUUAUAAGGAAUCGGUCCGGACACCAUGGAUGAAAAAAGAGGUGGUCAACCAAGUCUACCGCGUGAAAAGAGAUGGUCGUAAGUGUGCUACUUCAGAUUUGAUCUCAAAUAAUAAAGAGCCAAUUAAAGUGUUGACAUUGUCUACAAAAGGCAAUGAGACGAAGCAACCAAUUAUUGAGAGUCAAAGUGCCAAAUCAGAAGAAAAGAAGUUGAGAGUGCACAAGGUCAAAAAGGAAUUGCCAUUGGUCAGAACAGAAUCAUAGCCGAGAUGCCCACUCGGCUUAUCGUAUUGGCAAAAGAGGGAAUUACACAAACUUAGUGCACAAGAACUUGAAGAAAGGAACAUGGCAUGGGUUCCCAAAGGAAGUGCUCAAAAUAAGAAUUAUGUGCAUGCCUCCAUUACAAGAAGUGCGGCAAAAGUGAAGAAGGAAAAGAGUAAAAACUAUGAAGGACCAAGCCGAAGGAUUCAACAUCUUUGGUCUACACAUUAUCCAUAUUCUUCAACUAUGCCAUUAACGCCUAUGCCAUGGAAUUCGUCAUCAGGUAUGAUUGGUAACCCUCAAUGGGCUUAUUUUAAUCCAUGGAUGCAAUAUAAUUUCUUACGUCAUGAAAGGGUAUUACCAAGUCACUAUACAUUUGAUUAGCUACAAGUUUGUUGCUGAUCCAGAGGGCCGAAAUACUUGAUUUGUCAUUUCAUUUGUUUAUUUCGGCUAUAUGUGCUUUGAAUGAAGUUUACAUGGUAAUGGCCGAUGAUAUUUAUCUAUCGUCCUAAGAGUAUGUCAAUUCAUGCCCGGUGUAGUAUUCUAAUAUCAUCCUUAGUUUGAUGGAGAGCGAGACAAGGUACAUGCUCAUGAAAAUUUAUAUGUAUGCCUAUAUUAUGAUUGAAUGGAGUUGAGACAUCAUGACCGAUGUCAUUGAAUAUAUGCUGCAUAGACCAAUUCAUAGCUGCAGAAUUGGUUGGUGGGCUUAUACUUUGUUUGGAUAUGAUUUGGCUUAUGCAUCUUUGAGAUCUAUAAGAGGCCAAAUCAUAGUUGAUUUUGUUACUGAACAUCGGAUUAGUGUCAUGCAUAAUAUUAAUAUUAUCCUUGUCUCUCUAGUACUAUGGAGAUUAUGUUUUGAUGGUUCAAUUCAUAGCAAUGGCCAAAGUGUUGGUGUUGUUUAUAUAUUUCUUUAUGGUACUAUUUUUUGAAGCCUCGUGCCGCUUAGAAUAUUUUUAUGCACGAUUAAUCAAGGCCGAAUAUGCAUUGUUAUUCGGAUUGACUCUUUUACUUGCUGUAGGUGUUAUACAGAUUGAGGCUUUUGGUGAUUCGUUAUGAGUAGUGCAACAAAUAUCCAAGGAUUAUCAAUGUGUUUUGACGAAUCACUUAUAGUUUAUCUUGGGUUUGUCUAGAUGAAGAAUUUACCUUGGGUUGCAUUAAAUUUUUUCAUAUAUUUAGACAUGACAAUUGGAGAGAGUUGGCAUAGCAAGCAUCCGGCUACCAUGUCCAUCAUGUUGUAUUGCGUUUCUCUCAAUAGCCGAUGCUUAGUCUUGUCAACAUAGGUAAGGCCGAACCGAAGUCUAGAACUUCGGACACUAAUGAAAUUUUUAUGCAGGCGAAAGUAAGGAUUGGAGAAAGUUUAUUGUUGAUUGUCUACAAAAUCCUAGCAAAAGGGUGAACAAUAUGGUUCGGAGUAUGACAUUGAGAUACAUAUCUAUGGAACUUUAUCACCGGAUUGUUAAUGAAGCUGAGAAGGUUUCACCCAAGUUUGCAUCAGAAAGUUCACACAAGACAUGGCCGAUAUAUACUUAUCGUCCUAAGAACAUAUAAAUGGCCGAUGGAGUGUUGACAUCGUCCUUAGAACAAACUUGGUACAAGUAUUUUUCGGCAUGCUAGCUUUACCGAAAAACGGGAGGGCAUGUGUUGACGCUCAAAAGUGGCACGAUCAUAAAGCAGCAUGCCGGGGCGAAAACCUUGCCGGGGUAAAAUCUUGCCGGUGUGAAAGCUUGCCGGUGUGAAGGCUUACCGGCGUGGAAAGCUUGCCGGCACAGAAAGAUCGCCGGUGCUUGCCGGUGUGAAAUCUUGCCGAGGGAGAAAUCUUGUCAGGGAGGAACCCUUGCCGGAGUACAAACCUUGCCAGAGUGAAACCUUGCCGGUGUGAAAGCUUGCCGGGUAGAAACAUUGCCGGUGUGGAAACCUUACUCGGAUGGAAAACUUGCCGGGUUGGAGGCUGUGAUAGUCAAUCGAACGAGAAGUUGAAGAUGGGCUCAAAAGGUUAUUUAGAUGAUCUCGGAUGGAAAAAUGAUCUACACGGGUUGUCUUCAUCUCGUCCAAACGAUCGAUUUUGAUAUAAAAAUCGUUCAAAUUUGAGUUUGUAUGCAAAAGUUAGAGCAAUCGGAGUGCAGCCCUGUCACGAGGCGAGAUGUGGCGCCCCCCACCAGACACAUAUCUGACGGGUAGCGCGAGGAAAUAGCCUGUGUUGCGAGACCGAUCUGACCCUCAAGAUGAUCUCUGAUCAAAAAACCUUCAACAUGAAAGUUUUUCGUCUCGUCGAAACAGUCAAGAUUGCUUUUGGGCUUGUUUUCAUCCGGGAUCGUUUACCACCGCAAAAAAGACCCGCAAUGUGCAGCCAGUUUAAACCGAACAGUUUUGGAAAGUUCGGAUAAACCAGUCGGAAUUUGACUAGGGUUUUGGACGUGAAUUGAUGUAAUUUUCUUGUAAGGAAAGCCUAGAUAAAUUCUUUGCUUGUACGGGGAGUCCAGCCGCCUCUUAUAUAUGUUGGGGGUGACGGCCGAUUGAAACAACACACAAUCGAACAAACACAUCUACUACUUUUUCGUGUUCAUCUACUUUUUAUCUCUCCCUUGUAUCUUUCUUCUCGUUUUUCGCAAGUUCUUCAUGCUGGAGGGCUGCGGAUCCACGAGGCUCUAGGGCCGAGCGAAUCGACCUAGGGCAGCCCAUAGCCGCCGCAAUCCCUAACGGGGUCCCUCUCAGGUGCGCGGGAUUUCGGGUCUACAAAAGCGCCCGCCGACUGUCUUGCGUAUCGCGCUGUCGGUCGGGUCUCCUUCGACGUGAGCUGCGGUGCAUCACCCCCGGCGUCAAGGUUACAUGUGACGUGUUCGUGUGCGAACAACGUGCUCCCUGGCUCCACCCCGUUGAAAAAAUAUACAUUUGGAGGCCACUUUGUUUCCUCAUCAAAAAAAACUUACGUUAAAAAGAUUGCAUGCAUCCCAGGGAAAGUAAUCAAGAAGAAGUCGGACUCUUCCUUACAAAAACAAGGAACGUGUUAAGUUAACUUCAAAGAAAAAGGAACAUGUUAAGUUAAAAAAAAGAAGAAACAUGUUAAGUUAGAAAAAAACAAGGAACGUGUUGUCCUAGGAAAGAUAUGUGUCAAAUCUUACAAAAAAAAGAAUACACACACGUACGUUCAUGCACUUGGAAAAUAGAAAAAAAAGGAACAUCACGUAUGUAUACACUUCGGAAACUCAUUACAUGACCAUGUCUGAUAUACUCAUCUAAUGCUUAAUAUUAGUGCCUAAUAAUUUAUAUUUAAAAUUUAAUUUACUGAUCAAAUAUCCCCAAUGUUUAAAUUUUAAUUUGGCACAUUGUUUGGCUAUAGUAUGAACCUAAAUUUCCUCUUAUUAUUAUAUAUCAUGAUAAUAAUCCAAAGGCGACUAAUCUGCGCUGGUGCACCGGGGCAAUCAAUUCGGCCGGACACAGCGCGGCCUUUUGAUUAGAUUGCAUUUAACCGUCUGAUCUGGAAUUGUUUUCUUUCCAAUUAAACGGAUUCAACCAAACAGCAGAGGGGAAAACAAAGCAGCGCCGCCGCCAACACUAGCCAUGGACGAUCGAUGUAGCAAAACCUUGAAGAACCGCCGCCGGUCGCCACCCUCGCCGCUGGUGGCCGCCCUCGCCAUCGGUCACCGCCGGUCGCCGCCCUCGCCGCCUGCGUUUCUCAUCGGCUUCAUGCAUGCAACAACAUGCACUCGUGGUUGCAGGCUUGCAGCUCCGGCUCCGGGGGACAUGGCCGCAUCUCCGGUAACGCCGGCCGCCAACCAUAGCACCUGUCAUUGUGGUCGCGUUGUACCUCACCGUGUGCCCUCCCAAGGCUCUUGCUGGUUCCAACAAAAAACGAUACCUGUUGUAGCAAAAAAGUUUAUCGCUUCCAGCAAAAAAGCUUUCCGCUACAGCCCGCCAUUGUCAUUGUAGCAAAAAUGUUAACCCGAUGUAGCUUUUGUGGUUGCCGACUGCAACAAAAAAUGACAUGGUUGAAGCAAAACACAAAAGAAAAACGCCGGCCGGCCGCUGUGUAUGGUGGUAACAAACCCUAUAGCCGGUGGUAGCGAAAAACUUCAUAGUUUGCAGCAAAAAAAUGUUGUCGCCCGUCGUCGAGGUUGCAUCAUCUUCAUGAAUUAUGUCGCAAAAAAACAUUGUCGCCGGUAGUAGCAAAUGAAGCCGCCCGGUAGUAGCAAAACAAGACACUGGUUCCAGCCAAAAAAAAUCAGCGACAGAACCUUUGGUUGGUUCCAACAAAAAAACUUGUCGGUUGUAACAUCCCUCGCCGCCGGAUGUAGCAUCUCCCGGGGCUGGUUGCAACACUCUAAAAAAAAGUUGUCUAAGAGCGCAUCCAUGGCGACUGCUGCACCGUCAGCAACGAGGGGAAGAGGAGGCAAUGAAAAUCGUUCGAGUCGUAGCUCCACAGGACGCGGCUGCAGCAUGGGGAGUCCAAAAAUCUGUCACAAGCAACAUGCGCCUCGCCAUCCUCCUGCGUAGGAGAGAGAAGAAAAAGGAAUAAGAGGAAGAAGAAAGGAAACGGGAGAAAGAAAAAAGAAACGAUUGGUGGUGGGCUGAGGCAAUUAGUCAAACGAGGGGCACGCGGGGCCGCAGGAUACAGCGCAAUCGAACGAAGCACGCGCGUCCGGCCGAAGACUCGGCCGGACUGCCGGCUGGAAACGUUUCCCUAAUCCAAAGGCUUUGUCUGAAUGACAAGUCGUCUAGGUUACCGGCUAACUAGAAAAAAGAUAAAUAUGCUAGAGAAUUUCAUAAUAAUUAGAAAUAUCUAGCCUUUAAUUAUGUAAAUCAGAAAAUCACAACCGUAGGAUUUACUUUAAAGGUAAAUUUCUCUAAAUUCCCACCAUUGCCAGUAUGUAGAAACAUGUGCUGCUUCAAUUCUCCCAUAAUCACCAAUCAAUCAACAACACAAAACAUACCUCAGUUAAAAAAAACUGAACAAAAAAAAGAAAAAAAGAAGAAAGGACAAGAUACACGCAUGUACACGACAGCCUUGGCUUGAAACACAUCAGUAGAUCAAGUGUCCGCCUCCCUUACACAGAAUAAAUUCUAGGGAAGAAAAUAAUAGUGCAACCUAACCUUAUACGUACUAUUCUAUCCUCACGUCCCAUGAGGUUUACUAGCCUACCGCCGCCGCAUCAUGCCAUCCUCUCCUUUCAGCUCCCAUGCUCUCCAGCAUCCUCCUUGCCGCGCCACUACUCGCCUAGGAAUAUUGCUGCUCAGACCGCGGAGCUUAACCUGCUUCUUCUUCAGCAAAUAUGGAACUGCUUUAGGAUCCUUCUCACAUCAGCACGUAUGGGCCUCAUUAUACUGCAGCUCCUGGACCUCCUACAAUUGGUUGGCUAUGGCCAGUUGAUCGAUGUGCUGAAGUCUAGGUCUGUUUGCUGGCACAUAUGCUUUGGAAAUAGGCCACUAUGUUUGUACUUCAAAAUUGUUUCGGUAUUCUUGAGUGGUACAUCCUUUUAAGUGCCAGUUUUUUAUGUUAAUUCGACAACACUUAACCUAGCCUUUCAUGUUCACGUACUAAAUACAGGAGCAAGUAAAAAAAACAGACCACCUAAUUGCUCUGCAAGUUCUACAUAGGAAAAUUUGUCAUGUUCUACGAUCGCACCAUCCCACCCUUCUCUCUUGGUAUGGGCGCCAAUUGAGGGAUUGAUAAAACUGAAAUGAAGACGUCACAGGGCUGGAAGUACCGCUAGCCUGGUUUGCACUGCAACCUACCCAACGCCAUCAGAAACUAGCAACUGAGGCAGGUGUUGAUCGAUUCUCUCAAAUUGCUCUCAUGUAAGUACUACCCCUUGCAUGUGCGUACAUACCUUUGUUGCAUUCUCAAACAGAUAGAACAUGUAUGAUCGGUGCAUGGCUAUUUUUAGGUAUAGCGACUGCACAACUUCUUCAACUCCAUAUGAUGCUAGUGUAUUGCAUCGAAAGAAUCAACGGAUUGCUAGAGAUCAACUGAGGUAUUCUCAUAUUAUUGGCUCGCUUAUGUAUUUGACGACUGCCACGAGGCCUAACAUCUCGUUUGCUGUUAGCAAGCUGAGUCGGUUUGUGUAAAAACCAGGAGAUGAUCAUUGCCAUGCGCUUGAGAGAGUUAUGCGCUAUUUGAAAGGCACCGCGAGCAAUGGGAUUCACUACACCGGGUAUCCAAGGGUACUGGAGGGUUAUAGUGACUCAAACUGGAUAUCUGAUGCUAAUGAGAUUAAGGCCACAAGUGGUUAUGUUUUUACACUUGGUGGUGGCACUGUUUCUUGGAAGUCCUGCAAACAGACCAUCUUAAUGAGGUCAACUAUGGAAGCGGAACUCACAGCAUUAGAAACUACCACUGUUGAAGCAGAGUGGCUUCGUGAGUUCUUGAUGGACUUACCUAUAGUUGAAAAACCAAUACCCCCUAUCCCUAUGAACUGUGAUAAUCAAACUGUGAUUGUCAAGAUAAACAGUUCUAAGGACAAUAUGAAGUCCUCAAGGCAUGUGAAGAGGAGACUGAAAUCUGUCAGAAAAUUGAGGAACUCCGAAGUUAUUACGUUGGAUUAUAUCAAAACGUCGAAAAAUUUGGCUGAUCCCUUCACAAAGGGUCUAUCACGUAAUGUGAUAGAUAAUGCAUCGAUGGAGAUGGGUCUGAGACCCACCGCAUGAGUUGUCCAUAGUGGUAACCCACUCUAUGUGAUCGGAGAUCCCGUGAAGUAGAAGUGGGAGACAAGUUGUUGGUCAGCUGGGAGGAGAGUAUCCCUAUAUUACCUAUCCCACUCCCUGAAGAUGCAAUACUCUCCUAAUCUGCAUGGCAGGUUGAUACUUACCUUAAUGUGUUCCAAGUGGCUUAUUCGGGUAAGUAGAAAUGUUGUCCUGCAGAACAUCUUCUGAGGAACACACCUAUAUGAAUUUGACUGUUAACAUUGUAGUCUGUGAGAAUUGGGUGUUCUCUAAUAAAUUCAUGAAAAGGCCCUGGAGUAUGACGUAUACGCUCCACCCGCGGGGAAGCCUUGCGGCAGCCUAGUAUCGGUCAAGAAUUUGUGUGAAACUAGUCUCGCAGAAAAUUUGUAGUUCAAGGCAUAGUCCACUAUUUAAGUUGUGAUCUAGUGUAGCAUAAAUCUCUAAGUGGAAGUUCAACUUCAUAGUCUCCACUAAGCACCGGUAUAUAAACAAUGUUUUGGAACUAAAUGAUGAGAUGUUCCAAUGAGUCUUUGUGGGGGAAUUGUUGGAAUUUUGCUAGUACGCCUUUGGCCCAAAGCCCAACUAAAAUUAUGAAAUUUUCUUGGCCCAUUCAUGCAUACAUGUGAGUGGAGUGAGUGAGACUAAAGUAUAGUCCCACCCCGGAAGUUGAGAGAGAGCACCUCUUUAUAAGGUAAGCUCUUCUACCACUUGUAUGAGCAUGAGAAUAGGAGACCUACACACGCGCUCCUCCUUGCUCGCCACGCCACGCCUCGUCACGACGCGCUGCAGGUUGCGGGAUUGAGCGGAGCCGAGGACAGAGCUAUGCACGUUGUCUAUUUUUUGCUACCCGGGAAAAAUUAAUGAGUCAUUAAUUAAUAAUUAAUGGACGCGUUAAUAACUGAACCGUUUCCGAUUCUUUUGGAUCGUGACGACUCGGACAUGGGGUUUACUCCCACGACCUACCCGGCCCGCACUAUAUAGUCAGUCAGACGUCUACCCUAGCCGCCGCCGCUUCGUAUGGUUUCUCACCACCAUUCCAGAUCAUUGCGCCGCAAAGCAAGUCUUCUCCAUACCUCCUUUCGGCGUGCACUGGGAGAAGGAACAGCAGGCCUUCGGAACCCCGCCGCUCGUGAUCCUGUACGGGAGAGGGGCGAUCAGGUUUUUGGGGAGCGCACUCGCGCGACUGCUGGCAGCGACGACUUCGCGAAUGACGACUUCAUCCCGGACCUCGGCAACCUCAUCCUCGACGACAUGGGUGACAACGUCAACGCCGGCGGUGCUGCAGCCGCUGCACCGUAUGUUAUUCUAUCCUUCUUGUUCGAGAUCGUGGUAGAAUUCAGGUUUCUAGUAUGUGCCCUAGAUGUGAUCUGUUCAUCUACUCUGCUAGUUCGCAUGAUUAGUUUAAUCUCUGCUAUUGCUGUCAUGAUCUAUUUCCAAUUUAUUCGGAUUAAAUCUCGUAGUAAUUUGCUCAUUUUUCCAACAAUGCCAUCUGAUAGAUGAUGUAAUUCUCGUCAAGUUUGACGUUGUUGAGCUAAUUUACAAAAAAACCUCAUCAUUAUUGGAUGUCCUUAACAGCUCAAGAACAAGUUGGGGUCGAACUAAUGGAUUUUACACUUUUACAUUAAAGGUUUAGCUAAAGCUAGCAGGUGUUUUUAAACCUGAUUUUUUUCCUCCUAAAUUUCUUUGUAUUUUCUUAUUGACACUAUUUAUACAAUCAUCUGACAAAGAUUUGCUAAAGCUGCUUGUAGAUACGUUGAAACCUGAAAAGCUUCUUUGGUUUUCUCAUAGGUCUUAAUUCUUAUGUAAUACCAAGAUGCAUUGUGGUAGUGUACAUGUGUUAAAUUCGUGUUGUUAUUCACAAUUUGCGACAAAAUUUAGCUCACGCUACAUUUCAAUAUGUUGAAAUGUGAAAGCUCUUUUUCUUCUCCUUUCUACACCUUGCAUCGGAUUGCAUCCCUUUAGUUAUCCAACAUUUUGUACAACAUGUAGAGAUUAGGAAGUUCAUCAUAGUUUGUCUAUUUCGGUGCUAAUAAAUGUAUGAAAUCUGCAUUUCCAAGCUAUUAGGACAAGUAAAAAAUAAUAAUUUUACUAUAGGAUUCAAAAACAGCAGUUCUGAAGUGCACUUUAUUUAUUUGCGAAAGUGACCACAUUUUGUUUCAUUUUUCUAUAGACAAAUCUACUAAUACAUACUCACGAUAAAACUAUAAAAGUUCUAGUCCGCACAUUGGGCGGGCCACCCGGCUGGUUCGUCUAAAGAAAACAAAAUGAGUCUGGAAUUUGAAUUAAAUUGAAGUAUUUUCUUGGACUUUCAAAUUGAGUAUAGUUAAAGUAGUAAGGACUAUCCACAUCCUUGGCUUGCCCCUAAUCAAUUAUUUCCAGAGAAGCAUUCAAUUCAUCAAUCAAUUACAUUGAUUUUAGUGGCUGGUACUUCUCCUGAACAUCAGUAUAUUCACCGUGGCCACUCCAAAUCGGCAAGAAUGAGGUACCAGUGCUCUGGAGCAGUGCAAGCUAAUUGCUUCUCAUGUGAAGGGGUGCGGGCGCGGGAGAGGUAUUUCUGGUGGGCCAAGGGACUAAGAAGCGACCGUGGCAGCGGUACAGACGCCCGCAAAGCCCCAUAGUUUGUUUUUGAUUUACAGGAAAAUUGCACAUCCAUACUGGCCUGGGGAAUAUAGGACCGUAUUGGAUGGAAAACCAUGUCCGGAUGGUUGCGAGCGGUUUGAGGGUUAGCUUUUGUAACACCCGGUUAGUUAUGCUACAGCAAUUCCCUGCUAAUGAUGUCACGUCACCACGAUUACUGUUGUUAACCUCACAAUGAUUGAAUCCCAUUCAAAUUCAAAUUUAAAAUAAAGGCAAACAUCAAAAGUUUUCAAACAUGAAAACUAAAAUCUUUGAGAGGUGACAAAUAAUGCAUAAGUAAUUAUGGUGGAGAAACCACACUUUAAUUAAAUGUUAAAAUACUCUAAAAUGAAAAAAACAGUGGCUUAAACUAUUAUUUAAAUGCUUUUAAAAUAGUAAAAAUCUUCUAACUAAAUUAUUUGGGUACCAAACUUUUGGUGGCAGUGGUAUAUUUAGUAGAACUAAUUUAGAUGCUAAUUAUAUAAUUUACAAAAUUAGAAUAAAUUGAAAAAUAGGAUAAAACGGAAAAGGAAAGACAAAACAAAUAAAAGCAAAAAGGGGGCAACCCCUCGCUGGGCCUCGGCCUAGCUGGCCACUAGGCGAGCUAGGCUGGCCCCGCUGCCUCCCUUAACCCCCACACUCCUCAUCGAACCCAAGCCCGAUCGCCCCACUUCCCCACACCCCCUCGCCAGCCUCCCCACCCCUUGAUCCCAUCUGGAUCGGCGAGUGUAUUGCCCCCAUCGACCCCGUUGCCAUCGCUAGAUCGCCCGCCGACGUCGCCAGGCCUCCUCCCCGCCGCACGUCUUUGGCUCGCCUCUCCUCUCGCUCCUCUUCCCCGGCCCGAUCUUGAUCGUGAACGAGCAAUGAGCUUGAAGCCCCCCUUCACCGGCGCCAUCACCGUGCGCCACCACCACCGCCUGAAGACCUCACCGUCGCUGAACCUUGCGUCGCCUCCUCGUAUCCCUCCCCUACUCACGUCCUCAAGCCAGGCCGAGCCCCUUCUCGGCAACGCUGUGAGACGCCCCCGUUUCCCUCCUCUUUCCACCGCGUUCACCACGCCGCCCGCCAUGCCCCUCGCCGUGCGCAUGCCCACCACCGCACCAGCCCCCGCUCCGCGCACGACCCUACCCGCGCCCGCGACAUGAUCCCCUUUUCCGCCCUAUCUUCCUGCGCUCGCCGCGGUCCCGAUGCUCCCCCGCGCCUUCUUUCAGGGGCGCCGACUGCCCCUGUCCCGCUGCUCGCCGCCGUGCCUCGCCACCGCUCUACUGCUGCGUUACUACUGUGCUGCGGCCGCCGCCUCUUCCUGCUGCUCCGCCAGCGCCGAAGCUCCCAGUUGGCUCCACCACUGCUCACUUUAAACCGCCGGCCUAAAUGGCCUAACCCCGGCUAAUGAACCCCCACUAACCCACUGACACCGGGACCCACAUUCCCUAAUUAACCAUUUAAUAAAUUAAAACUCUUAAAUUAACAUUAGUGUAUGACAUGUGCGUCCCCUGUUAAUUAAUAAUUUUGCUGCUAGUUUUAUUAGUUUCUGUUUUUCUGCAUAUUUCUUUUGUAUUUGAACACGCUUUAUACAGUAAUAUUUAGCGUAUCAUACACAUACAAAUGUAAUCAUAGCAUAUACAUACAAAUAGUCUCAUCAAAUCAUGUCAUCAUCAUAAUCAUCAUCCAUCACAAAGUGGUCUCUCGUCAUCAUCUCGAAAAUAGCGAUACAAGUCUCGAUUACUUGCAACUACAUCGUCAUCCAUCUAAAUAAUGAUAUACGCGAGAAGAGCUAUUACUAUGAGUACGAGCGGAACUAUGCAGUACAUGAGGCUGUAUCCCUCUCUCGCAUUAGCGUGAACCUAAACUAACUACUGGCUGUUGCUCGGAAACCGGAAACCGGUACACCUAGGCUUGACACUCCGGCCACUCGUCGUAUACUCCUGGCGUAGAACUUCUUCUCCAUCGAUGAUCUAUGUGAAGGAAAUAUGCCCUAGAGGCAAUAAUAAAGUUAUUAUUUAUUUCCUUAUAUCAUGAUAAAUCGUGAUGGGAAUGGGCCGGGUCGGCCCGCUGGGUCACUGACUCGGCCCGAAAUCUCGAGGCCAAUGGGCCAGGGAGGUUGGCCUCGAAUCACAAAACGGGUCAGUGGAGCCGGCCCCGUGUGACCCGAUGGACCAGAUGGGUCGACCCAGCGCUGCCCUAGUCCUCCAUCUAUGCCGCCGCCCCCCACGAUCUCUGUAGCCGCUCCCGAUGAUUUCUUCCGCCGCCGGCCAUCUUUGCCGCCCCUGGCAUCCCCCGACCUUCUCUAUCGGCCGCUCCCGACCUGCUGCCGCCGCCGGCUGCCCCUGAACAUCUUUGCUGGCCUGCUGCCGCCGGCGUUCCUCCCGCAUCUCGUUCGUCGUCUUGGUCGCCGUCGAGCUCGCUGACCUGCGGUCCCGUCCACCAUCUACCUCGCCAUUCCGGUCGCCGUCCUCAUCGUCAUCAUCACGCAGGUGAGACUCUUGCCGGCUUCCUCCCUGUCCCAGCGCAGCUGCAAUGACUGGUCUAGUUUAGGUUCUUGGUCUUGCUGGCACUCUCUGCGUUGUCUGCAAUUGUUUCAGUAGUUGGAGCUUGGAAGAAAUAGUCAACACUCAAAAAUAGACUGUUUGAUUGUUCAGCAUGGGACUUGUUUGAUUGUUCUCAAGAAGAAAUAGUGCUUCAGUUGAGCUCCUGUGUAGCUGCAGUUUAGCAUUCAACAACAGUUUUCUUUUUUGUGCAGCAUGCCACUUUCUUUUUUGUGCAGCAGCUUAGCUGCAGUUUAGCCUUUCGGUCCUCUGAUCCGAGGAAAAGUAAUUAGUGUUACUUCCUGUUGUUGGUUACUAAAUAAACCAGAAAUAGUUGUCCUGUGAAACAAUUUUACUCUGUUUUUUUGUUGAAUCGGCAAAUUUUACUCUGCUGGUAGGAUGGAGUAGUGCAUAUGUUGAUGAUGCUCACGAAAAACCUUCCUGGAGUAGUGCAUAUGUCCAACUGUGAGUUUCUUCUAUUCCUCGAAUGGCCGUUUGGUGUGGUGUUCUCCUAAUUUGUUGCCUGACAAGCUAGGUGUUGUGGGCGUGCUGCAUAAGAAGUAACAAUGGUUAGAAGAUGUAGUUAAUGCUUAGUUUUUUAUGUGAUAUAGGGUCAUGUGACUUCUUUUUCUUGGGCUAGCUGCCAGGUUGAGUUUGCGUAUAUGCAUAUCAGUGUAGCUGAUCCAUCGACAAGUCCAGCAUUUUUUAGUGUCAGUUCAGGGGAUGCUUUACUGGCAGCGAUUUCUGUAGUGUUGCUCAAUGGGAUGCUUUGCCGACAGUGAUUAGACCGUAAACUAAACUAUCCGGUUUCUUAUCUGCAUGCAUCUGCUGUUGAUUUUGAAAGUUAAUGCUCUCUAAUGUUCAUAUAUUUCCCUCUGAUUAGAAAAAUGGAAGAGGAGGAAGGGGACCAUGAGGCAUACCAAAGUGGUGGUUCAUCGUUGAUAUCCGGUGCGAUAAUGAGAAGGGCUCAACCACCCCCAGGGGUGUCUCCUUCUUCGAUAGACAUCUGUAGAGCUUAUCAUGGUGAGUAUUGUUAAUCUUUCUUUUUAUAGGGAUGCAAAUUAAUGGUUGCUAAAAUAAAAAAUACUCAUAAUUGUAAUGUUAACACUCGUGUCCUUUGCUCAGCAGGACGUUCGCAAGACACUCGUAUGGUUGAUUUUGAAGAAGAUGAGGCUGAUGAAGAAGAUGUUGACUAUGAAGAAGCAGAGGAAGGAGAAGAAGAUGAGGAUGAUGAAGAAGAAGAAGAAGAUGAUGAUGAUGAAGAAGAAGAAGAAGAGGGAGAUAAUGUGGAUGAAGAGGGAGAGGUUGAGAUCAUUGACAUGGGAUCGUUUUCUGAACCGGGAAGAAAGUUUUUGUCGAAAGUGUGGAAAGAAUAUGAGCCUAUCCGUGUUGAUGGCAUUGUUGUAGCUGCUGAGUGCAAACACUGUGCAAGGAAUAUUUGUGCUGAGCGUAAACAUGGAACAAGUUCAUUGCGCAAACAUUUGAAGAGAUGCAGGGAAAGGAAGAAGGUUCUUAGAGUUUCUGGACAGCUGAGUGCUUCUAUCGUGAGUCCUGAUGGAGUUGCAAUGGGGCUUUGGACCUUUAAUCAGGCAUUAGCACGCCGAGAGCUGAUGAGGAUGAUAGUGUUGCAUGAAUUGGCAUUCUCAUUGGUGGAGUACGAUGGAUUUAGAAGAUUUGUCUCUAGUUUAAAUCCUAGCUUCAAGAUGAUAUGCAGAAAAACUGUGAAGGAGGACUGCAUGAAAGCAUUUAAGGAAGAGAAGAGAAUUUUGCAAAGGAUGUUCCAAAACUCCAAAUCCAAGAUUUCUUUGACUACGGACCUAUGGACAUCAAAUCAGACAGUGGGGUACAUUUGCAUCACAGCUCACUUCAUUGAUGAGGAGUGGAAGCAGCAGAAGAGGAUAGUGAAAUUUGCAGCUAUGGAGACGCCGCACACAGGAGCUGCAAUGUUCAACGUCAUGGUGAAUUUCAUAAGAGAGUGGAACAUUGAAGAUAAUCUCUUUGCUGUGACGCUAGACAAUGCAUCGAACAAUGGUGCAAUGAUGAAGCUAUUGAAGGCACAUCUCCUGCUUAAGAAGAUGUUACCUGGUGGUGGCAAGUUGUUUCACCAACGUUGUGCCGCCCAUGUCAUAAAUCUGAUAUGUCAAGCAGGAUUGAACUUCCUUGGUCCAGUGAUCAACAUGAUACGUGAAACUGUGAAAUAUAUUCGAAGCUCACCAAGUCGAAAGGAAAAAUUUCAAGAAAUUGUUGAGCAACAUGGUGUAUCAUGUAGGAGAACUCCAAUUCUUGAUGUUCCAACUCGUUGGAACUCAACCUACAUGAUGAUUGAUAUAGCAAAAGAGUAUCGUGGAGUGUUUGACUCUUUGGCCAUUCAAGAUAAACAAUAUACCUUCAAGCCAUCUUUUGAGGAUUGGGAAAAUGCUGAAGAUGUUUGCAGGCUACUGAAGGUAUUUUAUGAAGCCACUAAUGUGAUAUCCGGCACAAAAUAUCCAACUGCUAACUUGUAUUUCCAUGAAAUGUGGAAAGUGAAGCUGACCUUAGAGCAACAACAUUAUGAAGAGGAUUCUGAGAUGGGCACAACGGUCAAAUAUAUGAAGAGAAAAUUUAGAAGGUAUUGGAAGAUGACAUGGUUGAGCCUUUGUAUUCCAGUGAUUUUGGACCCACAAUUCAAGUUGAAAUAUGUUGAUUUCCGAUUUGGCCUAGAGUUUGGGAACGAAGUUGCAGCAAUGAUUGCUAAAAUAAAAAAUGUGUUCCAAGGGUUGUUCAAGGAAUACCUCCAAUUGAAUGACAAUGGAUCAGAUCCCAUGUCACAAGGAGGUGAUGAUGACAUGGCUGUAAGUGGUGAAGAUCCUAUGGCUGAUUGGGUCCAACAUGUCACCCUCACUGCUCGAUCAACAAAUUUGGAUUAUACCGAACUUGAUUCGUACUUGUCAAAGGUACCCAUCCGCCGAAGUGAUCAAUUCAAUAUCCUUACAUGGUGGCAGACGAACUCCAGUGAAUACCCAACGCUGAGUCGCAUGGCAGCUGAUAUCUUGGCGGCUCCUUCCUCUGCGGUGGCAUCCGAGUCCGCCUUCAGCACAGGGAAGAGAGUCCUAUCAGAUUUUCGAAGUCGAAUGACCGCAACGACACUUGAAGCUCUUGUUUGUUUACAAGAUUGGAUAAGGGCCAACGGUAAAGCCAUACGACACAAGUUUCUUCUUUGUUUCUUAUUAAUGCUUCAAGUUUACAAGUUUCUUUUUUUUCUGCAGCUAAUACUCAACGUAGCUUGGCUUCAGUUCAUGACAUUAUAAUGGACUUACAAGGUAUGAGAAAUCUUCUGAUGUAUAUAGUGCCAUGUAUAUGAAGUACACUUAGUAUGAAGUCUGCUUUUUAUUUAGGGAUUUCAUAUCUACAGUUUGUUCCAGGGAACUAUUUGCAAGAUGCAACCCAAACAUGUAGAUGAGUAUAUAGAGUGUUUUACACACAGAACUAGUGCUUUUAUUUUUGGUUUCCCCAAGUUGUAGUUGAUCUCUAAUAUAUAUUUCUUUUUUCUCUCAGAUAUGAAUGUGUAGUUUAGAUUCAUUUUUUUAAUCGCCAAACUAUAUUAAAAAUAUGCAUUGCUAACUACAGUAACUUGAUUAGAAUAUGUUGCGGAGUGGAUGACAGGUAGUGUAUAAUGGAUAUUUAGAAGUGUAUUUUCUUGCAAACCUGAUCAUGAAUUGGUUUUCUGGAACACGCCUUUGCUACUAAGAAUAUUCCUCUGUUCAUAAAUAUAUUAUUUAGUUUUUUUGUGGAUAAAUAUACUAUUUAGUUGAUGUGCACAGAAUUACUCUUGUAACAUUUCUUUGCAAAUACAGAUAUCGAGGACUGAUGCUUGUUGGAGCAAUUGAUGUUAAAGCUCAAGCAGAUGGUGAAGAAGAUAUGUCAGCUUUCUCUAUAACCUACUGGAUGUGAAAAGAUUAGCAUGUUGAACUUGUAAUAUUUUGAUCUUGCAUGAGUCUGUUGGAUUGAGGUCAUUAGCUUGACGUUCUUUGAAAUCUGUAAUCUUUUGGUCUUGUUCGAAUCUGUUGGAUUGAGGUCUUUUGCUUGAUGCUCUUUGAAACAUGUAAUCUCAUGAUCUUGCCAUUCUAGAAACAUUUGCUAAAUUCUGGGUCGGCCUCAUGUACCCAAUGGGUCAAUGGGGCCACAAAAUUCUGAUGAAAUGGGCCGGCCCGUGGCCUCACAUUUUGACCUUGGGGCCACGGGGCCGGGGCCGGGGCCAGGGCCGGGUCGGCCCAUUCCCAUUCUGAAUGAUAAAUGUUUAUUAUUCAUGCUAGAAUUGUAUUAACCGGAAACAUAAUACAUGUGUGAAUACAUAGACAAACAGAGUGUCACUAGUAUGCCUCUACUAGACUAGCUCGUUAAUCAAAGAUGGUUAAGUUUCCUAACCAUAAACAAAGAGUCGUUAUUUGAUUAACGAGGUCACAUCAUUAGUUGAAUGAUCUGAUUGACAUGACCCAUUCCAUUAGCUUAGCACCCGAUCGUUUAGUAUGUUGCUAUUGCUUUCUUCAUGUCUUAUACAUGUUCCUAUGACUAUGAGAUUAUGCAACUCCCGUUUGCCGGAGGAACACUUUGUGUGCUACCAAACGUCACAACGUAACUGGGUGAUUAUAAAGGAGCUCUACAGGUGUCUCCAAUGGUAGAUGUUGGGUUGGCGUAUUUCGAGAAUAGGAUUUGACACUCCGAUUGUCGGAGAGGUAUCUCUGGGCCCUCUCGGUAAUGCACAUUACACAAGCCUUGCAAGCAUUGCAACUAAUGAGUUAGUUGCGGGAUGAUGUAUUACAGAACGAGUAAAGAUACUUGCCGGUAACGAGAUUGAACUAGGUAUUGGAUACCGACGAUCGAAUCUCGGGAAAGUAACAUACCGAUGACAAAGGGAACAACGUAUGUUGUUAUGCGGUCUGACCGAUAAAGAUCUUCGUAGAAUAUGCAGGAGCCAAUAUGGGCAUCCAGGUCCCUCUAUUGGUUAUUGACCAGAGACGUGUCCUGGUCAUGUCUACAUUGUUCUCGAACUGUAGGGUCCGCACGCUUAACGUUACGAUGACAGUUAUUAUGAGUUUAUGCAUUUUGAUGUACCGAAGGUAGUUCGGAGUCCCGGAUGUGAUCACGGACAUGACGAGGAGUCUCGAAAUUGUCACACCCUAGCUAGUUUAUGCAUUAGAGUGUGCAUCAUGUUUACCUUCAUCAGAAAUUGAAAUGGGGAGAGCAGAACCCCCAGCACCCCCCCCCUGAAAUCAACGAGGGUUUACUAAAAAUAAAUUCAAUGAACCUGAAAUGCCCUUGAAAUAUGUUCACCCUCUUUGCCUUGGGUUAGAACCCUUGGGAAAAAUGGUGCAUAUAAUUUUAGGUCAACAAAAGGGGCAUUGACUUAAUUCAUAAAUAUUUGAAUUUGGGCAUUUAAAAUACUAUUAUAUAAUUCAAAUGCUCAAAUAAUGUUGGAACUAUUUUUGGGCCACUGAAAUAUUUCAGAAAGUGUCCAUAAAUAUUUUCAGGAUUUUAUAAAAUGAUUUAGUAUCUGAACUAAAUCAAAACAGAAUAACAGAAAUAGAAAAACAAAAAAAAAUAAAGAGGGAAAGACCAUGGGCCACUUACCUGGCCCAGCGCCAGGCCACUAGCGGCCCAGCCCACCAGGCCGAUGCCAGUCGUCCCCUAGCUCCUGCCAGGAGGACGAAGGGCGUGUGCCCGCGGUGCGCCAGCACGCACACGGCCACCGACGGCCACCUCCUGCUUCGGCCGCCUCCCCGACGUCGCUUUGGACGCCACGCAUCCCCCCCUGACCCCUCGCUCACUCUCUUUCAUCCUCAUCCCCUCCUCUGCUCUCUCUCCCGCGCAACCGCCAUGAGCCCGAGAGCGCCGACGAGGACCACCACGGCCACCGCCUACCCCUCGCUUCCCUGACCAGCUUAGAGGCUCCGCCUCGACCCCGUCUUCCUUCUCACCGAACCACGCCCCGCCGGAAGCCCUGCGUCAUCAAAUUCAAGCUCUUCUUCAAGCUUCGGCACCGACGAUCGCCGCCGUCGAUUCGCUUGCUCCAGUGCCUCCCCGAGCUUGCCGAGGCCACCGCUGCAACUGCUGUGAGCUCCUGUGUCGUUUCCCCCUCCCCCCUGGCUCGAUUUCUUCUUCUAACACCGAUGCCCGUCAGAACCGAGAGCUCUUCGCCGCCGGCCAUGCCGCCACCGUGACCACAGCCGUGCAAGCUCACUCCCGAGCACGGCAACGUGCUCCACACCUCACCAAGAGCACGUGGAACCCAUCAGUUUCCCCUCCCGUGCACCACAACGCCGAUCCGCUCAACUCCCGAACUCCGGCCGCCGCGCAAGUUGCCGCCGCCGUCGUUUUAGGCCACUAGGGCUGCUGCCGUGUGCACAGAUAGAUGCGGGCGAGUCCCAGCUCCGCGUAGAUGCCCUCCGCUGGCCAUUUGGUCGCCGGAGGAGGAUUUCCGAGCCCCUCCGCCGUCUCUGGCCUUGCCGGCGACGAGCCGGGGUCAACUCCGGCGUGUUUUGACCCCGGGUCGGCUGGGUUGACUCCCCCCUGACUCACUGACGUGUGGGCCCAGGCGCCUGCCUAAUUACCAUUAGUUAAUUAGAGUUAAUAAAAAUUAGCUAAUUAGUGAGCCACUGACAUGCGGGCCCCGCCCGGCUAACCAAGUUAGUUAGGGUUAACUAACUUAGUUAGUUGAUUGUGUCACUGACCAGUGGACCCCACUGGUCAUGUUUGACCUGGAGGCGCCAGUUGACCUGCUGACAUCAGGGUGAUGUCAUGCUGACGCAAUAACUCUUUUUCUGGAUUUAAUUUUAUAUAGAAAAUUCCAGAAAAUUGCCUAAACUUCAAAAAUUCAUAGAAAUUCAACCAUAACUCCAAAUGAGACAAAUUAUAUAUGAAAAAUUAUCAGAAAAAUUCAAGGAAUCCAUCUGUACCAUUUUCAUGCAUGUUUGAACAAUGCUUGUCCUCUGUUUUGGACAAAACAAAUAAAGGGCAUUUAAAUAAUCAUAUAUGGGGUUGGAAUUUGAAUCUUGUACUCAAACCAACUCCAUUUAAAUCAUAGCUAGUUGCAUAAGCUCAAGACACAUCCAUAUUGCCAUGUCAUAGCAUGCAUCAUAUUGUUGCAUAUCAUCAUGUGUUGAUUGUGCUCGGUUGUGUUCUUCGUGGUAGGUUCUGCCUCCGAGGAUAUUCACGAGUAUCCAACUGAAGGGCAGUAUCCCGUUACCACUCCAUCAGGCAAGCAACCAUUGAUCAUUCCGAUACAACCCAUGUUCUCGCUCCUACUCUUGUUUACUGCAUUAAGACAACACGAUUCAAACUGCCGUGUGCUACGGUAGUUGAACCCUUAUCCUCUGCAUGACCUGUCAUUGCCACAGUAACUAGAUGAAACCCACUAGCAUGUGUAGGAGUUGAUUGAGCCAUGUUUUGUGAUUCCUACCUUGCUAUGCCUGCUAUGCUUAGAGUUGUGUCAGGUCUGGUUCAUCUGGGGAAUGGGCUAGAGUGAAAUGCUUGUGCCAGUAAAUUGUGGGAUGUGUUGAACAUGUUUUGGUAAAGGUAUCGAUGAGAGGCCAUGUAGGAGUACAUGGUGGGUUGUUUCAUUGAAGCCGUCCCUAAGAACUGAGUUCUGUAUGCGUGAAUUAAGAUUCAGCUACUACCACACAUUGGGCCCUGAAAUAUGACCCCGCUCGACUUACCGACCCCUCUCGCCUCAGUCCAGGAGUUGCAACUAGUUUCUGGUGUUUGUAGGAUAUGUGUUGGCGGCCGUGCGUAGCGCUGACCCUAGGGGUGGGCUAUGUUGCGGUAGAUACACCGUGGCACGGUGUACUGAGUCACCCGUUUGGUGUCUCGGGAACCCUGUUCACAUCGUUCGGGGCCGUUGAGGACACCCCGGCCGGAUUUCCUUGCGGAUGGAACCUGAAUAGGCGAUGACCCUGGACUAGAGACUCGUGAGGUUAGUCAGGUCGUGGUCUACACCCACGUCGGUUUUCGCUUGAAGUCUGCCGAGCACAUUUCGUGUGCAGACGCUAAGUGGUGGAAACAUGUGUGACGAAGUACACCCCUGCAGGGUAUAAAACUAUUCGAAUAGCCGUGUCCGCGGUAAAGGACUACUUGGUUGCAUAUACAGUUCAUAGACAAGUUAAUGGAUACUACUAAAAGACUCAAGAUAAGUGUGAGUACCGAGGAUGGCUCCCUCGCAGGAUACGAGGGAGGAUCCACGGUGGAGUAUUGUGAUGGUGAGUAGUGGACUCGUGUGCAAAAACUAUUUUGCUAAAAGAUUCCGUAGGAUAGCUUAGCCAAGAGUCAAAGCUGGUUUGCUGCAUAAACCCCACCACCUUCUUGAGAAUGAGCAUGUACAGUAGGUUCUGAUGUAAGACUUGCUGAGUACCUUUGUACUCAUGUUUGCUUAUUUAUUGUUUUCAGACGACAACACUGCCCCCUCCGAUGGGUUUUACGUAGACCUUGACGUCGACGAGUGACUAGCCACCCAGGUGGUGAUCCAGGCCAUGGAGGGCCCUAUGUAGAUAGACAGGCUUCGAGAAGCCUUCUUUCUUUCUAGAGUCUGUACCCAGACUAGUUGCUUCCGCAUGUGCUUGUAUGACUGUAUGACUUGAGUGUCGGGUCAUGUGACCCCUACCUGUAUGGAUAUGUUAUGUAUGGCUCCCUGGAGCCUUUAAAUAAAGUACCUGAGUUGUAGAGUUUUGUUGUGAUGCCAUGUUGUAUGUACUCAUAUCGAGCAUAUUGUAUGUAUGAUUGAAAUGCUUGGUAUGAGUGGGAUCCGACAAUCUAGUUGUUUGUCCUUCGCAGCCUUUCUUAUGGGGAAAUGUAGUCUAGUGCUCCUCGAGCCAUAGUAGUCCGCUACAGCCCGGUUCAGCGGAGUCCUACUAGCCCAGCACUACUGUUCAGGACACUUGACUAGCCGGCAUGUGUUUCACUUCGGGGAAAUGUCACGCGGUGAUCUCCGGAGUCCUGUCUAGCCUGCUACAGCCCGGGAUCCCCCGGAGUCCUGUUAGCCCAGUGCUACAGCCCGGAAUCACUCGUUGAUGACCGACAUGUUCGUUGUGAUUCAUGUAUGCCUGUCUCCAUAGGUCUGUGCCGCUUUGGGUUCACGACUAGCCAUGUCGGCCCGGGUUCUCGGUCAUAUGGAUGCUAGCGACAUUGUCAUAUACGCGAGCCAAAAGGCGCAAACGGUCCCGGGCCAUGGUAAGGCGACACCCGUGGGAUACCGUGAGUGAGGCCGCAAAGUGAUAUGAGGUGUUACCGGCUAGAUCGAUGUGGCUUAGAAUCGGGGUCCUGACAGCGUUGGCAUCAGAGCCGGACUGCCUAUAGGUUCGUUCAGCCAAACUGGUCGAUGUCGAGUCUAGAAAUGCUUUAGUUAUAUGUAAGGGAAUUGAUUGUGGGAGGGAACGUAAGGUUCUUUUACUCCUUUACCCUAUGCUUCUGAUCUGAGUCAUUCUCUUCUCAUUCAACGUGGGUUAAGGACUAGGCUCUCUUCUUCUAUCAGGUUCACGUGUUACUAAUCCGUAGUAGUUCAUAGGAUUAUUGCUACGAGUUCCAGUCCAGUUUCUACUAUUUUAGUACGUUGCUAUUUGAAUCAGAACCUUGAUAUGAUGCUGUUGAGCGGUAUUGUGAACUGUUGUGGAUGUCUCAAAUCUUUUUCUGAGCAUUUACAACCGCUAUGCUGCCCAAUUUUCCCUAGGAAUUCUGAUGUCUUUGUCUUGUGGUUGUGCUUUCAGAUGGCCAACCAUUCUCAAAAUCAAGUGGUUCGCCUGACUAGGUGCCUCGACGUGCCCGGUCAUACUGCUAUGUUGGUCCGGGUCAUGAUCGAGACAGGAUACCGUUGGUAUCCCGAAUACACUGUUGAAGAGCAGUUCCGCGACUUUAAUCAAAGCCAGUAUUUAUGCACCGUCAGGAUAUUUCCUUCCUAUCCUGGAUCUACCGAGCCCCUUCACUGUUCCUAUGGACUCGGAGUUACCAUUGAGAUGGCUGUGCAGGAUGCUGCCUAUUUCAUGAUGACCAUCUUGCGAGUCCGGACUGGCCUGCUUCGGAACACUGACUUCCGUUACAUGCCAGCUUCACUUCCGGGAGCGCAGGGGUAUCUUCAGGCUAUCUAUGCUGACUCCACUCAGGAGGACUCAUUAACUCGUACCACCGCUGAGAUGCUCGAAGAUAUGGACCGAGAGAAUCGGGCCUUGAGGCUGGAGCUCUUUAAUACCCGUGCUGAUCAUUGGGCCACAUUGACUCGGUUUGCACCCGCGGUGCAAGCGGGAUGUAUGGAUACCAGGGAUCUGUAUCCUGUGAGAGCAGCUCUGCCAGACAUGGUGGAUUGGCGUGAUGUGGGAGGCAUCACCCCACCCCUUGGUCACCGCAGGCCACCGUUUGUGGGUCCAAGACCUUAUCCUAGCCCCUAUGGUCCACAGGCUCCUCAGGACCGUCUGUUUCCGGAUGAUCACGUUGAACUUCCAGGCUAUGGAGGUGACUUCUAUGAGGACUACUACGGAGCUAUCUGAGUUAGUAGUAGUACCACUAGUAUUGUAGUAGUUGUAUCUCCACUGUCCUGUGUGACUUGUGGAAUACGACUUGGUGUGUAAUCGAUUCCGGAGGUGUAGACAAAUAAUGUAUAGGGACUCGGAAUGCCUCCGAUGAGAUGUAACGUCUACCUUCAUAGUUGUACUGUAGCAUGGGCUUGUACUAAACUAUGUAUGACGAGUAUGACCGUUGGUGUAUAUAUGGCAGUUUUAUAUUACCAUGGCAUACGAAUGAGCAUCUCUGCAUUCCGCGUUAUCCUUUACAUUCUGCACUUCCCUGUUAAGUUUGAGCCAUCCUUGUCUAAACCGUUGUCUUGUUUCCUCCUAGGAUGGUCAACACCCGCGGAAACCCUGCUGCCCCGGAGCAGGGGGAAGCCAAUGCAGCUAGAGGUGAAAAUUUGCCUCACCCGCCUUCCCUGGCCGAAGUGAUGCUGGAGGCGGAAAGGAACAAGCGUGAGACCAACCGCCUGCUGGAGCGGAUUGAGCAGAACACUGCACGCCACCCACGAAAUGACUUGGUGUCAAUCAACGACUUUAUCAAGCUGUACCCACCAAAGUUUAACCAUUCCGUCGAGCCCCUCGACGCGGAUGAUUGGCUUCGCAGCAUCACCCACAAGCUACGUUCUGCCAACGUAGCUGAAGCCGACAAGGUUACCUAUGCUGCUUAUCAUCUUGAGGGCCCCGCUAGCCAUUGGUGGGAAAACUACGAAGCUAUGCGCCCGGUCGGCCAAAUCACUACCUGGGCUGAGUUCAGCGAGGCUUUCCGUGAGCAUCACAUUCCGGAAGGUCUCAUGGAUCGCAAGAGGGAGGAGUUCUGUAACUUCACCCAAGGAAGGCUGACUGUGGAUGCAUAUAGCCGAGAAUUUGGGAACCUGGCACGCUAUGCUCCUGAAGAGGUUUCUACUGACGCCAAGAAGCAGGGAAGGUUCCGUAAGGGACUUAGCCCUGAGCUUCGCUGCGAUCUCCGUCCGCACGAGUGCACAUCCUUCCAGAAGCUGGUCAAUAAAGCUAUCAGUGCUGAGACAGGCCAGACUGAUUAUGACGCUUCACGCAAGCACUCUCGUGAUUUUGGGUCUUCAUCCGGCUCUGGAGCUCAGAAGCGCCGGGUGUGGAUUCCAAGCACCGCACUGCCAGCCAGAUUCACCCCGAGGCCAUCCUUUGAGGCGCCUCAUCCCAACCAGCAAUUUGCACCGCCCAAGCCCUAUGGUGGCCCCGCUGCUAAUGUUGCUCCACGCCCCACUAUGGUAACAUGCUUCAUGUGUGGAGAACCGGGUCACUAUAGUCGAGAGUGUCCCCAGAACAACCCCAAUCAAGCUGGAAAGUCCGUUGGCCGUGGUAAGCCCGCGGGAAAGACUUUCUAUGCCAAGCCGGCCACUACUGCACGUGGCCAUGUAAACUACGUCUCAGCCGAAGAGGCUCAUGAGGAUCCCAACGUCGUCCUUGGUACGCUCCUUGUUAACUGCCAUCCGGCAUCUGUUCUUUUCGAUACUGGAGCAUCUCAUUCAUUCAUAUCCGAGAAUUAUGCUCGGUCGCAUAACACGACAUUCUGUGACAUGCCCACUUCCAUGGUAAUUCAAACUCCGGGUUCCAAAUGGCAAACUUCUAGGGUAAGCCAUGGGAACGAAAUUCUUGUCGAUAGGCUUGUUUUCCUUGCAUCUUUAAUAGCUCUCAAGUCCUCCGACAUAAACAUCAUCUUGGGUAUGGACUGGAUGUCGGCUCAUUAUGCCAAGAUCGAUUGUGCCACUAGAACCGUUCAACUUAUUCAUCCCUCAGGCAAGACAGUUAAUGUCUUAACUCGAGUGGCCAAGCGCCAACUUUACUCUCUCAAUGCCAACCCUCUUCCAGACCUUGAGGACGUUCCGGUAGUCCGAGACUUCCCGGAUGUGUUUCCGGAAGAACUGCCAGGUGUUCCACCUGACCGGGAUGUCGAGUUUGUGAUAGACCUUGUUCCAGGAACCGUUCCAAUUGCUAGAAGACCCUACAAGAUGGCACCCUUAGAACUAGCCGAGCUUAAGAACCAACUCGAUGAGUCCUUGAACAAAGGGUUCAUCCGUCCUAGCUCCUCUCCUUGGGCUUGCCCCGUCCUCUUCGUCAAGAAGAAGGAUGGAACGGAUCGAAUGGUUGUGGAUUACCGACCUGUCAAUCUGGUCACCAUCAAGAACAAAUACCCGCUUCCCAGGAUCAACGACCUGUAUGAUCAGCUCACUGGAUCCUCAGUCUUCUCCAAGAUGGAUUUGAGGCUGGGCUACCAUCAAAUCAAAAUCAGAAACGGGGACAUUCCCAAAACGGCCUUUGUUACUCGUUAUGGCCAAUACGGGUACACCGUCAUGUCCUUCGGUUUAACCAAUGCCCCGGCCACUUUCUCCUGGUUAAUGAACUCGGUUUUCAUGGAGUACUUGGACAAAUUCGUUGUAGUAUACCUCGAUGACAUACUCAUCUACUCCAAGAAUGAAGAGGAACAUGCCGAACAUCUAAGGCUGGUAUUGAUGAAACUUCGAGAGCAUCGCCUUUAUGCCAAAUUCUCCAAGUGUGAAUUUUGGUUGUCAGAAGUGACCUAUCUAGGCCAUGUAAUCUCUGGUAAGGGUAUUGCUGUCAAUCCCGAGCGAGUUCAAGCCGUCCUUGAUUGGACUCCACCUGAAACGGUCAAGCAAGUUCGGAGUUUCCUUGGCCUAGCGAGCUAUUGCCGCCGCUUCGUCGAGAAUUUCUCCAAGGUUGCUAAACCUCUAACUGAACUCCUCAAGAAAGAUAAAAAGUUCGAGUGGACUCCGCAGUGCGAGUUCAGUUUUCAGGAAUUGAAAAGACGCCUGACAUCUGCUCCCGUACUGGUACCACCAGAUUUCUCCAAGGACUUUAUUAUCUAUUGCGACGCCUCGCGACAAGGACUAGGUUGCAUACUCAUGCAAGAUCGUCAGGUAAUUGCCUAUGCUUCAUGGCAAUUACACCCACAUGAGGAAAAUUAUCCCACACAUGAUCUAGAGCUUGCAGCUGUAGUCCAUGCACUCAAAACCUCGCGACAUUACCUCCUCGGUAAUCGUUGCGAGAUCUUCACCGAUCACCAAAGCUUGAAAUAUAUCUUCACCCAACCAGAUUUGAAUCUCAGGCAAAGACGUUGGGUCGAGUUGAUCUCGGAUUACGACUUAGGAAUAACUUACACCCCUGGCAAAGCCAAUGUCAUGGCCGAUCCGCUAAGUCGUAAGUCCUACUGUAACAACCUGCUGUUACAACAAAGUCAACCACUUCUCCAUGAGGAAUUUCGCAAGCUUAAUCUUCACAUUGUUCCUCAAGGAUUCUUGUCUACUCUGGUGGCGAAACCUACCCUUAUGGAUCAAAUCAUAGCUGCCCAAAAGCGUGAUAAGGGCAUAUCCCGGAUUAAGGAAAACAUUGCUAGCGGAGUAGCUAAAUGUUUUUCCAUGGAUGAGCAAGGUGCUGUCUUCUUUGAGAACCGCCUGGUGGUUCCCAAGAACCAACAUCUACGCCAGAUGAUCCUUAAGGAAGCUCAUGAAUCCCCUCUCACCAUUCAUCCCAGUAGUACUAAAAUGUAUCAAGACUUACGCCAGAGGUUUUGGUGGACUAGGAUGAAGAGAGAAAUCGCUCAAUACAUUGCUAAUUGCGACGUUUGUCGUCGUGUUAAAGCAGAGCAUCAACGGCCUGCUGGCACCCUUCAACCUUUGGCUAUUCCUGAAUGGAAAUGGGACAAAAUCAGUAUGGAUUUCAUCACUGGGUUUCCCAGGACCAAGAGGGGAAAUAAUGCCAUCUUCGUCGUGAUCGACCGUCUUUCCAAAGUAGCCCAUUUUCUACCUGUUCGUGAGAGUAUCACCGCUAGCCAGCUAGCUGACCUAUACAUCUCCCGAAUAGUGUCUCUUCAUGGUGUCCCAUUGGAAAUUAACUCAGACCGUGGAAGUCUCUUCACCUCUCGAUUUUGGGAAAGUUUCCAAAAUGCUAUGGGAACUCAUCUCUCCUUUAGCACCGCCUUCCAUCCUCAAUCAAGUGGUCAAGUAGAGCGAGUAAAUCAAAUUCUGGAAGAUAUGCUCCGAGCUUCUGUUAUCUCGUUCGGAAUGAGUUGGGAAAAAUGCCUUCCAUUCGCGGAGUUUGCUUAUAACAAUAGCUAUCAAGCUAGUUUGGGCAAGGCUCCCUUCGAAGUUCUCUAUGGACGAAAAUGUCGAACGCCUCUUAACUGGUCAGAAACCGGGGAAAGGCAACUCUUUGGCCCGGAUAUGAUUCAGGAAGCAGAAGAGCAGGUUCGCGUUAUUCGUGAGAAAUUGAAAACGGCCCAAUCUCGCCAAAAGAGUCAAUAUGAUCGUAAGCAUAAGCCAAUGACAUUUGAAAUUGACGAGAAAGCUUAUCUUCGGGUUACCCCGUUAAAGGGAACCCAUCGCUUCGGUAUCAAAGGCAAAUUGGCUCCUCGUUACAUUGGACCCUUUCGCAUUCUUGCCAAACGAGGAGAAGCUGCCUACCAAUUGGAACUACCUCCGCAUCUUUCCAGAGUUCACGACGUCUUCCACGUUUCGCAACUCAGGCGUUGCUUCGCGGAUCCUAUCCGUGGAGUGGACCACGAAACGCUUGAUUUACAAGAUAACCUCUCUUAUCGGGAAUACCCCGUUCGUAUCCUUGAUCAAGCCGAGCGUACCACUCGACGUCAUAAUAUCAAGUUUCUCAAGGUUCAAUGGUCACACCAUUCCGAGGAAGAAGCCACUUGGGAAAGGGAGGAUCGUCUUCGACUCGAGUACCCCGCCUUCUUCCCAGAUGAUCCUAAAUCUCGGGACGAGAUUCUAUUGAGUGGGGGUGAGUUGUCACACCCUAGCUAGUUUAUGCAUUAGAGUGUGCAUCAUGUUUACCUUCAUCAGAAAUUGAAAUGGGGAAAGCAGAACCCCCAGCACCCCCCCUGAAAUCAACUAGGGUUUACUAAAAAUAAAUUCAAUGAACCUGAAAUGCCCUUCAAAUAUGUUCACCCUCUUUGCCUUGGGUUAGAACCCUUGGGAAAAAUGGUGCAUAUAAUUUUAGGUCAACAAAAGGGGCAUUGACUUAAUUCAUAAAUAUUUGAAUUUGGGCAUUUAAAAUACUAUUAUAUAAUUCAAAUGCUCAAAUAAUGUUGGAACUAUUUUUGGGCCACUGAAAUAUUUCAGAAAGUGUCCAUAAAUAUUUUCAGGAUUUUAUAAAAUGAUUUAGUAUUUGAACUAAAUCAAAACAGAAUAACAGAAAUAGAAAAACACAAAAAAAAAUAAAGAGGGAAAGACCAUGGGCCACUUACCUGGCCCAGCGCCAGGCCACCAGCGGCCCAGCCCACCAGGCCGAUGCCAGUCGUCCCCUAGCUCCUGCCAGGAGGACGAAGGGCGUGUGCCCGCGGUGCGCCAGCACGCGCACGGCCACCGACGGCCACCUCCUGCUUCGGCCGCCUCCCCGACGUCGCUUUGGACGCCACGCAUCCCCCCCUGACCCCUCGCUCACUCUCUUCCAUCCUCAUCCCCUCCUCUGCUCUCUCUCCCGCGCAACCGCCAUGAGCCCGAGAGCGCCGACGAGGACCACCACGGCCACCGCCUCCCCCUCGCUUCCCUGACCAGCUUGGAGGCUCCGCCUCGACCCCGUCUUCCUUCUCACCGAACCACGCCCCGCCGGAAGCCCUGCAUCGUCGAAUUCAAGCUCUUCUUCAAGCUUUGGCACCGACGAUCGCCGUCGUCGAUUCGCUUGCUCCAGUGCCUCCCCGAGCUUGCCGAGGCCACCGCUGCAACUGCUGUGAGCUCCUGUGUCAUUUCCCCCUCUCCCCUGGCUCGAUUUCUUCUUCUAACACCGAUGCCCGUCGGAACCGAGAGCUCUUCGCCGCCGGCCAUGCCGCCACCGUGACCACAACCGUGCAAGCUCACUCCCGAGCACGGCAACGUGCUCCACACCUCACCAGGAGCACGUGGAACCCAUCAGUUUCCCCUCCCGUGCACCACAACGCCGAUCCGCUCAACUCCCGAACUCCGGCUGCCGCGCAAGUUGCCGCCGCCGUCGUUUUAGGCCACUAGGGCUGCUGCCGUGUGCACAGAUAGAUGCGAGCGAGUCCCAGCUCCGCGUAGAUGCCCUCCACUGGCCAUUUGGUCGCCGGAGGAGGAUUUCCGAGCCCCUCCGCCGUCUCUGGCCUUGCCGGCGACGAGCCGGGGUCAACUCCGGCGUGUUUUGACCCCGGGUCGGCUGGGUUGACUCCCCCCGGACUCACUGACGUGUGGGCCCAGGCGCCUGCCUAAUUACCGUUAGUUAAUUAGAGUUAAUAAAAAUUAGCUAAUUAGUGAGCCACUGACAUGCGGGCCCCGCCCGGCUAACCAAGUUAGUUAGGGUUAACUAACUUAGUUAGUUGAUUGUGUCACUGACCAGUGGACCCCACUGGUCAGGUUUGACAUGGAGGCGCCAGUUGACCUGCUGACAUCAGGGUGAUGUCAUGCUGACGCAAUAACUCUUUUUCUGGAUUUAAUUUUAUAUAGAAAAUUCCAGAAAAUUGCCUAAACUUCAAAAAUUCAUAGAAAUUCAACCAUAACUCCAAAUGAGACAAAUUAUAUAUGAAAAAUUAUCAGAAAAAUUCAAGGAAUCCAUCUGUACCAUUUUCAUGCAUGUUUGAACAAUGCUUGUCCUCUGUUUUGGACAAAACAAAUAAAGGGCAUUUAAAUAAUCAUAUAUGGGGUUGGAAUUUGAAUCUUGUACUCAAACCAACUCCAUUUAAAUCAUAGCUAGUUGUAUAAGCUCAAGACACAUCCAUAUUGCCAUGUCAUAGCAUGCAUCAUAUUGUUGCAUAUCGUCAUGUGUUGAUUGUGCUCGGUUGUGUUCUUCGUGGUAGGUUCUGCCUCCGAGGAUAUUCACGAGUAUCCAACUGAAGGGCAGUAUCCCGUUACCACUCCAUCAGGCAAGCAAGCAUUGAUCAUUCCGAUACAACCCAUGUUCUCGCUCCUGCUCUUGUUUACUGCAUUAAGACAACACGAUUCAAACUGCCGUGUGCUACGGUAGUUGAACCCUUAUCCUCUGCAUGACCUGUCAUUGCCACAGUAACUAGAUGAAACCCACUAGCAUGUGUAGGAGUUGAUUGAGCCAUGUUUUGUGAUUCCUACCUUGCUAUGCCUGCUAUGCUUAGAGUUGUGUCAGGUCUGGUUCAUCUGGGGAAUGGGCUAGAGUGAAAUGCUUGUGCCAGUAAAUUGUGGGAUGUGUUGAACAUGUUUUGGUAAAGGUAUCGAUGAGAGGCCAUGUAGGAGUACAUGGUGGGUUGUUUCAUUGAAGCCGUCCCUAAGAACUGAGUUCUGUAUGCGUGAAUUAAGAUUCAGCUACUACCACACAUUGGGCCCUGAAAUAUGACCCCGCUCGACUUACCGACCCCUCUCGCCUCAGUCCAGGAGUUGCAACUAGUUUCUGGUGUUUGUAGGAUAUGUGUUGGCGGCCGUGCGUAGCGCUGACCCUAGGGGUGGGCUAUGUUGCGGUAGAUACACUGUGGCACGGUGUACCGAGUCACCCGUUUGGUGUCUCGGGAACCCUGUUCACAUCGUUCGGGGCCGUUGAGGACACCCCGGCCGGAUUUCCUUGCGGAUGGAACCUGAAUAGGCGAUGACCCUGGACUAGAGACUUGUGAGGUUAGUCAGGUCGUGGUCUACACCCACGUCGGUUUUCGCUUGAAGUCUGCCGAGCACAUUUCGUGUGCAGACGCUAAGAGGUGGAAACAUGUGUGACGAAGUACACCCGUGCAGGGUAUAAAACUAUUCGAAUAGCCGUGUCCGCAGUAAAGGACUACUUGGUUGCAUAUACAGUUCAUAGACAAGUUAAUGGAUACUACUAAAAGACUCAAGAUAAGUGUGAGUACCGAGGAUGGCUCCCUCAUGUGACCCCUACCUGUAUGGAUAUGUUAUGUAUGGCUCCCUGGAGCCUUUAAAUAAAGUACCUGAGUUGUAGAGUUUUGUUGUGAUGCCAUGUUGUAUGUACUCAUAUCGAGCAUAUUGUAUGUAUGAUUGAAAUGCUUGGUAUGAGUGGGAUCCGACAAUCUAGUUGUUUGUCCUUCGCAGCCUUUCUUAUGGGGAAAUGUAGUCUAGUGCUCCUCGAGCCAGAGUAGUCCGCUACAGCCCGGUUCACCGGAGUCCUGCUAGCCCAGCACUACUGUUCAGGACACUUGACUGGCCGGCAUGUGUUUCACUUCGUCCCUAUGUCUGUCCCUUCGGGGAAAUUUCACGCGGUGAUCUCCGGAGUCCUGUCUAGCCUGCUACAGCCCGGGAUCCCCCGGAGUCCUGUUAGCCCAGUGCUACAGCCUGGAAUCACUCCUUGAUGACCGACAUGUUCGUUGUGAUUCAUGUAUGCCUGUCUCCAUAGGUCUGUGCCGCUUUGGGUUCACGACUAGCCAUGUCGGCCCGGGUUCUCGGUCAUAUGGAUGCUAGCGACAUUGUCAUAUACGCGAGCCAAAAGGCGCAAACGGUCCCGGGCCAUGGUAAGGCGACACCCGUGGGAUACCGUGCGUGAGGCCGCAAAUUGAUAUGAGGUGUUACCGGCUAGAUCGAUGUGGCUUAGAAUCGGGGUCCUGACAGAAAUGGUCGAGACAUAAAGAUUGAUAUAUUGGAAGCCUAUAUUUGGAUAUCGGAAGUGUUCCGGGUAAAAUCGAGAUUUUGCCAGAUUACCGGGAGGUUACCAGAACCCCCCGGGAGCCAUAUGGGCCUUAUUGGGCUUUAGUGGAAAGGUGAAAAGGGCUGCCAUGGUGGGCUGCACGCCUCCCCCCUCCCCUAGUCCUAUUAGGACUAGGAGAGGUGGCCGGCCACCUCUCUCUCUCUUUCCCCCUUGGGAGUCCUAUUUGGAAUAGGAUUGGGGGGGAGUCCUACUCACGGUAGGAGUAGGACUCCUCCUGCACCCUCCUCUUUGCCGGCCAGCCCCUCCCCCUUGGAUCCUUUAUAUACAGGGGCAGGGGGCACCUCUAGACACACAAGUUGAUCAUUGAGAUCGUUCCUUCGCCGUGUGCGGUGCCCCCUGCCACCAUAUUCCACCUCGAUCAUAUCGUUGUAGAGCUUAGGCGAAGCCCUGUGUCGGUAGAACAUCAAGAUCGUCACCAUGCCGUCGUGCUGAUGGAACUCCUCCACGAAGCUUUGCUGGAUCGGAGCCCGGGGAUCGUGAUCGAGCUGUACGUGUGCUAAGAACUCGGAGGUGCCGGAGUAACGGUGCUUGGAUCGGUCGGAUCGGGAAGAAGACGUACGACUACUUCCUCUACGUUGUGUCAACGCUUCCGUUGCGAUCUACAAGGGUACGUAGAUUAGACUCUCCCCCUCGUUGCUAUGCAUCACCAUGAUCUUGCGUGUGCGUAGGAAAAUUUUGAAAUUACUACGUUCCCCAACACUAUGCACCUGCAUCGUCACAUGAGUCGAUGAUAUGCAACAUAUAUAGUUGAGCAUCAGAAAGAGAUAGACUUGGCAAAAAUAGAAGCAACAUAUCAUAAGCAUAAAUAACAAAGUUCAUCGUACCCAAAAUGCCCUAACUAGAGUGAUCUUCGGUAGUCAAGGAGGAAGGUUUAAUUACAUCACAAAUAAUGUUUCGUCGUGCAUAACUCAAAGUUCCGUCAUACAGAAGGUAUGAACUAAACGGACACAUUGUCAUAUUUCGAAAAUCACUCCAACAUGGCGUGCCAUCCAUCCAAGUCAAGGAGAUAGUGCCCGAGCUUAGUGAAAGGCUUCAGGUCGAGACGCUGAGCGGCUACGCGUGUUCGGACUCUUCCCAUGACAUUUGUCCUUCUUCAUAGAACAUCCCUGUUUUUUCGACGACCUCCAUCAUGAUGAUUUGGGCAAGUUCGCACUGGAAGUGAUAUAACUCAUCUUGAAGUCGAUGAUCCUCGAUAUCUUCUAAGUUCUUUGCCCAUUGCAGAAUAUGGGCAUGGCUGAAUUUAGGUGACAUGCAAAGGUUCUGGUGAUCCUGUCUGUACUCCAUCAUGUGGUGUAGGACAUAGAACCCAUCAUCAAGAGAAUCACUCGGUUGCUGGAUGCAGCUGAAGUCGGUCUUAUGGGCCUGCCGUCCCUUUUCUUCUUGUCCUUGACCUCUCCACCCCGUGCAUCGUAGUAAAACAUAGCACUAUCGAGAACAAACUUGAUGUGGGUGUAAUCCUUUUUGUUAAUGUUCUUCGACGAGUCCACAAUAUCGGGGGUAGAGGAUGAUGAGGACGGCGCGCCUGCCGUUGCGCAAAAUAAGUACACCUCAAAUGAAUUAAACUCCAUCGUUCAAAUGAAUGAUUGAAAUCGAAGGAAGGAUAUCUGCGCGGAUGACUUACACGGGAUGAUAAGGCACGAGAAUCGCCUCCUUGUCCUUAUUGGCAAGCAUGAAAUUGACGAUGUAUUCCUCGUGUAUUCAUGGUGCUUUGCGCGGACUCCCAAGACGCCCUCGUGCAUGAAGUACGGGUCAGCGACAUAGAUAUGAGGUAUCUGCUCAACCCCGAUGAGGUAGUUCAUGUGCAAGGCAUAAAGGCGGACAAACAUAAAAUCCAGCUUCUUUAAGUGAAACAUGUUGAAGAUGUAAUCAGAUCGAAGGAAAAACUUCUUCGAGGGGAAUGUGUCGACGUACGACAAUUGCCCGGCACGUUAACCACGUAGAGAGGGUAUCCUGGAUUUUUCGAGGCGAUGAGGCCUUUCUCUAUCCGCAACACGUCGUCAUGAAGUCUCCUUAGAUCGCCGGAUCUGGCCCCUAGCGCUGCUUUCGGUAGGAUUGGUUCACCAGGAUACGCCAUUUUGCCGCUCCGGGGACAUCUAUACGGUCUUGAACCCGAGGCUGCUGAGGCGGCUGGAUCAUAGAAGCAGCUUUGUUGGCUUUCCUCAGUGUAUUCCUAGGCUUCUUUGCUACAGGAAGGUCAUCUAUGAUAUGUUCAGCCUCCAGAGGCGGCAAUUCAGGCACCGACUCAUGACGCUCAAACCCUGAGUAGGCGCCAGUAUUGAGAUACUGUUGAGUGCCAUUGUUGUCCUCAUCUAUGGCGGUGUCACCAGCGACAAAUGGAGCCUCUUCCUCACCCCGUUCGCUAUCACCCAGCACGACAGCCGGCGCUAAUUGGGUAGGUGGGGUGUUGAUGUUCAUACCUAACUGCGUGCUCGUGUGUGUGCUCCCGGCCGUCUCCAAACAAAGUAGACUCUUUGGCCACAACAGGACCCACCCAUUGCAAUCACCAAUCCCCUGCGGGAUCUCGUCGUCAUUCCCCCUAGUACCGGAGGAGCCAAAUUCUCCUGGCCUGGUUUGACACUGGCCACGGAAACUUUGUAGACGUCCGAGGGGAUCGGUCGGCCGUGGAACAAUGGUUCCUUAGGCUUCAUUAUCGUCACCUUCCCCACGUCCACCUCCUGGUAGCGGAUGUUGUACAAUAUGGUGCACGGGGUUACAUUGGCCUGCAAAGACAUUUCUGCGAUGUGAGAUAUCCGACAGGCAACAAAAAAUGGGAGAUUAUACAUUUAUUGAAGAGGGCUGGUGUGACAGAUAUAGUGAGGGCGUCGAGCUCAUCCAAAGAUGAAGCACCGCUGAGCACGUCCGGUGUCGGAGCCGGUGCGGGAGCAGGUGCAGGUGCUGGUGCAACGCUAGUCGAGCUGCUCCCGAAGAAGUCAGCAAGGGGAAAGUCCGCUGCAUUUUUUUUCUGGAUUUUGCGUGCUCGAAUUGAAAACGGCCGAAACCAAGACAGUAGACAUAUCUGCAACCACCUGUUUUGCGGCAGCUAUCGCUGUUGCGACUGUCUCAGAUGAUUUCUUCUCAAUCGGAAUCUAAACCUUCUGGCUGAUGUUUUCUUCAGUUAACCUCCGUCUUUCCUUUCGCUCCUCCGUGGUCUCACGGUAGUACUUCUUCCACGUGGCGCCGUCUACGACACCGUCCACGCGUCCAUACGACGGCCGAUUCUCCACCAGGAGUCCUUUCAAUAUGUUCAAUACCCGGUUGAAUGGAGUCUACCACUUGGGCCUCGCCAACGCCUCAGACGGCGAGUCACUUUCGGCUGCAAUCUUGUGCUGCUCUCUCUUCAAAAGGAACAAGGAUCGUUUACAAAUAUGACUAAACGUGCAGUCGAAUUGAUCAGAAACUAAAAUUACCAGCAGUCUCGUGAACUCCGUCGUGAUCGGGUCCGUCUUAAAAACCUUCUUGACUGAGUCCCAAUGGUGCCGUGCCCCGAGGACGUCACGCUCCUGCGGGACGGUGAAGUCCGCCAAGGGGUCUGGGAUGCCCAGACGUUCGCGUUCCGCGUCCUCCUUGGCCCAUAUGGACCUCUUCCCGCCGUAACCACGGCUUCCGAGGUGGUGGCGCCCCAUGUUCCUUUGUUGAAGCCCUUUCAUGUACUUCGACUUUUUUUUGGCAGCUUCGGCCUCGCAAGCCGCCUUGAAUUUUUCAAAGUGCUCUCCCGUGAUUGUCGGAUUAUCCUUUACAAUCUCGGAGUAUGGUUCCUUUUUGUCGACAAUCCGAUGUUUCAACCUUGUUUUCCAGGUGGCCAACGUGUCGCUAAACUUGGUCAUGGCGUGUUUGUUUAUCUUCUUCAUUGCCGGGUCCUUAUUUGGAUAUUUAUAAUCCUUUUCAUUCCGGCCCGGGAACAACAAUAUCUGGUGCAGCUUCUUUAGGAGGGAGGACCUCAUAUUAUCUAUCUUCUGUAGUUUCCCAUGGUUGAUCGUGGCAGUUAUCCGUACGAUGCAGCCUAUUUGAUUGCCGUAGCACGAUCGCGCUUCCUUGGGCGCUAUUGUCUGAAAAAUACGGUCGUCCAUCUCCGUGACCACCAGUCUAGUUGUCAUGAGCUGGUUUGGGCGCCGUGGCUUCUUAGCUUUCGGUUCUAGAUCAGCUCCGCUAGUCUCGGCGCCGGUCUCAGUCUCAUCGCCGGUCUGCAUGUCGGUAUCAGUCCCCGAUGCGACAGGUCGGCCCAGCAACAACAUUCGUUGAUCGUCGGCAAGGCUCAAAAAUUCAUCUGCCGCCAGGUAGACGUGUCGCAAUCACCAGAACCCUAUCCUUCAUCAUUGCUAGCCAUGUUUCCUACGAUUAUAUCUAGUCAAUUAAUUCUAGACCUAAUAAAAUGAAUAAUGACAUAAAACAGGCCAAUGUUUUGCAGGAUUACAACUCAACCCAUUGCAGAUUAGAAAACAAUCCCGUGUGAAUGCACAGGCUGACGACUAGUAUAUAUAAAGCUUAAUGGUGCCUAAGAAAGCUCGCACAAUUUUACAGUGGCUAUGGAAAUGUGUUGCCAAACUUUGACAUAAGAUUUUCGUUUGGCAUCCAGAGUUGCAAAACGCUUGUGUUGUCCUUAAUCCAUGGCCACUCUAAUUUUUCCGGCUGGGCCUUCCCUGUGGUAUCGCGGCAAGGCUUGCGUGUGUAUAUGUUUCCUUUAACUACCACUAGCACAUAUGCCCGUGCGUGCGUUGCAACGGGAGAGAUAAUGGCGUAUCCACCAAUAUAUCUAACAGCAUGACCCAACAAUAUCCGAAUGAUGUCACCCGAUGACGGCAGGAAGGCACGCACAGAGGUCUAGUAAAAACUCAUAUCAAUUGUAAGGGCAUGGUUAAUUCGCGUGAAUUCAGGGGUGUGAGAUUAGUUAGUGUUGGUCCCACAAUUGAAUUCGGGGGGUGAUUAGUUAGUGUGGGCCCACCCUCGAAUUCACGGGGGGAGACAAAAUAAUUAGGGUGAGGAGAGAUUUACGGGGCUUGGUCCCCAGAUGCGUUGUGGCAGUCAUUAUUCGAGCAUUGCAAUGCUCGCACGUGACGAGCUCUUUUUCCAAUUGUAUAUUAAGAAGCAUGCUACAGAUACAAUGUUUUUGAUACGUUUUUUGUACAAUGAUCCUGAUCUUAAAGGGCCACCUAAUUUUUAUAUCUUAAAGGCAUUAUUUGUAAGUUGUCGUGAAAAAAAUCUCGCUAAAAGGGUUGUGUUAGACCAUCUUCAGUACAUUAGAAAUAACGAAUUAUAAUUCCUUGGCAUUUGAAGAAACAAUCGCUACUUAUUUACACAUACAAUUCUUUUGGUACGAUUUUGAAAUCUUGAAGGCAUUAUUUGUAAGUUGAAGCAAUUUUGAAAUCUCACUAAAAGGUCUGUUAGACCCUCUAGAGCUUUAGAAAUAACUAAUUAUAAUUUUGCAAAAAAAAGAAAUAACUAAUUAUAAUUCCUUAAGCAUCUGACCGAAACGACCCCGAAUUAUUGUCUGGGUAGUAAUUCCUUUGCAACAUUAUUCUCUCCUUUUUUGAAGGAGCUCUUGCCUGGGUAGUAAUUCCUAUUUGCAAGGUUAUUCUCUCCUUCAUUUUUACAGGAGCUCUCCUUCCUUAUACUAAUUGGUCAUUAUCCUCUCCUUCCUUUUUCUUUUUGCCAAACUCUCUUUCCAUACUUAUGCCGCUAACCACGCCACUCUUUUUCCUUAUUUAUGCCCUUUGAUCACGCCACACAUCUCAUGAAAUCUAAGCCAUAUCACCCAUCUUUUUUCCUUAUUCUCAAAGGCGCUUUCCUCACAAACAGUAGUUCUCUAGGAUGCUUAACGAUUUUGAAACAGAAACAUAUAUAAAUCGGUAGAACGGGUUGUCAAGCAGCGAGGUGGUACUAGUUUAUAAAGAAACAAAUUAACCUUUUCUUUUUGUGUAAUGAUGCCUUGGUUCGGCUGGUUGCUGCCUUUGCCCUUGAUGUGCAGCGUUGGGAAAAGGAUGGGCGAAGUGGACGAACCAAAAACGGACAAAAUUACGGUAGUAAGAAGCGAUAGCCCAUUUAUUAGUAGGUAUAGAUAUAGAUGUCGAGGAUGAGGAUUUACUGCACACAAGUGCGGGGGCACUCAGGUCCUGGUGCCGGCCUUUUAUUUUGGCUUCCGAUUUUCAAACUUCUAUAUCUUUUAAACGAAAAGUUCAAUUUAAGUUACGUUUUCAUAUUCGUGCUUCUCGCGGCCAGCGCUUUCAAAUAAGAUCCAUUUUGCAUACAUUUUGGCUGCUUUUGGAAACAUUGCUAAGUUUCAUUGUUUGAAACUUAGUACGAGCGACCGAUAAAAUUUAAUUAUUUUGUGUCUACGACCAACAGGAGAAAUUGCUUAAAAUUACAUCUUUGAAACUGGUCAUUUUUUUACUGUGUCCUACUUCACGAAUCACGAGGCAAAUCAAGUAGGCGGCAUGCCCUGGCCGGUGAGUGCCAUUGCACUUACUUGCCCCAGCGAUUUUCCGCGUGCAUUGUAGAAUUCUUUCUCCGAGUCCUGUGAAUUAAAGAUGGUGCAGACAAAAGUAUAUCCUAUAUGCGUACAUGUGCAUGAUCAGAACAUGUUUUUACGUGCGUCUACUAUAAAUCAUGACCAUUUUUAACACAAAUCAUGACCAUUCAUGAUUAGUGAAUCAUACUGUCUUAACUUAUGUGAAAUCAUGUGGAGUAAUAUAAUAUAAUACAAUAGAUAGACAGAUCCAUGUUGUAUUAUUUUUUGUUUACAAAAAAAUCUGUAAUUACACAUUUUGAUUUAUGCAUUUGUUUACAAAAAAACAGUAACAUUUCAUGGUGGAAAGUUUGUAUUGUUUCAUACUGAACACCAAUGUUUUCCUGUAAAAGAAAAUAAUGCCUACGCAUAUGCUUUUAUAUUAUUAUUAUUCUUUCAAACUUAUUCAUAUAGUAUUUUUGAUUGUGCAACCAUAAUUUUUAUUAUCUCUCUCGUUCCACUACAUGCUCUUACUCAAUGAUUUUCUUUAUAAUGGGUGUUUUUAUUAACUCAAAAUAUAGCAUCAAGCGGAUACAGAACAUACUGAGCCACACCCGGUCUCUGCAUAACUAAGAUGCACACAGCCAAAAGCGGAAGUCUGACAAAAAUAAGAUAAGAAAAUCGACAUAUCGACAACAGUGAGUCAUAUAGUUCCGACACUAUGCCUCUGUCGAAGGAGGGGGUGGAGCGAUCUAGAGAUUAUGCUGCCUUCCAUGUUGAGUAAACACCUCCCUGGCCACUUGUUCCAACUGCAUAGACGCCGCCACGAAUAACGGUUGGUACUCUGUUCGGUGUAGCAUACACCAUGUAGGAAGUGAGUGCUCACUCCUAGUUACUGAAUUAUGUACACACUAGUAGAAAAAGGCCCAUUUGUCCCGGUUCGUAAGGCCCAUUUGUCCCAGUUGGGGAACCGGGACUAAAGGGUCGGUACUAAAGCCCUACACCUUUAGUCCCGGUUCUUACACCAACCGAGACAGAUGGGGCUCCACGUGGCCGUUGCGGCUUACCGUGGCAGGUGGGCCUUUUGUCCCGGUUGGUAGCACCAACCGGGACCAAUAAGCUACCACGCGUCAGCAUUUGAGGGGCUANNNNNNNNNNNNNNNNNNNNNNNNNNNNNNNNNNNNNNNNNNNNNNNNNNNNNNNNNNNNNNNNNNNNNNNNNNNNNNNNNNNNNNNNNNNNNNNNNNNNNNNNNNNNNNNNNNNNNNNNNNNNNNNNNNNNNNNNNNNNNNNNNNNNNNNNNNNNNNNNNNNNNNNNNNNNNNNNNNNNNNNNNNNNNNNNNNNNNNNNNNNNNNNNNNNNNNNNNNNNNNNNNNNNNNNNNNNNNNNNNNNNNNNNNNNNNNNNNNNNNNNNNNNNNNNNNNNNNNNNNNNNNNNNNNNNNNNNNNNNNNNNNNNNNNNNNNNNNNNNNNNNNNNNNNNNNNNNNNNNNNNNNNNNNNNNNNNNGGUUAAUUUUGGAGGGUUUCAUAUAUUGUGUUAGGUAGCUAAUUAAUUAAUACAGAGAAGUGUCAUCUCUUAUCUCCGUGCUUGGUCGACGCUACGUACUAUACGUACAGAGAGGCCCUCGACACGCUAGCCAGUAAGCAAAUGAAGGAAACCAUUAAGUACAGAAGUUCGUCAUGAACAUAUGCAUACAAACUAAGUGAUAUCGACCUCUCCUUCUCUGAGAGAUAGGUCGAACAACAAGUUUCCGUAUAUCUAUCCGGCGCUACUAGCUACAUAUAUACAAUAUUAAGAUCUCUUACAAUAUAAUCCCCUAAUUAUAUAUGAACUCAGCUUUCAGAUGGUAUUCUCCGGCUUUAUUGAUGACGUGGUCAAGAAAGAAUCCCUCCAAUUCCUCUUGAAUUGCUUUGAUGCGAUCUUCUGGUAGGAGUUCAUCCCGCAUCUGCCACAUCUAAUUUGAAGAAGGGGGUCAAUCACUAGUAGAAUAACAGCCAUUUGUCCUGGUUCGUAAGGCUCAUUCGUCCUGGUUGGGGAACCGAGACUAAAGGGUCGUUACUAAAGCCCUACACCUUUAGUCCCGGUUCUUACACCAACUGGGACAGAUGGGCCUCCACGUGGCCGCUGCGGCGAGCCCAGGCAGGAGGUCCUUUGGUCCCGGUUAGUGGCACUGAUACUUCUCCAACGUAUCUAUAAUUUUUGAUUGCUCCAUGCUAUUAUGUUAUCUAUUUUGGAUGUUAAUGGGCUUUAUUUUACACCUUUAUAUCAUUUUUGGGACUAACCUACUAAUCGGAGGCCCAGCCCAAAUUGUUGUUUUUUUGCCUAUUUUAGGUUUUCGAAGAAAAGGAAUAUCAAACGAAGUCCAAACGGAAUGAAACCUUCGGGAACGUGAUUUUCUCAACGAACAUGAUCCAGGAGACUUGAAGUGUGCGCCAAGAAAGAAGGGAGGAAGGCAAGAGGCAGGGGGCACGCCUACCCCCCUUGGGCGUGCCCUCCACCCUCGUGGGCCCUCCGCUGCUCCAUCGACGUACUUCUUCCUCCUAUAUAUAUCCACGUACCCCUCGAACAUCCAGGAGCACCACGAAAACCUAAUUCCACCGCCGCAACCUUCUGUACCCGAGAGAUCCCAUCUUGGGGCCUUUUCCGGAGGUCCACCGGAGGGGGCAUCGAUCACGGAGGUCCUCUACAUCAACUCCAUGGCCUAUCCAGUGAUGUGUGAGUAGUUCACUUCAGACCUACGGGUCCAUAGUUAUUAGCUAGAUGGCUUCUUCUCUCUCUUUGGAUCUCGAUACAAAGUUCUUUUCGAUUUUCUUGGAGAUCUAUUUGAUGUAACCUUAUUUUGCGGUGUGUUUGUCGAGAUCCGAUGAAUUAUGGGUUUAUGACCCAGAUUAUCUAUGAACAAUAUUUGAUUCUCCUCUAAAUUCUUUUAUGUAUGAUUGGUUUAUCUUUGCAAGUCUCUUCGAAUUAUCAGUUUGUUUUGGCCUACUAGAUUGAUCUUUCUUGCAAUGGGAGAAGUGCUUAGCUUUGGGUUCAAUCUUGCGGUGUUUGAUCCUAGUGACAGAAAGGGAACCGAUACGUAUUGUAUUGUUGCCAUCGAGGAUAAAAAGAUGGGGUUUAUAUCAUAUCGCAUGAGUUUAUCCCUCUACAUCAUGUCAUCUUCCUUAAAGCAUUACUCUGUUCUCUUGAACUUAAUACUCUAGAUGUGUGCUGGAUUGCGGUCGAUGUGUGGAGUAAUAGUAGUAGAUGCAGAAUCGUUUCGGUCUACUUGUCUCGGACGUGAUGCCUAUAUACAUGAUCAUACCUAGAUAUUCUCAUAACUAUGCUCAAUUCUGUACAAUAUGGUGCACGCGGUUACAUCGGCCUGCAAAGACAUUUCUGCGAUGUGAGACAUCCGAAAAGCAACGAAAACGGGAGAUUAUACAUUUAUUGAAGAGGGCCGGAGUGACAGAUACCGUGAGGGUCUCGAGCUCAGCCAAAGACAAAGGACAGAUGAGCACGGCCUAUGUCGGAGCCAGUGCGGGAGCCGGUGCGGGAGCAGGUGCAGGUGCAGGUGCUGGUGCAAUGCUAGUCGAGCUGCUCCUAAAGAAGUCAACAAUGGGAAAGUCCGCUACAUUUUUUCUGGAUUUUGCGUGCUCCAAUUGAAUACAGCUGGAACCAAGACAGUAGACAUAUCUGUUGGAAAUAUGCCCGAGAGCCAAUAAUAAAUUGGUUAUUAUUAUAUUUCCUUGUUCAUGAUAAUCGUUUAUUAUCCAUGCUAGAAUUGUAUUGAUAGGAAACUCAGAUACAUGUGUGGAUACAUAGACAACACCAUGUCCCUAGUAAGCCUCUAGUUGACUAGCUCGUUGAUCAAUAGAUGCUUACGGUUUCCUGACCAUGGACAUUGGAUGUCGUUGAUAACGGGAUCACAUCAUUAGGAGAAUGAUGUGAUGGACAAGACCCAAUCCAUAUCUAGCACAAGAUCGUGUAGUUCGUAUGCUAAAGCUUUUCUAAUGUCAAGUAUCAUUUCCUUAGACCAUGAGAUUGUGCAACUCCCGGAUACAGUAGGAGUGCUUUGGGUGUGCCAAACAUCACAACGUAACUGGGUGGCUAUAAAGGUGCACUACGGGUAUCUCUAAAAGUGUCUGUUGGGUUGGCACGAAUCGAGACUAGGAUUUGUCACUCCGUGUAAAUGGAGAGGUAUCUCUGGGCCCACUCAGUAGGACAUCAUCAUAAUGAGCACAAUGUGAUCAAGGAGUUGAUCAAGGGAUGAUGUCUUACGGAACGAGUAAAGAGACUUGCCGGUAAUGAGAUUGAACAAGGUAUCGGGAUACCGACGAUCAAAUCUCGGGCAAGUAUCGUACCGAUAGACAAAGAGAAUUGUAUACGGGAUUGAUUGAAUCCUUGACAUCGUGGUUCAUCCGAUGAGAUCAUUGUGGAGCAUGUGGGAGCCAACAUGGGUAUCCAGAUCCCGCUAUUGGUUAUUGACCGGAGAGUUGUCUUGGCCAUGUCUGCAUGACUCCUGAGCUCGUAGGGUCUACACACUUAAGGUUCGAUGACGCUAGGGUUAUAGGGAAAGUAUGUACGCGGUUACCGAAUGUUGUUCGGAGUCCCAGAUGAGAUCCCAGACAUCACGAGGAGUUCUGGAAUGGUCCGGAGGUAAAGAUUUAUAUAUGGGAAGUUCCGUUUUGGUCACCGGAAAUGUUUCGGGUGCUAUCGGUAACGUACCGGGACCACCGGGAGGGUCCCAGGGGUCCAUCAGGUGGGGCCACCAGCCCCGGAGGCCUACAUGGGCCAAUAGUGGGAAGGGACCAGCCCCUAGGUGGGCUGGGGCGCCUCCCGACAAGGCCCAAGUCGCCUCCAAGAGGGGAAGGGGGCAAACCCUAGGGCAGAUGGGCCCCAAGGCCCACCCUAGGUGCGCCUCCCCCUCUCCCCCUUGUAGCCGCCACCCUAGAUGGGAUCUAGGGCUGCCGCACCCCUUGGGGUGGGAACCCUAGAGGGGGCGCAGCCCCCUCCCCUCCCCCUAUAUAUACUUGAGGUAUGGGGGCUGCCCAACAUACGAUUUGAUCUCUCUCUUGGCGCAGCCCUACCCCUCUCCCUCCUCGUCUCUCAUAGUGCUUGGCGAAGCCCUGCUGGAGUUCCGCGCUCCUCCACCACCACUACCACGUCGUCGUGCUGCUGCUGGACGGACUCUUCCCAACCUCUCCUUCUCCCCUUGCUGGAUCAAGGCGUGGGAGACGUCACCGGGCUGCAGAUGUGUUGAACGCGGAGGCGCCGUGGUUCGGCGCUUAGAUCGGAAUCAACCGAGAUCUGAAUCGCUACGAGUACGGCUCCUUCAUCCGCGUUCUUGCAACGCUUCCGCUUAGCGAUCUACAAGGGUAUGUAGGUGCACUACCCUUCCCUUCGUUGCUAGGUUACUCCAUAGAUUGAUCUUGGUGAUGCGUAGAAAAUUUUAAAUUUCUGCUACGAUCCACAACAGUGGCAUCAUGAGCUAGGUCUAUGCGUAGUUUCUAUGCACGAGUAGAACAUAAAACAGUUGUGGGCGUCAAUAUUGUCAAUUACUUGCCGUUAGUAGUCUUAUCUUGAUUCGGCGGCAUCGUGGGAUGAAGCGGCCCGGACUGACCCUACACGUACGCUUACGUGAGACUUGUUCCACUGACUGACAUGCACUAGUUGCAUAAGGUGGCUAGUGGGUGUCUGUCUUUCCCACUUUAGUCAGAUCGGAUUCGAUGAAAAGGGUCCUUAUGAAGGGUAAAUAAAAAUUGGCAUACCACGUUGUCGUUUUGGCGUAGGUAAGAAAUGUUCUUGCUAGAAACCUAUAGGAGCCACGUAAAAACUUGCAACAACAAUUUGAGGACCUCUAACUUGUUUUUGCAGCAUGUGCCGUGUGAUGUGAUAUGGCCAAAAGGAUGUGAUGAAUGAUAUAUGUGAUGUAUGAGAUUGAUCAUGUUCUUGUAAUAGGAAUCACGACUUGCAUGUCGAUGAGUAUGACAACCGGCAGGAGCCAUAGGAGUUGUCUUUAUUUAUUUAUGACCUGCGUGUCAACAUAAACGUCAUGUAAUUACUUUACUUUAUUGCUAAAGCGUUAGCCAUAGUAAUGGAAGUAAUAGAUGACAAGACAACUUCAAGAAGACACGAUGAUGGAGAUCAUGAUGAUGGAGAUCAUGGUGUCAAGCCCGUGACAACGAUGAUCAUGGAGCCCCAAAGAUGGAGAUCAUAAGGAGCAAAAUGAUAUUGGCCAUAUCAUGUCACUAUUUGAUUGCAUGUGAUGUUUAUCAUGUUUUACCUCUUAUUUUCUUAGAACGACGGUAGCUUAAAUAAGAUGAUACCUCGCAAUAAUUUCAAGAAAGUGUUUCCCCUAACUGUGCACCGUUGCGAAGAUUCGUUGUUUUGAAGCACCACGUGAUGAUCGGGUGUGAUAUAUUCUAACGUUCAAAUACAACAGGUGUAAGCCAGAUUUACACACACAAUACACUUAGGUUGACUUGAUGAGCCUAGCAUUUACAGACAUGGCCUCGGAACACGGUAGACCGAAAGGUCGAGCAUGAGUCGUAUAGAAGAUACGAUCAACAUGAAGAUGUUCACCGAUGUUGACUAGUCCGUCUCACGUGAUGAUCGGCCACGGCCUAGUUGACUCGGAUCAUGUUUCACAUAGAUGACUAGAGGGAUGUCUAUCUGAGUGGGAGUUCAUUAAAUAAUUUGAUUAGAUGAACUUAAUUAUCAUGAACAUAGUCCAAAUUGUCUUUGCAAAUAUGUUGUGGAUAAAUAGCUCACGCUUUAGCUCCCUGUUUUAAUAUGUUCCUAGAGAAAAGACUAACUGGAAAGAUAUUGUAAGCAUUAACGCUGACUAGGUCUGUUGCCUGAGGAGUGUCCUCACUGCUACACAGAAGGCUUAUGUCUUUGAUGCACCGCUCGGUGUGCCAACCCCUCCGGCGUCGUCUGUGGAUGUUGUGAACACCCGACAGACACAUCCUGAUGACUACUUGAAAGUUUAGUGCACCAUACUUUACGGCUUAGAAUCGGGAUUCCAAUGACGUUUUGAACGCCAUAAGACAUAUGAGAUGUUCCAAGAGCUGAAAUUGGGAUUUCAGGCUCAUGCCCGUGUUGAGAGGUAUGGACCUCUGACAAGUGCUUUUGCCAACAAGAUGGAGUAGAAUAGCUCAGCUAGAGAGCAUGUGCUCGGAAUGUCUGGGUGCUACAAUCACUUAAAUCAAGUGGGAGUUAAGCUUCCAGAUAAGAUAGUGAUUGAUAGAGUUCUCUAGCCACUAUCACUAAGAUACUAGAUCUUCGUGAUGAACUAUGACAUGCAAGGGAUGGAGUUGAUCCCGGAGCUGUUCACGGUGCUUAAGAUCGCAAAAGGUAGAAAUCAAGAAGGAGCAUCAAGUGUUGAUGGUUUAACAAGACCACUAGUUUCAAGAAGGGCAAGGGCUAGAAGGGAAACUUCAUGAAUGGCAAACCAGUUACCAAUCAAGUGAAGGAACCCAAGGUUGAACCCAAACCCGAGACAAAGUGCUUCUAUUGUAAGGGGAACAGUCACUGGUAGCGGAACUACCCCAAAUACAUGGUAGAUAAGAAGGAUGGCAACUUCAACAAAGUAUAUACAUGUUAUUAAUGUGUACCUCACCAGUACUCUUGGUAGCACCUGGGUAUUGGAUACCGGUUCAGUUGCUAUUAUUGGUGACUUGAAGCAAAAGCUACGGACUAAACGGAGACUGGCUAAGGGCGAGGUGACGUUGUGUGGUGGAAGUGUUUCCAAAGUUGAUAAGAUCACCAUCGCAUGCUCCAUCUGCCUUUGGGAUUAGUAUUGAACCUAGAUAAAUGUUAUCAGGUGUCUACGUUGAGGAUGAAUAUGAUUAGAUCAUGUUCAUUGCAAUACGGUUAUUCAUUUAAGAUAGAGAAUAAUGGUUAUUCUGUUUACAUGAAUAAUACCUUUCAUGGUCAUGCACCCUAUGUGAAUGGUUCAUUGAAUCUCGGUCGUGGUAAUACAGAUGUUCACGCCAAAAGAUGUAGAGUUAACAAUGAUAGUACCACUUUCUUGUGGAACUGCCGCUUAGGUCAUAUUGGCAUAAGAUGCAUGAAGAAACUCCAUGUCGAUGGAUGUUUGGAGUCAAUUGAUUUUGAAUCGCUUGACACAUGCGAGCCAUGAUUCAUGGGCAGGAUGACUAAGACCCCGUUUUCAGGUAAAAUAAAACGGGCAAGUGACUUCUUGGAAAUCAUACAUGCUGAUGCAUGUGUUCCAAUCAGAAUUGAAGCGUGCGGUGGAUAUCGCUAUUUUCUCAUCUUCACUGACGAUUUGAGUAGAUAUAGGUAUAUUUACUUAAUGAAGCACAAGUCUGAAACAUUUGAAAAGUUCAAGCGAUUUUAGAGUGAAGUUAAGAACCAUCAUAUAUAAUAAGAAGAUCAAAUUCCUACGAUCUGAUCGAUGAGAAUUUCUGAGUUAUGAGUUGGGCAAUCACUUAAGACAUUGUGGAAUUGUUUCAUAGUUGAAGCCACCUGGAACAACACAGGGUAAUGGUGUGUCCGGACGUCGUAAUCGAACCUUAUGAGAUAUGGUGCGAUCUAUGAUGUCCCUUACCGAUCUACCAUUUUCAUUUUGAGGAUAUGCGUUAGAGAAAGCUGCAUUCACUUUUGAUAGGACACCAUCUAAGUCCGUUGAGAUGACGUCGUAUGAAUAUGGUUUGGCAAGAAACCAAAAUUGUCGUUUCUUAAUGUUUGGGGCUGCGAUGCUUAAGGCUUCAGGCGGAGAAGAUCGAACCCAAAAGAGGACAAACACAUCUUCAUAGGAUACCCAAAGGUGACAGUUUGGUAUACCUUCUAUCUCCAAUCUGAGGGCAAGUUGUUUGUCGCUAAGAAUGGUUCCUUUCUCGAGAAGGAGUUUCUCUCGAAAGAAUUGAGUGGGAAGAAGAUAGAACUUGAUGAGGUUGUCGAACCUUUGUUUCAACCAGAGAGUGAUGCAACACAGAAAGAUGUUUUCUGUGGCACCUACGUCUGUUGAAGAGGAAGUUAAUGAUAGUGAUCAUGAAGCUUCGGAUCAAGUUGCUAUCGAACCUCAUAGGUCGACCAGGAUAUGUACUACUCCUGAGUGGUACGGUAAUCCUGUCUUAGAUAUCAUGUUGUUAGACAACAAUGAACCCAUGAGCUAUGGAGAAGCGAUGGUGGGCCCGUAUUCCGACAAAUGGUUAGAAGCCAUGAAAUCCGAGAUAGGCUCCAUGUAUCAGAACAAAGUAUGGACUUUGGUGGACUUGCCCGAUGAUCGGCGAGCCAUUGAGAUAAAUGGAUCUUUAAGAAGAAGACGGACGUGGGCGGUAAUGUUACCAUCUAUGAAGCUCGACUUGUGGGAAAGAGUCUUUUCACAAGUUCAAGGAGUUGACUACGAUGAGAAUUUCUCACCCGUAGCGAUGCUUAAGUCCGUCGGAAUCAUGUUAGCAUUAGCUGUAUUUUUCGAUUAUGAAAUCUGACAGAUGGAUCUCAAAACAAGUUUUCUUACCAGUUUUCGUAAGAAAAAGUUGUAUGUGAUACAAUAAAAGGUUUUGUCGAUCCUAAGGAUGCUAAAAGGUAUGCUGGCUCCAGCAAUCCUUCUAUGGACUAGAGCAAGCAUCUCGAAGUUGGAAUAUAUGCUUUGAUGGAGUGAUCAAAGCUUUUAGGUUUAUACAAUGUUUGCUAGAAACUUGUAUUUACAAGAAAGUGAGUGGGAGAACUACAACAUUUCUGAUAAGUAUAUGUGGAUGACAUAUUGCUGAUUCAAAAUAAUGUAGAAUUUCUGGAAAGCAUAAACGGUUGUUUGAAGAGUGAUUUUCAAAGGCAGACCUGGAUAAAGCUGCUUACAAAUUGGGCAUCAAGAUCUGUAGAAAUAGAUCAAGACGCCUGAUGAUACUUUCAAAGAACGCACACCUUGACAUGUUUUUGAAGGAGUUCAAAAUAGAUCAGGCAAAGAAGGGGUUCUUACCUGUGUUGUAAGGUGUGAAGUUGAGUAAGACUUGAAAGCUUGACCACGACAGAAGAAAGAGGAAGGAUGAAGGUCAUCCCCUAUGCUUUUGUCAUAGGCUCUAUACGGUAUGCCAUGCUGAGUACCACACCAGAUGAGUGCCUUGCCACAUGUCUGGCAAGAGGGUACAAAGGUGAUCUAGGAGUGGAUCACCAGAUAGCGGUCAAAAUUGUCCUUAGAGGAAUAAGGAAAUGUUUCUCAGUUACGGAGCUGAUAAAGAGUUCGACAUAAAGAGUUACGUCGAUACAUGCUUAAACACCAAUCCGGAUAGCUCUGAGUAGAGAUACCAGAUACGUAUAAUGGAGCAACAAUUUGGAAUAGCUCCAAGUGGAACGUGGUAGCAGCAUCUACGAUAUGACAUAAAGUUUUGGGAAAUACAUAGGGAUCUGAAUAUUACAGACCCGUUGACUACAACCUCUCUCACAAGCAUAACAUGAUCAAACCCAGAACUCAUUGAGUGUUAAUCGCAUAGUGAUGUGAACUAGAUUAUUGAAUCUAGUAAACUCUUUAGAUGUUGGUCACAUGGCGAUGUGACCAGUGAGUGUUAAUCACAUGGCGAUGUGAACUAGAUUAUUGACUCUAGUGCAAGUGGGAGACUGUUGGAAAUAUGCCCUAGAGCUAAUAAUAAAUUGGUUAUUAUUAUAUUUCCUUGUUCAUGAUAAUCGUUUAUUAUCCAUGCUAGAAUUGUAUUGAUAGGAAACUCAGAUACAUGUGUGGAUACAUAGACAACACCAUGUCCCUAGUAAGCCUCUAGUUGACUAGCUCGUUGAUCAAUAGAUGGUUACGCUUUCCUGACCAUGGACAUUGGAUGUCGUUGAUAACGGGAUCACAUCAUUAGGAGAAUGACGUGAUGGACAAGACCUAAUCCUAAGCCUAGAACAAGAUCAUGUAGUUCGUAUGCUAAAGCUUUUCUAAUGUCAAGUAUCAUUUCCUUAGACCAUGAGAUUGUGCAACUCCCAGAUACAGUAGGAGUGCUUUGGGUGUGCCAAACGUGACAACGUAACGGGGUGGCUAUAAAGGUGCACUACGGGUAUCUCUGAAAGUGUCUGUUGGGUUGGCAUGAACCGAGACUGGGAUUUGUCACUCCGUGUAAACGGAGAGGUAUAUCUGGGCCCACUCGGUAGGACAUCAUCAUAAUGUGCACACUGUGAUCAAGGAGUUGAUCACGGGAUGAUGUAUUACGGAACGAGUAAAGAGACUUGCCGGUAACGAGAUUGAACAAGCUAUCGGGAUACCGACGAUCGAAUCUCGGGCAAGUAUCAUACCGAUAGACAAAGGGAAUUGUAUACGGGAUUGAUUGAAUCCUUGACAUCAUGGUUAAUCUGAUGAGAUCAUCGUGGAGCAUGUGGGAGCCAACAUGGGUAUCCAGAUCCCGCUGUUGGUUAUUGACCGGAGAGUUGUCUCGGCCAUGUCUACAUGACUCCCGAGCCCGUAGGGUCUACACACUUAAGGUUCGAUGACGCUAGGGUUAUAGGGAAAGUAUGUACACGGUUACAGAAUGUUGUUCGGAGUCUUGGAUGAGAUCCCGGACGUCACGAGGAGUUCCAGAAUGGUCCAGUGGUAAAGAUUUAUAUAUGGGAAGUCCCGUUUUGGUCACCGGAAAGGUUUCGGGUGCUAUCGGUAACGUACCGGGACCACCGGGAGGGUCCCAGGGGUCCAUCAGGUGGGGCCACCAGCCCCGGAGGCCUACAUGGGCCAAUAGUGGGAAGGGACCAGCCCCUAGGCGGGCUGGGGCGCCUCCCACCAAGGCCCAAGGCGCCUCCAAGAGGGGAAGGGGGCAAACCCUAGGGCAGAUGGGCCCCAAGGCCCACCCUAGGUGCGCCUCCCCCUCUCCCCCUUGUAGCCGCCACCCUAUAUGGGAUCUAGGGCUGCCGCACCCCUUGGGGUGGGAACCCUAGAGGGGGCGCAGCCCCCUCCCCUCCCCCUAUAUAUACUCGAGGUAUGGGGGCUGCCCAACAUAUGAUUUGAUCUCUCUCUUGGCGCAGCCCUACCUCUCUCCCUCCUCGUCUCUCAUAGUGCAUGGCGAAGCCCUGCUGGAGUUCCGCACUCCUCCACCACCACCACACCGUCGUUCUGCUGCUGGACGGAGUCUUCCCAACCUCUCCUUCUCCCCUUGCUGGAUCAAGGUGUGGGAGACGUCACCGGGCUGCACGUGUGUUGAACGCGGAGGCGUCGUGGUUCGGCGCUUAGAUCGGAAUUAACCGCGAUCUAAAUCGCUACGAGUACGGCUCCUUCAUCCGUGUUCUUGCAACGCUUCCGCUUAGAGAUCUACAAGGGUAUGUAGAUGCACUCCCCUUCCCUUUGUUGCUAGAUUACUACAUAGAUUGAUCUUGGUGAUGCGUAGAAAAUUUUAAAUUUCUGCUACGAUCCCCAACAAUAUCUGCAACCACCUGUUUUGCGGCAGCUACUGCUGUCGCGAAUGUCUUAGAUGAUUUCUUCUCAACCGCAAUCUCAACCUUCUUGUCGAUGUUUUCUUCAGUUAACCUCCAUCUUUCCUUUCUCUCCUCCGUGGUCUCACAGUAGUACUUCUUCCACGUGGCCCCGUCUCCGACACCGUGAACGCGUCCAUACGACGACCUAGUCUCCACCGGCAGUCCUUUCAAUAUGUUCAAUGCCCGGGUGAAUGGAGUGUCCCACUUGGGCCUCGCCAACGCCUCAGACGGUGAGUCGCUUUCAGCCACAAUCAUGUGCUUCUCUCUCUACAAAAGGAACAAGGAUCAUUUACAAAUAUGACUAAACGUGCAGUCGAAUUGAUCAGAAACUAAAAUUACCAGCAGUCUCAUGAACUCCGUCGUGAUCGGGUCCGUCUUGAAAACCUUCUUGACCGAGUUCGAAUGGUGUCGUGCCCUGAGGACGUCAUGCUCCUAUGGGACGGUGAAGUCCGCCAAGGGGUCUAGGAUGCCAGACUUUCGUGUUCCGUGUCCUGCUUGGCCCAUAUGGACCUCUUCCUGCCGUAACCACGGCUUCUGAGGUGGUGGCGCCCCAUGUUCCUUUGUUGAAGCCCCUUCAUGUACUUUGACUUUGUUUUGGCGGCUUCGGCCUCGCAAGCCGCCUUUAAUAUUUCAAAGUGCUCUCCCGUGAUUGUCGGAUUAUCCUUUACAAUCUCGGAGUAGGGUUGAUACGUCUCCAACGUAUCUAUUAUUUUUGAUUGCUCCAUGCUAUAUUAUCUACAGUUUUGGACAUUAUUGGGCUUUAUUAUCUACUUUUAUAUUAUUUUUGGGACUAACCUAUUAACCAGAGGUCCAGCCCAGAAUUGCUGUUUUUUUGCCUGUUUUAGGGUUUCGAAGAAAAGGAAUAUCAAACGGAGUCCAAACGGAAUGAAGCCUUCGGGAAUGAGAUUUUCUCAACGAACAAGACCCGGGAGACUUGGACCCUACGUCAAGACAAAANNNNNNNNNNNNNNNNNNNNNNNNNNNNNNNNNNNNNNNNNNNNNNNNNNNNNNNNNNNNNNNNNNNNNNNNNNNNNNNNNNNNNNNNNNNNNNNNNNNNNNNNNNNNNNNNNNNNNNNNNNNNNNNNNNNNNNNNNNNNNNNNNNNNNNNNNNNNNNNNNNNNNNNNNNNNNNNNNNNNNNNNNNNNNNNNNNNNNNNNCACCGACGUACUUCUUCCUCCUAUAUAUACCUACGUACCCCCAAACGAUCAUAUACGGAGCCAAAACCCUAAUUCCACCGCCGCAACUUUCUGUAUCCAUGAGAUCCCAUCUUGGCGCCUGUUCCGGAGCUCCGCCGGAGGGGGCAUCGAUCACGGAGGGCUUCUACAUCAACAGCAUAGCCUCUCCGAUGAAGUGUGAGUAGUUGACCUCAGACCUACGGGUCCAUAAUUAUUACCUAGAUGGCUUCUUCUCUCUUUUUGGAUCUCAAUACAAUGUUCUCCCCCUCUCUUGUGGAGAACUAUUCGAUGUAAUAUUCUUUUUGCGGUGUGUUUAUUGAGAUCGAUGAAUUGUGGGUUUAUGAUCAAGUCUAUCUAUGAAUAAUAUUUGAAUCUUCUCUGAAUUCUUUAAUGUAUGAUUGUUUAUCUUUGCAAGUCUCUUCGAAUUAUCAGUUUGGUUUGGCCUACUAGAUUGAUCUUUCUUACAAUGGGAGAAGUGCUUAGCUUUGGGUUCAAUCUUGCGGUGUCCUUUCCCAGUGACAGUAGGGGCAGCAAGGCAUGUAUUGUAUUGUUGCCAUCGAGGACAACAAGAUGGGGUUUUCAUCAUAUUGCAUUAUUCUAUCCCUCUACAUCAUGUCAUCUAGCUUAAGGCGUCACUCUGUUUUUAACUUAAUACUCUAGAUGCAUGCUGGAUAGCGGUCGAUGAGUGGAGUAAUAGUAGUAGAUGCAGGCAGGAGUCGGUCUACUUGUCUCGGACGUGAUGCCUAUAUACAUGAUCAUACCUAGAUAUUCUCAUAAAUAUGCUCAAUUCUGUCAAUUGCUCAACAGUAAUUUGUUCACCCACCAUAGAAUAAUUAUACUCUCAAGAGAAGCUACUAGUGAAACCUAUGGCCCCCGGGUCUAUCUUUAUCAUAUUAAUCUCCUACUACUUAGUUAUUUCCUUUGCUUUUUCCUUUGUAUUUCCUUUGCUUUUUUCCUUUGCCUUUAUUUUACUUUUCAUCUUUAUCACAAAAAUACCAAACAUAUUAUCUUUAUCAUAUCUAUCAGAUCUCACUCUCGUAAGUGGCCUUGUAGGGAUUGACAACCCCUAUUCGUGUUGGUUGUGAGGAUUUAUUUGUUUUGUGCAAUUACGAGGGACUCGCGCGUAGCCUCCUACUGGAUUGAUACCUUCGUUCUCAAAAACUGAGGGAAAUACUUACGCUACUUUGCUGCAUCAUCCCUUCCUCUUCGGGGAAAACCAACGCAGUGCUCAAGAGGUAGCAAGAAGGAUUUCUGGUGCCGUUGCCGGGGAGGUCUACGCAAAAGUGAACAUACCAAGUACCCAUCACAUACCCUUAUCUCCCGCAUUACAUUAUUUUCCAUUUGCCUCUCGUUUUCACCUCCCCCACUUCACCCUUGCUGUUUUAUUCGCCCUCUCUCUCUAUCCGCCCUCUCUUUCUCUAUUUGCCUCUUUUUUCCCGCUUGCUUUCUGUUUGCUUGUGUGUUAGUUGCUUGCUUGUCACGAUGGCUCAAGAUAAUACUAAAUUAUGUGACUUCACAAUGGCGAAAGCCUGGUUUUCGUCUUUGGCUAAAAAUAGUAUUGAUUCAUGGAAUAAGUGCAAAGAUGCUUUUAUCUCUAAGUAUUUUCCUCCUGCUAAGAUCAUCUCUCUUAGAAACGAUAUAAUGAAUUUUAAGCAACUUGAUCAUGAACAUGUUGCACAAGCUUGGGAGAGAAUGAAACUAAUGGUACAUAAUUGCCCUGCCCAUGAUUUAAAUUUGUGGAUGAUUAUACAAAAUCUUUAUGCCGGAUUGAAUUUUGCUUCUAGAAAUCUUUUAGAUUCAGCCGCGGGAGGCACUUUUAUGGAAAUCACUUUAGGAGAAACUCCUAGAUAAUAUUAUGGUCAAUUAUUCUCAACGGCAUACUGAAAGAUCUAAUAAUAAAAUGGUGCAUGCGAUAGAAGAAAUUAAUGUUUUGAGUGGAAAGAUGGAUGAACUUCUGAAAUUAUUUGCUAAUAAGAGUGUUUCUUCUGAUCCUAAUGAUAUGCCCUUGUCUAAUUUGAUUGGGAAUAAUAAUGAAUCUAUGGAUGUGGAUUUUGUUGGUAGGAACAAUUUUGGUGACAACGCGUAUAGAGGAAAUUUCAACCCUAGGCUUUAUCCUAGUAAUCUCUCUAAUAAUGAUGGUAAUUCCUACAACAAUUCUUAUGGAAAUUAUAAUAAGAUUCCCUCUGAUUUUGAAUCUAAUAUUAAAGAAUUUAUUACUUUGCAAAAGAAUUUCAAUGCCUAGAUUGAAGAAAAAUUGCUUAAGAUUGAUGAUUUGGCUAGGAACGUUGAUAGAAUUACUCUUGAUGUUGAUUCUUUGAAACUUAGAACUAUUCCACCUAAGCAUGAUGUCAAUGAGUCUCUCAAAGCCAUGAGAAUUUCCAUUGAUGAGUGCAAAGAAAGAACCGCUAGGAUGCGUGCUAAGAAAGAUGCCUUUAUAAGAGCGUGUUCUUCUCGUUCCUAUGAAAAUAAUGAUGAAGAUCUAACAGUUAUUGAUGUGUUCCCUAUUAAAUCUUUGUUUUGCAAUAUGAAUCUUGAUAAUGAUGGGACUGAAUAUGAUCCACCUUUACCUAUCAGGCGUUCCAAGAAUUCAGAAUUUGUUGAUCUUGAUGCUAAAAUUGAUAAAGGUGGGAUUGAAGAAAUUAAAACCCUUGAUGUUGCUAAACCCACUAUUAUGGAUUUCAAGGAAUUUAACUAUGAAAAUUGCUCUUUUAUUGAUUGUAUAUCCUUGUUACAAUCCAUGCUAAAUUCUCCUCAUGCUUAUAGUCAAAAUAAAGCGUUUACUAAACAUAUCGUUGAUGCCUUGAUGCAAUCUUAUGAAGAAAAACUUGAAUUGGAAGUUUAUAUCCCUAGAAAGCUUUAUGAUGAGUGGGAAUCAACUAUUAAAAUUAAAAUUAAAUAUCAUGAAUGCUAUGCUUUAUGUGAUUUAGGUGCUAGUGUUUCCAUGAUUCCAAAGACUUUGUGUGAUUUGUUAGGUUUCCGUGAUUUUGAUGAUUGCUCUUUAAACUUGCGCCUUGCGGAUUCCACUAUUAAGAAACCUAUGGGAAGAAUUAAUGAUGUUCUUAUUGAUGCAAAUAGGAAUUAUGUGCCUGUAGAUUUUAUUGUUCUUGACAUAGAUUGCAAUCUUUCAUGUCCUAUUAUUCUUGGUAGACCUUUCCUUAGAACGAUUGGUGCAAUUAUUGAUAUGAAGGAAGGAAAUAUUAGAUUCCAAUUUCCAUUAAGGAAAGUCAUGGAACACUUUACUAGAAAGUAAAUUAAAUUAACUUAGGAAUCUAUUAUGAUAGCCACUUAUGGAUUGCCUACCAAAGAUGGCAAUACCUAGAUCUAUCCUUGCUUGUUAUGCCUAGCUAGGGGCAUUAAACGAUAGCGCUUGUUGGGAGGCAACCCAAUUUUGUUUUUAUUCCUUGAUUUUUGCUCCUGUUUAGUAAUAAAUAAUUUAUCUAGCCUCUGUUUCGGUUGUGUUCUUUGUGUUUAAUUACUGUUUGUGCCAAGUAGAACCGUUAGGAAGACUUGGGGAAAGUCUUGUUACACUUGCUGUAAAAAACAGAAACUUCAGCGCUCACGAGAACUGCUGCCAUUUUUAUUUGGAAGUGCUAUUUAGUUAAUUAUUUCUGCAGAUGAUUAAUACAUAAAUUCCUCACGUCCAGCAAUUUAUUUUAGAAUUUUUGGAGUUCCAGCUCUUGAGCUAGCUACAGAUUACUACAGACUAUUCUGUUUUUGAAAGAUUCUGUUUUUUCGUGUGUUGUUUGCUUAUUUUGAUGAACCUAUGGCUAGUAAAAUAGUUUAUAAACCAUAGAGAAGUUGGAAUACAGUAGGUAUAACACCAAUAUAAAUAAAUAAUGAGUUCAUUAUAGUACCUUCAAGUGGUCUUUUAUUUUCUUUCGCUAACGGAGCUCACGAGAUUUUCUACUUUAAGUUUUGUGUUGUGAAGUUUUCAAGUUUUGGGUAAAGAUUUGGUGGAUUAUGGAACAAGGAGUGACAAGAGCCUAAGCUUGGGGAUGCCCAUGGCACCCCCAAGAUAAUCUAAGUACACAUAAAAGCCAAAGCUUGGGGAUGCCCCGGAAGUCAUCCCCUCUUUCGUCUACUUCUAUCGGUAACUUUACUUGGAGCUAUAUUUUUAUUUGCCACAUGAUAUGUGUUUUGCUUGGAGCGUCUUGUAUUAUUUGACUUGUCAGGACCCCGAUUCCAAGCCACAUCGAUCUAGACGGUAACACCUCAUAUCACUUUGCAGCCUCACGCACGAUAUUCCACGGGUGUCGCAUUACCAUGGCCUGGGACCGUUUGCGCCUUUUGGCUCACGUAUAUGAUAGUGUCGCUAGCAUCCAUAUGACAGAGAACCCGGGCCGACAUGGCUAGUCGUGAACCCAAAGCGGCACAGACCUAUGGAGACAGGCAUACAUGAAUCACAUCGAGCAUGUCGGUCAUCAGCGAGUGAUUCCGGGCUUUAGCACUGGGCUAACAGGACUCCGGGGAACCCGGGCUGUAGCAGGCUAGGCAGGACUCCGGAAGUCACCGCGUGACAUUUCCCCGAAGAGACAGACAUAGGAACAAAGUGAAUCACAUGCUGGCCAGUCAAGUGUCCUGAGCAGUAGUGCUAGGCUAGCAGGACUCUGGUGAACCGGGCUGUAGCGGACUACUAUGGCUCGAGGAACACUAGACUACAUUUCCCCAUAAGAAAGGCUGCCAAGGAUAAACAACUAGAUUUUCGGAUCCCACUCAUACCAAGCAUUUCAAUCAUACACACAAUAUGCCCGAUAUGAGUACAUACAACAUGGCAUCACAACAAAACUCUACAAAUCAAGUACUUUAUUUAAAGGCUCCAGAGAGCCAUACAUAACAUGUUCAUACAGAUAGGGGUCACAUGACCCGACACUCAAGUCAUACAAUCAUACAAGCACAUGCGGAAGCAACCGGUCUGAGUACGGACACUAGAAAGAAAGAAGGCUCCUCGAGGCCUGUUUAUCUACAUAGGGCCCUCCAUGGCCAGGAUCACCACCUGGGUGGCUAGUCACUCGUCGACGUCAAGGUCUACAUAGAACCCAUCGGAGGGGGCGGUGUUGUCGUCUGAAAACAGUAAUUAAGCAAACAUGAGUACAAAGGUACUCAGCAAGUCUUACAACAGAACCUACUAUACAUGCUUAUUCUCAAGAAGGUGGUGGGGAUAUUGCAGCAAGCCAGCUUUGACUCUUGGCUAAACUAUCCUAUGGAACUUCUCUAGUAAAAUAGUUUUCGCACACGAGUCCACUACUCACCAACACAAUACUCCACCGGGGAUCCUCCCUCGUCAUCCUACGAGAGGGCCAUCCUCGGUACUCACACUUAUCUUGAGUCUUUUAGUAGUAUCCAUUUACUUGUCUACGAACUGUAUAGGCAACCAAGUAGUCCUUUACCGCGGACGCGGCUAUUCGAAUAGUUUUAUACCCUGCAGGGGUGUACUUCGUCAUGCACGCUUUCACCACUUAUCGCCGUUUACACGACAUGUACUCGGCAACCUUCAAGCGGAAGCCCAGUGAGGGUGUCGGCCACGGCCUACCUAAACACUUAAGUCUCUAGUCCAGGUUUAUCGCCUAUCCAGGUUCCAUCCGCAGGGAGUCCGGCCGAGGUUUCCACAUACGGCCCGAACGAUGUGAACAGGGUCCCGAGACGCCAAUCGGGCACCCGGCAUACCCGGCCACGGUGUAUCUACCGCAACAUAGCCCACCCCUAGGGUCAGCACUACGCACGGCCGCCAACACAUAACCUACAAGCACCAGAAACUAUUUGCAACUCCUGGACAGAGUACUAGGGUGAUUAAGAAGCCGAGAGGGUCAAUUAAGGAUCCCAAUGCAUGGUAGUAGCUGAAUCUUAAAUCGCACAUACAGAUCUCAGUUCUUUGGGACGGUCUCAAUGAAACAACCCACCAUGUACUCCUACAUGGCCUCUCAUCGAUACCUUUACCAAAACAUGUUCAACACAUUCCUCAUAUUACCGACAUAAUCAUAUCACUCUAGCCCAUCACCCAGAUGAACCAGACCUGACACAACUCUAAGCAUAGCAGGCAUAGCAAGGUAGGAAUCACAGACAUGGCUCAAUCAACUCCUACACAUGCUAGUGGGUUUCAUCUAGUUACUGCGGCAAUGACAGAUCAUGUAGAGGAUAAGGGUUCAACUACCGUAGCACACAGUAGUUUGAAUCGCGUUGUCUUAAUCCAGUAAACAAGAGCAAAGGCGAGAACAUGGGUUGUAUCGGAAUGAUCAAUGGGUUGCUUGCCUGAUGGAGUGGUAGCGGGAUACUGCCCUUCAGUUGGAUACUCGUGAAUAUCCUCGGAGGCAGAACCUACCACGAAGAACACAUCGGAACACAAUCAACACAUGACGAUAUGCAACAAUAUGAUGCAUGCUAUGACAUGGCUAUGGUGUUGGCCUAAUGCAAGCUAAAAUAGAAAGGGAUGAACUCAUUUGAAUCAAAGAUUCAAAUAUUAGCUCAUUAAACAUGGCCUUAAUAGUGGAUUUCCUUAUUCUGCUUAAACAGCAAGGUAAACUUGUUUUUUCAUGCAUGAAACCAUUACAUAUGGAUAGAUUGAAUUUUUCUGAUAAAUUUUUCAUAUAUAAAUUAUUUCAUUUGGAGUUACGGUUGAAUUUCUAUGAUUUUUAGAAGUUUUAAACAUUUUCUGGAAUUUCCUGAAUAAAGAUAAAUCCAGAAAAUGCAUUACUGCAUCAGCAUUGCGUCAUGCUGACCUCAGCAGGUCAAAGGCGCCAGCCCAGGUCAAACCUGACUGGUGGGCCCCUUCUGUCAGUCUCUGAGUUAAAUAACAGGAUUAGAUUAACACUAAUUAGCUGUCAGUGGGGCCUGGGCCCACAUGUCAGUGACUGAUUAAAAUAAAAUUAGUUAAAACUAAUCCUAGAUUAGUUAGCAGACCGGCCCCACCUGUCAUAGACUCAGGGGGGUCUACCUGGGCCCACCCAGGGUCAAACUGGGUCAAACUCACCGGCGUUGAGCAGCCGGCGAGGCCCGAGACGGUGGCGCAGCUCGGAAAACGCCUAUAGGGCAUGAGGGAGGCCGUUCUUGGGCUCGUUGGAGAGCUCUUGCAAUCGCGCAUCUAGUGGUGGUGGUGGCCGAGCCUACGGUGGCCGGAGACGACGACGGCGAGCUCCAAGGCGGCGGCCGGAGUUCGGCCAUGUGCGGGGUGUGGGCUGCGGUGUGCAAACGUGGAAACUGAGGCGCUAGCGAGGCACUACGCGAUGCGGCAAGCAUGUUGCGUAGCACGGGAUGACCAAAUGGUCGCCGAAGCGGCACCGGCGACAAGCUCGAGCGGAGACGAGCUUCGGCCAUGGUGGAACUAUGGCCUAGAGGGUGCAAACGCGUGGAAAAGAAGAGGGGAAAGGUGGGGGAGCUCACAGGGAGGUCGAUGAGCAGCUCAGCGGGCUUGGGGGCGACCGGAGUGAGGCGAAUCGAUGAGCGGUGUCCGGUGGGUACCGAGGUUGAAGACGAUCCGAUGGCGGCGAUGCAGGGCCUCCGGCGAUGCGUGGCUCGGUGGGGAGGGCGAGGGCGUCACGGCAGAGCUUCUGGACAGGUCUGAGAGGCGAGAGGGUGACGGAGGGCGUGACUACGGCGGUGAGAGGGCGACGGGUGCGUCGGCCAUCGCGGGAGAGGGAGAGGGAGACGCGGUGGAGAGUGAGAGAGGAUGAGAGGGGGACGUGGGGGUCGCGUGGCAUUCCCUAGACGUCUCCCGGUGUCGGCGGAAGCAGGAGGUGGCCGGCGUGUGGCCGCGGGCGUCGGCCACGCGCUCCGCGUCCUUCUGGCACGAGGAGGACGACGACUGGCAGCGCCAGUAGGCUGGGCCGAGCCAGGUGGGCUGGCCAGCACAGGUAAGGCCCAGGUGGGCUUCUCCCUCUCUUUUUUUAAUUUGUUUCUGUUUUCUAUUUAACUGUAACUGUUGGGCUUUAUUUAAAAUACUAAAACAUUUCCAAAAAUCCUGAAAAUAAUUGUGGGCUCUAUUUGGAUUAUUUCCAACAGCAAACAUUUAUUUCCAGAAUUAUUUGAGCAUCUAAAUUAUUUAAUAGCAUUUAAAUGUCCAAAUUCAAAUACUUAUGAUUUAAAUCAAUGACCUUCUGUUGACCAAGAAAAAUUGUGCACCAAUUUUGCCAGAGGUUCUAACCCAAGACAAAGAGGGUGAACUUUUUAGAAGGGCAUUUCAGGUUCAUUGAAAAUAAUUUUAGUAAACCCUAGUUGUUUCCAGGGGGGUGUUGGGGGUUUGUGCCUUCCCCAACUCAAAUUUAAGAGGAAUUUAAACAUGAUGCACAUUCUAAUGCUUGAACUAGCUAGGGUGUGACAACUCACCCCCAGUCAAAAGAAUCUCGUCCUGAGAUUUAGGAUCCUCUGGAAAGAAGGUGGGGUACUCGAGUCGAAGACGAUCCUCCCUUUCCCAAGUGGCUUCUUUCUCGGAAUGGUGUGACCAUUGAACCUUGAGAAACUUGAUAUUAUGACGUCGAGUGGUACGCUCGGCUUGAUCAAGGAGACGAACGGGAUAUUAUCGUUAAGAGAGAUUAUCUUGUAGAUCAAGCGUUUUGUGGUCCACUCCACGAAUAGGAUCCGCGAAGCAACGCCUGAGUUGUGAAACGUGGAAGACAUCAUGAACUCUGGAAAGAUGCGGAGGUAGUUCCAAUUGGUAGGCAACUUCUCCUCGUUUGGCAAGAAUGCGAAAGGGUCCAAUGUAACGAGGAGCCAAUUUGCCUUUGAUACCGAAACGAUGGGUUCCUUUUAAUGGGGUAACCCGAAGGUAAGCCUUCUCGUCGACUUCAUAAGUCAUAGGCUUAUGUUUACGAUCAUAUUGACUCUUUUGACGAGAUUGGGCUGUUUUCAAUUUCUCACGAAUAACGCGAACCUGCUCUUCCGCUUCCUGAAUCAUAUCCGGUCCAAAGAGUUGUCUUUCCCCGGUUACUGACCAGUUAAGAGGCGUUCGACAUUUUCGUCCAUAGAGAACUUCGAAAGGAGCUUUGCCCAAGCUAGCUUGAUAACUAUUAUUAUAAGGAAACUCCGCGAAUGGGAGGCAUUUCUCCCAACUCAUUCCGAACAAGAUAACAUAAGCUCGGAGCAUAUCUUCCAGAAUUUGAUUGACUUGCUCUACUUGACAACUUGAUUGAGGAUGGAAGGCUGUACUAAAAGAGAGACGAGUUCCCAUAGCAUUUUGGAAACUUUCCCAAAAUCGAGAGGUGAAGAGACUCCCACGGUCUGAGUUAAUUUCCAAUGGGACACCAUGGAGAGACACUAUUCGGGAGAUGUAUAAAUCGGCUAGCUGGAUAGCAGUGAUAUUCUCACGAACAGGUAGGAAAUGGGCUACUUUGGAAAGACGGUCGAUCACGACGAAGAUGGCAUUAUUCCCUCUCUUGGUCCUGGGAAACCCAGUAAUGAAAUCCAUACUGAUUUUAUCCAAUUACCAUUCAGGAAUAGCCAAAGGUUGAAGGGUGCCAGCAGGCCGUUGAUGCUCUGCUUUAACACGACGACAGACGUUGCAGCUAGCAAUGUAUUGAGCGAUUUAUCUCUUCAUCCUAGUCCACCAAAACCUGUGGCGUAGGUCUUGAUACAUUUUAGUGCUACCGGGAUGAAUGGUGAGAGGGGAUUCAUGAGCUUCCUUAAGGAUCAAUUGGCGUAGAUGUUGUUUCUUGGGAACCACCAAACGAUUCUCAAAGAAGACAGCACCCCGCUUAUCCAUGAAAAAACAUUUAGCAACUCCACUAGUAAUGUUUUCCUUAAUCCGGGAUAUGCCCUUAUCAUACCACUGGGCGGUUAUGAUCUGAUCCAUAAGGUUAGGUUUCGCCACCAGGGUGGAUAGGAAUCCUCGAGGAACAAUGUGAAGAUUAAGCUUACGGAAUUCCUCAUGCAGAAGUGGUUGACUUUGUUGUAACAUCGGGUUGUUACAAUAGUAUUACGGCUUAGCGCAUCAGCCAUGACAUUGGCUUUGCAUGGGGUGUAGGUUAUUCCUAAGUCGUUAUCCAAGAUCAACUCAACCCAACGUCUUUGCCUGAGAUUCAAAUCUGGUUGGGUGAAGAUAUAUUUCAAGCUUUGGUGAUCGGUGAAGAUCUCGCAACGAUUACCGAGGAGGUAAUGUCGCCAAGUUUUAAGUGCAUGGACUACAGCUGCCAGCUCUAGAUCAUGUGUGGGAUAAUUUUCCUCAUGUGGGUGUAAUUGCCGUGAAGCGUAGGCAAUUACCUGAUGAUCUUGCAUGAGUAUGCAACCUAGUCCUUGUCGCGAGGCGUCGCAAUAGAUAAUAAAGUCCUUGGAGAAAUCCGGUGGUACCAGUACGGGAGAAGAUGUCAGGCGUCUUUUCAGUUCCUGAAAGUUGAACUCGCACUGUGGAGUCCACUCAAACUUUUUAUCUUUCUUGAGGAGUUCAGUUAGAGGUUUAGCAACCUUGGAUAAAUUCUCGACGAAGCGGCGGCAAUAGCUCGCUAAGCCAAGGAAGCUCCGAACUUGCUUGACCGUCUCAGGUGGAGUCCAAUCAAGGACGGCUUGAACUCGCUCGGGAUUGACGGCAAUACCCUUACCAGAGAUUACAUGGCCUAAAUAGGUUACUUCUGGCAACCAAAAUCGACACUUGGAGAACUUGGCAUAAAGGCGAUGCUCUCGAAGUUUCAUCAAUACCAGCCUUAGAUGUUCGGCAUGUUCCUCUUCAUUCUUGGAGUAGAUGAGUAUGUCAUCGAGGUAUACUACGACGAAUUUAUCCAAGUACUCCAUGAAAACCGAGUUCAUUAACCGGGAGAAGGUAGCCGGGGCAUUGGUUAAACCGAAGGACAUAACGGUGUACUCGUAUUGGCCAUAACGAGUAACAAAGGUCGUUUUGGGAAUGUCCCCGUUUCUGAUUUUGAUUUGAUGGUAGCCCAACCUCAAAUCCAUCUUGGAAAAGACUGAGGAUCCAGCGAGCUGAUCAUACAGAUCAUUGAUCCUGGGAAGCGUGUAUUUGUUCUUGAUGGUGACCAAGUUGACAGGUCGGUAAUCCACAACCAUUCGAUCUGUUCCAUCCUUCUUCUUGACGAAGAGGAUGGGGCAAGCCCAAGGAGAGGAACUAGGACGGAUGAAACCCUUUUUCAAGGACUCAUCGAGUUGGUUCUUAAGCUCGGCUAGUUCUAAGGGUGCCAUCUUGUAGGGUCUUCUAGAAAUUGGAACGGUUCUUGGAACAAGGUCUAUCACAAACUCGACAUCCCUGUCAGGUGGAACACCUGGCAGUUCUUCUGGAAAGACAUCCGGAAAGUCUCGGACUACCGGAACAUCCUCAAGGUCUAGAAGGGGGUUGAUAUUUAGGGAGUAAAGUUGGCGCUUGGCCACUCGAGUUAAGACAUUAACUGUCUUGCCCGAUGGGUAAGUUGAACGGUUCUAGUGGCACAGUCAAUCUUAGCAUAAUGAGCUGACUUCCAGUCCAUACCUAAGAUGAUGUUUAUGUCCGAGGACUUGAGAGCUAUUAAGGCUGCAAGGAAGACAAGUCUAUCGACAAGAAUUCGUUCCCAUGGCUUACUCUAGAAGUUUGCCAUCUAGAGCCAGGGGUUUGAAUUUCCAUGGUAGAGGGCAUGUCACAGAAUGUGGUGUUGUGCAAUCGAGCAUAGUUCUCGGAUAUGAAUGAAUGAGAUGCUCCAGUAUUGAAAAGAACAGAUGCCGGAUGGCAGUUAACAAGGAGCGUACUAAGGACGACGUUGGGAUCCUCAUGAGCCUCCUCGGCUGAAACAUAGUUGACAUGGCCACGUGCAGUGGUGGCCGGCUUGGCGUAGAAUGUUUUUCCGACGGGCUUACCACGGCCAACGGACUUUCCAGUUUGAUUGGGGUUGUUGUUCUGGGGACACUCUCGGCUAUAGUGACUCGGCUCUCCACACUUAAAGCAUGUCACCACAUUGGGGCGUGGAGCAGCAUUAGCAGCGGGGCCACCAUAGGGCUUGGGCGGUGCAAAUUGCUGGUUGGGACGUGGUACCUCAAAGGAUGGCCUCGGGAUGAACCUGGGUGGCAGUGCCGUGCUUGGAAUCCACACCCGGCGCUUCUCAGCUCCAGAGCCAGAUGAAGAGCCAAAAUCACGGGAGUGCUUGCGUGAAGCGUCAUAAUCAGUCUGGCUUGUCUCAGCACUGAUGGCUUUAUUGACCAACUUCUGAAAGGAGGUGCACUCGUGCAGAUGAAGAUCGCGGCGAAGCUCAGGGCUAAGUCCCUUGCGGAACCUUGCCUGCUUCUUAGCAUCAGUAGAUACCUCUUCGGGGGCAUAACGUGCCAGAUUCCCAAAUUCACGACUGUAAGCAUCCAUAGUCAGUCUUCCUUGGGUGAAGUUGAAUAACUCCUCCCUCUUGCGAUCCAUGAGACCUUCCAGAAUGUGAUGCUCACGGAAAACCUCACUGAAUUCAGCCCAAGUAGUGAUUUGGCCGACUGGGCGCAUAGCUUCGAAGUUUUCCCACCAAAGGCUAGCAGGGCCUUCGAGGUGAUAGGCAGCAUAAGUAACCUUCUCGGCUUCGGCUACGUUGGCAGAACGUAGCUUGUGGGUGAUGCUGCGAAGCCAGUCAUCCGCGUCGAGGGGCUCGACGGAAUGGUUAAACUUUGGUGGGUACAGCUUGAUAAAGUCAUUGAUUGACACCAAGUCAUUUUGCGGGUGGCGUGAAGUGUUUUGCUCAAUCCGCUCCAGCAGGCGGUUGGUCUCACGCUUGUUUCUUUCCGCCUCCAGCAUUACUUCAGCCAAAGAAGGCAUGUGAGGCAGAUUUUCACCUCUAGCAGCACUGGCUUCCCCCUGCUCCGGGGCUGCAGGGUUGCUGCGGGUGUUGACCAUCCUAGGAGAAAACAAGACAACGGUUUAGACAAGGAUGGCUCAAACUUAGCAAGGAAGUGCAUAAUGUAAUGGAUAACACGGAAUGCAGAGAUGUUCAUCCGUAUGUCAUGGUAAUAUAAAACUGCAAUAUAUAUACCAACGGUCAUACACAUCAUACAUAGUUUAGUACAAGCCCAGGCUACAGUACAACUAUGAUGAAAGACGUUACAUCUCAUCGGAGGCAUUCCAAGAUCCUAUACAUUAUUGUCUACACCUCCGGAAUUGAUUACACGCAAAGUCAUAUUCCACAAGUCACGCAGGACAGUGGAGAUACAACUACUACAAUACUAGUGGUACUACUAUGUCACGACCGGUUUUCCAAUAAAAAUAUUUAUUGAGAAACCAAUCUUUUGAGUCCAGUAUGAGGGAAAUCCUCCUCACUGGUAGACAAAAUUCUUGAUACAAUAAGCCAGUAGCAAAGAAUAUAUUACAAGGUUGAGCUAGGGCUGCUCAACAAUUUAUAACAAGCGCGCCAACAAUUAUAUAUAAUGGCGGAUAUACCACAAUGGUGUGGUGGCAUACUACUGACUCGGGGAUAAAGUGAUGGUGGAAUAACACAGUGGGGAGUGUGAUAACAUGACUCUCAAACUGGCAUCUCAUCGAGCGUCGAGGUGAGGCUCGAUGAAUUUUAUUCGGGUUGCGGAAGCGAAUAUAAUACAUUGACCGAAUCCAGGGUCGCACGAGACUGAUUGGGACUCCUCUAGGCGUCGGACUCGCUAUCGAACUAUUCAUCCAUGAGAUCGCCUUCGUCAGCAUCUGGCCAAAUCAACAAGCCAGUGAGUACUUUGAUAGUACUCGCAAGACAGUUUGGACUUAAGAUAUAACAAAUGCAUGCAUGAAUGCGUCAUGAUUAAUUCACCAAAUGUGCAUUCCAAAAAUUAGCAUAACAAAGCAAGUAAAAGGGAAACGGCGGUAGUCCGCCUGAAAUCCCAACAAAAGCAUAAAUGAAAACCGAUCGGGUGUCUGAAGCGAUGCCUCGAAAGGUGAACAAAUAAAUAAAGGAGAAAGUCAUGCCACAGUCGGGCGUCUUCACGACACCACAUAAAGGGCUUUGAAAGAAAUGCCACAGUCGGACGUCGGGGCGACAUCACAGAAAGGGCUUUAAAAGAAAUGCCACAGUCGGACGUCGGGGCGACAUCACAGAAAGGGCUUUAAAAAAAUGCCACAGUCAGAANNNNNNNNNNNNNNNNNNNNNNNNNNNNNNNNNNNNNNNNNNNNNNNNNNNNNNNNNNNNNNNNNNNNNNNNNNNNNNNNNNNNNNNNNNNNNNNNNNNNNNNNNNNNNNNNNNNNNNNNNNNNNNNNNNNNNNNNNNNNNNNNNNNNNNNNNNNNNNNNNNNNNNNNNNNNNNNNNNNNNNNNNNNNNNNNNNNNNNNNNNNNNNNNNNNNNNNNNNNNNNNNNNNNNNNNNNNNNNNNNNNCGGACGUCGGGGCGACAUCACAAAAAGGGCUUUAAAAGAAAUGCCACAGUCGGAUGUCGGGGCGACAUCACAAAAAGGGCUUUAAAAGAAAUGCCACAGUCGGACGUCGGGGUAACAUCACAGAAAGGGCUUUAAAAGAAAUGCCACAGUCGGACUUCGGGGCGACAUCACAGAAAGGGCUGUAAAAGAAAUGCCACAGUCGGACGUCGGAGCGACAUCGCAGAAAGGGUUUUAUUCACAAGUAAAUAAUAAUCAUAAUAAAUAUUCAAUUCAUGAUAAUAAACAGGUUAGUCCAUCCACAGGAAUAACAUUUAGCCGGGCUUAGCACUCAUGGGAUUCACCGGAGUCUCUGUCAUCAAACUGAUACUGUUAGGCCAAGAUGAUACGAAUUUGGACAUGGAAUAGAUGAUUCAAGGAAUGUAUGACUCUGCAGAGUUUGUACAAAAUUUUUUCCCACAGCCAACGGAUUUCCGUAGUCACGAGGGACUAGUUCCGUUUACGGUUUUUCGGAAGAAAACACAGCUAACCAAUACACACCCAUCCUACCUCUCGAUGCCAGGACUCACCCUAGACAUCGUCCAAGAAAAACUUUUGAGACGGGGAGAUCACAAUCUCGAAUAGCAUGGGAUCAAAUUUAUAUAUGCGCGCUCUAAGGGGUGCCCCCCUCUCGGUCCCAACCGGAAACACCCAUGCCCCCUGACCGGAUGACUGGCUUUAAUCCAGGGCCAUGGAACCAUCAUCCUGGCCUCUCCUUUUGGUGUGUACCAGGAAAGCGGUUUGCAACUUACUAAGCCAUAUUCCUUGCGAAAAACAUGUGGUAGUACAGGGAAGGAAAUGGGAGGAACUGGACUGGUACGGUUUGACCCUGAAGUCAUAUAGUCUGGCAUAAGACUGGCAUGCUACAACACUGCCAUCUUACCCAUCCUCAUGCCAACACAUGGCCAUUCAUACUCACAUCCAUCCACUUAUGGAUCAUCGAACUCACUUACCUCAACAUUUCAUAAAAAAAAUAACGUUCAUCGGUAUGCUCAUCAACAUGCCAUGAAACUAACUAAAUGCAAAACAUGCCAAGACACUCAUCAUAUCAAAAGUUCAAACAUGCUUGCCUGGUUCAGAGUAGUCGGAGCCUAGCUCGGUGAAGUUCGCGGCUCCGUCACCUCCUUCGGUAUCUAUGGUAUAAAGAAAAUAUAUGCGCUAUCGUAAAUUCCAAGAGGUGCACAGAAAGUAUUCCAAAUAUUUUUCAAAUAAAUAUGAUAAAAAACUAGACAAAAAUCUGAAGAGGACAGGAAAAGAAUCACUCAAAAAUUCCUUUCUGUUAAAAAGUUAUAAGGGUUUUAAUCCAAGGACUUAUCUGUAAUGAAACAGAAAGUUUCCAGGGGCUAGUUUAUAAAAACAGAAAACGCUUCGGCAGAAACUACGCCAGCCCAGAGGGAAGGCGCAUUUGGCAGAAGGCGUUUUCAGAAAACGAUUCGCUUAGACAGGAUAGAGAGGCUGACAGCGGGUCCCGCCCGUCAGGUUUAAACUUUCAAACGGGGGGGGGGGCAGAUUUCGCCGGUGCCCGAGAGCCGCGGUGGUCGCCGGCGGCGAUCCACGGCCAGGCAGGGUGAUCGGAGAUUACCAACGUGCUCACCGUGUCCUUCCGCAAUGGUGGGUGGUGGUGUUGGUCGCCGGUGAGCACCACGUCGACGCAGAGCUUGGUCGGGAAGGUUUAGGGAGUUGGGCGUCAUCGCGAAGUUGCACCGGUUCCAUUUAGGUGCUAAGCGAGCUUGGAUUGGGGUGCUAAGGGCGAAGUCGACGGAACGGGGCGGCGCGGGCCCGUCGGCGGCAGGGAGCAUGUUUCGUGCUUGCCGGGCCGCAGUGAUGGUGCCACGGGCGUGCGCUGGCAUGCAUGAGGACAUGCGGAGAGCCAGGGAGCUUUGGGUGGCGCCGAACGGCGUUCUGCCGUGGUGUGCCUUCUGUCGGCCGCCACAGGAGGUCCCGACGCCGCAGAAGACGCCGGCGAGGGCGGGCCAGCGCGCCACUGACGCCAGGAAAGCUCCAAGCACGCGUGUGAAGCUCCGGACAAGAGGGAGGGGCUGCGAGCAUCGAGCCAAAGGCACUGUGAGCAUAUGCCUGAAACUCUGAAGAAAACGACACUGUAAAACUGAAUUUUACUGAACUUUUCUGAAAAAUGCAAAGAACAGUGCAGCUCAGGUGAUCGACAGAAUGUUUUUGGCAUCUAGGGAUUUUUCCUUGAGCUAAAACUUGGUGGAGUGGCCUCUCAUUGCUCCAGUAGGCUGCCUGAAUUUUGGUGGAAUUUUUUUGGAGAAGUGUAGAUAUGAAUUUCACCAAAUUUGGCAAAUCUGGUCCAAACUUGCAGUGAGUGAAAUUGAAAUAUUUGAAAAGAAUAAGAGUGGAUCAAGAUGGUUCUAGGUUGUGGGUACUAAAGACAAUCCAGGGAAGUUGGUUUGGGAUAAAAACUCAAAGGCAAAGUGAUACUUGCUUUGAAAAUCACUUAAGCUCAAAAUAAAUGGCAGAAAUGUUUUGGGGGAUAAAAUAAUUGAAAUAAAAUCCAAAACUUGUUUGGACUUGUUGAGACAGAGAAUUUAGAUUGUUCAAAGGUGGAGGGAUGGAUUUUGAGAGGAUUUACUAUAGGAGACAUGGUAAAACCAUGGGUGUUUUCAAAAAGAAAGAAGUCCCAAAACUCCUAGGGUUUCCUUUUUUUUGAAAAAAAUAAGUUUGAGAGGGUAACAACCAGAAGGAAAAGCUCCCAAAAACUUCAACACCAAAUUUGAAAAGGGAAAAGAAAAUCCUUGACAAAGGAAAGGAAGUUUUUAAGAGGAAGGAUUUCUGGAAAAGAAAUUUUUAAAAAACCCUCUUUUAAAAUCCAACAAGGUUUUGAUAAAAACCAAAUUAAAAUUUUGGAGUGUCACAGCACUUACCCCCUUAGGAAAAAUCUCGUCCCCGAGAUUUCAGCUGAUCCUUAAAUAAGCGAGGAUGCUCUGUCCGAAGAAAAUCCUCUCUUUCCCAAGUUGUUUCACUGUCGGUGUGAUUGCUCCACUGGACUUUGAAAAACUUGAUGGUCUUCUGUCGGGUCCUCCUUUCAGACUCCUCUAAUAUUCUUACAGGACGUUCCCGAUAAGUGAGGUCUGGCUGCACGUCGAUGUUCUCAUGGGAUACUUGUUUCUCUGGGUUGCUUACGCACUUCCUCAAUUGCGAGACGUGGAACACGUCGUGGACAUCGGAUAAUUCCUCGGGUAAGUCUAGCUGGUAGGCUACCGUGCCUCUUCGUGCCCUUAUACAGAAAGGUCCGAUGAAUCUUGGUGCUAGCUUCCCUUCAAUCUUGAACCAUUGCAAUCCGCUCAUAGGGAUACUCUUAGGUAUACGAACUCACCGGGUUCGAAGCUGACCCCACGAUGUUUCUGAUCGUAAUAACUCUUCUGUCGACUUUGAGCAGUCUUAAGUCGGUCUCUGAUUAGUUUGACUUUUUCCUCGGCUUCUCUGAGCAUGUCUGGUCCGAAGAUGCGGCUGUCUCCGGUCUCUGACCAAUUUAACGGGGUACGACAUCUUCGUCCGUAUAAGGCCUCAAAUGGUGCCAUUUGCAGGCUGGCCUGGUAGCUAUUGUUGUACGCGAACUCGGCGUAUGGCAGGCUUUCUUCCCAACUAUUUUCAUAGGUGAGGACACAUGCUCUCAGCAUGUCUUCUAAAACCUGGUUUACGCGUUCUGUUUGCCCAUCGGUCUGUGGGUGGUAUGCGGUACUGAAGGCUAGUUGGGUUCCCAGAGCCUGUUGUAAAUGCUCCCAAAAGCUCGAGACGAACUGAGUGCCUCUGUCGGACAUUAUAGUCUUCGGGACACCGUGCAGACAAACUAUGCGGGAAAGAUAAAUCCUGGCAAGCCUCUGAGUGGUGUGGGUCGUCUUUAUUGGAAUAAAGUGUGCCACUUUGGUUAACCUAUCAGUGAUGACCCAUAUGGCAUCAUUCCCGUGUCGUGACCGAGGUAGUCCGACAAUGAAAUCCAUCCCUAUUUCAUCCCAUUUCCACUCAGGUAUUUUGUUCGGUUGCAGUAGUCCGGCUGGUCUCUGAUGCUCAGCUUUUAUGCGUUGACAUGAGUCGCAGCGCGCAAUGAAGGUGGCUAUGUCCCUCUUCAUACUGUGCCACCAAAAUCUUUCCUGAAUAUCUUUAUACGUUUUGGUUCCUCCAGGGUGGAUCGAGUACGAGGCGGUGUGGGCUUCAGCUAAAAUUUGCUAUUUAAGGUCUUCUAUGUUUGGCACGCAGAGUCUGUCUCCGUACCAUAAUAUUCCUUCAUUGUCUAUGACUAAUUCCGAGGCUUUGCCCAUACUCACCUUUCUUUUGAUGCCUUCGAUGCUGGGGUGACCGGGCUGAGCUCCUUUAAUUUCCCCCACAAGGUCGGGUUGUAUUUCCAAGUUUGAUAUGGUGCCUUCUGCUACCAUCAUCAAGUUGAGCUUGGCAAAUUCUUGUUGGAAUUCGGGCCUCAAUCUGUGCAAAUUGUUGUCGUCGGAGCUGGGAUUCCGACUAAGAGCAUCGGCCACUACAUUUGCUUUUCCUGGAUGGUAAUGGAUACCAACAUCAUAAUCCUUUACCAAUUCCAACCAACGUCGUUGCCGUAAGUUUAGUUCUGGCUGUGUGAAAAUAUAUUUGAGGCUUUUGUGAUCCGUAUAUAUUUCACAUCGAUUCCCAAGUAAGAAAUGCCUCCAUUCCUUGAGUGCAUGAAUAACUGCUGCCAUUUCUAAGUCAUGAGUGGGAUAAUUUUCCUCAUGCUUACGAAGUUGCCUUGAAGCGUAGGCGACAACCUUGCCUUCCUGCAUCAACACGCAUCCGAGGCCCUUUCUGGACGCGUCACAAUAUACUUCAAAAUUCUUGUGUAUGUUGGGUACAAUUAAUACCGGUGAUGUCGUUAAUUUCCGUUUUAGCUCUUGGAAACUUUUCUCGCAGGCUUCUUUCCAUUCAAACUUCUUGUCUUUCUUGAGUAACUGUGUCAUAGGCUUGGCUAUGGUGGAGAACACUUCAAUAAAACUGUGGUAAUAUCCUAACAUUCCCAAGAAACUUCGUAUGUCCGUUACGCUGGCUAGUGACAUCCAGCCAAGUAUGGCCUUGACUUUCUCUGGGUCCACUGCGAUACCGUCUUGGGUCAGUACGUGGCCUAGAAAGCCUACUUUUCUUAGCCAAAAUUCGCACUUGCUGAACUUGGCAUACAAUUGGUGUUUUCUGAGCUCUCCUAGCACAAUCUUGAGAUGUUCUGCGUGCUCUUCUGGUGUCUUGGAGUAUACCAGAAUAUCGUCGAUGAAUACCACGACGAACUUGUCCAUAAACUUCAUAAAUACUUUGUUCAUGAGGUGAACAAAAUAUGCGGGGGCGUUAGUUAAUCCAAAUGGCAUCACUGUGAACUCGUACAGUCCAUAUCUGGAGGUGAAGGCUGUUUUGGGAAUAUCUUCUGUUCGCACCUUUAAUUGAUGGUAUCCUGACCUUAAGUCAAUUUUUGAGAAUACCUUGGCCUGAGCGAGUUGAUCAAACAAAUCGUUUAUCCUUGGCAUCGGGUAUUUGUUCUUGACUGUGACCAUGUUAAGUGCUCGAUAGUCAAUACACAAUCUCAGUGUUCCAUCCUUCUUUUGGCAAAUAAAAUUGGUGAUCCCCAAGGUGAGGAGCUGGCUCGAAUGUAUCCUUUGUCUAGCAAUUCCCUUAUUUGUUUCUUCAACUCAACUAAUUUGGAUGGUGCCAUUCGGUACGGUUUCUUGUAUAUGGGGGUGGUUCCUAGUGCGAGCUCAAUGCUGAACUCUAUCUCUCGGUCUGGUGGCAUGCCUGGUUGCUCUUCAGGGAAUACGUCUGGAAAUUCACACACUACUGGAACCUUGUUUAGCUCAGAAAUGUCCACCUUAUUCAAUCUCGGUUGGCAGGGUAUUUUUCCUUCCUUGGCUGAUACUCUUAUUGUCUUCCCUUGGUGGUGUGUGAGAAUUACGGUCCUGUUGAAACAGUCGAUAAACCCCUUGUUGGUGGUUAGCCAAUCCAUCCCUAGGAUGACAUCCAGUCCUUUAUUUUCCAACACAAUAAGAUUUGCGUGAAACUCCAAUCCUUCGAACUCAAUGACCACAUUCUGACACUAAUUCUGAGUAACUUGCUGAAUCCCAGGGGACUUGAUGAUCAUGGAUUUCUCCAAAGGAAGCAUCGAAAAAUUAUUUUGCAAAGCAAAACUUUUCAAAAUGAAAGAGUGAGAAGCUCCAGAAUCAAACAAAACCGUUGCAGGUA
rnacentral:lncRNA from 1 species